CAGUAUCCCCCCAGGAAGGAUGAUGCGGUGAACUUGAUAUGGCGGCAGGUGAGGCACAAAAUCCCCGCAGUUAAUCUUGCGAUUCACAGGAGUAGGAGAUUAAAAGUCCCAGACUGGUGGUGAGGAUUUGGUGAAUCGUGUACAUAUUAUCAUAUUGAUGGCGAACCGGCAUCAUUCAUAUGGUUCACGACGAAGCCAUGGCGGUCAUUCCUUGUGCACCAUGACACUGGAUCCAGGAAGAUGUUCUAACAGGCACUAACAUUUUUGCCCCUUUUCGUUGAUCUUACGACACUGUAACCAUUACCCCCCUUGAGGUCAUGAUAUAGUGAGAACGUGUGCAUUAGAAAACACACUUACAAACAUGUGUACCAAUAGACUGGAUGUUGCAAUGUAUUCAAGUAGAUAUAAUUUUUCUUACUACUUCUUGAGCCCUUUAACAGCCAAGGUAUCUUUUUUUGUUGUUGGUUGUUUUUGAGAUAGCUAACCACUCAUUUCAAGUGGUAACAGCCAAGGUAUCUUUUGAUACGUUCGUUCUGUGUUGUUUCCUGUGAGAAAUGCUCUGGGUGGCUGGGAUCAACUGUUGGCCUGCUUAUCUCAUUGACUUGUUAGUAGUGGUAGCACAGUAGGUUUUCAGGAAGUGAAUCAGGAUGUAAGAAUUUUAUAUGGUGGGGAACAAACUGACUAUGGUGUGGACUGUGGAGAACACUUUUAUCAUGGGCUACUAAUUUUUAGCUUGUCAUGUCUGUCCUGUUUGCAGCAAUUUCUUGGUGGGGAUUGUGGAGAAGUAAUUGGUGGCUGUGUUUCCUCCAACAUCCAGACUGACAAGAAAAAUCCCUGCAGUUAAUUUUGCGAUUCAGAGGAGUAUAUAGGAGAUUAAAAGUCCCAGACUGCUGGUGAGGAUUUGGUGAAUCGUGUACAUAUUAUCAUAUCGAUGGCAAAACCGGCAUCAUUCAUAUGGUUCAUGACGAAGCCAUGGGUGUGCGCCAUGACACUGGGUCACAGGAAGGACUUGCCAAAUUUAUAUAUAUAUAUUCAGAGGGUCAAAAUGGAUUUGAUCAAACCAACUCCACUUUCGAUUUCUAUUUGGAAUUCAGACUACUAAAGCUCGUCUGCAAGAUGGGCCCACCUAGAAGCUCUCAUGGACUGUAAACAGCAAAUGCCAAGGACUAAUUUGCAUAUAUAUCCAGAGGGUCAAAAUUUAAUUUAAGAUUUGGUUGGGGUGCGCCUGCCCAGGCAGUAGUGCAACGCACUGGACGACACCCGAGGGCCCCAGUGGCAAGCCACUGUGGUGGGCCCUCCCCCACAAAAAAUAAAUUUAAUAUCGUUAUGGGCACAUGGCCCACAUAUCAGAUAUUAAACUGAUAAGAACAGAUACUACACUUGAUCUUAGCCAAAAGGCCGAGAAAGGUAUGAGUUGCAGCGUUGCUCUGCCCCUCUAUUUGUAGCCUACUCGCCCUCCCGUCCCCUCUUCGCUAGGCGAGGUGGUACUAAACGAGUCGCCUCUCUCGCGCGGCUGCGGAGCGCGGACGCUGCGCUGCGUGCCCCCCGACCCCGAGCCAGCCUCUUUGUUGCAUGGGCCUCAAGCGAGACGGCCUUUCCGAUGAGGCCUGUAUUAUGGGCCUGAUUUGCUCUCGGCUCUUGGAGGCCGGGCCCUGUCGGAGCGUGUUCUGAAGCCUGACGGUCCUGCAUGUUAUAUGUAUGGCUGGCUGAGGCGCUGCACUGCACUGCACGGUGAGACGAGACAACCGGCGAGGCGGACUCGAUCGACCGGCAAACUCCCCGGGAAUGCAGUCGUCGUGAUCGAUCGUUAUGUGCGUUCUUUUGCAGAAUAUAUACUCUACUACUAGUGUGUAGCUCUGCACAACAGAAGCGACGUUUGAAGAUGCAAGGUAGCAUCCAUCCAUCAAGGAAUAGUAGUAAAAUGUGCAUGCAAUAAAUAGAAAAACACCGCAGAUAUAUAACAACAACAACAAAAUGCACUCCUAAUAGUUAUCCCCUUCCCCACGGAUCAUAUUAGACUAUCCCAGAAUGAUUCUCAUCCUCUAGAGUCUAGAUUGUUCUAUAUCAAUGUUUGAUGUCAUACUUCAAUGUGAAUCACCAGUUUUUUUUUCCGAAAAAGAUUCAACUCUAUUAGUUCAUCAAAAGUACAAAGCACCUCGAACAUAAUAGAAAUUUACAUCGAGGUCGGUCUCUAGACCACCGAAUGACAACUACCGCCAUCAGAACGAGCCGCCAACAUGCCGCUCCUCUACUGGAGCCGGCAUGACAUUAUCGAUGACAUUCAGGAAGUCUUCAUGCACGUUCCCCUAAGAACUAGUACCAUGGAGCCGCAGUCGUCGUCGUUGAACUGUCGAACAUAUCUGAAGGAACUGGCACCAAAUCUUGCCGGCGCAUGCACGAGAAGAAACUCUAACCUCGUCGCCCCAAGGAAACGACAUAAAUCUACGUCGAAGCUCUGUCGACUGCGUCCAGAUGGACGAACUCGAGGAGAAUCAGAGGACGGAAAACAAACUCGAAGAAGAAGCAUCGUCAUCCACCAGAGCGCCGCACCAGUGAGGACCGAAGAAAAGCUAACCUAAAAUACUAACCGAAGCAAAGGCACCGGGAGUGAAUCGCCGGUUUAUGAUGUGCUACUGAAAUUAUUGAUCUCACCAACAAAUGAUAUUAACCUACGACAUAUCGACAUAUAAGCUUGUGAUUCAACUAAUAAUUUAAAAAUAACAUAAUUAUCAUAAUCCACAAAUUUGUGCUCGUGUUGAUUGUCACACCUCCCAAGCUUUACCAUGCCUAUUACACAAUAUCAUGGACAUAAGAGAGUAUCUCGUGUUUGCUUCCAUGCUACUAAUGUCUCUUUUUAUUAGAGAAUCCUAUAAGCAUGGGAAAUGAAGCUUCUAGAAUACAUGGGAUGAUAGAGUGGGGGAUCAAUUAGAAGGCGAUGUGGCAGAAUCCUAUGGGUUUAGAAAUUAUCUAACGAAUGGCAAUGCUCAGAUUUUCCAUAUCUCAACCGUUCGAUGGAGCAUUUUCAACACUAAUGUUUGAAGUUAUUGUCACACUACAUAGUAGUAUAGAGGUAUAGAUAUAUGACAAAUCGUUCUUCCCUUCGAUGAGCUGGAUCAAACAUGUGUUUCUUACCUUGGUUCUGAUCAUACGUGGUUGCUUGUUUAUCUCUUGUUGAUGUUUUAAUGGUGGCCAGAAACAUUCAAGAACUAAGAGCAACACUAGCAGGGUCACCAAAAUGUUUGAUUGUCAUAGUAAUCGUCAAUAUGACAAUUUUGAGAAAAACACCACUCUAGCAGAGUCGCCAUCCGACCGAAUCAUCAUAAUUCAUGGAGGGAACUCCAUACUAAGUUAGCGAUUACCUAUAUUUUGAGGUUGUGGGGCUUCGUUUGGAGGGCAGGCGGCCAAACGCCCACCGCGACGCGAGAUAAUGAACUGUGGUCACGACAUGUCCAACUAGUCGCGCCCCUUCCCGCUACCGCGCCCCAUGUUUUCUCACUGCCUGCCGUUGUAAAAAAGCAUGGCUCUCUUUCUCUACACUACCACCAUCCGUGCCUCGCAAACUCUUCUUUCUCUGCACUUACACCCUAUCGGUUCCCCUUGACCAAAAUGGGUUCUGCUCUCGGAGGAGAAGAAAUGAAUGCUCGACAAGGAGGAAGUCGUUGGAAUCGCUGAGGAUGAGUGUGAUCGCGGCGACGCGGAGGAGGCCAUGCAAUAGGAUCCCGCCCUCCUCAACAGGUGCCUAGUUUCUAAUCUGAAACACAUGUUGGUGUUUGGGAUGUCAAGCACGAAUACAUGUAUAUAUCCCGUCUGGGUAGGAGAGGCCUUACACACGCAACUUAUAUCGGCCACCACAUGCUCCUUGAUGCCUCACUAUUAAGGAGGCAUGAGAAGGCAUGAGACGAGCGCUACACUGUCAACGUGUCGAACUUCCACCACAAGAAAUAUUUGAGCAGACCACCGGUUGGCGGAGGCUGACGUUUGAGAGCAACAACACCAUACUGCGAGGAGGCACGAUAAGAUUUCGCAGCGGAGAGCACGAAAGCGCGUCAGAUGAUGCCAAUUCAAUGUCAAUAUUGAGGCGACGACUCAUGCAAUAUUGGUCUUGCCCCCUUGAGAAAGUCAUUGAUGGAAAUAUGCCUAGAGGCAAUAAUAAAGUUGUUAUUAUUAUAUUUCCUUAUUCAUGAUAAAGGUUUAUUAUUCAUGCUAGAAUUGUAUUGAUCGAAAACUUAAAUACAUGUGUGGAUACAUAAACAAAUAUUAUGUCCCUAGUGAGCCUCUACUAGACUAGCUCGUUGAUCAAAAGAUGGUUAAGGUUUCCUAACCAUAGACAUAUGUUGUCACUUGAUAACGGGAUCACAUCAUUAGAAGAAUGAUGUGAUGGACAAGACCCAUUUGUUAGCUUAGCAUUUGAUCAUUCAAUUUAUUGCUAUUGCUUUCUUAAUGUCAAAUACACAUUCCUUCGAUUAUGAGAUCAUGCAACUCCCGGAUACCGGAGGAAUACAUUGUGUAAUAUCAAACAUCACAACAUAACUGGGUGAUCAUAAAGAUGCUCUACAGGUAUCUCCGAAGGUGUCUAUUGAGUUGGCAUGGAUCGAGAUUAGAAUUUGUCACUCCGUAUAUCAGAGAGGUAUCUUUGGGCCCUCCCGGUAAUACACAUCACAAGUAGCUUGCAAGCAAAGUGACUAAGGAGUUAGUUACGAUUUGAUGUAUUACAGAACGAGUAAAGAGACUUGCCGGUAACGAGAUUGAACUAGGUAUGAAGAUCCUGAUGAUCAAAUCUCAGACAAGUAACAUACAGACAGACAAAGGGAGUUACAUAUGUCGUCAUUAGGUUCGACCGAUAAAGAUCUUCGUAGAAUAUGUAGGAACCAAUAUGGGCAUCCAGGUUCCGCUAUUGGUAAUUGACCAGAGAGGCGUCUCGGUCAUGUCUACAUCAUUCUCGAACCCGUAGGGUCCGCACGCUUAACGUUCGUUGACGAUAUAGUGUUAUAUGAGUUAUGUGAUUUGGUGACCGAAUGUUGUUCGGAGUCCCGAAUGAGAUCACGGACAUGGAGCUCCAUAAUAGUCUGGAGGAAAAUAUUGAUAUAUAGGACGGUGGUAUUUGGACACCGAAAAGGUUUCGGAGUGAACCGAUGAAAGGAUCUAGAUGACGACUAGAGGGGAGGGUGAAUAGGCAUUUUUAAACUUUUACAGAUUUGGCUUUAUUCUAAUGAGGAAUUAAACUAACGGAUACUUUUCAAGCACAAAUCCUAAAUAUGCUAGGCACAACUAGGUGCACCAACAACCUACGCUAAACAAGAUAGGAACUUAAGCAAACUAGCAAGCACAAGCUAUAUCACAAGAUAUGGAAAUGUAUGAACAACUAAGCAAUUCAACUAGCACAAGAUAUAUCAAUAUGAGCAAGUAUGAAUUGCAGAAAGUAAAGAGUGUGGGUAUGAGAUAACCACAAGUGAGUCAGGGACGCGAAUUUAUCCCGAAGUUCACACUCGUAAGAGUGCUAAUCUCCAUUGGAGCAGUGCCGAAGCCAAAGCUUUGGGGCGUCACCAAGUGACUCACCGUAUUCUCCCUUUCGAGUCACCCCCAACGGAUGAGACUCGAUCCACUCGGGGUUGGUCUUGAAGGCGACCACCACACCUUUACAAUCUUCUCCGGAGCACACCACAAACACGGAAGCUUCCGGAGGAACUUGACCACCUAGUCCACUUCAACACCCUUCCCCGGAGCACACCACAAAAGGAAGCUUCCCGAGGAAUCUUGGCCACAUAGCCUCUUCACAAUCUUCUCAAUGUAUCACCAAACCGUCUAGGAGGCAGAAGCCUCCAAGAGUAAUAAACUCACGGGCUCUCACUCGAACUAAUCGAUGUGGGGAGCUCAAACCAAUGCAAGAAAUGCAAUGCAAGGUCAAGCAACAAAUGCUCAACUCACUCUCUCAAUCUCACAAGAUGCACUCUCGAAACACUACAAAAAAAUACACUUCCGUGAUGAUACAUGUUUGUCACAAUAGGUUGCGUUUUUUGUCAUGCAUGUACAUCCAUGACGAUUUUAUGACAGAAUCGAGAUAGUCAUACAUAUGCUGUCGUAGAAGUGUUCCAUGACAUUACCAAAAUUAUCAUCACGGAAGUGUCCACUUCCAUGACGAUAAAUCGCGCGUCACAAAAGUGCUUUCGUCAAGGGUGACCGACACGUGGCAUCCACCAUAACGGAACGCCGUUAAGCUAUCGGGUUCGAUUUUGGAUCCCAUAAUCCGUUAACAGCCCAGACCAAUGGGGAUUUUCCACGUGUAAAAUCAUCAUUGGCCGCAGGAAACACGUGUUGCCUCACCGUUGGGACAGAUGUCAUCCACUCAUUGGACAAGAGGCGCCUAUGAUAGGUCGACACGUGGCACGGCCCAACAGUGGCCCAUUCCGGUGAAAAAGGUCGGCCCAGUAAAAAUUAGCAGGCCGGCCCAUAUAAGGCCUACUUGUGUCAGGUCCAUUUAAGCCCACGGCCUUUACGAGAUGUGCCAAUUCGGCCCAUCAACGGCCCGUUAAACAUUUGACACCAUUGCAGCCCAUCGUCAGUUCGAGCCCGUUAACAGCCCGCUAUAUAUUUGGGCUCAAUAUCAGCCCGAUGAGAUUUUGGCCUGUUAACGACCCAUUCAAUGGAUGAGCCAAUUUUCAGGAUGUACAUCUUUCGGCCUUUUAGCGACCCAUUUAAAUGUUGGGCUAAUUUCCGGCCCAGUGUGUCUUUCAGCCUGUUGAUGACCCAUAAAUCUGAUGGGCCAUUUGUAGUUGGACCUGAGUUUUGGCCUUUUAGCGACCCAUUUAAGUGUUGGGCCAAUUCCCGGCCCUAUGUGCCUUUCGGCCUAUUAACGGACCAUAAAUGAGUUGGGCCAUUUGUAGUCGGACCUUAGUUUUGGCCUUUUAACGGCCCAUACCCUUCAUGGUCCAAUACCAACCCGAUUUCUCUUUCGGCCUGCUAAAGGCCCACAACACAGUUGGGCCAUUUACAAUACGACCUGACUUUCGGCCUCUUAGCGGCCCAUGCUCUUCAUGGUCCAGUACAAGCCUGUUGUCUCUUUCGGCCUGCUAAAGGCCUACAGUAUAGUUGGGCCAUAUGUAGACCAAACUUAGUAACAGCCUGUUAACGGCCCAUGAAAUAAAUUGGGCCCACCUGUUGCCCGCUUCGAUGUCUGUCACACCCUAGCUAGUCAUGCAUUAGAGUGUUGCAUCAUGUUUACUUUUUCAUCAGAAACUUGAAAUGGGGAUGACAGAACCCCCAGCCCCGUCUGAAACCAACUAGGGUUACUAAAAUAAUUUUUCAAUGAACCUGAAAUGCCCUUCUAAAAUGUCCAUCAUUUUAGCCUUGGUUCAGAACCUCUGACAAAAGUGGUGCACAUUUUUCUAGGCCAUCAUAGGGUCUUUGAAUUAAAUCAUAGAUAUUUGAAAUUGGGCAUUUAAAAUAAUAUAAAAUAUUUAAAUGCUCAAAUAUCUCCAAACUAAAAUGUUUCAUGUUGGAAAUAAUCCAACUAUGGACCAGGAGUAGUUUGGUGAAUUUUGGAGUUGCCUAGGUAUUUUAAUUAAUUCAACAAAGUUGCAGAUAUAUUAAAUAAAACAGAAAACAGAAAAGAAAGGGGAAAGACUUACCUGUGCGGCCCAGCCAGCUGGCCGGCCCAGCUAGCAACCGACCCAGCCCAACACUGUAGCUCCCCGUCGUCUUCCUCCCCACGCCCCGAAGCUGCUGCGUGCUCGCGCGCGCGCGGCCGCGCGGCCACCUCCUGCUUGCCGACGCCCUCCUGACCGCGUGGACGACGUCCGCAGCCCGUCCCGAUCCCCCCUGCUCUCGCUCACUCUCCCCCGUUUCUCCCUCGCUCUCUCUCGCUCUCGGCCGAAGCACACCGUCGCCGCCGUUCGCCGUAGCCACUGUCUCCGGCCACCCCUCGCUCCCCCGAGUAGCUCAGAAGCUCCGCCACAACUCCCUCUUCCUCCCCACCGCUCCACGAGUCCCCGGAAGCCCUGCAUCGCCGCCACGUCGCCGUUCCCCUCUUCGGGCUCCGACCACCGUCGCCGACGAAUUCGCCGUCUCCAGCGCGUCCCCGAGCCCGCUUCGACGCCCACCGCAACCGCGGUGAGCUACGCCACUGUUUCCCCCUCUUCUCCCCCUCGUUCCCUCACCGUAGCUUCAUCUCCACCACGGCCGAACCUCCGCCGUCGCCGAGCUCGCCGUCGACGCAGCUCCGGUGACCAUUUGGUCACCCCGGCGAGUCCAACGCGUUCACAGAACCCAGUAGAGCAUCCCUAGCGCCCCACUUUGCUCGACUUCGAGCUCCAGCACCACUCCUGUGCACGACCGAACCCCGGCGGCCGCAGCCGAGCUCACCGCCGUCAACUCCGGCCACCCCGACCCCAACGGACUCCGCCAAGAGCCGCGGGUCGUCCUCAGCUUCACUCUGGUGAUCGCCGCGGUCCAUUUGGUGGCCGAAACGACCAAAACCACUAUCGCCGCCGCACUGUUGGUCGCCGCCGGCCAGAACUCCGGCGAGCUGACGUGGCCUAGUUGAUUAACCACUAAUCCACCACCUACUGACGCUGACAAGUGGGCCCCAGGGCUUAGUCAAAGCUAACCAGCCCGGGGUCAACGCGGGAUUAGCCCCUGUGACACUGACGUGUGGACCCCACACGUCAGGUUUGACCCGAGCCAGCCCUGUUGACCUGCUGAUGUCACUGUGAUGUCAGGCUGACGCAGUAAUUGAAUUUCUGGAUUUAAAUUAAAUCAGGAAAUUCUAGAAUAUUAUUUAAACUUCAAAAAUUCAUAACUUUUAUUCUGUAACUCCAAAUUGGACAAAUUAUAUAUGAAAAAUGAUCAGAAAAAUCCAAUCUAUCCAUCUGUACUAUUUUCAUGCAUGAUCAAACAAGUUAAAUUGAUGUUUUAAUCAGAAUAAGAAAAGGCACUUUAAAAGGCCAUAUUUGAAUUUGGAAUUUGAAUCUUUGAUUCAAAUUUGCUCAAACCCUACUGGCUUUAGUUGCAUUAGCCCAACACACUCAUAUUGCCAUGUUUCAUGCAUGCAUCAUAUUGUUGCACAUUGUUUGGUGAUGCCUGUGUAUCGUUAUCCUUUGCGACAGGAUCUGUCCCCGAGGAGUAUCGUGAUUACCCUAACGAAGAGUCGUAUCCGUGCAACGAAUCAUCAGGCAAGCAACCAACCAUUUGAUCAUAUCGAUACAAUCCCAUGUUCUCGCUCCUGCUCUCUUUUACUGCAUUAAGACAACGCGAUUCAAACUGCUGUGUGCUACGGUAGUUGAACCCAUUUCCUCUGCAUGACCUGUCAUUGCCACAGUAACUAGAUGAAACCCACUAGCAUGUGUAGGAGUUGUUUGAGCCAUAUGUAUGUGUUGUUCCUACCUUGCUAUGCCUGCUAUGCUUAGAGUCGUGUCAGGUCUGGUUCAUCUGGGUGAUGGGCUAGAGUGAAAUGAUUAUGUCGGUAAUGAGAGUGGUGUGGUGAACACGAUUUGGUAAAGGUAUCGAUGAGAGGCCAUGUAGGAGUACAUGGUGGGUUGUUUCAUUGAAGCCGACCUUAAGCACUGAGAUCUGUAUGUGUGAUUUAAGAUUCAGCUACUACCAUGCAUUGGGCCCGAAACCAAUGGACCCUCUCGACUUCUUAUUCACCCUAGUUCUCCGUCCAGGAGUUGCAAGUAGUUUCUGGUGUUUGUAGCCUACUGGAGGCCGUGGACAGCGCUGACCGUAGGGGUGGGCUGUGAUGCGGUAGGUACGUGGCCGGGUGUACCGAAUACCCGUUAGGUAUCUCGGGAACCCUGUUCACAUCGUUCGGGGCCGUAUGGGAAACCUCGGCCGGACUCCCUGCGGAUGGAACCUGAAUAGGCGAUAAACCUGGACUGGAGACUUAGGUGAUUAGGUAGGUCGUGGCCGACACCCACGUUGGGCUUCCGCUUGAAGGUUGCCGAGUACAUGUCGUGUAAACGACGGUAAGUGGUGAGAGCGUGUAUGAAGAAGUACCCCUGCAGGGUUAACAUGAUCUAUUCGAAUAGCCGCGUCCGCGGUAAAGGACUACUUGGUUGCCUAUACAGUUCAUAGACAAGUAAAUGGAAACUACUAAAAGCCUCAAGAUAAGUGUGAGUGCCGAGGAUGGCUCUUCCGUAGGAAGACGGAGGUGGAUCCUCGGUAGUGUAUUGAAGUGGUGAAUAGUGGACUCGUGUGCGCAAAACUGUUUCAAAUGGAGUAUCGUAGGAUAGUCUAGCCAAGAGUCAAAGCUGGCUUGCUGCAAUAACUCCACCAACCCCUCUUGAUACUAUGCAUGUAUGUAGGAUCUGAUGUAAGUCUUGCUGAGUACCUUUGUACUCAUGUUGCUAUAAUCUACAUUUUUACAGAAGACGCUGCAACCCCUUCUGAUGGGUUCUAUGUAGACGUUGACAUCAACGAGUAGGCUAAAGACCCAGGUGGUGACCCUGAGCUUGUGAAGGACCACGUAGUAUAGCUAGGCUUUCCAAGCCUCUUUUAUUUUACUAGUUGUCUGUACUCAGACAAGUUACUUCCGCUGUUGGCUUGUAUGAUUGUAUGACUUGUAUGUUGGGUCGUGAGACCCGUACCUUUGUGUGUAUGAUAUGUAUGGCUCCCUGAGCCUUAAAUAAAGUACUUGUGUCGUAGAGUCAUGUUGUGAUGCUUCGUUGUAUUUGCACAUAUCGAGCAUAUUGUGUGUAUGAUUGAAAUGCUUGGUAUGUGUGGGAUCUGACUAUCUAGUUGUUUAUCUUUAGUAGCCUCUCUUACCGGGAAAUGUCUCCUAGUGUUACCGCUGAGCCAUGGUAGCUUGCUACUGCUCUGGAACACUUAGGCUGGCCGGCAUGUGUCCUUCUUCGUUCCUGUGUCUGUCCCUUCGGGGAAAUGUCACGCUUUGAGUACCGGAGUCCUGUUAGCCCGCUACAGCCCGGUUUACCGGAGUCCUGCUAGCCCAGUGCUACAGCCCGGACCCACUUGCUGAUGACCGACAUGUUCGAAGCUGGGUCAUGGAUGCCUGUCCCUGUAAGUCUGUGCCACUUUGGGUUUACGACUAGUCAUGUCAGCCUGGGCUCUUUAUCAUAUGGAUGCUAGCGACACUAUCAUAUACGUGAGCCAAAAGGCGCAAACGGUCCCGGGAAAAGGUAAGACGACACCCGUGGGGAUACCGUGCGUGAGGCCGCAAAGUGAUAUGAGGUGUUACCAGCUAGAUCGAUGUGACAUCGAGUCGGGGUCCUGACAGCGUUGGCAUCAGAGCCGGACUGCCUGUAGGUUCUCUAAGCCAAACUGGUCGAUGUUGAGUCUAGAAAUUCUUAGUUAUAUGUAGGGGAAUUGUUUGUGGGUUGGAACGUAAGGCUCUUUUUACUCCUUAUACCUUAUGACAUUCUGAUCUGAGUCAGUCCAUUCUUCCACCGGGGGUUAAGGAAUUAGGAUCUGUUCUCUCUAUCAGGAUCACGUGUUACUAAUCAGUAGUACCUUAUAAGUUUGAUGGAUACAAGCCUAGUUCAGUUCUACUACCACAUUGUGUUGUUAGAAUGGAUUCAGAACUUGAUAUGAUGAUGUUGGGUGUGUACGAAAUCUUUUGUCAAAUGUCUCAAUAUCCUUUUUGAGCAUUUACAGCUGUUAUGCUGCCGAAAUUUUGCUAGAAAUUCUAAUGCCUUUGCAUUAUAAUUGUGCUUUCAGAUGGCCACUCGCGACCUCAAUCAAGUGGUUCGCCUGACUCGAUGCCUAGAUGUACCCGGCCAUACUGCUAAGUUGGUUAGGGUAAUGACUGAGGCUGGAUACCGCUGGUAUCCUGAGUACACGGUCGAAGAGCAAUUCCGAGACUUUAAUCAAAGCCAGUAUCUCUGCACUGUCAGGAUAUUUCCAUCCUAUCCUGGAUCCACUGAGCCUCUUCACUGCUCCUAUGGACUCGGGAUUACUAUUGAGAUGGCUGUGCAGGACGCCGCCUACUCUAUGAUGACCAUUAUGCGAGUCAGAUCUGGUCUAUUUCGGGACUCUGAUUUCCGGUAUAUGCCAGGAUCACUUCCGGGAGCACAAGGAUAUCUCCAAGCUAUCUAUGCUGAUUCUACUCAGGAGGAUUCACGGACUCGCACCACUGCUGAGAUGCUCGAGGAUAAGGACCGUGAAAAUCGGGCCUUAAGGUUAGAGCUCUUCAAUACCUGUGCCGACCACUGGGCCACUUUGACUCGGUUCGCACCGGCGGUGCAAGCUGGAUAUUCAGAUAUGCGCGAUCUCUAUCCAGUGAGAUCUGCUCUGCCGGACGUGAUGGUUUGGCGUGAUGUAGGAGGCAUCACCCCACCUCGCGGUCCCCGUAGGCCACCGUUUGUUGGUCCAAGGCCUCAUCCUAGCCCCUAUGGUCCACAAGCUCCGCGAGAUCGUCUGUUUCCGGAUGAACAUGUUGAGCUUCCAGGCUAUGGAGGUGACUUCUACGAGGACUACUACGGAUCGGUCUGAGUUAGUAGUAGUAUCACUAGUUCGCACUAGCUGUGUCGUCUAUUGUCCUGCGUGUCUCGUGGGAUAUGACCUAGUUUGUACUCUUUCCGGAGAUGUAGAGAAAUAAUGUAUAGGAGCUUGGGAUGCCUCCGAUGAGAUGUAAUCCUCUUUUCACCGUAUUAGUACUUGCUUGGUCUUGUACUAAACCUGUAUGGUGUGUAUGACGAUGGAAUAAAGAAGCAGUUUCUGUAUCUACCAUGUCAUACGGAUGAUCAUCUUGCAUUCUGAAUUAUUCCUUACAUUGUGUAUCCUAUGUCGGAAUUUUAUCAUUCUGACUAAAUCAUUGUCUUGUUUACCUAGGAUGGUCAACACGCGCGCUAACCCUGCUUCCCAAGAGCAGGCCGAAGGCAGUGAAGCCAGAAAUGAACAUCUGCCUCAACCUCCUUCACUAGCCGAGGUUAUGAUGGAAGCUGAGAGAAACAAGCGGGAGACAAACCGGUUGUUGGAGCGUAUUGAACAGAACACAGCACACCAUCAGAGGGCUAACGUGGUGUCACUCAGUGAUUUUAUCAAAUUGCAUCCACCCACGUUCCACCACUCCGUCGAACCUCUCGACGCUGAUGACUGGCUUCGCAGUAUCUCUCACAAGCUGCGUUCCGGCGCUGGUAGCGGAGGCUGACAAGGUCACCUUGGCCGCAUAUCAUCUUGAAGGCCCCGCCAGUCUAUGGUGGGAGAAUUAUGGAGCUAUGCGCCCAGCGGGCCAUGUCACUACUUGGGCUGAGUUCAGUGAGGCUUUCCGUGAACAUCACAUUCCGGAGGGUCUCAUGGACCGUAAGCGUGAAGAAUUUUGCAAUUUCACCCAAGGCCGACUUUCUGUGGAUGUCUAUAGCAGGGAGUUUGGUAAUCUUGCACGGUAUGCAACCGAGGAAGUUUCUACUGACGCCAAGAAGCAAGCAAGGUUCCGCAAGGGCCUUAGUCCUGAGCUUCGCCGCGACCUCCGUCUGCAUGAGUGCACAUCCUUUUCGAAACUUGUCAACAAAGCCAUCAGUGCUGAAACUGGUCAGACUGACUACGACGCAACACGCAAGCAUGGACGUGACAUGGGUUCCUCAUCCGGUGCUGGUCCUCAGAAGCGUCGCAUGUGGGUACCCAACACCGCCCUGCCACCCAGGUUCACACCGAGGCCAUCUUUCCAGGCGCCUCGCCCCGCUCAACAGUCUGCUCCAGCCAAGCCCUAUGGGGGUCCAACCAAUAAUGCUCCUCCACGUACCAGUUCCGUGACUUGUUUCAAGUGUGGGGAAUCUGGUCAUUAUAUGCGUGAGUGUCCCCAGACCAACCCCAAUCAAUCUGCUAAAGCUGUUGGCCGUGGCAAGCCGACAGGAAAAGUGUUUCAUGCUAAACCGGUCACCGCUUCACGUGGCCAUGUCAACUGUGUCUCUGCCGAAGAAGCUCAAGAAGAUCCCAACGUCGUUCUCGGUACGCUUCUUGUUAAUUGCCACCCGGCAUCUGUUCUUUUCGAUACAGGAGCCUCUCAUUCUUUUAUAUCUGAAAAUUAUGCUCGUUUGCAUAACGAUGCAUUCUGUGACUUGCCAUCCACUAUGGAAAUCUCUACCCCUGGGUCUAGAUGGCAGACCUCUAGGGUAAGUUAUAGGAAUGAAAUCCAAGUCGAUAGACUUGUCUUCCUUGCAUCUUUGAUAGCCCUUAAAUCUUCAGAUAUUAAUAUCAUUUUGGGUAUGGACUGGAUGUCAGCUCAUCAUGCCAAAAUUGAUUGCUUCUCUAGGACUGUUCAACUCACCCACCCUUCGGGCAAGAUAGUCAAUGUCUUGACUCGAAUAGCCAAGCGACAACUAUAUUCUCUUAACGCCAACCCUUUGCCAGACCUUGAGGACGUUCCGGUAGUCCGUGACUUUCCGGAUGUCUUUCCAGAGGAAUUGCCAGGUGUUCCACCUGACAGGGAUGUUGAGUUCGUAAUCGACCUCAUCCCCGGAACCGUUCCGAUUGCUAGAAGGCCUUAUAAGAUGGCACCCCUAGAACUAGCCGAGCUUAAGAAACAACUCGAUGAAUCCUUGAAAAAGGGUUUCAUCCGACCUAGUUCAUCUUCGUGGGCUUGCCCCGUCCUAUUCGUCAAGAAGAAAGAUGGUACGGACCGGAUGGUUGUAGAUUACCGACCUGUCAAUUUGGUCACAAUCAAAAACAAAUAUCCACUUCCCAGGAUCAACGACCUGUAUGAUCAGCUCGCUGGAUCCUCAGUCUUUUCUAAGAUGGAUUUGAGGUUGGGCUACCAUCAAAUCAAAAUCAGAAACGGGGACAUUCCUAAAACGGCCUUUGUUACUCGUUAUGGCCAAUACGAGUACACCGUCAUGUCCUUCGGAUUAACCAACGCUCCAGCCACCUUUUCUCGGUUAAUGAACUCAAUCUUCAUGGAGUAUUUGGAUAAAUUCGUCGUAGUUUAUCUCGAUGAUAUACUCAUCUACUCCAAGAACGAGGAAGAACAUGCCGAACAUCUAAGACUAGUGUUGCAGAAACUUCGUGAGCAUCGCCUUUAUGCCAAAUUUUCAAAAUGUGAAUUCUGGUUGCCAGAAGUGACCUAUCUGGGUCAUGUAAUAUCUGGUAAAGGUAUUGUUGUUAACCCUGAGCGAGUUCAAGCCGUCCUUGAUUGGACUCCACCCGAAUCGGUCAAGCAAGUUCGGAGUUUUCUAGGCUUAGCGAGCUAUUGCCGUCGCUUUGUCGAGAACUUCUCCAAAGUUGCUAAACCUCUAACCGAACUCCUCAAGAAAGAUAAGAAGUUCGAAUGGACUCCACAAUGUGAGCACAGCUUUCAGGAACUGAAAAGACGCCUGACCUCUGCUCCCGUGCUGGUACCGCCAGACUUCUCCAAGGACUUUAUUACCUACUGCGACGCCUCGCGACAAGGACUAGGUUGCAUUCUUAUGCAAGAUCGACACGUAAUUGCUUACGCUUCACGGCAAUUGCACCCACAUGAGGAGAAUUAUCCUACUCAUGAUUUAGAACUUGCAGCCGUAGUCUAUGCACUUAAGACCUGGCGACAUUACCUUCUCGGUAAUCGUUGCGAAAUAUUUACUGAUCACCAAAGUCUGAAGUACAUCUUCACCCAACUGGAUCUGAAUCUCAGGCAAAGACGUUGGGUUGAAUUGAUCACAGACUUCGACUUAGGAAUAACCUACACCCCAGGGAAAGCCAACGUCAUGGCUGAUGCGCUAAGUCGUAAAUCUUAUUGUAACAACCUGAUGUUACAACAAAGUCAACCGCUUCUGCAUGAGGAAUUUCGAAAGCUUAACCUUCACAUUGUACCUCAAGGUUUUCUCUCCACCUUGGUGGCAAAACCUACCCUUACGGAUCAAAUCAUCAAAGCACAGAAGGUAGAUCCGGGAAUCUCCCGCAUCAAGAGAAACAUUCAGAAAGGAAUUGCGAAUUGUUUCUCCGUUAAUGAUCAAGGAGUUGUAUACUUCGGGAAUCGACUAGUAGUUCCCAAAGUGCGCAACCUAAGGCGAUUAAUCCUUAAGGAGGCCCAUGAAUCUCCUCUCACCAUUCAUCCCGGUAGUACUAAGAUGUAUCAGGACCUACGCCAGAGGUUCUGGUGGACUAGGAUGAAGAGAGAAAGUGCUCAGUAUAUUGCAAAUUGCGACGUCUGUCGUCGUGUAAAAGCAGAGCAUCAACGACCUGCUGGCACCCUUCAACCCUUAGCUAUUCCUGAAUGGAAAUGGGAUAAAAUUGGUAUGGAUUUCAUUACCGGUUUUCCCAGAACCAAGAGAGGGAAUAAUGCUAUUUUCGUCGUGGUCGAUCGUCUUUCCAAAGUAGCUCAUUUCCUACCUGUUCGUGAGAGUAUAACCGCUAGUCAGCUGGCAGACUUAUACAUCUCCCGGAUAGUGUCUCUCCAUGGUGUUCCUUUGGAAAUCAAUUCGGAUCGAGGAAGUCUUUUCACCUCUCGAUUUUGGGAAAGUUUCCAAAAUGCUAUGGGAACUCGUCUCUCUUUUAGCACCGCUUUCCACCCUCAGUCAAGUGGUCAAGUGGAACGCGUCAAUCAGAUUCUAGAAGACAUGCUUCGAGCCUCCGUUAUCUCUUUCGGAAUGGACUGGGAGAAGUGCCUUCCAUUUGCCGAAUUCGCGUACAACAACAGCUAUCAAUCUAGCUUGGGUAAAGCCCCUUUUGAAGUUCUCUAUGGACGACGAUGUCGAACACCCCUUAACUGGUCAGAGACCGGGGAAAGACAAUUCUUUGGCCCGGAUAUGAUUCAGGAAGCAGAAGAACAAGUUCGUAUCGUUCGUGAAAAGUUGAAAACAGCCCAAUCUCGUCAAAAGAGUCAAUAUGACCGAAAACAUAAGGCUAUGACUUUCGAGGUUGACGAGAAGGCUUAUCUUCGGGUCACCCCUCUGAAGGGAACCCAUCGUUUCGGUAUCAAAGGCAAAUUGGCUCCUCGUUACAUUGGACCUUUUCGCAUUCUUGCCAAACGAGGAGAAGUUGCCUACCAAUUGGAACUACCUCCGCACCUCUCCAAAGUUCACGAUGUCUUCCACGUUUCUCAACUCAGGCGUUGCUUCUCGGAUCCUAUCCGUGAAGUGGACCACGAAACGCUUGAUCUCCAAGAUAAUCUUACAUAUCAAGAGUACCCCAUUCGUAUCCUCGAUCAAGCCGAACGUACCACGCGAUGUCAUAAUAUCAAGUUUCUCAAGGUUCAAUGGUCGCACCAUUCUGAAGAUGAAGCAACUUGGGAAAGGGAGGAUCGUCUUCGACUUGAAUACCCCGCCUUCUUCUCGGAGGAACCCAAAUCUCGGGACGAGAUUCUUUUGAGUGGGGGUGAGUUGUCACACCCUAGCUAGUCAUGCAUUAGAGUGUUGCAUCAUGUUUACUUUUUCAUCAGAAACUUGAAAUGGGGAUGACAGAACCCCCAGCCCCCUCUGAAACCAACUAGGGUUACUAAAAUAAUUUUUCAAUGAACCUGAAAUGCCCUUCUAAAAUGUCCAUCAUUUUAGCCUUGGGUCAGAACCUCUGACAAAAGUGGUGCACAUUUUUCUAGGCCAUCAUAGGGUCUUUGAAUUAAAUCAUAGAUAUUUGAAAUUGGGCAUUUAAAAUAAUAUAAAAUAUUUAAAUGCUCAAAUAUCUCCAAACUAAAAUGUUUCAUGUUGGAAAUAAUCCAACUAUGGACCAGGAGUAGUUUGGUGAAUUUUGGAGUUGCCUAGGUAUUUUAAUUAAUUCAACAAAGUUGCAGAUAUAUUAAAUAAAACAGAAAACAGAAAAGAAAGGGGAAAGACUUACCUGUGCGGCCCAGCCAGCUGGCCGGCCCAGCUAGCAACCGACCCAGCCCAACACUGUAGCUCCCCGUCGUCUUCCUCCCCACGCCCCGAAGCUGCUGCGUGCUCGCGCGCGCGCGGCCGCGCGGCCACCUCCUGCUUGCCGACGCCCUCCUGACCGCGUGGACGACGUCCGCAGCCCGUCCCGAUCCCCCCUGCUCUCGCUCACUCUCCCCCGUUUCUCCCUCGCUCUCUCUCGCUCUCGGCCGAAGCACACCGUCGCCGCCGUUCGCCGUAGCCACUGUCUCCGGCCACCCCUCGCUCCCCCGAGUAGCUCAGAAGCUCCGCCACAACUCCCUCUUCCUCCCCACCGCUCCACGAGUCCCCGGAAGCCCUGCAUCGCCGCCACGUCGCCGUUCCCCUCUUCGGGCUCCGACCACCGUCGCCGACGAAUUCGCCGUCUCCAGCGCGUCCCCGAGCCCGCUUCGACGCCCACCGCAACCGCGGUGAGCUACGCCACCGUUUCCCCCUCUUCUCCCCCUCGUUCCCUCACCGUAGCUUCAUCUCCACCACGGCCGAACCUCCGCCGUCGCCGAGCUCGCCGUCGACGCAGCUCCGGUGACCAUUUGGUCACCCCGGCGAGUCCAACGCGUUCACAGAACCCAGUAGAGCAUCCCUAGCGCCCCACUUUGCUCGACUUCGAGCUCCAGCACCACUCCCGUGCACGACCGAACCCCGGCGGCCGCAGCCGAGCUCACCGCCGUCAACUCCGGCCACCCCGACCCCAACGGACUCCACCAAGAGCCGCGGGUCGUCCUCAGCUUCACUCCGGUGAUCGCCGCGGUCCAUUUGGUGGCCGAAACGACCAAAACCACUAUCGCCGCCGCACUGUUGGUCGCCGCCGGCCAGAACUCCGGCGAGCUGACGUGGCCUAGUUGAUUAACCACUAAUCCACCACCUACUGACGCUGACAAGUGGGCCCCAGGGCUUAGUCAAAGCUAACCAGCCCGGGGUCAACGCGGGAUUAGCCCCUGUGACACUGACGUGUGGACCCCACACGUCAGGUUUGACCCGAGCCAGCCCUGUUGACCUGCUGAUGUCACUGUGAUGUCAGGCUGACGCAGUAAUUGAAUUUCUGGAUUUAAAUUAAAUCAGGAAAUUCCAGAAUAUUAUUUAAACUUCAAAAAUUCAUAACUUUUAUUCUGUAACUCCAAAUUGGACAAAUUAUAUAUGAAAAAUGAUCAGAAAAAUCCAAUCUAUCCAUCUGUACUAUUUUCAUGCAUGAUCAAAGAAGUUAAAUUGAUGUUUUAAUCAGAAUAAGAAAAGGCACUUUAAAAGGCCAUAUUUGAAUUUGGAAUUUGAAUCUUUGAUUCAAAUUUGCUCAAAACCCUACUGGCUUUAGUUGCAUUAGCCCAACACACUCAUAUUGCCAUGUUUCAUGCAUGCAUCAUAUUGUUGCACAUUGUUUGGUGAUGCCUGUGUAUCGUUAUCCUUUGCGACAGGAUCUGUCCCCGAGGAGUACCGUGAUUACCCUAACGAGGAAUCGUAUCCGUGCAACGAAUCAUCAGGCAAGCAACCAACCAUUUGAUCAUAUCGAUACAAUCCCAUGUUCUCGCUCCUGCUCUAUUUUACUGCAUUAAGACAACGCGAUUCAAACUGCUGUGUGCUACGGUAGUUGAACCCAUUUCCUCUGCAUGACCUGUCAUUGCCACAGUAACUAGAUGAAACCCACUAGCAUGUGUAGGAAUUGAUUGAGCCAUAUGUAUGUGUUGUUCCUACCUUGCUAUGCCUGCUAUGCUUAGAGUUGUGUCAGGUCUGGUUCAUCUGGGUGAUGGGCUAGAGUGAAAUGAUUAUGUCGGUAAUAAGAGUGGUGUGGUGAACACGAUUUGGUAAAGGUAUCGAUGAGAGGCCAUGUAGGAGUACAUGGUGGGUUGUUUCAUUGAAGCCGACCUUAAGCACUGAGAUCUGUAUGUGUGAUUUAAGAUACAGCUACUACCAUGCAUUGGGCCCUGAAAUAUGACCCCGCUCGACUUCUUAUUCACCCUAGCUCUCUGUCCAGGAGUUGCAAGUAGUUUCUGGUGUUUGUAGCCUACUGGAGGCCGUGGACAGCGCUGACCGUAGGGGUGGGCUGUGAUGCGGUAGGUACGUGGCACGGUGUACCGAAUACCCAUUAGGUAUCUCGGGAACCCUGUUCACAUCGUUCGGGGCCGUAUGGGAAACCUCGGCCGGACUCCCUGCGGAUGGAACCUGAAUAGGCGAUAAACCUGGACUAGAGGCUUAAGUGUUUAGGUAGGUCGUGGUCUACACCCACGUCGGCUUUCGCUUGAAGUCUGCCGAGCACAUGACGUGUGCAGACGCUAAGUGGUGGAAACAUGUAUGAAGAAGUACACCCCUGCAGGGUUAACAUGAUCUAUUCGAAUAGCCGCGUCCGCGGUAAAGGACUACUUGGUUGCCUAUACAGUUCAUAGACAAGUAAAUGGAAACUACUAAAAGCCUCAAGAUAAGUGUGAGUGCCGAGGAUGGCUCUUCCGUAGGAAGACGGAGGUGGAUCCUCGGUAGUGUAUUGAAGUGGUGAAUAGUGGACUCGUGUGCGCAAAACUGUUUCAAAUGGAGUAUCGUAGGAUAGUCUAGCCAAGAGUCAAAGCUGGCUUGCUGCAAUAACUCCACCAACCCCUCUUGAUACUAUGCAUGUAUGUAGGAUCUGAUGUAAGUCUUGCUGAGUACCUUUGUACUCAUGUUGCUAUAAUCUACAUUUUUACAGAAGACGCUGCAACCCCUUCUGAUGGGUUCUAUGUAGACGUUGACAUCAACGAGUAGGCUAAAGACCCAGGUGGUGACCCUGAGCUUGUGAAGGACCACGUAGUAUAGCUAGGCUUUCCAAGCCUCUUUUAUUUUACUAGUUGUCUGUACUCAGACAAGUUACUUCCGCUGUUGGCUUGUAUGAUUGUAUGACUUGUAUGUUGGGUCGUGAGACCCGUACCUUUGUGUGUAUGAUAUGUAUGGCUCCCUGAGCCUUAAAUAAAGUACUUGUGUCGUAGAGUCAUGUUGUGAUGCUUCGUUGUAUUUGCACAUAUCGAGCAUAUUGUGUGUAUGAUUGAAAUGCUUGGUAUGUGUGGGAUCUGACUAUCUAGUUGUUUAUCUUUAGUAGCCUCUCUUACCGGGAAAUGUCUCCUAGUGUUACCGCUGAGCCAUGGUAGCUUGCUACUGCUCUGGAACACUUAGGCUGGCCGGCAUGUGUCCUUCUUCAUUCCUGUGUCUGUCGCUUCGGGGAAAUGUCACGCUUUGAGUACCGGAGUCCUGUUAGCCCGCUACAGCCCGGUUUACCGGAGUCCUGCUAGCCCAGUGCUACAGCCCGGACCCACUUGCUGAUGACCGACACGUUCGAAGCUGGGUCAUGGAUGCCUGUCCCUGUAAGUCUGUGCCACUUUGGGUUUACGACUAGUCAUGUCAGCCCGGGCUCUUUAUCAUAUGGAUGCUAGCGACACUAUCAUAUACGUGAGCCAAAAGGCGCAAACGGUCCCGAGAAAAGGUAAGACGACACCCGUGGGGAUACCGUGCGUGAGGCCGCAAAGUGAUAUGAGGUGUUACCAGCUAGAUCGAUGUGACAUCGAGUCGGGGUCCUGACAAUGUCGGCCUGUUAACGACCCGGGAGGUAAGAGGACCGACAAUUAACUUUCGGCCUAGUAACGGCCCAUUAACUUAAUGGUCCCACUAAAGCUCGUACAUGUCUUUAGGCCAAAUUAGAUAAUUUGAGCCCAUUACGACGAGCAAUUAUGCACAGGACCAAAACCGAUCAAGCAAAGGUACGGCAUAUAGGGAAUAACGUUGCACAUCCAGCAUAUAUUAUAGGAAAUUACAUCCACUGGGCAAUCAAAGAUUGAUGCCAGUGCAAAUAAAUGAGCAGAACCUAACCAUCUACAACGUCACAAUCUGCAACCUCAGCAUAGAUGACGCCCAUAAGCAUGUGGGCAAGUUCUUGCUGCUUUGCUACACUGUCUAUGAAAACAUUGAUCAGUUAUUGUGUCGCACGACUCUGCACCUCUGAUUCAUCCACCAUUUCCAUCAUUGCUUCAGCCAUUAAUUGGUUCACAAACAUACAUUUAUUCUGUUGCAUUCGAGAGAGAGGAUACUGAACAGAUUCAGAUGGCGAUUUUUGCAGGCUUGUAUUAUUGAUAGCGGAGAGUGUCUCGACCACUGCAUCAUAACAUAAAUUAGAACGGGAACCAAACAGAUUAAUCAUGAGUUAUUGCCAUAUUACCUGGCCUAGAUUUACUGGAAAGAAACAAUGUGGUUGCCUUGUUGUUUUCAGAGUUUGUCUUCUUAUCUUUAGCAGCCUGCACAAAAUUAACACACUAGCAUUGCUAUCAUUGGCCAAGUUAGAUAAUAGAAAAGCAACAUUGAAACAACGAACCUUUGGGAAACUAGCCUACACCAAAUUAACACAAUAUGGCACAGCGAUCAUCAGCCAGGUAAGGUAAUACGAAAGCAACAUUGACACAAUGAAUAAAUGGGCAACCAGAGAAGCACUACAAUUCAGUAAUGUCCGUGAUAUGAGAUAGUACACUCAUGCAGCUCAGUAUGCAAAACUACCAGACAGUUUUCCUUACAAAAGUCAACAUUGGCGCCUUUAACAUUUUGCUACAACUAAUUUUAGAUCAGAUAAAGGUUAGAUUCACGCCGAUUAACAAAAUACAUGCUGAUGUAAAAAUAUAGUGAUAUACAACAGGUACUUACAUCAGCAUUGGAGCACAGAGAAUUCCCGCAAGAUAUUUUCCUCGAAUACGAUCCCAAUGGAGGAAGUCUUCUAUCGUUUAACCUUAUUUUCUAAAAGAGAGAUGGGUAAGAAACAUGCAGAAAAUAUGAUCAGAAUGCUACAAAAUUUCAUGAUGCGAUGAUACGCACACGCUUCUUAGAAUGGAGUUGACAUUCUUUUGCUGGACUGGAGCGGACUAGUUCUUUGGCCACUGGAAUCUGCUUAUUAUCAAUGGGAGUUGAGUUUCUCUGUGCUGGAGCAGUAUCUAUGAAAAAUGGAGUUGGUUUAUUAUCUCCUGGCGUUUGGAUCUUUUGAAAAGAUUUGGUUUGUAACUCUUCAGAUUCUAACAUAGCCGUCUUCCCCUUGCAUGCCUUAUAUAGAAGAAUGGUGAUUCAGUUAUAAAACAUGCUACAACAGAGAUGGAAUAUGUAUUGAAGAAUAGAAAGGCAUGACAUAUUGACAUGUAUUCCCUCCAUCCGGAAAUAAAUGGAUGGGCCUAGGUGUAUUUCAGUUCUAGAUACAUUCAGUUUUAUCCAUUUCUGCGACAUGUAAUCCGGACGGAGUGAGUAUGAUGUAAGAGCUAGGGAUACGACAGGACAACACAGUAAAAAAAACACUGAAAACCCACUGCAGAACCAAAGUAUUCAAACCCAUUGAUAUGAGAUAGUACACUCAUGCAGCUUAGGAUGCAAAACUACCAGGCAGUUUUCCUUACAAAAAUCAACAUUGUAGCCUUUAAUCAUACAUUUUGCUACAACUAAAUUUAGAUCAGAUAAAGGUUGGAUUCACGCUGAUUAACAAAGUACAUGCUGAUGUAAAAAUAUAGUGAUAUACAACAGGUCCUUACAUCUACAUUGGAGCACAGAGAAUUCCUGCAAGAAUCUUUCCUCAUAAACGAUACCAUUGCAGAAAUUCUUCUAUCUAUUAAGCUUAUUUUUUAAAAGAGAGAUGGGUAAGAAACAUGUAGAAAAUAUGAUUAGUGCGCUAUAAAAUUUAAUGAUGCAAGGAUACGCACACGCUUCUUAGAAUGGAGUUGACAUAUUUUUGCUGGACUGGAGCGGACUAGUUCUUUGGCCACUGGAAUCUGCUUAUUAUCAGUAGGAGUUGGGUUUCUCUGUGCUGGAGCAGUAUCUAUAAAAAUUAGAGUUGGUUUAUUAUCUCCUGGCGUUUGGAUCUUUUGCAAAGGCCUUGUUUGUAACCCUUCAAAUUCUAACAUAGUCGUCUUCCCCUUGCAUGCCUUGUAUAGAAGAAUGGUGCUUUAAUUAUAAAACAUGCGACAACAGAGAGACGAAUAGGUACUGAAGAAUAGAAAGACAUGACAUAUUGACAUGUAUUCCCUCCAUUCGGAAAAAAAUGGAUGGGUCUAGGUGUAUUUCAGUUCUAGAUACAUCCUUUUUAUCCAUUCGGCAACAUGUAAUCCAGAGGAGGGAGUAUGGUGAAAGAGCUAGGGAUACGACAUGACAACACAACAAAAAAAAGCACUAGUUGAAUGUAAAACUGUAUGCUAGUGGAAUACAUACAGAAAUAACUAAGGCAACAUACACGUGCAUGAUUGGGAAACUAAGAUGGCAUUGCAAUAGAGCACUAGAACAACACUUCAAUGUAAAAAAACAUGGUAUUGUAGACAGAUGAAGUACAUACUGAUGAAUAACAAUGCACAAGAUAUUCAGAAGCAUGAUGUCCAAAUUAAGCAGAUGGCAUUGCGAUAGAGUAGAAUGGCGGUACUUGAAUUUGAAAACAUGUUAUCAUGAAUGGAAUAGGUACUGAAAAACAAGAAGGCAUGACAUAUUUACACGCAUGAUCAACAUGCUAAGCACAUGGCAUUGCAACAGAGUAGAUACACUCCAGGACAUUAUAUGCAUGUUGUACCCAUAUCACAUGCCAAUUAGAGCAAGAACCUUGUGGGGUGAAGAGGAUUCAUCAUCUUUCUGCAAGUCUUCUGAAGAACUACCUUUACAUGUUCCAUCAUAUUGGGUAUCAUUGACAUCAAGUUUAUUGGCCUUUACAUUGCUCCGCGAGGUUCUUGUGGAUAUAUCAGUGUGUGCAAUUAUAUCUGACAUGCAUGGAAGACAACUAGUAGUUAGAUUUAUGUAAUGAGUGCCUGUAGGAGACGACAUAAAUAGUAGGACUGGGGUUAACUAGCAGCAACAUGUCUCAUAAACUAAAGGGAGAACACAGAUGAAAGCUACAGAAUAUGUAUCGUUUGUACUCGAGAUUAACUAGAUGGCACACAAAAGUAUUAAAGAACAACAUAGGUAAUACUAGACUGGUAUAAUACUACAAUCACCAGCCUGUGGGAUAGCAUUGGCUGAUGGAUGAUAACUAUGGAACAUCGUUACCUAAAGAACAGGUAUCUUAGCUGAACUAUGGAACAUUGUUAACUCCCAAACAAGACCCGUAAGAGAUCAUCAUGAAUAUACAGUGAAAUGUGAUGAUCUAUUUUCCAUGCUUAGAUGAAUAACAAAGCCAUAAAUGUUGCACAUAAGUAAGAUGAGGGUACAACCUAUCUGGCUGCCAUCCAUAGGAGUGAGCAUCAUGUGCUGACUUGUCGAUGGCCCUGCAGUUGUUGUGGUUGUCCAUGUCGGGCACGCGCAUUCGAUGCAGGGAACUGUUGAGUGGGGACUACAGCUUCCUUUUGGUGUAUGCUUCCCUUGUUGGAGCAGCUGCGGUGAGUCGGAAGAUGGUGUGUCUGAAGAUGUAGAUAACACAUAAUGUUAAGAACGACAUAUCUCUUUGAUAUGAAGAAAUACACUAAGAGAUCAACAACAAGGCACGAGAGUGGUCACACGUCUGUUGACUGAAGACUAAAUUGGGGUCACAUGAUUUUAUUUUAUUUUGGUACUGUCCGAUCUACGCCGGAUGGCUUGAUGGCCGUCUUGUGCCUCCCGGCUCACACUGUUCGGAAUCUUCCCCGAAGAGCCAGCAACAACAACAAAGCAGCCUACCUCCGCCUUCCGUGGCCCUGGCCAAAACCCCGCUCCCCGCCCACCGCACUGCCAUGGUUGCGCUGCCCCCGGGCCAAUCCACAAAGACUCCCCGUCAUCCAGAUCCGGCGGCGGCAGUACCUUCAACCCACACAACUCUAAAAGAUAUCCAUCCAAGCGCUGCUUCCGUGGAAAACUUGCGGCCCCGCACCCUUCCAUUAGACACCAGCCAACCGACAGCCUAGGAGCUCCGCCGCCUCGAGGGGCGCUGCUUCCCAUUGGGAAUCGAUUGGCCCAGAAUAAAAAUUCAGACAACUGACGCCUAAAUAAGGUGAUUUGAGAUGAGGGUGCGACCUAUCUAGCGGCAUGGUGAAGUAGGCAGGUCCAGCUGCCGAGUCGGUGAGGCCGGUGCGAUUGCGGUGGCGACCGGCGGCAGGGAAACAGCAAUGUCGCGACGGUCAACGGCUACGGGAAAGCAGCGCCAGGACUCUGGAUGAAUCCGAAGUUGGAGCCGCUCCGGCGUCGUGAACAACGAUGGGGGUGAAUCGGCUCUGGUACGGUUCACGCGGCCAUCAUCGAGGCAGCACCGGCAACACUGAGUAAGAGGCAUACGACCCAGUGCACGACGGCAAAUGGACAGCGUCUCCGGCAUUAGCGAGGAGGGCGGCUUUGAAAAUUGUGCGAUGGGGGGCACCAUGGAGGUGUGCUGUGGUUUCGUGGCUCGGGAGAAGGGAGCUUCCCGGGGAGAAGGUGAUUUGGCGCCCAUGAGGUAUGAAUGGGGGGGCGGGGGGGGGGAUUGGGAGGGGAGUGGAACCAUGUCUUACGGACGCAUUUGUCUGAAAUGUGAGGGGGAGUUACAGUUCUACCCUUGCCUUUAGGCUUCUCGGCUUGGGUCUGUGUACUGAGGGUCGGGGAUAGUAGAGUAACUUUGCUUCUCCCCAAAUAGUGGGCCGGAGCGAUUUCGGGCGAGGAGGGCGUGUUUUGAACUAUAGUGGGCGCGAGCGAUUUCGGGCGAGGAGAGCGUGUUUUGAAAUAAUGGGCGCGAGCUAUUUCGGGCGAGGAGAGCGUGUUUUGUCGACCAUGGUUUAUGAAUUAUUCGACACAUGUCAUUUCGGCCGAGGAUAAGGCGCGCUUGGAUGAAGUUACGAACCUACCCUUGAUGUACGACAGGCCAAUUGAUGUGUGUCCCACAUAGGACGGUAAUUUCGCGUCUCCCAUUUAUUUGCUUGGGAGAAUUCCACCGAGCAGAGAGGAUGUUUAACGGUUCAUUCAAAUUUUGGGAGAACGAGCAUCCACGUCUACCUUACCAAGUCGAUUCGAAUCAAAUUUUCAAAUAUUAGCUUGCCACUUCUUUUUUAGAUGGAGAGAUGAUGCUCGGGAGUAAUGUGUUUUUACAUGCUCGUUGCUAGCGAUUUACUAUAUGACAAAUAGUUGACCCACUAAAAAACGCGAAUCAAACCCAAAAUAAAAUAUCUCGAUUCAAUGAAAUAGCUCGUUCACUAGGUCAAAAUAGUGAACUAAAUCCAAAAUUGAACACCUCAAUCGAGUAGCAUGUUGUACAGUAUUAUGGUACUCCAUGAACAUGUUGAAAGUCAAAUUAAUGAACUUGUUUGAUAUACACAUAUAUCCGUUCAUGUGUGGAUUGCACACAACAUGUUCUCCAAUUUAAAUAUUUGAAUGCAAGUUUAUAUCGAAACAUGGUUUAUAUCAGUCUUUGAUGCAUAAAACGCGACCUCCCCCUCUCCCGGACUCCUGUUCUCUCUCUCUCUCCCACGCGCGCUGACAAUCUUCAAUUCUGUCGCACGCAUCCGACACAAAAACCUUGUUGGUCCCUCUCCCUUUCUCUCCAUCUCUCUCUCUCUCUGUAUGUGUGUGUGUGGGGGGGGGGUCUUUCUAGUUUGCAUGCAUAUAUACACCAUCUAUAGGUCUAUCUCGCACACUAUGUAUGAUACUCUAGCUAGUACAAGCAGAUAUCUUGGGUGCACUCAUCGUACGCACACAAAUUCCUUGGCUCUUUGCCCGUAACUCUCUCACGCACCACUCUGUCGUCUCAGAGCUCUCCCCCCCUCUCUCAAACUCUCCAUCCACCUGGGUUACACAUACACAUGCAUAUCUCACUCGCACUCAAUAGGCCCAUCUAAAACUCUAUCUCUCUCCCUCGUUCUCUCUCCAUCUCACACGCACACACACACACACAACCUCAUGCCUAGCUAGCCAAGUAUGAUGGUCUCUCACUCAAUUGUAGGCACAUGCAGUCCCCCUAUAUGUAUAUGACUAGCUACUCUUAGUCUCCAUCACAAACAUGUGCAUGGUCUAUCUCGAUUUCUCUUGGGGCAUCUUUCUAUCGUGCACGCACCUCCCUCGAUCUCCCACCCAUAUAGUCCCCUCACGAUCUCGAGGGGACCUAUCUAUCACAAACACACCCUCUCUCCCUCCCCAUGCGUCCAUGUCCUCCAUGUGUCCCUCUCGACCUUUGUUCCUUGUUGGCCAGACCUCUAUUGGACAUGUGCUACAGGGGUGUCUCUCUCCAUUGCAAACAAUCACACACUAGCUAUCUUCGUGUAUCUCCUCGCCUCAUGAUACGUCUCCGUCAUAUCUAUAAUUUUUUAUUGUUCCAUGCCAAUAUUAUUCAACUUUCAUAUACUUUUGGCAGCUUUUUAUACUAUUUUUUGGGACUAACAUAUUGAUCCAGUGCCUAGUGCCAGUUCCUGUCUGUUGCAUGUUUUAUGUUUCGCAGAAACCCCAUAUCAAACGGAGUCCAAACGGUAUUAAAACGGACGGAGAAUUAUUUUGGAAUAUUUGUGAUUUUUGGGAGGAAGAAUCAAUGUGAGACGAUGCCCGAGGUGGCCACGAGAUAGGGGCCCAUGCCCACUUAAAGUGGGCGCGCCCCCCACCCUCGUGGGCCACCCGUAAGGCGGUUGACGCUCUUCUUUUGCCACAAGAAAGCUAAUUUUAUGAGAAAAAUCUGGGCGAAAGAUUCACCCCAAUCGGAGUUACGAAUCUCCAGAUAUAAAGGAAACAGUGAAGGGGCAGAAUCCGAGAAUGCAGAAACAGAGAGAUAGAUCCAAUCUCGGAGGGGCUCUCGCCCCUCCCAUGCCAUGGGAGCCAAGGACCAAAGGGGAAACCCUUCUCCCAUCUAGGGAGAAGGUCAAGGAAGAAGAAGAAGAAGAAGAAGGGGGGCUCUCUGCCCCUUGCUUCCGGUGACGCCGGGGCGUCGCCGGGGGCCAUCAUCAUCACUGCGAUCUUCACCAACACCUCCGCCAUCUUCACCAACAUCUCCAUCACCUUCCCCCAUCUAUAUUCAGCGGUCCACUCUCCUGCAACUCACUGUACCCUCUACUUGAACAUGGUGCUUUAUGCUUCAUAUUAUUAUCCAAUGAUGUGUUGCCAUCCUAUGAUGUCUGGGUAGAUUUUCGUUGUCCUAUCGGUGAUUGAUGAAUUGCUAUGAUUGGUUUGAGUUGCGUGUUUUAUUAUUGGUGCUAUCCUAUGGUGCCCUCCGUGUCGCACAAGCGUGAGGGAUUCCCGCUGUAGGGUGUUGCAAUGCGUUCAUGAUUCGCUUAUAGUGGGUUGCAUGAGUGACUGAAACACAAACCCGAGUAAGGGGAUUGUUGCGUAUGGGAUAAAGGGGACUUGAUGCUUUAAUUCUAUGGUUGGGUUUUACCUUAAUGAAUCUUUAGUAGUUGUGGAUGCUUGCUAGAGUUCCAAUCAUAAGUGCAUAUGAUCCAAGAAGAGAAAGUAUGUUAGCUUAUGCCUCUCCCUCAAAUAGAAUUGCAAUAGUGAUUACCGGUCUAGUAACAUAGUCAAUGGCUUAGGGACAAUUUCACAACUCCUACCACCACUUUUCCACACUCGCUAUAUUUACUUUAUUGUUUAUUUAUCUAAACAUCCCCUACUUUUUAUUUACGUGUUCUUUAUUAUCUUGCAAACCUAUCCUAUCACACCUACAAAGUACUUCUAGAUUCAUACUUGUUCUAGGUAAAGCGAACACUAAGUGUGCAUAGAGUCGUAUCAGUGGCCUAUAGGACUCGAGAGAGUAUGUGUUCUACCUUUAGCUCCUCAUUGGGUUCGACACUCUUACUUAUUGAAAGAGGCUACAACUAUCCCGUAUACUUGCGGGUUAUCAAGACCUUUUUCUGGCUCCGUUGCCGGGGAGUCAUAGCGUGGGGUGAAUAUUCCUGUGUGUGCUUGUUUGCUUUAUCACUAAGUAAUUUUUAUUUGUUGUUCUAAGUUGUUCUCUAUCUUUAGUUAUGGAUAUGGAACACGAAAUACCAAAAAAAUUAGGUGUACUUGCUACUCAUGGAGAUGGGGUAACUCCUAAAACCCUCGAUUCUCAUUAUGUGAAAGAUAUUAUGUACUACUUUGAUAAUCCCGAGAAAACCCCAUUCAACUUUAUAAUGGGAGACACGUUGGAUCACGUGAAUACUUUAGGGAUUAUCGCUCGACACAAAAAGGGAAACUAUUAUGGGAUCAAUUUAUUAUGUUGCGUUGGUAUGCCCGGGAUCUAUGCUUGAGAUAUGAUAUUACUUGUUGCUCUAGGAUGUAGGCUCCACACCUUCCCUUUUCAUGCAAAUUUAAUGACAAUGAAACCUUAGAUUCUUAUGCUAAUGGUAUAUAUGAUUACUAUGAUGUGGAACAAAUAGAAGAAUUUGUUGCUUUUAAGGCUGCUUAUGAAAUUGAAUCUUUGUUUGAAAAGUAUGAAGCUUUUGAUGAUGAUGGUGUUUAUAGGCCUGAAAAUCUUGCUAUAAUUAGAUAUUGCUAUGAAAAUUAUGAAUACAAUUACUAUAUUAAUGCAUUUAUUAAGAAAGUCUCCGCUGUCCAAGAAGAGACUAAUAUUUUGCAGGAAGCUAUGGAAGAAGAAAUUGAUGAAACUGUGAGCUCAUUGGAUGAAAAAGAUGACGAGGAGAGCGAAGAACAAAAGGAGGAAGAGCGGAUUGAUCACCCGUGCCCACCUUCUAAUGAGAGUAACUCUUCAACUCAUACAUUGUUUAAUUCCCCUUCGUGCUUACCGAAGGAUGAUUGCUAUGAUCCCGUUGAUUCUCUUGAAAUAUCCCUUUUUGAUGAUGCUUGCUAUGCUUGUGGCCAAGAUGCCAAUAUGAAUUAUCCUUAUGGAGAUGAACUUGCUAUAGUUCCUUAUGUUAAACAUGAAAUUGUUGCUAUUGCACCCACGCAUGAUAGUCCUAUUAUCUUUUUGAAUUCUCCCGACUAAGCUAUAUCAGAGAAGUUUGUGCUUAUUAAGGAUUAUAUUGAUGGGUUGCGUUUUACUACUAUACAUGAUAUUUUUGGUAGAUAUAAUAUGCAUGUGCUUGCUGCUCCUACUUGCAAUUAUUAUGAGAGAGGAACUAUAUCUCCACCUCUCUAUGUUUCCAAUAUGAUAAGAUUGCGAGAAACUGUUUAUACUAUGCGUUGGCCUUUACUAUGUGUGCAUGAAUUGUUCUUUUAUGACAUGCCGAUGCAUAGGAAGAGAGUUAGACUUCGUUGUUGCAUGAUGUAUGUUACUUUGUGCUCACUACUAAAUUACAAAUCAUUGUUAAUUAAAAUUGGCUUUGAUAUAUCUUGGGAUUCGGGUGGAUUCAUUACUUGAGCACCAUAUGCCUAGCUUAAUGGCUUUAAAGAAAGCGCUGCCAGGGAGACAACCCGGAAGUUUUAGAGAGUCAUUUAUUUCUGGUGAGUUCUUUUAUAUAGUUUAAAAACAAAUAAAAUAAAUAGGGGAACCUAAAAACUUUUCAAAAAGGAAAGUGAAAGUGAGAGAGACAAGCAUUGUUGAAGUGGGAGAGCUCCUUGAACUUUGUUCAUGCUCACGGAAACUUUGUGAAUCUUGAUUACAGAAAUUUUUCAUCAAAAAUAAUUAUCCCCUUGUACAAUUACAAUGUAUUAUAAAAAUAAUGUGCAAGGUUUGCCUUUAGGAUGUUUACAAUGCUUGUUGGUUUGUACGGUGCAUGACAGAAACUUUGGCUGUAGUGCGCGAUUUUACAUUUUUAACUGGAACAUCAAACGGUUCUGAUUCUUUUUGCACUGUCUUUACAACUUGUUCAUUUUUCCUAAUUUUGGUAGAAGUUUUGGGGUACCAGAAGUAUGGUGGAUGGUCAGAUUGCUACAGACUAUUCUGUUUUUGACAGAUUCUGUUUUUGAUGCAUAGUUUGCUUGUUUUGAUGAAUCUCAAUUUAUAUCAGUGGAUUAAGCCAUGGAAAAGUUAUAUUACAGUAGACACAAUGCAAAAACAAAAUAUGAAUUGGUUUGAUACAAUACUUAGAGUGGUGAUUUGCUUUAUUAUACUAAUGGAUCUUACCGAGUUUUCUGUUGAAGUUUUGUGUGGAUGAAGUGUCUAAACAAGGAGGUCUCGAUAUGAGGAAAAGGACGAGAGGCAAGAGCUCAAGCUUGGGGAUGCCCGAGGCACCCCAAGUAAAUAUUCAAGGAGACUCAAGCGUCUAAGCUUGGGGAUGCCCCGGAAGGCAUCCCCUCUUUCUUCAACAAGUAUCGAUAUGUUUUCGUAUUCGUUUCGUUCAUGCGAUAUGUGCAAGUCUUGGAGCGUCUUUUGCAUUUAGUUUUCACUUUUCUUUUAUGCACCAUGCUGGUAUGAGAUAGUCCUUGGUUGAUUUAUAGAAUGCUCAUUGCGCUUCACUUAAAUCUUUUGAGUAUCACUUUAUAGAAUGCUUCAUGUGCUUCACUUAUAUCAUUUGAAGUUUGGAUUGCCUGUUUCUCUUCACUUAGAAAACCGCCAUUUGUAGAAUGCUCUUUUGCUUCACUUAUAAUUGUUAGAGCAUGGGCAUAUCUUUUGUAGACAGAAUUAAACUCUCUUGCUUCACUUAGAUCUAUUUAGAGAGAUGACAGGAAUUGGUCAUUCACAUGGUUAGUCAUAAAAUCCUACAUAAACUUGUAGAUCGCUGAAUAUGAUAUGUUUGAUUCCUUGCAAUAGUUUUGCGAUAUAAAGAUGGUGAUAUUAGAGUCAUGCUAGUGGGUGGUUGUGGAUUGUAGAGACACUUGUGUUGAGCUUUGCAAGUCACGUAGCAUGCACGUAUGGUAACCAUUAUGUGACAAAUUUGAAGCAUGGGGUGUUUCUUUGAUUGUCUUCCUUAUGAGUGGCGGUCGGGGACGAGCAAUGGUCUUUUCCUACCAAUCUAUCCCCCUAGGGGCAUGCGUAGUAGUACUUUGCUUUGAGGGCUAAUAAACUUUUGCAAUAAGUAUAUGAGUUCUUUAUGACUAAUGUGAGUCCAUGGAUUAUACGCACUUUUACCUUUCCACCAUUGCUAGCCUCUUUGGUACCGUGCAUUUCCUUUUCUCACCUCGAGAGUUGGUGCAAACUUCACCGGUGCAUCCAAACCCCGUGAUACGAUACGCUCUAUCACACAUAAGCCUCAUUAUAUCUUCCUCAAAACAGCCACCAUACCUACCUAUUAUGGCAUUUCCAUAGCCAUUUCGAGAUAUAUUGCCAUGCAACUUCCAUCAUCAUCAUAUACAUGACUUGAGCAUUUAUUAUCAUAUUGCUUUGCAUGAUCGUAAGAUAGCUAGCAUGAUGUUUUCAUGGCUUGUCCGUUUUUAAUGUCAUUGCUACGCUAGAUCAUUGCACAUCCCGGUACACCGCCGGAAGCAUUCAUAUAGAGUCAUAUCUUUGUUCUAGAAUCGAGUUGUAAUAUUGUGUUGUAAGUAAAUAAAAUUGUGAUGAUCAUCAUUAUAGAGCAUUGCCCCAUGAAAAAAAGAAAAAAAAGAAAAAAGGAAAAAAAAGGGGGCCAAAGAAGCCCACCAAAAAAGAAAAAAAAAGAAAAAAAGAAAGAAAAGAAAAGGGGCAAUGUUACUAUCCUUUUUCCACACUUGUGCUUCAGAGUAGCACCAUGUUCUUCAUAUAGAGAGUCUCCUAUGUUGUCACUUUCAUAUACUAGUGGGAAUUUUUCAUUAUAGAACUUGGCUUGUAUAUUCCAACGAUGGGCUUCCUCAAAUGCCCUAGAUCUUCAUGAGCAAGCAAGUUGGAUGCAGGAUGCACACCCACUUAGUUUCUUUUGUUGAGCUUUCAUACAUUUAUAGCUCUUAGUGCAUCCGUUGCAUGGCAAUCCCUACUCCUCACAUUGACAUCAAUUGAUGGGCAUCUCCAUAGCCCGUUGAUUAGCCGCGUCGAUAUGAGACUUUCUCCCUUUUUUGUCUUCUCCAUAUAAACCUCCACCAUCAUGUUCUAUUCCACCUAUAGUGAUAUAUCCAUGGCUUGCGCUCAUUAUUGCGUGAGGGUUGAAAAAGCUGAAGCGCGUUAAAAAGUAUGAACCAAUUGCUCGGCUUGUCAUCGGGGUUGUGCAUGAUGGGGGCAUUUUGUGUGACGAAAAUGAAGCAUGGCCAAACUAUAUGAUUUUGUAGGGAUAAGCUCUCUUUGGCCUUGUUGUUUUGAAAAGACGUGAUUGCUUUAUUGGUAUGCUCGAAGUAUUAUUGUUUUUUAUGUAAAAUUAUAGACUAUUGCUUUGAAUCACUCGUGUCUUAAUAUUCAUGCCAUGAUUAGACAUAUGAUCAAGAUUAUGCUAGGUAGCAUUCCACAUCAAAAAUUAUCUUUUCUAUCAUUUACCUACUCGAGGACGAGCAGGAAUUAAGCUUGGGGAUGCUGAUAUGUCUCCGUCGUAUCUAUAAUUUUUGAUUGUUCCAUGCCAACAUUAUUCAACUUUCAUAUACUUUUGGCAAAUUUUUAUACUACUUUUUGGGACUAACAUAUUGAUCCAGUGCCCAGUGCCAGUUCCUGUCUGUUGCAUGUUUUAUGUUUCGCAGAAACCCCAUAUCAAACGGAGUCCAAACGGGAUAAAAACGGACGAAGAAUUAUUUUGGAAUAUUUGUGAUUUUUGGGAGAAAGAAUCAAUGCGAGACGAUGCCCGAGGUGGCCAUGAGAUAGGGGCCCACGCCCACUUAAAGUGGGCGCGCCCCCCACCCUCGCGGGCCACACGUAAGGCAGUUGACGCUCUUCUUUUGCCGCAAGAAAGCUAAUUUUAUGAGAAAAAUCUGGGCGAAAGAUUCACCCCAAUCGGAGUUACGGAUCUCCAGAUAUAAAGGAAACGGUGAAGGGGCAGAAUCCGACAACGCAGAAACAGAGAGAUAGAACCAAUCUCGGAGGGGCUCUUGCCCCUCCCAUGCCAUGGGAGCCAAGGACCAGAGGGGAAACCCUUCUCCCAUCUAGGGAGAAGGUCGAGGAAGAAGGAGAAGAAGAAGGGGGGCUCUCUCCCCCUUUCUUCCGGUGGCGUCGGGACGCCACCGGGGGCCAUCAUCAUCACCGCGAUCUUCACCAACACCUCCGCCAUCUUCACCAACAUCUCCAUCACCUUCCCCCAUCUAUAUUCAGCGGUCCACUCUCCCACAACCCAUUGUACCCUCUACUUGAACAUGGUGCUUUAUGCUUCAUAUUAUUAUCCAAUGAUGUGUUGCCAUCGUAUGAUGUCUGAGUAGAUUUUCGUUGUCCUAUCGAUGAUUGAUGAAUUGCUAUGAAUUGUUUGAGUUGCAUGUUUUAUUAUUGGUGCUGUCCUAUGGUGCCCUCCGUGUCACGCAAGCGUGAGGGAUUCCCGCUAUAGGGUAUUGCAAUGCGUUCAUGAUUCGCUUAUAGUGGGUUGCGUGAGUGACUGAAACACAAACCUGAGUAAGGGGAUUGUUGCAUAUGGGAUAAAGGGGACUUGAUGCUUUAAUGCUAUGGUUUGGUUUUACCUUAAUGAAUCUUUAGUAGUUGCGGAUGCUUGCUAGAGUUCCAAUCAUACGUGCAUAUGAUCCAAGAAGAGAAAGUAUGUUAGCUUAUGCCUCUCCCUCAAAUAGAAUUGCAAUAGUGAUUAGCGGUCUAGUAACAUAGUCAAUUGCUUAGGGACAAUUUCACAACUCCUACCACCACUUGUCCACACUCGCUAUAUUUACUUUAUUGUUUAUUUAUCUAAACAGCCCCUACUUUUUAUUUACGUGUUCUUUAUUAUCUUGCAAACCUAUCCUAUCACACCUACGAAGUACUUCUAGUUUCAUACUUGUUCUAGCUAAAGCGAACACUAAGCAUGCGUAGAGUCGUAUCAGUGGCCGAUAGGACUUGAGAGAGUAUUUGUCCUACCUUUAGCUCCUCGUUGGGUUCGACACUCUUACUUAUCGAAAGAGGCUACAACUAUCCCGUAUACUUGCGGGUUAUCACCUCACUUUUCUAUCUCAGAGAUGCAUGCGUAAUAUGUUCGCAUAAGAAACGAAAAAACACACACUCUGUCUAAUUUAUUGUUUGUUGUCACUUUCUCUUUCACACACAUACUCUUUUUGCACACUUACUCAUUCUCCUUCACAUGCACUUGAUUUGUCUCGACUUAGGCACUCUCCUCGGUCCAUAGCAUAUAGAUUUAUUGAAAAGUCAAACAUCACAAAGUUUGACCAUGUACAUGGAGAAAAACAAUUACAUCUAGUAUGGCAAACAUAUACCAUUAGAUUCACCAUGAGAUGUAGUUUUGUAUGAUGUAUCUUUGGUAUUGUAGAUAUAAAUAACAUUUGCGUAAACCUGAUCAAAGUUUCCAAAGUUUGACUUCUAAAAACUUUACAUGCAGUGCAUUAUCGAGCGGAUGGAAUAUCUCUUUCCCCCGCUCAGCUAUCUGACGCACCACUCAGCCUUAUCGGGGCUCCUCAAUCUCUCUCGAACUUUAUUGGUCAGUUUGGUUCGUGACCUGGCCCUCAUGCCUUGAUGGCCAAUACUGCCUGGUGUGGACGUGAGAUGUAAAAUAUUUCUGCCUGGCCAGGCUUGUGUGGUGCUGAAGCGUUUGGUUAAUGCCUGGGCCAGGCAAAGCAUCAACGUCCCAUCAAUCAAUCCAUGCAACAAUUAUUUAAUGCUAAUAUCCAUCCAUGUUGCUGUUAGCCUCAUGGCCGCACGACGAAGCACGGCUAGGCGUUCAAAAUCGGUCGCCUGGGCCAGGCUACUUGCAGUGUCUGGAGUCCAGCCAGGUUAAUUAAAGUGCAAGGGAACCCAUGCCAGGCGGGCUUUCUUUUUCACAUGGUAGCAACCAAACAAGCAUGCAUGAAAUCCAUCUACUACCCCAGGCAAGGCAAAGGAUGCUCUUGACGCAAGCCAAACUGACCUUAUAUCUCCGUGGUUCACACAUACACAUGUCUCGCUCGCGCUAUACAUAUAGACCCAUCCAACACUCUCCGCCCUUGUUCUCUCUCCAUGUGACACGCACCCCCUAAGUACCAUAAUCCCUCACUCCAUCAUAGGCGCAAGCACUCCCCCCCUCCUAAGUAUGAUUAUCUCUUACUAGCCAUCAGGAACACACGUAUUGUCUACUUCCAUCCAUACGUCUAUCUCGAUAUCUCGCGAGGCAUCUUCUAUCACGCACACACCUUGUCACUCGAUCUCCCACCCAUGUAGUCCCAUCACGAUCUCCAGGGGAUCUCUCUAUGACAAACAUACACUCUCUCCUCCCCAUGUCUGCAUUUUCUCCGUACGUCUCUCUCGACCUCCCUCCCUUGUUUGUCAGACCCCUCUUGGCCACGUUCUAGGGGUCUUGCUCUCUUGGUUCCAAACAACCACACACUAUCUCCUCACCUUGCCUCCGUUGUCGAAGAUGCAUGUGUGAUAUGUUUGCAUAAGACACACAUGCUUUUUCUCUACUUUUAUCGUGUGUUGUCCAUGUCUGUUUCACACACACACACACACUUUUUUCACUCACUCUUUCUAUCUCUCUCUCUCUCUCUCUCUAGUUAGGGACUCUGUCACGUCCAUAAGCAUAUGGAUGUUUUGAAAAGUCAAACCUCGGAAAAGUUUGACUAGGUAUAUGUGGAUAAAAACAUUUACAUCUGGAACGAUCAUUAGAUUCAUCACAACAUGUACUUACUUCAUACUAUCAUUUAUGUUUGGUAUUGUAGAUAUAAGUAAUUUCUUUAUAAACUUGGUCAAAGUUUCAAAAGUUUGACUUAAAAACAAUGUUGGAACUACAUUAUCGAACGAAGGGAGUAGCUCUUUCUCUCUCUCUGCUAUCUCUCACGGGCCUCCCCUCUCACUCAAACUCUCUAUACCGACGGAUUAUACGCUCACUCUGUCAGCGUAUAGCUCCGUAUAUUGUUUAGUUGACCGGUCAACCAUUCCACAUGCUACCUUGUCAGCUCGUGUUCUGUAUCUUCGUGUGCUAGCCCAUGUGGCAGUGGGUGAAAAUAAGUAAACUAGAGGUCCAUCUGACACGCGGUGAAGUAAACAAAGUUGAAACCACUCGGGGUAGCACCCCGCUCGCUAGUAAAUUGAGGGCGCAUUGAGGACACACUUCUUGCGCGUGAAGGAUGCACUCGAGCACAACUCACCACUACGCGUCGGCAUGCACAGAAGGACGCACUCGCGCACACCCAGCACACAACACACACCAUCACACAUGUACACCACCGUUGCCGCCGGUUGAGAUGGAUGGUGAGGCAGCCAACAAGCGGAGGCGGCUUGAGCCAAAACCGCAUCCGACGAGCCUGGACUUCAUCAGCAGCCUCCCCGAUGACAUGCUUCUCGUCAUCAUCGGCCUCCUCCCCACCAAAUCUGCCGUGCAGACCGCCCUGCUCUCCCGGCGGUGGCGCCCCCUCUGGAGCUGCAUCCCUCUCAACCUCAUCGUUGACAGCUGCCUCUGCGACGGGGAUUGCAAACGCAUGGCCGCAGUCUCCAAGAUCCUUUCAUCGCACCCUGGGCCAGCCAAACGCCUUGACAUCCGCAUGUUCAGUACCAACUGCAAGGUCCAACCCAAGUUCGAUGAGUGGUUCUUAUCCCCCGCCCUAGAUCAGCUCGAGGAGCUCAGCUUUGAAGCUGGAUGAUGUCGCUCUCUGCCGCCGUCCGCGCUCCACCUCACGCCAACGCUGCACCGCGCCAGCUUCAGCUCCUGCUAUCUUCCCCAGAUUAAUGCCGCGCCCGCCCUUCUUCUCCCUCAACUCAAGCAGCUCGACCUCUUUGACAUUGUCAUCUCAAAGAAGGCUAUGGAGCACCUGCUUCGCACCUGCUCCGCAGCUGUACUGCGCUUGAGUACCUUCGUCUUGAGCAGAUCCACGAGUUCAUUAGCCUCCACAUCGCCUCGACGAAUCUCCGAUGGAUUUAUGUGUCUUGCUGGCCCCGCAACAAGACAUCAAUUGGGAAGAGAUCACUCCAGCUAUUCCACUUUAUGGUCAUUGAGAAUGCGCCUUUCCUUGAGAGAUUGCUUGUAUCGGAUCUAGAAGGUCCAACAAAAAUCAGGGCCAUUGACGCGCCGAAAUUGACAGCGUUGGUGUACUCAUCUGCCAAAUUCUCCGAACUCUUUAUUGGAUCCGUAAUUGUUCAGGUACAACACUCAUCUUCUUCUCCGUCUUCUUGAAAUUCACAUUUUUAAAUUUCUUCUUGAUGUAUUUACGACCGUGUUCCAGAAAAUGAUUCCCACAAGCUUGACCCAGUCCAUGCACAGAGUGAAGAUCUUGGCACUAAAAUCUAUCGGCCCCAAUCUGGAUCAAGUUGUUGGAUUCCUUACAUGCUUUCUGUGCACGGAGAAGCUACUCAUCGAGGUGAAACUUCUUUCCUAUAAGUAAACGGUAAUCACAACGUAGCUCCAUUUUUUUGUAAUUCUCCCAAAUUACGAUGACAAGUGUAGUGUUCAAAACUGCAUCUACGCACUGCACCGAAAGAAAUGUUUUUAGUAUUUUUUCUCACGUGAUCACCUGCAUCGUUUUUAUGCUGUACUACUAUAGUAGCCUAGGCUAGUCAUAGUGGAAAGUAACUUAGACUACUCCAGUAACUCUAUGGUUACCCUAAGAGCAAGUACUACCUUCGUCCUGGUUUACUCUUCCAAUUUUGUAGUAUCAAAAUUUGACCAUAUAUUUAACUGACAAAAUGUUAAUGCAUGUCCCUAAGAACUAUAUUGUUGGAUUCGUAUUUGAACAUAAUUUCAAAUGGUGUAAUAUUUAGUGACAUGCAUUGGCAUUUUCUUAGGUAAAUCUAAGGUCAAAAUUUUAUACUAAAUACGAGGUAGUAUUCCCUCCGUCCCAAAAUUCUUGUAUUACAUUUGUUUAGAUACGGAUGUAUCUAACACUAAAAUGUAACUAGAUACAUCCGUAUUUAGACGAAUUUAAGACAAGAAUUUUGGGACGGAGGGAGUACAAAAGUGGGCUUGUAGGCCAAAACACGUGCCAAAUUCAGUUGUGAUGCAUUUGGCAUUGAUGCCCCUCCAUUGCUCACCUGGUGCCCCAAUCUAGAUCACCUACUUUGCUCCGGUGCCAAAUUAACUCACGCAAUGAAAAAACACUGCGUGGGAGAGAGAGAGAGAGAGGACUGAGGCAAUAAAAAACACUUGUUUGGGAGAGUGAGAGGCUGGUGUAGUUGGUUUCAUUGAUUUGUUUAUACAUGUGGGUCUGUGUACACAGCGGUGCCAACUCUCUCACAUCGUGAGAGCGGUGCCAAAAUCUUUUGAUUUGACAUUGAUGCGUAUUAUGUGGCAUACUUUUGCGAAAUAUGGCAUCGGCCACAUAGUGGAAGGCAACAAAUGCCCAAGCUCUUCACGUGCUCCUAGUUAAAUGAGAGGAAACAGAGAGAGAGAGAGAGAGAGAGAGAGUGAAAAAAUAUCACUAGCGAGCCAACCCUAUCGUAUGAGCGAAUGAUAUUGGUACCUCUUGAUGACACGGCAAUCUUAUACAGCCAGCUGCUCUAAUAUGUUCUCUUCUUUUGCAGAUAAAAAAAGACCCGAAAGUGAAAAAUGUGCUGCACUAUAACAAUCUCAUCGAAUGCCUUGAUCUCCAUCUUACAGAAAUUGAUUUGAUCGACUACCGAGGCAGCACAUCUGAGAUUAAAUUCGCUAGGUUCUUUGUUCUGGAGGCAAGUGUGCUCAAGGUAAUGAGGUUUGGCGUUCUCUGGCGCAACAAUGAAUGGCGUGCUAAUCACAGCAAGUGUCUAAGCCUAAAUGACAAAGUCUCCACAGAAGUUGAAUUUGCUUUUGAAACAUCAAGUGGCCAGAGACUGGAAAACUUAUUUUCCCAUUAGUGACUUGUCAGGGCGGUGGAUUUUAGUUUGUACGAUAAUGCUGCAUCCACCUAAAGUAAUGAAAGUUCUUACGUAAACUUCCUAGUAAUUCCCUCUUCGUAGGUGCAACAUUACUCCUAACAUUUGUAAUAUCAGUUUGAAACUAAUAUUGCCGUGUCCUAUUCCUGCAUUUUCAAAAUCCUGCGAAUCAAACAGGUCCUGAGUUGGUGAUGAUGUUGUGCCUCCCAUCUUUCACCAAUAGCCGUCGGAUCUAGAUCUGACGCAUACAAACCAAGCUUCUCCAUUUUUGCAAAGAUAUGCCCGCACUUGUUCCCUAUUUACAAACAACUCCUUAUCUCUCACAAUCAGCCUUAUCUCCUCCCCACCACAUCUAGAAGGCCGUGGAAAAAUCUGGCGUGAUGGCCGCUACCGGCACUGUCCACCCCCAAUCUUGGUGUUCCGUGCAAUGCACGUGCAUCUAUGCAUUGGAAAUUAUGUCGAACAGGGCUAGUUGCAAGCAGGCUAGCUCUAUAACCAUGAUGAUAGUGACUGCAGACGGUGAGGCUGACUACGGUAUGCCAAACACGACGCCUAUACUCAGGUGUCAUCUCCGGCGCAGGGUCGUGUCACUUCACUGUGAGGAGCAGCGCGUAAUAAUUUGACCAAUGGGUAGUACAGUGCUAGUAGUCCUACUACAUUGGUAGUACUACUACUAGUACUAGUAGCACCACCGUCUGGAUUUAGGAGUACUACCACGUCCAUCUGGAUUUUAGUAUUUGACUAGCAAUAUCUAGUAAUGCAUGUCACAAAAAAUGUACUACUCCCUUUGUAAAUAAAUACAUGGUGUUUUAUUCCUAUCGGCGAGAGAACUUAAUGUCUUUUUGCUAACUAGAGUAAUAGGAUUACAUGCAAUGAACUAAACACUGCAUGUCAUGUUGGGUAGUCUCAAGUCAUUGAAGGCAUGCACGACCCACAUCUCUCAUUGGUUGAUAUGUCACGAAAUAAGAAACAAGGAGUGAGUUAAUGCACCGUGCCUAAGUGUUUUGGGAUUAUUUGGUUUUCGUAAGGUGACUUACACAACAUUUUUGUUUACAUGCAAUAACAUUUUAUUAGUUAAAUCAAAGGUCAAAACUUGGCGCAAAAUGCAAAGGGGACCAAUAAACCAGUAAACAUCAAACUUCUCUCGUUUGGCCCCAACUAGAGGUCCGGCGAGAUGACUAUGCUGCACCAGCACGGAGGGGGAUGUAGCUUCAUUGACUUACUGCAACUGCCUUUGGGUGAAUGACACGUGGGCCCAAGGGUUGGCUGGCCCACCUAUCAUACAGGCUAAGGCAGGUGCAGUAGAGGGCCGAGGAGUAGUACAAAGUACGAAAUCCUAUGCACCUAUGCAUGCUAACCAAGGGCAAGAGUGAUCACUCGGAUCGCAAGAUCAGUUGACUAGAAUCUAAGCUAGACCCACGGAGGCGAUGAGCGCGAGCAUCAACCGGCUGUGCCAGAUGGUCCACGACGCCGGCCUGCGGCCCGGCACCGAGGAACGCCUCCAGGUAUUACUUGAGGCCGCCAGGGCAAGGGGCCGCUUGGACGACAGCUUCGUCUCCUUGUUCGACGAGGUCCUCGUUGGUUUCCUCGACAAGUUCACCGUCGUCAAGAAGCUCACGGACGACUUUGACGUACGCCUCCAGCCGACGCGCCCAGGCUCUGCGAUGCCCGCCACCCUCAGUGGCCACUAUGGUGACAACCUCUUCGACGCACUGGUGGCCCUGCGACUGCCCACCGUCGCGCCGGAGAAUGUCCACCUCGAGGUCGUGCUCGCCGUGCAGCGCCUAGCGCAGCAAGACACCAUCGACAUAAUCACCCACGUCUAUGCACAAAUCGUCCACAAGGACUACUACAUGCAAGAGGAGGACGAUAGGACGCUGGCCUUCUUGGACCGUAGGGCAACCUUGGACGGCAUUGUUCAGAAGCACGUUGAGCUCACCGCCGCUGCUCCUCACACGUCGGUUGGUGACCCGGCGCACUAGGGCGUGAGGAUGUCGUUGAUUGAUCCGUAUGUAUUUUUAUCUUUCUGUCAAAUCCAUGUAGUAGUAUAUGGUACUACUAGUAAUUAUCUUACCUUUCGCAUCAACUUCAUAAUUUUCGUACGUACUCCAUGCAUGAACGGCGCCAGAACCAAACUUCUCAUUACUCUAGGCAAAAUCGUUAUUUUCUAUCUAUCGGUCGCGCCAUGGAGCAGAACCAAAUUUUACAAGUUACGAGUUCAAAAGGAAAAGCCUGCCGUGUUCGUGUCACACCCCCACACGGUUGGUCCGGCACGUCGCUCAAGGGGGAAUGCGUGCGGUGUUGCAUUUUCACUUACAAGUUGGACCCCAGUUGAGCAAACCGACUAUCAGCAAACCCCCACCCCGCCCACCGCGCGAUGGCUGAGAAAAUAGGAGGGAGAAGAGAUGGCUGUAGCAUGGACUCCAAGAAAAUUGGUGUCAGAUGGGACUCAUGUGGGUGGCGUGUGCCGUACUGCUAGAUGUGAAUGCUAGUUAUGGCCCAUGCCACCCCACUAUAUCGAGCCUAUAUCAAGGUACGUAGAACAAAUUUCCUGGAGUCCGUGCUCAACCCUCCUCUAUCUCUCUUCUCAGCUAGCCAGAGGACGCACGGAGCCCAUCGUCUUUUUGCUCACAUGCGGUCCCACAUGUCAGUGAAAAUGCAAGAUGACCCACUGAGCCUGCACAUCUUUCACCUUGAUGUGCUGGUGAUAAAAAACAAAUCCAAUAAAGAUCUUCGGUGGCCGCUUUUGGAGUUACUCAAGAGUAGUAAGAUUCUAUUUACAGUUUAACCCAAGAUGCACAUCACGUGGCUUCAACUACCACUCUAUUUUCUUGCAUGACACGUCCUGGAUGCUGGAUGUCCCAUGUGUCGACAAAAGGAGGAAGAACCCGACCAAAUCUUCGGUUGUGCUAUCGGAUUAGACUAGUUGUGCUAACUUAAAAAUUUUAUUGUGUACUCCCUCCGUUCCAAAAUACUUGACUUCCAUUUGUCCAAAAGUGGAUGUACCUAUAUACUAAAACAUGUCUAGAUACAUCUAUAUUUUGACAAAUAGAAGGCAUGUAUUAUGGAAUGGAGGGAGUAGAAUGGAUGCAAGUUUUGGUAUUGGGAAGAAGAGUACAUCGAUAUAUUGAUAGAGCGUAAUCUAGUAGAUGUUCUAGCACUUUUAGCUAGCAUAGAGGCUAGAGAUGAGACUAGUGCACUUGUUGAUACUCCUACUAGAAUAAAGGCUAGACAUGAGACUAGAUGCGAGGAAGCAACAUCUACUUAUUUACACUUGAAGAAGAAAGAAGCACGCAAGAUCGAGCCUCUACAGAUCAACAAUGAAUGCAUCGAGAAGGCACUAAUCCAACUUACAGGAGCAGUUAUGGAAGUUGGGUAUCUUCUAGAAGAGUAAAAUGUAUUCUUGUGGUUCUUAUUUUCUUUGGUCUUGCUUUUCUAGUCAAAAUUAUUGUUGGAGUUCAUGCAAAACGGAGGUACAUUUGGGGUCGUGUGUUGGAGUUGGCCUUACAAGUGGGACCGCAGUUGAGGAAACUGACUACCGGCAAAACCCCACCUCGCCCGUCGUGCGAUGGCUGAAAUUAGAGAAACGACGAGGUUGAAGAGAUUGCUCUAGCACGGACUCCGAGAAAUAAUAUGGUGUCAGAUGGAUGCACUACAAAAAAAUACACUUCCGUGAUGAUACGUGUUUGUCACAGUAGGUCGCGUUUUUUGUCAUGCAUGUACAUCCAUGACAAAUUUAUGACAGAAUCAAGAUAGUCAUACCUGUGCUGUCGUAGAAGUGUUCCAUGACAUUACCAAAAUUAUCAUCACGGAAGUGUCCACUUCCAUGAUGAUAAAUCGCGCGUCAUAGAAGUGCUUUCAUCAAGGAUGACCAACACGUGGCAUCCACCGUAACGGAAUGCCGUUAAGCUAUCGGGUCAGGUUUUGGAUCUGAUAACCCGUUAACAGCCCCGACCAAUGGGGAUUUUCCACGUGUAAAAUCAUCAUUGGCUGGAGGAAACACGUGUCGGCUCACCGUUGGGACAGAUGUCAUCCACUCAUUGGACGGAAGAUGCCUAUGGUACGUCGACACGUGGCACGGCCCAACAGAGGCCCAUUCCUGUGAAAAGGCCGGCCCAGUAAAAAUUAGUAGGCCAGCCCAUAUAAGGCCUACUUGUGUCAGGUCCAUUUAAGCCCAUGGCCCAUACGAGAUGAGCCAAUUUGGUCCGUCAACGGCCCAUUAAAGAUUUGACACCAUUGCAACCCAUCGUUGGUUUGAGCCCGUUAAUAGCCCGCUAUAUAUCUGGGCUCAAUAUCGGCCCGAUGAUAUUUCGGCCUGUUAACGGCCCGUUUAAUGGAUGGGCCAAUUUUCAGGAUGUACAUCUUUCGGCCUUUUAGCGACCCAUUUAAAUGUUGUGUAGUUUCUGGCCCGGUGUGUCUUUCAGCCUAUUGACGACCCAUAAAUCUGAUGGGCCAUUUGUUGUCGGACCUGAGUUUCGGCCUUUUAGCGGCCCAUUUAAGUGUUGGGCCAAUUUUCUGGCCCGGUGUCACUUUCAGCCUGUUGACGUCCCAUAAAUCAGUUGGGCCAUUUUUAGUCGGACCUGAGUUUUGGCCUUUUAGCGACCCAUUUAAGUGUUGGGCCAAUUCCCGGCCCUGUGUGACUUUCGGCCUGUUAACAGACCAUAAAUGAGUUGGGCCAUUUGUAGUCGGACCUUAGUUUUGGCCCUUUAACGGUCCAUGCCCUUCACGGUCCAAUAUCAGCCCGGUUUCUCUUUCGGUCUACUAAAGGCCCACAACACAGUUGGGCCAUUCACAAUUCGACCUGACUUUCAGCUCUUAGCGGCCCAUGGUCUUCAUGGUCUAGUACAAGCCCGCUGUCUCUUUCGGCCUGCUAAAGGCCUACAGUAUAGUUGGGCCAUAUAUAGCCCAAACUUAGUAAUGGCCUGUUAACGGCCCGUGAAAUAAACUGGGGCCACCUGUUGCCCGCUUCGAUGUCGGCCUGUUAACGACCCGGGAUGUAAGAGGGCCGACCAUUAAAUUUCGGCCUAGUAACGGCCCAUUAACUUAAUGGGCCCACUAAAGUUCGUACAUGUCUUUAGGCCAAAUUAGAUAAUUUGAGCCCAUUACAACGAGCAAUUAUGCACAGGACCAAAACCGAUCACGCAAAGGUACAGCAUACAGGGAAUAACGUUGCACAUCCAGCAUAUAUUACAGGAAAUUACAUCCACUGGGCAAUCAAAGAUUGAUGCCAGUGCAAAUAAAUGAGCAGAACCUAACCAUCUACAACAUCACAAGCUGCAACCUCAGCACAGAUUAUGCCCAUAAGCAUGUGGGCAAGUUCUUUCUGCUUUGCUACACUAUCUCCGAAAACAUUGAUCGGUUGUUGUGUCGCACGACUCUGCACCUCUGAUUCAUCCACCAUUUCCAUCAUUGCUUCAGCCAUUAAUUGGUUCACAAACAUACAUUUAUUCUGUUGCAUUCGAGACAGAGGAUACUGAACAGAUUCGGAUGGCGAUUUUGGCAGGCUUGUAUUAUUGAUAGUGGAGAGUGUCUCGACCACUGCAUCAUAACAUAAAUUACGACGGGAACCAAACAGAUUAAUCAUGAGUUAUUGCCAUAUUACCUGGCCUAGAUUUACUGGAAAGAAACAAUUGGGUUGCCUUGCUGUUUUUAGAGUUUGUCUUCUUAUCUUCAGCAGCCUGCACAAAAUUAACACACUAGCAUUGCUAUCAUUGGCCAAGUCAGAUAAUAGGAAAGCAACAUUGACACAACAAACGUUUGGGCAAGUAGCCUACACCAAAUUAACACAAUAUGGCACAGCUAUCAUCAGCCACGUAAGGUAGCACGAAAGCAACAUUGACACAAUGAAUGAAUGGGCAACCAGAGAAGCACUACAAUUCAGUAAUGUGCGUGAUAUGAGAUAGUACAUUCAUGCAGCUCAGUAUGCAAAACUACCAGGCAGUUUUCCUUACAAAAAUCAACAUUGGCGCCUUUAACAUUUUGCUACAACUAAUUUUAGAUUAGAUAAAGGUUAGAUUCACGCCGAUUAACAAAAUACAUGUUGAUGUAAAAAUAUAGUGAUAUACAACAGGUACUUACAUCAGCAUUGGAGCACAGAGAAUUCCCGCAAGAUAUUUUCCUCGAAUACGAUCCCAAUGGAGGAAGUCUUCUAUCGUUUAACCUUAUUUUCUAAAAGAGAGAUGGGUAAGAAACAUGUAGAAAAUAUGAUCAGAAUGCUAUAAAAUUUCAUGAUGCGAGGAUACGCACACACUUCUUAGAAUGGAGUUGACAUUCUUUUGCUGGACUGGAGCAGACUAGUUCUUUGGCCACUGGAAUCUGCUUAUUAUCAGUGGGAGUUGGGUUUCUCUAUGCCGGAGCAGUAUCUAUGAAAAAUGGAGUUGGUUUAUUAUCUCCUGGCGUUUGGAUCUUUUGCAAAGACCUGGUUUGUAACCCUUCAGAUUCUAACAGAGCCGUCUUCCCCUUGCAUGCCUUAUAUAGAAUAAUGGUGAUUCAGUUAUAAAACAUGCUACAACAGAGAUGGAAUAGGUAUUGAAGAAUAGAAAGGCAUGACAUAUUGACAUGUAUUCCCUCCAUCCGGAAAUAGAUGGACGGGUCUAGGCGUAUUUCAGUUCUAGAUACAUCCAGUUUUAUCCAUUUUUGCGACAUUUAAUCCGGACGGAGGGAGUAUGAUGUAAGAGCUAGGGAUACGACAGGACAACACAGUAAAAAAAACACUGAAAACCCCACUGCAGAACCAAAGUAUUCAAACCCACUGAUAUGAGAUAGUACACUCAUGCAGCUCAGGAUGCAGAACUAUCGGGCAGUUUUCCUUACAAAAAUCAACAUUGUGGCCUUUAAUCAUACAUUUUGCUACAACUAAAUUUAGAUCAGAUAAAGGUUGGAUUCACGCCGAUUAACAAAAUACAUGCUGAUAUAAAAAUAUAGUGAUAUACAACAGGUACUUACAUCUACAUUGGAGCACAGAGAAUUCCUGCAAGAAUCUUUCCUCACAAACGAUACCAUUGCAGAAAUUCUUCUACCUGUUAAGCUUAUUUUCUAAAAGAGAGAUGGGUAAGAAACAUGUAGAAAAUAUGAUCAGCAUGAUAUAAAAUUUCAUGAUGCAAGGAUACGCACACACUUCUUAGAAUUGAGUUGACAUAUUUUUGCUCGAUUGGAGCGGACUAGUUCUUUGGCCACUGGAAUCUGCUUAUUAUCAGUAGGAGUUGGGUUUCUCUGUGCUGGAGCAGUAUCUAUAAAAACUAGAGUUGGUUUAUUAUCUCCUAGCGUUUGGAUCUUUUGCAAAGGCCUUGUUUGUAACCCUUUAGAUUCUAACAUAGUCGUCUUCCCCUUGCAUGCCUUGUAUAGAAGAAUGGUGCUUUAAUUAUAAAACAUGCGACAGCAGAGAGAUGUAAUAGGUACUGAAGAAUAGAAAGGCAUGACAUAUUGACAUGUAUUCCCUCCAUCCAGAAAAAAAUGGAUGGGUCUAGGCGUAUUUCAGUUCUAGAUACAUCCUUUUUUAUCCAUUUCGGCAACAUGUAAUCUGGACGGAGGGAGUAUGGUGUAAGAGCUAGGGAUACGACAGGACAACACAACAAAAAAAACUAGUUGAAUGUAAAACUAUAUGCUAGUGGAAUACGUACAGAAAUAACCAAGGCAACAUACACAUGUAUGAUUGGGAAAAUAAGAUGGCAUUGCAACAGAGCACUAGAACAACACUUCAAUGUAAAAAAAUAUGGUAUGGCAGACAGAUGAAGUACAUACUGAUGAAUAACAAUGCAUAAGAUAUUCAGAAGCAUGAUGUCCAAAUUAAGCAAAUGGCAUUGCGAUAGAGUAGAAUGACAGUACUUGAAUUUGAAAACAUGUUAUCAUGAAUGGAAUAGGUACUGAAAAACAGGAAGGCAUGACAUAUUUACAUGCAUGAUUAGCAUGCUAAGCACAUGGCAUUGCAAUAGAGUAGAUACACUCCAGGACAUUAUAUGCAUGUUGUACCCAUAUCAUAGGCCAAGUUAGAGCAAGGACCUUGUGGGGUGAAGAGGAUUCAUCAUCUUUCUGCAAGUCUUCUGAAGAACUGCCUUUACAUGUUCCAUCAUAUUGGGUAUCAUUGACAUCAAGUUUAUUGGCCUUUACAUUGCUCCGUGAGGUUCUUGUGGAUAUAUCAGUGUGUGCAAUUAUAUCUGACAUGCAUGGAAGACAACUAGUAGUUAGAUUUAUGUAAAUGAGUGCCUGUAGGAGACGACAUAAAUAGUAGGACUGGGUUUAACUAGCAGCAACAGGUCUCAUAAACUAAAGGGAGAACACAGAUGAAAGCUACAGAAUAUGUAUCGUUUGUACUCAAGAUUAACUAGAUGGCACACAAAAGUAUUAAAGAACAACAUAGGUAAUACUAGAAGUGGUAUAAUACUAUAAUCACCAGCCUGUGGGAUAGCAUUGGCUGAUGGAUGAUAACUAUGGAACAACGUUACCUAAAGAACAAGUAUCUUAGCUGAACUAUGGAACAACAUGAACUCCUGAACAAGACCCAUAAGAGAUCAGCAUGAAUAUACAGUGAAAUGUGAUGAUCUAUUUUCCGUGCUUAGAUGAAUAACAAAGCCAUAAAUGUUGCACACAGGUAAGAUGUGGGUACAACCUAUCUGGCUGCCAUCCAUAGGAGUGAGCAUCAUGUGCUGACUUGUCGAUGGCCCUGCAGUUGUUGUGGUUGUCCAUGUCGGGCACGCGCAUUUGAUGCAGGGAACUAUUGAGUGGGGACUGUAGCUCCCUUCUAGUGUAUGCUUCCCUUGUUGGAGCAGCUGCGGUGAGUCGGAAGACGGUGUGUCUGAAGAUGCAGAUAACGCAUAAAGUUAAGAACGACAUAUCUCUUUGAUACGAAGAAAUACACUAAGAGAUCAACAGCAAGGUACAAGAGUGGUCACACAUCUGUUGACUGAAGACUAAAUUGGGGUCACACGAUUUUAUUUUAUUAUGGUACUGUCCGAUCUACGCCGGAUGGCUUGAUGGCCGUCUUGUGUCUCCCGGCUGACACUGUUCGGAAUCUUCCCCGAAGAGCCAGUGACCAACGGCAGAGCAGCCUGCCUACGCCGUCCGUGGCCCCAUCCAAAACCCCGCUCCCCGCCCCACCGCACCGCCGUGGUUGCGCCGCCCCCGGGCCAAUCCACAAAGACUCCUCGUCAUCCAGAUCCAGCGGCGGUAGUACCUUCAACCCACGCAACUCUAAAAGAUAUCCAUCUAAGCGCUGCUUCCGCGGCGAACUUGCGGCCCCGCACCCUUACGUUAGACACCAGCCAACCAGCAGCCUAGGAGCUCCGCCGCCUCGAGGGGUGCUGCUUCCCAUUGGGAAUCGAUUGGCCCAGAAUAAAAAUUCAGACAACUGACGCCUAAAUAAAGUGAUUUCAGAUGAGGGUGCGACCUAUCUGGCGGCAUGGUGAAGUAGGCAGGUCUAGUUGCCGAGUCGGUGAGGCCGGCGCGGUUGCGGUGGUGACCGGAGGCAGGGAAAGUGCAAUGUCGCGACGAUCGAUGGCUACGCGGAAGCAGCGCCAGGACUCUGGACGGAUCCGAAGUUGGAGCCGCUCCGGCGCCGUGAACAACGGCGGGGGUGAAUCGGCUCUAGUAUGGUUCACGCGACCAUCAUCGAGGCAGCACCAGCAGCACGGAGUAAGAGGCACACGACCCAGUGCAUGACGUCAAUUGAACAGCGUCUCCGGCAUUAGGGAGGAGGGCGGCUGUGAAAUUGGUGCGGUGGGGGGCGCCAUGGAGGUGGGGCNNNNNNNNNNNNNNNNNNNNNNNNNNNNNNNNNNNNNNNNNNNNNNNNNNNNNNNNNNNNNNNNNNNNNNNNNNNNNNNNNNNNNNNNNNNNNNNNNNNNNNNNNNNNNNNNNNNNNNNNNNNNNNNNNNNNNNNNNNNNNNNNNNNNNNNNNNNNNNNNNNNNNNNNNNNNNNNNNNNNNNNNNNNNNNNNNNNNNNNNNNNNNNNNNNNNNNNNNNNNNNNNNNNNNNNNNNNNNNNNNNNNNNNNNNNNNNNNNNNNNNNNNNNNNNNNNNNNNNNNNNNNNNNNNNNNNNNNNNNNNNNNNNNNNNNNNNNNNNNNNNNNNNNNNNNNNNNNNNNNNNNNNNNNNNNNNNNNNNNNNNNNNNNNNNNNNNNNNNNNNNNNNNNNNNNNNNNNNNNNNNACCAUGUCUUACGGACGCAUCUGUCUUAAAUGUGAGGGGGAGUUACAGCUCUACCCUUGCCUAUAGGCUUCUUGGCUUGGGUCUGUGUACUGAGGGUCGGGGAUAGUAGAGUAACUUUGCUUCUCCCCAAAUAGUGGGCGGGAUCGAUUUCAGGCGAGGAGGGCGUGUUUUGAACUAUAGUGGGUGCGAGCGAAUUCGGGCGAGGAGAGCGUGUUUUGAAAUAGUGGGCGCGAGCUAUUGCAGGCGAGGAGAGCGUGUUUUGCCGACCAUGGUUUAUGAAUUAUUCGGCACAUGUCGUUUCGGCCAAGGAGAAGGCGCGCUUGGAUGAAGUUAGGAACCUACCCUCGAUGUACAACGGGCAAUUGAUGCGUGUCCCACAUAGGACAGUAAUAUCGCGUCUCCCAUUUAUUUGCUCGGGCGAAUUCCACCGAGCAGAGAGGAUGUUUAAUGGUUCGUUCAAAUUUUGGGAGAACGAGCAUCCACGUCUACCUUACCAAGUCGAUUCGAAUCAAAUUUUGAAAUAUUAGCUUGCCACUUCUUUUUUAGAUGGAGAGAUGAUGCUCGGGAGUAAUGUGUUUUUACAUGCUCGUUGCUAGCGAUUUACUAUAUGACAAAUAGUUGAUCCACUAAAAAACGCGAAUCAAACCCAAAAUGAAAUAUCUCGAUUCAAUGAACUAGCUCGUUCAGUAGGUCAAAAUAGUGAACUAAAUCCAAAAUUGAACACCUCAAUCGAGUAGCAUGUUGUACAGUAUUAUAGUACUCCAUGAACAUGUUGAAAGUCAAAUUAAUGAACUUGUUUGAUAUACGCAUAUAUCUGUUCAUGUGUGGAUUGCAGACAACAUGGUCUCCAAUUUAAAUAUUUGAAUGCAAGUUUAUAUCAGUCUUUGAUGCAUAAAACGCGACCUCCCCCUCUCCCGGACUCCUGUUCUCUCUCUCUCUCUCACUCUCUCGCCGACAAUCUUCAAUUCUGUCGCACGCAUCCGACACAAAAACCUUGUUGGUCCCUCUCCCUUUCUCUCUCUCCCCCCUCUCUCUCUCUCUCUGUGUGUGUGUGUGUGUGUGUGAAAGUACAACUAUCCCUAGGUGGUUUUGGUAAUUCAUAACAACAUAUAGCUCAUUGAGCUAAUGCUAUUCCAAGACUAAUAUUUCAGGAAAGCUCAAUGAAUGGCAUGGCAUGGAUGAUGAAAGUGGAUCCCUCAAAAUACUAAGGACAAAGGAUUGGCUCAAGCUCAUUAGCUCAAGACUCUUCAUUUUAUAUUUUAGUGAUCCAAGAUCACAUUGAGCCUAUAGGAAAAGCCAAUACUAUCAAGGAGGGAUGAGGUGUUGCUUAAUGAGCCUCUUGCUUCAUGUGCUUAGUGAUAUGCUCCAAAACCCUCAUCUACUUUCUCACAUCCACAAAUGACCUAAACCCAAAGCCAAAAUCAGUCACACCGAUUCUUCCUAUCCGGGGACACCGAAUUCAAAUGUCAUAGCCACUGCCACAAACCCUAGGCAAAUCGGUUUUACCGAUAGGGAUCUCGGUCUCACCGAGAUGGGAUUGUAAUCUCUCUGUUUCCCUUUGUAACGUUUCAUUCAAACCAAAGUGAGCAAUCGGUCCCACCAAGAUUGCAAUGUAAACUCUCUGUUUCCCUUUUGUAACAUUUCGGUCUCACCGAAAAGAGCAAAUCGGUCCCACCGAGUUUACCUGACCAACUCUCUAGAAAGCUUAUUACCAAAAUCGGUCUCACCGAGUUUGUGUAAUCGGUCUUACCGAGAUUAAGUUAUGCCCUAACCAUAACCGAAUCGUUCUCACUGAGUUGCAUGUCAAUCCCACCGAAAAUCACUAACGGUCACUAGGUUUACUAAAUUGGUCCGACCGAGUCAGUUGAAUCGGUCCCACCGAGUUUGGUAAAUUGUGUGUAAUGGUUAGAUUUUGUGUGGAGGCUAUAUAUACCCCUCCACCUCCUCUUCAUUCAUGGAGAGAGCCAUCAGACUAAACCUACACUUCCAACUUACCAUUUCUGAGAAAGAACCACCUACUCAUGUGUUGAGGCCAAGAUAUUCCAUUCCUACCAUAUGAAUCUUGAUCUCUAGCCUUCCCCAAGUUUCUUUCCACUCAAUUAUUCUUUCCACCAGAUCCAAAUCCUAUGAGAGAGAGUUGAGUGUUGGGGAGACUAUCAUUUGAAGCACAAGAGCAAGGAGUUCAUCAUCAACACACCAUUUGUUACUUCUUGGAGAGUAGUGUCUCCUAGAUUGGCUAGGUGUCACUUGGGAGCCUUCGACAAGAUUGUGGAGUUGAACCAAGGAGUUUGUAAGGGCAAGGAGAUCGCCUACUUCAUGAAGAUCUACCCUAGUGAGGCAAGUCCUUCAUGGGCGACGACCAUGGUGGGAUAGAAAAGGUUGCUUCUUCAUGGACCCUUCUUGGAUGGAGCCCUCCGUGGACUCGCGCAACCGUUACCCUUCGUGGGUUGAAGUCUCCAUCAACAUGGAUGUACGAUAGCACCACCUAUCGGAACCACGCCAAAAACAUCCGUGUCUCCAACUGUGUUUGAAUCCUCCAAACCCUUCCCUUUACUUUAUUGCAAGUUGCAUGCUUUAAUUUCCGCUGCCUAUAUACUCUUUGCAUGCUUGCUUGAAUAGUGUGAUGAUUGCUUGACUUGUCCUAAGAUAGCUAAAAUCUGCCAAACUCUAAAAUUGGGAAAAGCUUAAGUUUUUAAUUGGUCAAGUAGUCUAAUCACCCCCUCUAGACAUACUUCAAGGUCCUACAAGUGGUAUCAGUGCUUUGGUCUCCAUUUGCUUUGAUUUCCAUAGCUUUUGGUGGUCAUAGCCUUGGUUUCACAACCUAUGAGAGUAUGGCGUCUAGCGAGGGAAAUUAUCACCGUAGAGGUCCUUACUUUCAUGGUACUAAUUUUGCUAGUUGGAAGCAUAAGAUGAAAAUGCAUAUUCUCGGACAUAACCCCGCCGUCUGGGCUAUUAUUUGUAUUGGCUUGCAAGGUGAAUUCUUUGAUGGGAGAGAGCCGAACCGUGAAGCUAAUGCGGAAGAAUUGAAGAUGUUGCAAUACAACGCUCAAGCUUGUGAUAUCAUCUUCAACGGUCUGUGCCCCGAAGAAUUCAACAAAAUUAGCCGUCUUGAGAAUGCAAAGGAAAUUUGGGACACUUUGAUUGAUAUGCACGAAGGUACCGAAUCUGUCAAGGAAUCCAAGUUGGAUGUGCUCCAAAGUCAGCUUGACAAGUUCAAAAUGAAGGAUGGUGAAGGUGUCGCUGAAAUGUACUCUAGGCUUGCUCUUAUUACAAAUGAGAUUGCCGGCUUAGGGAGUGAAGAGAUGACCGACAUAUUCAUCAUCAAGAAGAUCCUAAGAGCAUUGGAUAGAAAGUAUGAUACCAUGUGCACAUUGAUCCAAAUGAUGCCAAACUACAAAGAUCUCAAGCCAACGGAAGUCAUUGGAAGGAUUGUUGCUCAUGAGAUGUCACUCAAGGAUAAGGAGGAACUUCACAACAAGUCAAGUGGUGCUUACAAAGCCUCAAGUGAAGCCCCCACACCAUCAAGUGAGAAACAAACCUUCAAUGAAGAAUUGAGCUUAAUGGUGAAGAACUUCAACAAAUUCUACAAGAGUAGAAGCAAAGAAAGAAGCUCCAAGUCAAGGUCUUACCAUGACAAAAGAUCUUCUAGUCGAGAGCGCAAUUGCUACAAUUGUGGGAGGCCUGGACACUAUUCCAAUGAGUGUACGGCACCCUACAAAAGAAGAGAAGAUUCUCCAAAAAGAAGAAGUAGAAGAGAAGAAUCACCACCAAGAGAGAGGAGGAGUAGAGAUGAUCGUUAUGAACGAAGAUCCUCACGGAGAAGCAAAGAUUCAGAAAGGAAGGACAAGUCAUCAAGGAGAUACACAAAACGAAGACAUCAAGCUCAUGUUGGUGAAUGGGUUUCCAGCUCUGACUCCGACAAACACUCCUAGAGAAACUAUCACUCCGACUCCGAAUAUACUCAAGAUGAAGGUGUUGCCGGUCUAGCACUUGUGUCAACCAACUCCUACGACAUAUUUGAUUCACCAAAUGAAGGAAUUGGAAGAUGCUUCAUGGCCAACGGUCCAAAGGUAACACAUCCUGAGUAUGUUGAUUUCAAUAGUGAUGAAGAUGACUUGCUUGUGGAUGAUGAUUUACUUGUUGACAACUCUAGUGAUGAAUACUAUGAUGAAACGUCAAUUAAUCAUGCUAAACAAGAUAAAACGAAUGACAAUGAUAAGGAGAAGAUUGAGCUUCUAACUAAAGAACUAAACACUCUUAAGUUAGCUCAUGAAACUAUCUUCGAAAAUCGUCGAGAACUUUUAAGGGCUCAUGAGAAGUUACGCUUUGAAAAGCUCAAUCUUGAGCAAGAGCAUGAGUUCUUAAAAGCAAUCAAUGAUGAUCUCCGUAAGAAAAGUUCUUCUUACAUUGCCAAGCGUUUACUCCUAUCUACUUACAUGCCUCAAGUCAAGUCUAGUAACAAGUACAAGAAAGAUACUUCCUCUAGUAGUAACAAUAACAAUGUCAAAUCCAAUAUUGUUGCUUCUAGUAGUUCUCUUGAUUCCACUAAUGAUUCUCUUAGCCAAGUUACACUUGAGCAAGAAAAUAGCUUAUUGAAGGGAAUUAUAGAGAAAGGUGUUUACAAGAGCCUUGCCGGGAGUAAGCAAUUCGAGGAAAUUGUACACAAGCAAGGAAGGCACCGGAAGAAUCAAGGUGUUGGUUUUGAAUGAAAGUUCAAUGCCAAUGGAGUUGAGUGGGAAGAAUAUCAAUACCCCAAGACGAAGUUUGUUCCUCAACAAGUGAAGUAUGAUCCUACUUCCUUUAAGGGAACACAAGCUCAAGAUGAUCUUCCACCACAAGACCAUAAAGGCAAGGACAAGCUUCAAGAAGAGAUUGAUGCAUUUGAAGAAGCACCUAAGGUCUCGGUCAAGUGGAUUCCCAAGACUACGUCAAGUUCUACUUCAUCAAGUACAACUACAACUCCAAGGAUUCCCAUCAAGAUGAUGUGGAUCCCGAAGAAGAAGAACUAGAGAGUUCUUGAGGGUGACUCCGCCAACAUUCUUCACUCAUAUUAUUAUGGCAAGGACAAGUGCAAUCAACCUCCACAUCUUGCACUAGUUCAAGGAGUCACAAACCCUCAUGUUGGUAAGGCAAGGAACAAGGUAACCUAAUGUUUUCAUGGACAUCAUCUUGUGUGUGCAUCACUCUAUGUCUAUGGAUAUUCUUGUUUGUUCCUUGUGGGACUAACCCAUGUAGGUAUGUUGAAAGUGCAACUCACUCCAAUGGAUUGCUCCAAAUGAUCUACAUCAACAUUGAGCAUCCACAUCUUCAACACCUACAUGAAGUCAUCAUCGACAAAACCCAAGGUUAGUUCAUCCCUCUAAAAGGGGAUCUCACAUCUAGGGGGAGCUUAACUCUAAGACUUGAGUCAAAGCAACUGUAAUGGUGUGAACACAUCAAUGCAUUAUGUAAAAGUGGUAACCCCACUUGGGCUUAAAUGAUGAGUAUGACCUAUGAUCAAAUGUUUAUCAUUUGACUCCUAAGUCAAUAUACUCAUAUAUAGAUGACCUAGUCAUCGCCAAUUGUUUGAUAGAUGCUAGAAUUGGUUGUGCAUGCUUUGCUACAUAUUUCUUUUGCCAUCUUAUUGUGUGAGCAUGUUGGUGCAUAUUUUACUCAUUUAAGGACAUCCACUUGUUGUUUUGAUUGUUUGGUUCUUCCUUCUUUUGGCCAAGUGGAUGGACAAGAAUGCCUAAGAACUUUCUCUAGCUAUCUAUGCUUUUCUCGUCUCAAACUCUAUUCAUGCUACAUCACAAAAUUUGAUCAAGUCAGAUUCGAACCACUCUGUGUGAGGAGCACUCGGAGUCCCCGAUUCGUCAUAGACUUAAACUUCCAAAACUUCUUUGUGAUUCUCGGUCUACCGAUUCCUCCAUUUCGGUCCAACCGAGAUCACUAAGACAAUCUAGGUUUUCAAUCUCGGUGCAACCGAUUUGAACUUUUUGGUCACACCGAGUUGCUGUAACUGAACAUAGUUAUGCAUCUCGGUGCCACCGAGUUGUUCCACUCGGUCACACCGACAGGGUCGGGCUAUAUAUAGUCACGGGCAAAAUUUGAAAAUUUCUCCGAAACCCUUCGCCCAUGCAAUAGCUCGCUCUGCCUCCAAGGUCUCCGGAUCGUCUCCUCGUCGCCAGCAGCCUCCUGUCGCUGGUCUCUGCCACCGUCAACGGAAUUCAACCCCGCCGUUGCUGCCGUAGCGAGUUCAUCGCCAAGCUAGGGUAUGGAUUGAUCACUGUGCUAUCCUUGUCCGAUUCCUAGCACAUUGUGUUCUUAUUGAUUCUUGCCACGAUUGAAACACUCCGAUCCAAUCCGUAGAUUAGAUGAGAUUUGAAAAUUUAGGGUUAGUUUCCGCCGAAACCAUCUUGGACCCACCGAGUUGAAAAACUCGGUCCCAUCGAUUUGGCUUAUGCCAUUGCGCUAGUAACUCUCGGUCUGACCGAGAAUUGCUAAUCGGUGCGACCGAUUUUAGGACUUUGUGAAACCCUAGCAGUCUUGGUGCCACCGAACUGUGAUUCGGUCCAACCGAGUUCAUCAGUUUAGGUUCCAAAACUGCUUCGGUAUCACCGAGUUUGAAAAUCGGUUGAUCCGAAAUGCUUUCUGUGGAAAACUAAAACUGAAUUUUUUGAAUCAUUCUUUUGCAAAAAUCUCUGCAUUUUGUGAUGCUCAUCCACUCCAUCUCAUCUAUAACUCUUUAUAGGGUCAGCAGUCAGAGUUUGCAGCAUGUCAGACCAGAGUGACAGUCAGAAUAGGUCAGAAGGGCAGAUGCAAAUGAGUGAGGGCACUAGUCCCUCCAGCACUUCAGAUGAAGGCAUCAGGAGCACUCCUAGCAACCUGCCUAAGGCUGCUACCAGGCAAAGGAAGAAGAGAACUUUAGACUAUGAAGAUGAGGAUUAUAGAGCUGAAGAGGAUGAAGCUACUUCCAAGAAGGUAGUGCACAAGAAGGUGCUUAGUUCAACUGCAGUAAAGCCAGGCAUGAAGAUCAAAAGGCCUGCAGGGAGACAACCAAUGUCCAAAGCCAAGCAUCAACUCAACUGCCUGAGAUGCCUGAAGAGCCAGCUGCUGAAGGAAAGAAAAGGAAGGAAAGGGUCAAGAAGACCAUGGCCAGAGUUGUUGGGCAACCUUCCAUGAUGGAAGAAGAAGAGCUUGCUGCACCAGCACCAAAGGCACCAAAGCUUAUGGGAGAUGCUAUUAGAUCAGGGGCUGCAACAUCUAAGCCCAAGGAAGCACCCAAAGCUGCCCCCAAGGCCAAGUCUGCACCAAAGAGGAAUACCAGGAGUAUUCCAGCUGCUGAGAAGAACAAGGCCCCAAUGCCUGAGGUUGUUGAGGAGGAAGAUGAAGAAGGACAAGUUUUGAGGAAGCUCAAGCCCAAGAUACCAGACCAUAAUGAUGCCCAUCCUGUAGCUGAGGACAUGACCAUCAGAAAAGCUUCAGGGUUGAGGCUAUGGAGGAUGACAGAUCCAUAUGCCACAAGGAGAAGAACUGAUGUUGAUUACAGGUUCCAUACAAAGGAACAUCAGGCUUCUAUGAGACAAUCUUGUUGGACAAAAAGCCCAUUGUGUGUGAUAUGAGGUGGGUCGACUAGACCUACAUGAAGGAAAAUGAAGAACACUAUCCAGGAGUACAAGACAGUUUUGUUGCUUGUGGAGUUGCAGAUUUUGUUGGGCAGAAGCUCACCAAUUGGAACGAUGAACUCAUUAUGCAAUUCUACUCCACAGCACACUUCUAUCCAGAUGGAAGGAUAGUUUGGAUGUCUAAAGGUACAAGGUACCAGUCAACUGUUGAGGAGUGGGCAAAACUGAUAAAUGCCCCAAAGGAAAAUGAUGAUGACCUGGAUGUAUAUGCCAAGAAGAAAAUGGGACAUAAUACCAUGGCUCAUAUGUACUCCCUCCGUCCGGAAAUACUUGUCAUCAAAAUGGAUAAAAGGGGAUGCAUCUAGAUGUAUUUUAGUUCUAGAUACAUCUCUUUUUAUCCAUUUUGAUGACAAGUAUUUUCGGACGGAGGGAGUACAAGGAGAUCCCAGACAAAGCCCUAGAGACUUUCUCUUUUGGAUCAGUCCACUUUCUUAUGUCAGGGCUGCCUACAAUCAACUGGAUCCUAAGGCACACUCUAUUGCCUAAGUCUGGUGACCACAACAUGAUUAGAGGGCAUGCAAUCAACAUGUUGCAUUUGUUUGAUGUGCCUCAGAAAUUCAAGGUCAUGAGCCUUAUAGUAGAAACUAUUAAGAGGACUGCAGCAGAUCAUAAGAGGAGUUGUGGAUAUGCCCCUCAGAUUCAGGAGUUGAUUAACUCAAAGAUGGGCACAUGCAAAUAUCUAUUGGAUAGGGAACAUUUUCCUCUCUAUCCAGACUUUGAGGACAAUGAGGUUGUCAUGAAUGAAGAUGAACCAUCAUCAGUUCAAGAUCAAGAGAAGAAGGAGAAGGCAAGGAAGGAGAAGGCUGCCAAGAUGCCAACUCAAGAGGAGGCAUCUGAGUAUUUCUUGAAGAACAAGUAGGAGCAGCUUGGUUAUUUGAUAGCAUCAACACUGAGGAUUGAGAAGGGGUUGGCCACCUUAACUCAGAAUCAGGAGAGCUUGGAAAGAAUCAUGGAACAAAAAUUCUAUGAUCUUGAUGUCAAGGUAACUGAGAUUCAGUCAGUUGUGGAGCAGCUGCAGGAUGACAUGCAGGAGAGGAAGGGCAAGACUACCACUAAUGUAUUUGCCAGAGUGCCUAGAGUUCAGAGGUCAGCUGCAGUGCCAGUGACAGACACUAGAGCAACAUCAUCUGCACCAGCCACAGCUCCUACAGCUCCAGUGCAACCAGCUCCAGCACCAACUCCUCCAGCUCUGUCUACAUCAACUGAAGCCUUCAUCCUUGGAGUUAUCCGGACACCACCAACUGAAGAUCAAGCCUGAGAGUCGAUCUAACACUAUGCAUUUUCUAUGAACUUUUUGGUAACUUGUUGCCAAAGGGGGAGAAAAAUGUAUAGAUCAUAGGCUUCGAGAGAGAGAGAGUGUUGCUUUUGUUCUCUCUUGCUUUGGUGGUUUUAAACUUGUUUGUUUUUUGAUUGCUUGAGAUACUAUGCUAUUCUUGUGAGACAUUGAUGAUCAUGUGUUUGAUCAUAAGCUACACUUAUGCAUGUUUGAUCAUAUUAUCCUAUCUAUCCUAUGUGAUCAUUCACUUUGCUUGGUGAUGAGUGCAUGUAUUUAAUCUUUAUCAUUUUGAGCGCUCCACCAAGAUGUAUGUGACAUGGAAGAGUAACCCAUGAGCCUAAUUCCUUGUGCAUUUGCAGUCCAAAGCAAAUCUUAAACUAUGCACAAAUUUAGGGGGAGCUCUUGCUUAUCACAUACUUCUCAAAGCGACGAUGUUUUUCAAUCUUAUUAUCAUUUGUCGAAGCUUUGAUCUAUAUGUUGUCAUCAAUUACCAAAAAGGGGGAGAUUGAAAGUGCAACUAUCCUUAGGUGGUUUUGGUAAUUCAUAACAGCAUAUAGCUCAUUGAGCUAAUGCUAUUCCAAGACUAAUAUUUCAGGAAAGCUCAAUGAAUGGCAUGGCAUGGAUGAUGAAAGUGGAUCCCUCAAAAUACUAAGGACAAAGGAUUGGCUCAAGCUCAUUAGCUCAAGACUCUUCAUUUUAUAUUUUAGUGAUCCAAGAUCAUAUUGAGUCUAUAGGAAAAGCCAAUACUAUCAAGGAGGGAUGAGGUGUUGCUUAAUGAGCCUCUUGCUUCAUGUGCUUAGUGAUAUGCUCCCAACCCCUCAGCUACUUUCUCACAUCCACAAAUGACCUAAACCCAAAGCCAAAAUCGGUCACACCGAUUCUUCCUAUCCGGCGCCACCUAGUUCAAAUGUCAUAGCCACUGCCACAAACCCUAGGCAAAUCGGUUCUACCGAUAGGGAUCUCAGUCUCACCGAGAUGGGAUUGUAAUCUCUCUGUUUCCCUUCGUAACGUUUCGGUCAAACCGAAGUGAGCGAUCGGUCCCACCAAGAUUGCAAUGUAAACUCUCUGUUUCCCUUUUGUAACAUUUCGGUCUCACCAAAAAGAGCAAAUCGGUCCCACCGAGUUUACCUGACCAACUCUCUGGAAAGCUUAUUACCAAAAUCGGUCUCACCGAGUUUGUGUAAUCGGUCUUACCGAGAUUACGUUAUGCCCUAACCCUAACCGAAUCAGUCUCACCGAGUUGCAUGUCAGUCCCACCGAAAAUCACUAACGGUCACUAGGUUUACUAAAUCGGUCCGACCGAGUCUGUUGAAUCGGUCCCACCGAGUGUGGUAAAUUGUGUGUAACGGUUAGAUUUUAUGUGGAGGCUAUAUAUACCCCUCCACCUCCUCUUCAUUCGUGGAGAGAGCCAUCAGAAUAAACCUACACUUCCAACUUACCAUUUCUGAGAAAGAACCACCUACUCAUGUGUUGAGGCCAAGAUAUUCCAUUCCUACCAUAUGAAUCUUGAUCUCUAGCCUUCCCCAAGUUGCUUUCCACUCAAAUCUUCUUUCCACCAGAUCCAAAUCCUAUGAGAGAGAGUUGAGUGUUGGGGAGACUAUCAUUUGAAGCACAAGAGCAAGGAGUUCAUCAUCAAUGCACCAUUUGUUACUUCUUGGAGAGUGGUGUCUCCUAGAUUGGCUAGGUGUCACUUGGGAGCCUCCGACAAGAUUGUGGACUUGAACCAAGGAGUUUGUAAGGGCAAGGAGAUCGCCUACUUCGUGAAGAUCUACCGCUAGUGAGGCAAGUCCUUCGUGGGCGAUGGCCAUGGUGGGAUAGACAAGGUUGCUUCUUCGUGGACCCUUCUUGGGUGGAGCCCUCCGUGGACUCGCGCAACCAUUACCCUUUGUGGGUUGAAGUCUCCAUCAAUGUGGAUGUACGAUAGCACCACCUAUCGGAACCACGCCAAAAACAUCCAUGUCUCCAACUGCUUUUGAAUCCUCCAAACCCUUCCCUUUACUUUCUUGCAAGUUGCAUGCUUUAAUUUCCGCUACCUAUAUACUCUUUGCAUGCUUGCUUGAAUAGUGUGAUGAUUGCUUGACUUGUCCUAAGAUAGCUAAAAUCUGCCAAACUCUAAAAUUGGGAAAAGGUUAAGUUUUUAAUUGGUCAAGUAGUCUAAUCACGCCCCCUCUAGACAUACUUCAAGGUCCUACAGUGUGUGUGUGUGUGGGGGGGGGGGUCUUUCUAGUCCGCAUUCAUAUAUACACCAUCUAUAGGUCUCUCUCGCACACUAUGUAUGAUACUCUAGCUAGUCCAAGCUAGAUAUCUUGGGUGCACUCAUCGUACGCACACAAAUUCCUUGGCUCUUUGCCCGUAACUCUAUCACGCACCACUAUGUCGUCUCGAAGCUCUUCCCCCCUCUCUCAAACUCUCCAUCCACCUGGGUCACACAUACACAUGCAUAUCUCACUCGCACUCAAUAGGCCCAUCUAAAACUCUAUCUCUCUCCAUCGUUCUCUCUCCAUAUCACAUGCACACACACACACACACAAUCUCAUGCCCAGCUAGCCAAGUAUGAUGGUCUCUCACUUAAUUGUAGGCACACGCAGUCCCCCGUAUAUGUAUAUGACUAGCUAAUCUUAGUCUCCAUCACAAACAUGUGCAUGGUCUAUCUCGAUUUCUCUCGGGGCAUCUUUCUAUCGCGCACGCACUCCCUCGAUCUCCCACCCAUAUAGUCCCCUCACGAUCUCGAGGGGAUCUCUCUAUCACAAACACACCCUCUCUCCCUCCCCAUGCGUCCAUGCCAUCCAUGUGUCCCUCUCGACCUUUUUUCCUUGUUGGCCAGACCUCUAUUGGACAUGUGCUACAGGGGUGUCUCUCUCCGUUGCAAACAAUCACACACUAGCUAUCUUCGUGUAUCUCCUCGCCUCGCUUUUCCAUCUCGGAGAUGCAUGCGUGAUAUGUUCGCAUAAGAAACGAAAAAACACACACUCUCUCUAAUUUAUUGUUUGUUGUCACUUUCUCUUUCACACACAUACUCUUUUUGCACACUUACUCAUUCUCCUUCACACGCACUUGAUCUGUCUCGACUGAGGCACUCACCUCCGUCCAUAGCACAUAGAUUUAUUGAAAAGUCAAACAUCACAAAGUUUGACCAUGUACGUGGAGAAAAAGAGUUACAUCUAGUACGGCAAACAUAUACCAUUAGAUUCACCAUGAGAUGUAGUUUUGUAUGAUGUAUAUUUGGUAUUGUAGAUAUAAAUAACAUUUGCGUAAACCGGAUCAAAGUUUCCAAAGUUUGACUUCUAAAAAAUUUACAUGCACUGCAUUAUUGAGUGGAUGGAAUAUCUCUUUCCCCCUCUCAGCUAUCUGACGCACCACUCAGCAUUAUCGGGGCUCCUCAAUCUCUCUCAAAGUUUAUUGGUCAGUUUGGUUCGUGACCUGACCCUCAUGCCUUGAUGGUCGGUACUGCCUGGUGUGGAUGUGAGAUGUAAAAUAUUUCUGCCUGGCUAGGCUUGUGUGGUGCUGAAGCGUUUGGUUCAUGCCUGGGCCAGGCAAAGCAUCAACGUCCCAUCAAUCAAUCCAUGCAUCAAUUAUUUAAUGCUAAUAUCCAUCCAUGUUGCUGUUAGCCUCAUGGACGCAUGACCAGGCACGGCCAGGCGUUCGAAAUCGGUCGCUUGGGCCAGGCUACUUGCAGUGUCUGGAGUUCAGCCAGGCUAAUUAAAGUGCAAGGGAACCCAGCCCAGGCGGGCUUUCUUUUUCACAGGGUAGCAACCAAACAAGCGUGCAUGAAAUCCAGUCACAACCCCAGGCCACGCAAAAGAUGCUCACGACGCAAGCCAAACGGGCCUUAUAUCUCCGUGGUUCACACAUACACAUGUCUCGCUCGCGCUAUACAUAUAGACCCAUCGAACACUCUCCGCCCUUGUUCUCUCUCCAUGUGACACGCACCCCCCUAAGUACCAUAAUGCCUCACUCCAUCAUAGGCUCUGUUUGGAUCCAUGGGUUAGAGUUAGUUAGAGUUAGUUUGGGUUAGUUUGGAGUCAACUAACCCAAAAAGAUACAAACAGGAGGGUUAGUUUAGGUUAGAUGCAUCUAACCCAUCCAAAAAAACUAACCCAUCCAAAAGGUGCUUAUUUGGGUUAGUUCUUCUCGGGACCACUAAUAAACACUUUUUUCUCCCGCUCUCCCUGCAGCAGAUCCCUCCCCACUUUCUCGAAGCUUCUCGUCCUCUCCCUCCCUCCCUCUCGCACCGCCCAUGAAGGUGCCUCGCCGUAUUCGCGCUCCAUCUAACCCUGCCAUCCAAACACCUCUUUACUUAGAGCUAGUUCAGGGUUUGAAUCUAACUCUAACCUCUAACUGAGUUAGAGUAUCCAAACAGGGCCAUAGGCGCAAGCACUCCCCCCUCCUAAGUAUGAUUAUCUCUUACUAGCCAUCAGGAACACACGUAUUGUCUCCUUCCACCCAUACGUCUAUCUCGAUAUCUCUCGGGGCAUCUUCUAUAGCGCACACACACCUUGUCACUCGAUCUCCCACCCAUGUAGUCCCAUAACGAUAUCCAGGGGAUCUCUCUAUGACAAACAUACACUCUCUCCUCCCCAUGUCUGCAUUUUCUCCGUACGUCUCUCUCGACCUCUCUCCCUUGUUUGUCAGACCCCUCUUGGCCACGUGCUAGGGGUCUUCCUCUCUCGGUUCCAAACAACCACACACUAUCUCCUCACCUUGCCUCCAUUGUCGAAGAUGCAUGUGUGAUAUGUUUGCAUAAGACACGCACGAUUUUUCUCCACUUUUAUCGUGUGUUGUCCAUGUCUCUUUCACACACGCACACACACUUUUUUCACUCUCUCUCUCUCUCUCUCUCUCUCUCUCUCUCGUCAGGGACUCUGUCACGUCCAUAAGCAUAUGGAUGUUUUGAAAAGUCAAACCUCAAAAAAGUUUGACUAGGUAUAUGUGGAGAAAAACAUUUACAUCUGGAAUGAUCAUUAGAUUCAUCACAACAUGUACUUACUUCAUACUAUCAUUUAUCUUUGGUAUUGCCGAUAUAAGUAAUUUCUUUAUAAACUUGGUCAAAGUUUCAAAAGUUUGACUUUAAAAAAUGUUGUAACUACAUUAUCGAACGGAGGGAGUAGCUCUUUCUCUCUCUCUCUGCUAUCUCUCAUGGGCCUCCCCUCUCACUCGAACUCUCUAUACCGACGGAUUAUACGCUCACUGUGUCAGCGUAUAGCUCUGUAUAUUGUUUAGUUGACCAGUCAACCAAUCCACAUGCUGUGUUGUCAGCUCAUGUUCUGUAUCUUGGUGUGCUGGCCCUUGUGGCAGUGGGUGAAAAUAAGUAAACUAGAGGCCCAUCUGACACGUGGUGAAGGAAACAAAGUUGAAACCACUCGGGGUAGCACCCUACACGCUAGUAAAUUGAGGGCGCAUUGAGGACAAACUUCUUGUGCGCGAAGGACGCACUCGCGCACAAUUCACCACUACGCGGUGGCAUGCACAGAAGGACGCACUUGCGCAUACCCAACACACAACACACACCAGCACACGUGUACACCAGCGUCGCCGCCGGUUGAGAUGGAUGGCGAGGCAGCCAACAAGCGGAGGCCGCUUGAGCCAAAACCGCAUCCGGCGAGCCUGGACUUCAUCAGAACCCUCCCCGAUGACAUGCUGCUCGUCAUCAUCGGCCUCCUCCCCACCAAAUCUGCCGUGCGUACCGCCCUGCUCUCCCGGCGGUGGCGCCCCCUCUGGCGCUGCGUCCCCCUCAACCUCACCGUCGACAGAUGCCUGUGCGAUGGGGAUUGCAAACGCAUGGCCGCAGUCUCCAAGAUCCUUUCAUCGCACCCUGGGCCAGCCAGACGCCUUGACAUCCGCAUGUUCAGUACCAACUGCAAGGUCCAACCCAAGUUUGACGAGUGGUUCUUAUCCCCCGCCCUAGAUCACCUCGAGGAGCUCAGCUUAGAAGCUGGACGAUGUGGCUCUCUGCCGCCGUCCGCGCUCCGCCUCACGCCAACGCUGCGCCGCGCCAGCUUCAGCUCCUGCUAUCUUCCCCAGAUUAAUGUUGCGCCCGCCCUUCUUCUCCCUCAACUCAAGCAGCUCGACCUCUUCGAUGUUGUCAUCUCGAAGAAGGCUAUGGAAAACCUGCUCCGUAGCUGUACUGCGCUCGAGUACCUUCGUCUUGAGCAGAUCCACAGGUUCAUUAGCCUCCACAUCGCCUCGAUGAAUCUCCGAUGGAUUUAUGUGUCUUGCUGGCCCCACAACAAGAGAACAAUUGGGAAGAGAUCACUCCAGCUGUUCAAUGUUAUGGUCAUUGAGAAUGUGCCUUUCCUUGAGAGAUUGCUUGUAUCGGAUCUAGAAGGUCCAACAAAAAUCAGGGUCAUUAACGCGCCGAAAUUGACAGCGUUGGUGUACUCGUCUGCCAAAUUCUCCGAACUCUUUAUUGGAUCCGUAAUCGUUAAGGUACAACACUCAUCUUCUUCUCCGUAUUCUUGAAAUUCACAUUUUUAAAUUUCUUCUUGAUGUAUUUACGAUCGUCUUCCAGAAAAUGAUUCCCACAAGCUUGACCCAGUCCAUGCGCACAGUGAAGAUCUUAGCACUAAAAUCUAUCGGCCCCAAUCUGGAUCAAGUUGUUGGAUUCCUUACAUGCUUUCCAUGCACGGAGAAGCUACACAUCGAGGUGAAACUUCUUUCCUAUUAGUAAACGGUAAUCACAACGUAGCUCAAUUUUUUUCGUAAUUUUCCCAAAUUACGAUGACAAGUGUAGUGUUUAAAACUGCAUCUACGCACUGCACCGAAAGAAAUGUUUUUAGUAUUUUUUCUCACGUGAUCACCUGCAUCAUUUUUAUGCUGUACUACUAUAGUACCCUAGGCUAGUCAUAGUGUAAAGUAACUUAGACUACUCCAGUAACUCUAUGGUUACCCUAAGAGCAAGUACUACCUCUGUCCUGGUUUACUCUUCCAAUUUUGUAGUAUCAAAAUUUGACCAUAGAUUUAACUGACAAAAAGUUAAUGCAUGUCACUAAGAACUAUAUCGUUGGAUUCGUAUUUGAACAUAAUUUCAAAUGGUGUAAUUUUUAGUGACAUGCAUUGGCAUUUUCUUAGGUAAAUCUAUGGUCAAUAUUUUAUAUAAAUACGAGGUAUUAUUCCCUCCGUCCCAAAAUUCUUGUCUUACAUUUGUUUAGAUACGGAUGUAUCUAACACUAAAAUGUAACUAGAUACAUCCGUAUUUAGACAAAUUUAAGACAAGAAUUUUGGGACGGAGGGAGUACAAAAGUGGGCUAUGUAGGCCAAAACAUGUGCCAAAUUCACUUGUGAUGCAUUCGGCAUCGAUGCCCCUCCACUGUUCACCUGGUGCCCCAAUCUGGAGCACCUACUUUGCUCCGGUGCCAAAUUAACUCACGCAAUGAAAAAAACACCGCGUGGGAGAGAGAGAGGACUAAGGCAAUAAAAAAACACUUGUUUGGGAGAGUGAGAGGCUGGUGUAGUUGGUUUGAUUGAUUUGUUUAUACAUGUGGGUCUGUGUGCACAGCGGUGCCAACUCUCUCACAUCGUGAGAGUGGUGCCAAAAUCUUUUGAUUUGACAUCGAUGCGUAUUAUGUGGCGUACUUUUGCGAAAUAUGGCAUCGGCCACAUAGUGGAAGGCAACAAAUGCCCAAGCUCUUCAGUGCUCCUAGUUAAAUGAGAGGAAACAGAAACAAAGAGAGAGAGAGAGAGGGAGAGAGAGAGAGAGAGUGAAAAAAUAUCACUAGCCAGCCAACCCUAUCGUAUGAGCGAAUGAUAUUGGUACCUCUUGAUGACACAACAAUCGUAUGUAGCCAGUUGCUCUAAUAUGUUCUCUUCUUUUGCAGAUAAAAAAAGACCCGAAAGUGAAAAAUGUGCUGCACUAUAACUAUCUCAUCGAAUGCCUUGAUCUCCAUCUUACAAAAAUUAAUUUGAUCGACUACCGAGGCAGCACAUCUGAGAUUAAAUUGGCCAGGUUCUUUGUUCUGGAGGCAAGUGUGCUCAAGGUAAUGAGGUUUGGCGUUCUCUGGCACAACAAUGAAUGGCGUGCUGAUCACCGCAAGCGUCUAAGCCUAAAUGACAAAGUCUCCGCAGAAGCUGAAUUUGUUUUUGAAACAUCAAGUGGCCAGAGACUCGAAAACUUAUUUGCCCAUUAGUGACUUGUCAGGGCAGUGGAUUUUAGUUUGUACGAUAGCGCUGCAUCCACCUAAAGUAACGAAAGUUCUUACGUGAACUUCCUAGUAAUUCCCUCUUCCUAGGUGCAACAUUACUCCUAACAUUUGUCAUAUCAGUUUGAAACUUGUAAUAUCUCCGUGUCCUAUUCCUGCGUUUUCAAAAUCCUGCGAAUCAAAUAGGUCCUGAGUUGGUGAUGAUGUUGUGCCUCCCAUCUUUCACCAGUAGCCGUCGGAUCUAGAUCUGACGCAUACAAACCAAGCUUCUCCAUUUUUGCAAAAAGAUGCCCGCACUUGUUCCCUAUUUACAAACAACUCCUUGUCUCUCACAAUCAGCCUUAUCUCCUCCCCACCACAUCUAGAAGGCCGUGGAAAAAUCUGGCGUGAUGGCCGCUGCCGCAGCAGUCCACCCCCAAUCUUGGUGUUCCGUGCAAUGCACGGGCAUCUACGCACGAGAAAUUAUGUCGAAUAGGGCUAGUUGUAAGCAGGCUAGCUCUACAGCCAUGAUGAUAGUGACUGCAGACGGUGAGGCUGACUAUGGUAUGCCGAACACGGCGCCUAUACUCAGGUGUCAUCUCCGGCGCAUGGUCUUGUCACUUCACUAUGAGGAGCAGCAUGUAAUAAUUUGACCAACGGGUAGUACAGUGCUAGUACUCCUAGGAGUACUACAUUGGUAGUACUACUACUAGUACUAGUAGCACCACCAUCUGGAUUUAGGAGUACUACCACGUCCAUCUGGAUUUUAGUAUUUGACUAGCAAUAUCUAGUAAUGCAUGUCACAAAAAAUGUACUACUCCCUCUGUAAAUAAAUACAUGGUGUUUUAUUCCUAUCGGCGAGAGAACUUAAUGUUUUCUUGCUAACUAGAGUCUUAAUAGGAUUACAUGCAAUGAACUAAACACUGCAUGGCAUGUUUGGUAGUCUCAAGUCAUUGAAAGCAUGCACGGCCCACAUGUCUCAUUGGUUGAUAUGUCAUGAAAUAAGAAACAAGGAGGGAGUUAAUGCCCCGUGCCUAAGUGUUUUGGGAUUAUUUGGUUUUCGUAAUGUGACUUACACAACAUUUUUGUUUACAUGCAUUAACAUUUUAUUAGUUAAAUCAAAGGUCAAAACUUGGCGCAAAAUGCAAAGGGGACCAAUAAACCAGUAAACAUCAAACUUCUCUCGUUUGGCCCCAACUAGAGGUCCGGUGAGAUGACUAUACUGCACCGGCACGGAGGGGGGUGCAACUUCAUUGACUUACAGCAACUGCCUUUGGGUGAAUGACACAUGGGCCUAGGGGGUGGCUGGCCCACCUAUCAUACAGCCAAAGGCAGGUGCAGUAGAGGGCCGAGGAGUAGUAUGAAAUCCUACGCACCUACGCACGCUAACCAAGGGCAAGAGUGAUCACUCAAAUCGCAAGAUCAGUUGACUAGUAGAAGCUAAGCUAGACCCAUGGAGGCGAUGAGCGCGAGCAUCAGCCGGCUGUGCCAGAUGGUCCACGACGCCGGCCUGCGGCCCGGCAACGAGGAACGUCUCCAGGUAGUAUUGCUUGAGGCCGGCAGGGCGAGGGGCCGUUUGGAUGACAGCUUCGUCUCCUUGUUCGAUGAGGUCCUCGUCGGUUUCCUCGACAAGUUCACCGUCGUCAAGAAGCUCGCGGACGACUUUGAUGUAAGCCUUCAGCCGACGUGCCCUGGCUCUGCGAUGCCCGCCACCCUCAACGGCCACUAUGGUGACAACCUCUUCGACGCACUGGUGGCCCUGCGACUGCCCGCCGUCGCGCCGGAGAAUAUCCACCUUGAGGUCGCGCUCGCCACGCAGCGCCUGGUGCAGCAAGACACCAUGGACAUAAUCACCCAUGUCUACGCGCAUGCAAGAGGAGGACAAUAGGAUGCUGGCCAUCUUGGACCGCAAGGCAACCUUGGACGCACUAUUCAGAAGCACGUUGAGCUCGCCGCCAAUGCCGCUUCUCCUCACACAUCGGUUGGUGACCCGGCGCACUAGGGCGUGAGGAUGUCGUUGAUGGAUCCGUAUGUAUUUUUAUCUUUCCGUCAAAUCCAUGUAGUAGUAUAUGAUACUACAGUAAUUAUCUUACCUUUCGCAUCAACUUCAUAAUUUUCGUACGUACACCAUGCAUGAACGGCGCCGGAACCAAACUUCUCAUUACUCUAGGCAAAAUCAUUAUUUUCUAUCUAUUGAUCGCGCCAUGGAGCAGAACCAAAUUUUACAAGUUACGAGUUCAAAAGGAAAAGCCUGCCGUGUUCGCGUCGCACCCCCACACGGUUGGUCCGACAUGCCGCUCAAGGGGGAAUGCGUGCGGUGUUGCAUUUUCACUUACAAGUGGGACCGUAGUUGAGCAAACCGACUAUCGGCAAACCCCCACCCCGCCCACCGCGCGAUGGCUGAGAAAACAGGAGGGAGAAGAGAUGGCUGUAGCACGGACUCCAAGAAAAUUGGUGUUAGAUGGGACUCGUGUGGGUGGCGUGUGCCGUAGUGCUAGACGUGAAUGCUAGUUAUGGCCCAUGCCACCCCACUAUAUCGAGCCUAUAUCGAGGUACAGUACGUAGAACAAAUUUCCUGCAGUCCGUGCUCAACACUCCUCUAUCUCUCUUCUCAGCCAGCCAGUGGACGCGUGGAGACCAUCGUCUGUUUGCUCACAUGCGGUCCCACAUGUCAGUGAAAACGCAAGCGGACCCACUGAACCUGCACAUCUUUCACCUCGACGUGCUGGUGAUGAAAAACAAAUCCAAGAAAGAUCUUCGGUGGCCGCUUUUGAAGUUACUCAAGAGUAGUAAGAUUCUAUUUAUAGUUUAACUCAAGAUGCACAUCUCGUGGCUUCAACUUAUCAACUACCACUCUAUUUUCUUUCAUGACACGACCUGGAUGCUGGAUGUCCCACGUGUCGGCAAAAGGGGGAAGAACCCGACCAAAUCUUCGGUUGUGCUCUCGGAUUAGACUAGUUGUGCUAACUUAAAUUUUUUAUUGUGUACUCCCUCCGUUCCAAAAUACUUGACUUCCAUUUAUCCAAAAAUGGAUGUGCCUAUAUACUAAAACAUGUCUAGAUACAUAUAUAUUUUGACAAAUAGAAGGCAUGUAUUGUGCAACGGAGGGAGUAGAAUGGAUGCAAGUUUUUGUAUUGGGAAGAAGAGUACAUCCAUAUAUAGAUAGAGGCAAUUUAUUAGAUGCUCUAUCACUUUUAGCUAGCACAGAGGCUAUAGAUGAGAUUGAUGCACUUGUUGAUACUCCUACUUGGUAUGCGUGUUGCUGCUUAGACGCAGAGAAAAACAGACCGGAGGGAGUACUAGAAUAGAGGCUAGACAUGAGACUAGAUGCAAGGAAGCAACGUCUACUUCUUUACACUCGAAGAAGAAAGAAGCACGCAAGAUCGAGCCUCCGCAGAUCAACAAUGAAUGCAUCAAGAAGGCACUAAUCCAACUUACAGGAGUAGUAAAAUGUAUUCUUGUGGUUCUUGUUUUCUUUGGUCUUUCUUUUCUAGUCAAAAUUAUCGUUGGAGUUCGUGCAAAACGGAGGUCCGUUUGGGGUCGUGUGUUGCAGUCGGCCUUACAAGUGGGACCGCAGUUAAGGAAACCGACUAUCGGCAAACCCCCACCUCGCUCGCCGCGCGAUGGCUGAGUUAGAGAAACGAUGAGGUUGAAGAGAUUGCUCUAGCAGGGACUCCAAGAAAUAUGAUGUCAGAUGGAAGUCAUGUUGGUGGCGUGUGCCGUACUCCUGGACGUGAAUGCUUGUUCUGGCCCAUGCCACCCUACUACUACUACCACUUAGUACUAUAUAGUACUACUAGUAUCGAGGAUUCUAGGUGCUGGUUACGUAGUACAGUAUGGCUACAGUAAAAACACCCGCACGACGCGCAAAGCAUGUGAAGCUAGUACAAAUAGUGUACUACUAUUGUUGAUUGGCCCCAUCCGAUAACCUGUUGCAAUGCAGGUACAAUUAUGUAUUUGGAAAAUAUAUUUUUUGCCUCGUCGCACCACUCACUCACAGAAGCAACUCAAAAGCCAUUCAUAAAUUUAGUAAGUUUAUCAUAGGCAUAUCAUUUUAUUACAUACAACAGGUCAUCAACCCACAUCGACAACGAGGAUACAUUAUAAAUACUAAAGUUUUCACCACACAACAAAUAACAAGCAAUGAAAUGAACUUCAACUCAACCAUUCCUCGGUGUUGGAAAUGCUUGCUUUGAACCACAAGUGAUUCUCUGGGAUGGGCCAUCCAUUGUCGAUCUGGAGACCAACGCAGGACUGAUCAUCCAGGCUGAAGCGGCCUACUAUAUCAGUACCAGGGUAGGGAACCACCCAAAUGUCCGAGGUAUAGACACAAUUGCUUCUCAUAAAUGGUAGUAACAUUGUGUCAACAGCAGUUGGAUCGCCUUUCACCAUCAUUGGAUAGUUUUGUCCAAGGAAGAGCGAGUUUUCUCCAAGACUAUCAAUUAUGUACCAGGGAGAAGGAGUUGGUGCUAGCACACUAGUAUCCAUCCCGAAUACCAUGCAAUGGGUGUUGGAAUAGGUCCGAAGAGUGCGACCAUGGGAGACUACACCUGCUUCCUUAGCAGUAACAUCAUCAGUGGGCUGUAUACACACGAGAAGAGGUGACCCAUCGGAAUUAGUUGCCAGGCGCCAAAUAGUAUAUGGGUGCUGCUCGUCCUCAUGCUCGUGAUCAUCACCAUCAUCAUCUCCCCCUUGAUUAUAAAAAUCUUCAAGUAUAGGUGGUGGAAUGUUCACAGGACCUUGGAAACACAAGAAGAAGGUUAAUUAGUAAGGCUGGCCAUAGUGGGGGUAACAUACUACCUCUGUCCUGGUUUAUAGGUCCCUUUUAUAGUUUGUGCCAAAUUUUGACUAAAGAUUUAACUAACAAAAUGUUAGUGCAUGUCAAGAAAAAUUAUCUCAUUGGAUUCGUAUUUGAACAUAGUUUUGAAAAAUAUAAUGUUUGGUGACUUGCGUGAACAUUUUCUUAGUCUAAUCUAUGGUCAAAAUUUGGCACAAAAUACAAUGGAGACCAGUAAACCCGGACAGAGGUAGUAAGUAGUAUCAUGCACUUGGGACUCGCAAACAUGCUUAUGUGGCAGGCAAUUAAGGAAGAGAGAGAUGGUUAUAGUAACAUAGGUAGAUACCGUAACAUAAUAAAUGUGAUGCUACUAUGUGUCAUGCAUGGCAAUAAAUGAGACCACCUAUGAUACUAAUCUAAGAUACUAUGCACUAUAGAGGUAGUAACAUAAACUAGUAACAUAUGCAUGUUACUAGUCUAAGUUACUCCCCACUAUGACCAGCCUUGCUAACCCGCAUGCAUGUGGAUGAAACAAUUAUAAUUACGGUGGGAGACAAACGUACCGAAACAACGAGGAUGCCAUGCAAAAACAGUGCCACGAGUGGUGGCAGCAAACACAAGGCCCUCGUAUUGAAUUGCAUCACAGUACUCAUCCGUGUACAGAAACUGAUUUUUGAGAAAUAUCCAUCCAGUCAAACCACUGAUGACAGCAACAAGCUUGUCGAAGAUAGCAACAACUUCAUAGUUGUUGUAAUUCCAAGAGCGGUUGGGGACUCGAGAAAUUGCUAUCUUCUGUAGAAGACAAUCACCAUGAUUGUAUUUGAACGUGCGUACAAUACCGGCGUGCUCAACCUCUGGGCAGUCUGCUGAGAUUUUUGGAAGUGGAACCCGGUCACGAGUGUACACAUUCACAAGUUCCCACUCGCAGUUCGACCCAAUGUAAACAACCCAAUCUCCAUUUGCGCCUGCCCAAGCCUUGCCCUCAAGCGAUGGCAUCUUAACAUCAUACGUAUCAUUAUCAAGCGGCAUCAACUUGCACAGGGCGAGGCCUCGGCGUGACGGCGCCAGUCAUCAGGGUCACGGCGAAGAAGGUAGGGAGAUCAAACCACUCCUUGACUCUUGGGUUCCUUGUAAUGAUGUUAUUAGUUGAGUCGAGAAUGGGCUUGAACGAACCUGCCAUGCUAGCCGAGGUGAUGACGUCGCACCGAUCAAUGAGUUCCUCCACCACAUCAUCUUUCAGAUCGGGGCAAGAAUAACGGGGUCGUUUCCAUCCUGUUCCCUCCAUGGAGAAGACGAUCGAACAAUGGCAGAAGAAAGGGUGAAGGGCUGAAGGAAAAUGGAGGAGGGAGAGGAAGAGCGUGCGACAGCAGUUCCCAAUCGAUAGGAAAUGCGAAGAGUUGGUGGACGGUUGCCAGUUUGCCACGGUUCACGAAGGGGCGCCUCGGCCUACACGUCGGUUCGGAAAUACUCCUACUGCUCGCUGUCGUCUCACUGAUAUGUGGAACGGGACCACAUGUCAACGAGACAUGGUGUGUAACUUCUCGUGCAAAAUGCGAUCUGGCCGCGUUGGCCCGAGGUGCCGCAUUAGUUAUCGGCCUUUAUUUUUUUAAUGGCGCGUCGUUCAGUUUUGAAGCACGACUAACUGGUACUAUACGUAGAGAAAAUAUAAACUACUCUACCACUACUCCACCUCCAAUACUAGUAGUAUAAAGAAGAUAUAUAGGCUGGAGCUUCAGCGCUUUCUUGCCAAGGGCUGCCUACUUGCUUCUCACACUACCACCCUCUCUCCAGAUCUAAAAAGACGGGCCCUCUCUCCCUCCUCACCGGUGGUCACAGAUCCGCCGGGGAAGAAAAGGACGUGCAGCGGUGACGCACUCGUCGUCGACGAGCGAGGUCACGCACUGACGACAAGGCCGUCCUCUCAGGCCUAGCGCCUGCGCGGGAUCGCUGCUGUAGUGUGUGCGGAGGACGACGACCACGAGCGAAGCCACUUCCCGCCGACCCUCAAGUAUGCUACCUCUUUUCGAACCAUACCCUUGUUCUAUUGCCCCAUCUGGCACGUCGUUGCAUGUGGAUCUUUUUCCACUCCACCAUCUUCCCAAUUUGCUAUCCUCUGCUCUGCUGGCCACGCAGACGAAAACCAUAAUUUGCACUAUUAAAGGAAAUCCUACUUCAUGCAGACUAAUGCAUGUCUGGGUUGAAUAAGGAAAGGAAGGAAGACUGUACUGUCCAAGAGAGUAGGCAUCGAACCCGCAUCUAGGUUGAAAAGGGGAAAAUCAGUAGCUAAGGAACAAGUCUCGUGUCUCUUGGUUGAAGAAGGGUAGAAAGGCAUGACAACGCAAUAGAGAAUGAACAUGUCGAUCAGUUUGUUGUCCUCACAUAGGAAAAAGGUGGCUAAAGAGAACAAAGUUGGGACGUAAUCCACAUAUGCUGCCUGGAUAUUUGUUGCUCUGGGCAACCAUACCUCCCUCACCACUCUGCGUCCAUGGAGGUACAUCAUAUUUGUCUCUAAUGCCUAUCUACUACAUACCCGACAUCAUGAUGUAAUGUUAAGUCAUUUCCUUUUGUACAAUGUAACUAAAUUGUCAAGGCGGUGAUGGCAUUUUAUUUUAGUAGAACUGCACAAAAUUUGCUUAAAAGAAGAGGAAAGGUCAGGAAUGGCUUAGUUUUUCAGAAAAAAACUAUGUAUGCCUUCCUGACAUCAGCUGCUGUUGCUUUAUUUAUUCCUUCAAACAGGUGGUUAGAAACAGUCUUGCUACCUUUUCCCAUUAAGAAAUUAGAAUGCUUAUAUUUGUAAGUAUAUGCUUCAACUAGUGCCACUUUUAUAGUAAUCACACUUUCAAUAUCUAUGCAAAUAGGGAUGCUCGAUUUUAGUGGAGCUGCACAAAAAGUCCAACUAGUUCAACAUUAGGAGCAUGUUUUUUUCCAAACCUAUAUCCAAUUGGUGGCACUAUGAGUUGUUCAUUACGAAGGUACAUGGUUUGCUACUAUCUUGCUACUCUUUUUGUACUGUCAUUAGAUAGUAAUACUAGUGGUUUGCAUGUGAAUUUAUUGGCAGGGUGGACCUACAUUGGAGGUGCAGGACAGGAUUCAAUGAUUGGAUGCUCAAUUUCGGUUGUAUCGAUUUCACCUCUUCCAUCACUGCGAACAUGGUGUGGUAUAUGUUUACUAGUUGCUUGAUAUUUGUGUAGACAGAGAUGUCUGCCCGUUGCUAUUUGGGAAACAAACAAAGUGUGCGCAAUUUUGGUUGAACUGCACAAGAGAAUAAUAUAGUCACUGCUUGCAGUGCGAUUUGAAAAUAGACACAUAGAUUGGAUAGUUACUUCAUGGACUGUAGAAAAGUAGUACUGUACUAUUUACUGGCCAACAAUUGGUGCUUCAUUGCUUUGGUCUGAUUAUACAAUGGGCAUCAUUUUCCCUAAGUUAAAGUUUGUAUUCCAAAAAUAGUCUCGCGGUGUGAUCGAGAGAAGACCAAAUCAUAUUGCAGUGGAUGUUCCUCCAUCAUGUGUGGUUCAUUAUCAUGGUUCCAGCUGUUGGUGAAACCACUUACGUUUGCAAGAGGAAUUGUAGACUUCACAAACAAAUUUGUCUUUCAUUCUAUACUGAAUGUUGGCCAAGAGAAGCAUCCAUGUUAGUAGGAAGAACAGAUAUUUUUUCUACAUCUUUGCUUUUGGAGCUACAUAUUUGUAUAUGAUCUGUGAAUCAUUGAGAUGCAUUAACAUGUUGAUCUUAUGUAUGGGAAUCGUACUAGUUAGUUUUAGUUGCGACGCAAGAUCCAAACUGGCUGAUCUUUGCUUUUGGAGCUACAUAUUUGUAUAUGAUCUGUGAAUCAUUGAGAUGCAUUAACAAUUACUUAUUUCUGUUCACUCAGUGUUUACAAGUUACUAAUCGGUCACUAGCUAGCCUACUAAUGUGCUCCUGGCAGUUUUAUUUGCGACGCAAGAUCCGAAGUGGCAGUUUUUUGAAUAAAAAUGCCUACCUCUGAAGAAACUGACAAGCUACACUAUCCUACCUACUCGAUCCUACACGAAUAAAUAGUGGAUCACGCACGUACUACCAUGCUUCAUGCUAGUGCGACUUCUUCAUGUCAUGAUGAUGCAGAGCAUCCUUCGGUCAUCCCCAUGGACCUUCCAUCGUCUCACCAGGCACCAAGAGGACCCAUGACUAGAGCACGAGCCAGAGCUCUCGAGACCGAGGUGACUUCUCUCCUUUGUGAUAUCUCCUUUCCGGUUUGCAGGGCUCAAUUCAAGAAACGACCUACUCAAUUCUACACGAAUAAAUAGUGGAUCACGCACGUACUAGUACCUCAUUUCCGGUUUGCAGGGCUUAAUUCAAACCUCUCACCAACCAAGGUACUCCCUCCGUCCGGGUUUAUUAGUCCUGUGAGCAAAGCAACAAGACCAAGGCAUGGCAAUAAUUAACGGCAUGCAGAAGUUUAAGCCUAAUUAAUUCCAGCGAUUUAAGUGACUGCAUGCGUGCCCUCGGCUGCGACUCGUUGCAUGCUACUCCGCGUACUGGCUGCGAGCAAUUCUGAGUGCCUACAUGCAGCCGGCCGUAAUUAAGGCAGCUAACUGAUGCAAAAAAAGAUGAGCUUUAAUUGUUGCGGGCUUUUUAAAUUCAUGGAAUCAUUAUUGACAAGGAGGGAGAUGAUUCGAGUGCACUCGUUUGACCGCCAUGCCGGCGUGCGACCCAGACGGGACGGGAUGGCACAGUCAUAAUUUCAGUUUCUCUAGUUUUCGACGGCAAGUUGGCACGCUAAGCCAUUAUGCAUUGAAUUCCGAUGACCGUCGCGCUACCUUCCGCCUAUAAGUAUUGUUUCUCGGCCUUCUCCGGUGGCACCAUGACCCAACUCGCCAUAGCCUCAUAAGCCCCCACCGGCCCGACGUCGCUCGCCACGUCCGCCAUGCACCCGCCCGUCCGCGGUAGGCGACGCCGGAGGCGGUCACCACCGGAACUAGUGUUCGGUUUUUCACCGGAAGGCAGAUGGAGGGAGGAGGCAUUCUAUCUGUCUUUUGAUGGCAAUGCGGAGAUCGAGGAGUUGUUGGAGCACAACUGCCUGGCGGAGGAGAAGUAGUUGUUGGAGCGCAACCGCCUGGCGGAGGAGCUGUGUAUCGCUGAUUUGCGCCGCCAUCGGGACAUGGAGCAAUAGCGCACCGACGCUCUGAGUCGCGAGCAGAGCGCCCGCAACUAGGCCGACUACAUGGAGGCCAGCGCCCGGAAAAUAGCCCUGGAGGCUGUCGGGCACGCACGCGUUCGUGAUGCCAAUUUUUACUACCAGCUUGUCAAGUGGGUUUCCCGCUUGGAAGCCGAAGCUUCGGUGGACCACGCCGACAUGGAAAGGGCCAACGCGCGUGAGCAACGCGCCCUAUCGCACCUCUUGGAAGUCCGAGGCGAGGCGCAGGACGCCGGUGCCGGCGUUUAGCGUGUACCACAGAUGGCGGCCGGCAUCGUCUAGUUAGCUAAGAGUAAGUUAGUACUUGUACGCUACUAGAGCAUUAGUGGCAGUAGAUAGUUAACUUGGCUAUGAUGGUGGUCAACGUGGAAGUUCAGUACUCUAUAUGUGGAUCAGACCUGUUACUUUGCUCAGAAUGUUGAACUUUCUGUUUGAACGUAUGGAAUGGGCUGUUAUUUUUUAAAUGGGUUGUAUUUGUCCUCCACGGGUUUAGAGGCUGACUUGUGGGCCUAUCAAGUUGAUGCGUACACAACCAGGAGAUGAUUGUACGUGGAGAGGAUGACAACAGGGACCCGCCAAGGUCAUGGCAGUAUGCAAGAAAGUGCCUCCUUAUUUCAAGCCAAUAAAAAAUGGCUCUUCCUAGUGGACUUAUGACAUCUGGGUCCCAUGCCAUUGUCAACGUAGUCAAUAAAUGAGAGAAUUGCGCCACGAGCGGCUGACACCAGGGACCCAGCAACUCGCCCAGUUAUUUUUGUUUUGGGUUAAUUUGAUAAAUGCCACUCCAAAUCGGGUGUUUCCGAGAAAUGCCACUGCAAUUUCCAAACUUUGAAAAAUGCCAUUUCAUGCCAUUUCUAGUGGCAUUUUUCAAAGUCUAGAGUGGCGUUUUUCAAUGUUUGCAAACUGCAGUGGCGUUUUUCAAAGUUUGCAAAAAUUGCAGUGGCAUUUUUCAAAGUUUGGAAAUUGCACUGGCAUUUUUACGAAUCGCCAUAAUUGGAGUGGCAUUUAUCUAUUUUUUUUUGAGAUGGGAGCAGGGUGUCAACUGGGCUGUGCGGGACACUCUGGCCUGUCUAGACAGCCUUUUCUUUUUAUGUUUACCACAGACCAGCCCAGUAGUUUUUUUUCUUUCUGAAAAUGGCUAGCACAGUUUUUUUGUGAUUUGUCAAGUAAGUCGCUUUAUCAGGCCUGUUGGGUUGUAAAUCUUUCAAGACGAGGAGAGCUUCAUUCGGCUGGCCAAGAAAAUGGCCUAUCAGUAAUGAGAAAUGGGUUGUACAUUUUUAAAACACAUCAACCGGCAAUUAGUUUCAAAUAUCUUUUUUUCAUUUCGAGAUUUUAAAUUGCAUUGAUUUUUAUGCAUGGACAAUUUAUUGGAUUUUAUAUUGAUAUACAUUUAUUUUUAAAAGUCUGAAUGUGACUCGAUAUUUCGGGAUUAAAAACAGUUCAUACCGUGCCGACAUAUGCAAAAUUUCGUAUAAUUUUUUAACCAUGGCCACAAUAUGGGUUGUAAUGCUAAGAAAAAUAAUAUGGGCACCAAAAAAACCCGUAAGAAUUAGCAGAAGGGCUGUAAAUUAUUUGAAAUAAUGGCACAUGGCAUGUAUGCUGUUUUCCACUGAUUUGAGGCUUUCCUAAAAAAAAGGUUGACGCACAAGCAGUGACUGUUGGAUGUCCAUCCAACGGCCGUCGUGCUUCUUCAAUCUCUGCUCUUCCUGCUCCAGUCGCUCAAACAAGCGCCGGCGGGACUGCCUGCUCCCUCCUCCCCGCGGCCGGCUGUGAUGCCAUGCAGGCCUUACUGCCCCACCGUACUCCCAUCGCUGGCCUAGCCAUCCCUCUACUCACCCACACCUGAUGUUAUUCUCUGGCGACGGCAGACGAACCAGUAAACCCUCGUACAGUCGUACUCCCCUCCGUGUGGGAAACAACUGUCGAGUCUUCCCUGGCUCCGUGUCGUUCCCAUCCUAGGCCUCGCCGUUGUCCACUGCCCUGGUGCUCUAGGCGUGGCGUGGUCAACAUGGUCAACAACCGACAUGCAUCUGAAGUGGACUGUACGUAGAGAGGCUGACAUCUGGGUCCACGGCCGCACGCAAGGAAAUGCCUCCUUAUUACGCGUAAAAUAAUGAUUCCUCCACCUGACAUCUGGGACCCACCGAAAGGGCCUCUGUAUUUCGUGAAAAAAACAUUACCGCCGCUGACAGCUCGGACCUACCAGCUAUAUCUUCGCACGCAAGGAAGUGCCUCCUUAUUACGCACAAAAAAAUGAAUACUCCCCCUGCUAGCUGGGACCUAGUAUAGUGGGCCUACUAAGUUGACAGGGACGGAGGGCUUUGUCAACUUAGUCAAUAUGCACGAUUCUAGCUCGACUGACCGUACGAUGUCCAUCCAACGACCGUAGUGCUUCUUCAACCUUCUGUCUUCUUGCUCCAUCCGCCCAAAGCAGUGCCGGUCGUGCCGCCUGCUCCUGCCUCCCGUGGCCGACUGUGCUGCCACGGAGGCCUCAUCGCCCUCAUACUACUCCCACGGAUGGCCAGGCCAUCCCUCCACUCCACUCACCCACACCCCAUGUUAUUCUGCGACGACGGCAGCGCAGCUGAACCAGUGAACCCUCGUACUCCUCUCCGUGUGGGCAUCCACUACGCGUCUUCCGCGGCUCCGCGUCGUCCCCUUCCUCGUCCACCGCCAUGGUGCACUCGGCGUGGCGUGGUCAAUGUGGUCAACGAUCGAAUUCCAUCAGAAGAAUACUGUACGUGGAGAGGCUGGCAGCUGGGUCCACGGCAGCCGCAAGGAAGUGCCUCCUUAUUACACGAAAAUAAUUAUUCCUCCACCUGACAGCAGGGACCCACCGGACUGGCCACCAGUAUUUUGCGAAAAAAAACGUUUCCCCCCUGACUGCUAGGACCCACCGGACGGGCCACCGUAUUUAGCGGAAAAAACAUUUCCCCCUGACUGCUGGGACCCACCGGACGGACCAUCGUAUUUCACGAAAAAAACGUUCCCCCCGCUGUCAGCUCGGACCCACCGGAAGUGCCUCCUUAUUAUGCACAAAAAAACGAAUACUCCCCCUGCUAGCUGGGACCCACUAUGGUGGGAGGCUGACUUGUGGGCCUACUAAGUUGACUGGGACGAGGGCCUUUGUCAACUUUUGUCAAUAUGAAUGAUUCUAGCUCCAGUGACCAUACGAUGUCCAUCCAACGGCCGUAGUGCUUCUUCAACCUCUAGUCUUCUUGCUCCAGCCGCCCAAAGCAGCGCCGGUCGUGCCGCAUGCUCCUACCUCCCGUGGCCGGCUGUGAUGCCGCGGAGGCCUCACCGCCUCCUACUACUCCGGCCAGGCCAUCCCUCUACUCACCCACACCCCUGUUAUUCUGCGGCGACAGCAGCCUCACACUGCAGCCGGACCAGUGGACCCUCGUACUCCUCUCCACAUGGGCAUCCACUACCGCGUCUUCCCCGGCUCCGCGUCAUCCCCUUCCUAGGCCUCGCCGUUGUCCACCGCCCUGGUGCUCUCGGCGCAGCAUGGUCAACAUGGUCAAGGAACGACUUCCAUCAGACAUGGAUUGUACGUGGAGAGGCUGACAGUUGGGUCCACGGCCGCAGCAAGGAAGUGCCUCCUUAUUACGCGGAAAAUAAUGAUACCUCCACCUGACAGCAGGGACCCACCGGACAGGACACUGUAUUUCGCGAAAAAAUGUUUCCCCCUGACUGUUGGGACCCACCAACUACAUCUUCGCAUGAAAGGAAGUGCGUCCGGAAAAUAAACGAUUCGCCCCCCUGACUGUUGGGACCCACCAGCUACAUCUUCACAUGCAAGGAAGUGCCUGACAGUCGGGACCCACCUGGUCCAAGCGCACGUAGCAUUGUCAUUCUGGUCGCGAACGUGUAUGUAAAUACUGGUGGAUGUAGAGGCGCGUACGUGUCGUAGUAGAGGCGUGCACAUGUCGUACUAGAGGCGCGUACGUGUCGUAGUAGAGGCAUGCAUGUAGCAUGUACACGUACGUACAACGACCAGUGUGCAAGAAAGAAAAUACGGCCACGUAUGUGUACAUACGGGCGGGGUCUCGAACACCUACUCGCGCAUACGUACGGCCAGGGCUCGUGUACAUGGCUGGGUCGGAACGGAGAAACAGCAUCGUCGUCGUGUUCAUGGGGAGCCAACCGGCUGGGUCGGAACGGAAUGCGUCGUCGUGUUCAUCGAGAGGGCUUGGACGAAACAGGCGAUGGAAACGAGGCCUAGCGUACCGCAGAAUGGAGGAAACGGCCUUGUGUUCGACCAGCCACAUUCGAAACAGGAUCCUGCUCAUUGGGAGGGGUCUGGCGUACCACAAAACGGAGGAAACGGACUUCCUACGGUCGAAAUGGGGGUCCUGUUGAUCGGGAGGGGUGUGGUGUACCGCAAAACGGACGAAACGGACUUGUGUUGGAGCGCUACAGUUGAAACGGGCAUCCUGUUCAUCGGGAGAGGUGUGGCGUACCGCAAAACGGGACUCCACGGGAUACUGUUCAUCUCCAUCGUCGACCUCCUCCAGCCUCCACGGGCUACUGUCGACCUCCUCCAGCCUCCACGGGCUCCUGUUCAUCCAGCCUCCACGUGCUCCUCUUCAUCCAGCCUCCACCGCGCACUACUCCACGGGCUACUGUUCAACCACCCCUCCACGGGCACCCCUCCACCGUCUAUUGUUCAUCCAGCCCUCCACGGGGUCGUCCUGUUCAUCCAGCCCCAACCGGCUCGAUCGAUCGGGGUCCUGUUCAUUGAUACGUCUCCAACGUAUCUAUAAUUUUUGAUUGUUCCAUGCUAUUAUAUUACCCCUUUUGGAUGUUUAUGGGCUUUAUUUUACACAUUUAUAUCAUUUUUGGGACUAACCUACUAACCGGAGGCCCAGCCCAUAUUGUUGUUUUUUGCCUAUUUCAGUAUUUCGAAGAAAAGGAAUAUCAAACGGAGUCCAAACGGAAUAAAACCUUCGGGAGCGUGAUUUUUGGAUCGAACGUGAUCCAGAGAGCUUGGAGUGCAAGUUAAGAAGCUACCGAGGAAGCCACGAGAUAGGAGCCCCCCCCCUAUAGGCUCCGCCCCUUGUCUCGUGGGCCCCUCGGGCGUCCACCGACGUACUUCUUCCUCCUAUAUAUACCUACGUACCCCGAAAACAUCCAGGAACACCACGAAACAUAAUUUCCACCGCCGCAACCUUCUGUAUCUCCGAGAUCUCAUCUUGGAGCCUUCGCCGGCACUCUGCCGGAGGGGGAAUCAACCACAGAGGGCUUCUACAUCAACAUCCUUGCCCCUUUGAUGAGUUGUGAGUAGUUUACCACAGACCUACGGGUCCAUAGUUAUUAGCUAGAUGGCUUAUUCUCUCUUUUUGGAUCUCAAUACAAUGUUCUCCCCCUCUCUUGUGGAGAUCUAUUCAAUGUAAACUCUUUUAGCGGUGUGUUUGUCGAGAUCCGAUGAAUUGUGGGUUUAUGAUCAAGUUUAUCUAUGAAUAAUAUUUGAAUCUUCUCUGAAUUCUUUUAUGUAUGAUUGAGUUAUCUUUGCAAGUCUCUUCGAAUUAUUGGUUUAGUUUGGCCUACUAGAUUGAUCUUUCUUGCCAUGGGAGAAGUGCUUAGCUUUGGGUUCAAUCUUGCGGUGUUCUUACCCAGUGACAGAAAGGGUUGCAAGACACGUAUUGUAUUGUUGCCAUCGAGGAUAACAAGAUGGGGUUUAUAUCGUAUUGCAUGAGUUUAUCCCUCUACAUCAUGUCAUCUUGCUUAAUGCGUUACUCUGUUCUUAUGAACUUAAUACUCUAGAUGCAGGCAGGAGUCGGUCGAUGUGUGGAGUAAUAGUAGUAGAUGCAGGCAGGAGUCGGUCUACUUGUUAUGGACGUGAUGCCUAUAUACAUGAUAAUGCCUAGAUAAUCUCAUAACUACGCACUUUUCAAUCAAUUGCUCGACAGUAAUUUGUUCGCCCACCGUAAUACUUAUGCUAUCUUGAGAGAAGCCUCUAGUGAAACCUAUGCCCCCCGGAUCUAUCUCUUAUCAUAUUUGCUUUCAAUCUACUUUUAUUUGCAUCUUUACUUUUUGCAUCUAUAUUAUAAAAAACCAAAAAUAUAUUUAUCUUAUCAUACUAUCUCUAUCAGAUCUCACUUUUGCAAGUGGCCGUGAAGGGAUUGACAACCCCUUUAUUGCGUAGGUUGCGAGUUCUCAGUUUGUUUGUGUAGGUGCGUGGGACUUUUGAGGAGCCUCCUACUGGAUUGAUACCUUGGUUCUCAAAACUGAGGGAAAUACUUACGCUACACUUGUUGCAUCACCCUCUCCUCUUCGAGGAAAACCAACGCAAGCUCAAGACGUAGCAAUAAGGAUUUCUGGCGCCGUUGCCGGGGAGUUCUUCGCUCAAGUCAAGAUAUACCAAGUAUCCAUCACAAACCCAUCUCCCUCGCAUUUACAUUAUUUGCCAUUUGCCUCUCGUUUUCCUCUCCCCCACUUCACCCUUGCCGUUUUAUUCGCCCUCUCUUUCCCAAUCUCCUCCUCUCUUUUUCGCUCGCUUUCUUCCGCCUUGCUUUUGUUUGUUUCUAUGACUGAAAUUGGGGAGAUUAUCAUCGAUAUGGACAAUAAUGAUAACACAGAAAAUCCCGAGGCUCCGGCCGAUGAACCCCCUAUUUUGCAUACUAAAAAGUUUCGAAUCGGUAGUGGUAACAUCAUUGGCAAAGGUGUUAUUCAAGAUUUCUUUACUUGUGCCCGUGCUUUAGCUUCCAUGGGUUGUUCUAUUCUUCAUAGAACUAGUAGUCUUGCGGAUGCUAUCGCUAUGCUUGUAGUUGAACUUGAAUGACAAUUUAUGCAUAUGCAUCCUUGCAUACAAAGAAUUUUCCUAGAAUUCUCUAAUAUUGAGCAUUCUUCUGUUAAGCGUGCUGUUACUAUCUUUUUGGCUCAUGAGUUUAGAUUUAUCAUAAGAGAGGCCAAAGAAUUCUUUGCGCACUAUAGGGUGGACGUCGGUCGUCCUCCCAUAGAGGCGAUCCUCUAUGAUCAAGAGGAAUUUAGAGGUUUUCAAUCUUCUGACUAUGUCGCUUUUAAUGAAAACCUUAGAAAAAAGGUUCCUACCAAUGUCUUGAUUGAUUGCAUUAACGAACUUAAUAAUGUUUUUGCUCUUCGAAACAAUGGGCUAGGAUACUCUCUUGAGUAUAGGCUCACAAGAUUUUGCCAAAAGAAUGCUUUUAGUGAUGAAAUAGUUGUGCACUAUGAAGGGCCGAAGGAGGAACCCGUUCCUCCUGUGAUUGAUCUUGGGGACCUUUGUCCCACUAAAUUUAGCCCUUUUGAUUACUUUUGCUUGCCUCAGAGAAAAUUUGCUGCUGAACAUAGAGAAUAUGAGAUGAGCUUUCAAGAUCUAUCUUAUUAUUAUGGCACUCGUUAGAUCUAUCUUUGCUUUUAUGCUUAGCUAGGGGCGUUAAACGAUAGCGCUAGUUGGGAGGCAACUCAAUUUUCUUUAUGUUUUUUUGUUUUUGCUCCUGUUUAGUAAUAAAUCUUGCAUCUACUCUCUGUUUAGAUGUGUUUUUAUCUUUUAAUUAGUGUUUGUGCCAAGUAGAACCUAUAGGAUAACCUACGAUGGUAGUUGAUUUGAUUCUGCUGAAAAACACAAACUUUGCACUCACGAGAAAAAUUCAAUAAAUCACAGAAACGUGAUUUUGCAUCGAUUCUUUUUGCUGAUGAUAAAUAAACAAAUUUCCCAGUACGUACUAUUUUGGUAGGAUUUUUAGAGUUCCAGAAGUUUGCGUUAGUUACAGAUUGCUACAGACUGUUCUGUUUUUGACAAAUUCUGUUUUUCGUGUGUUGUUUGCUUAUUUUAAUGCAUCUAUGGCUAGUAAAUUAGUUUAUAAACCAUAAGGAAGUUGGAAUACAGUAGGUUUAACACCAAAAUAAAUAAAGAAUGAGUUCAUUGCAGUACCUUAUGUGGUGGUUUUGUUUUCUUUCACUAACGGAGCUUAUAAGAUUUCCUGUUGAGUUUUGUGUUGUGAAGUUUUCAAGUUUUGGGUAAAGCUUUUAUGGACUAUGGAAUAAGGAGUGGCAAGAGCCUAAGCUUGGGGAUUCCCAAGGCACCCCAAGAUAUUCAAGUAUAGCCAAAAGCCUAAUCUUGGGGAUGCCCCGGGAAGGCAUCCCCUCUUUCGUCUUUGUUCAUUGGUAACUUUACUUGGAGCUAUAUUUUUAUUCACCACAUGAUAUGUGUUUUGCUUGGAGCGUCGUGUACUAUAUUAGUCUUUGCUUUUUAGUUUACCACAAUCAUCCUUGUUGUACACACCUUUUUGGAGAAGCCUAUUUUAUUAGAAUUUGCUAGAAUACUCUAUGUGCUUCACUUAUAUCUUUUGAGCUUGAUAGUUUUUGCUCUAAUACUUCACUUAUAUCUUUUAGAGCAUGGUGGUGGCUUGAUUUUAUAGAAAUUGCUAGUCUCUCAUGCUUCACUUAUAUUAUUUUGAGAGUCUUUUAGAACAGCAUGGUAUUUUCUUUGGUUACAAAUUUGGUCCUAGAAUGAUGAGCAUCCAAGUUGGGUAUAAUAAAAACUAUCAUAGAAAUUGAAUUGGAUGCUAUGAUCAAUUUGUUGCUUGAUAAUUGUUUUGAGAUAUAAAGGUAGUAAUGUUAGGGUCAUGCUAGUGGAUAAUUAUGAAAUUGAGAAAUACUUUUGUUGAAGUUGGCAAGUGCCGUAGCAUGCACGUAUGGUAAAAGUUGUGUGACAAAUUUGUUGCAUGAGGUGCUCUUUUGAGUGUCUUCCUUAUGAGUGGCAGUUGGGGACGAGCGAUGGAAUUUUUUCCUACCAAUCUAUCCCUCUUGGGGCAUGCGUAGUAGUACUUUGCUUCGAGGGCUAAGUAGACUUUUGCAAUAAGUAUAUGAGUUCUUUAUGACUAAUGUGAGUCCAUGGAUAUACGCACACUCAUCCUUCCACUUUGCUAGCUUUUCUUAUUACUGCGCAACUCUCGUCGGUAUUAAACCCAUUAUUUACCUUCCUCAAAACAGCCACCAUACCUACCUAUUAUGGCAUUUCCAUAGCCAUUCCGAGAUAUAUUGCCAAGCAACUUUCCACUGUUUAGUUUAUUAUGACACGUUUCAUCAUUGUCAUAUUCCUCUUUGCAUGAUCAUGUAGUUGACAUCGUAUUUGUGGCAAAGCCACCUUCAUAAUCUUCAUACAUCUUGCUCUUGAUUCAUUGCAUACCUCGGUACACCGCCGGAGGCAUUCACAUAGAGUCAUAUCUUGUUCUAGCUUUGAGUUGUAGUUUUUGAGUUGUAAAUCCAUAAAAGUGUGAUGAUCUUCAUUAUUAGAGCAUUGUCCUAGUGAGGAAAGGAUGAUGAAGACUAUGAUUCCCCCACAAGUCGGGAUGAGGCUUCGAACUUUAUAAAAAUAAAAGAGGCCAAAGAAGCCCACCAAAAAGAAAAAAAAGAAAAAAAGAAAAAAAAAGAAAAAAGGAAGAAGAAAAAAAGAGAAAUAAAAAGAGAGAAAAAGAGAGAAGGGACAAUUGCUACUAUAUCUUUUUCCACAGUUGUGCUUCAAAAUAGCACCAUGAUCUUCAUGAUAGAGAGUCUCAUAUGUUGUCACUUUCAUAUACUAGUGGGAAUUUUUUCAUUAUAGAACUUGGCUUGUAUAUUCCAAUGAUGGGCUUCCUCAAAGUGCCCUAGGUCUUCGUGAGCAAGCAAGUUGGAUGCACACCCACUUAGUUUCUUUUGUUGAGCUUUCAUAUAUUUAUAGCUCUAGUGCAUCCGUUGCAUGGCAAUCCCUACUCACUCACAUUGAUAUCUAUUGAUGGGCAUCUCCAUAACCCGUUGAUACGCCUAGUUGAUGUGAGACUAUCUUCUCCCACUUUUUGUUCUUACAACCACCACCAUUUACCACCAUAGUGCUAUGUCCAUGGCUUGCGCUCAUGUAUUGCGUAAGAGUUGAAAAAGCUGAAGCGCGUUAAAAAGUAUGAACCAAUUGCUCGGCUCUUCAUCGGGGUUGUACAUGAUGGGAGUCUUUUGUGUAAUGAAAAUGAAGCAUGGCCUAACUAUAUGAUUUUGUAGGGAUAAGCUUUCUUAUGCUAUGCUAUUUUGAUAGGACAUGAUUAUUUGUUAGUAUGCUUUGAAGCAUUAUUAUUUUUAUGUUUUAUAAGCUUUUAUCUUCAAUCAUUUGGAUCUGAACAUUCAUGCCACAUUAAAUAAAAUUACAUUGAGAAUUAUGCUAGGUAGCAUUCCACAUCAAAAAUUUCUUUUUUAUCAUUUACCUACUCGAGGACGAGUAGGAAUGAAGCUUGGGGAUGCUUGAUACGGCUCCAAGGUAUCUAUGAUUUUUGAUUGUUCCAUGCUAUUAUAUUACCCCUUUUGGAUGUUUAUGGGCUUUAUUUUACACAUUUAUAUCAUUUUUGGGACUAACCUACUAACCGGAGGCCCAGCCCAUAUUGUUGUUUUUUUGCCUAUUUCGGUAUUUCGAAGAAAAGGAAUAUCAAACGGAGUCCAAAUGGAAUGAAACCUUCGGGAGCGUGAUUUUUGGAACGAACGUGAUCCGGAGAGCUUGGAGUGUAAGUCAAGAAGCUGUCGAGGAAGCCAUGAGAUAGGAGCCCCCCCCCUGUAGGGCACGCCCCCUGUCUCGUGGGCCCCUCGGGCGUCCACCGACGUACUUCUUGCUCCUAUAUAUACCUAUGUACCCCGAAAACAUCCAGGAGCACCACGAAACACAAUUUCCACCACCGCAACUUUCUGUAUCCGCGAGAUCUCAUCUUGGAGCCUUCGCCGGCACUCUGCCGGAGGGGGACUCGACCAUGGAGGGCUUCUACAUCAACAUCCUUGCCCCUCCGAUGAGUUGUGAGUAGUUUACCACAGACCUACGGGUCCAUAGUUAUUAGCUAGAUGGCUUCUUCUCUCUUUUUGGAUCUCAAUACAAUAUUCUCCCCCUAUCUUGUGGAGAUCUAUUCGAUGUAAACUCUUUUUGCGGUGUGUUUGUCAAGAUUCGAUGAAUUGUGGGUUUAUGAUCAAGUUUAUCUAUGAAUAAUAUUUGAAUCUUCUCUGAAUUCUUUUAUGUAUGAUUGAGUUAUCUUUGCAAGUCUCUUUGAAUUAUCGGUUUGGUUUGGCCUACUAGAUUGAUCUUUCUUGCCAUGGGAGAAGUGCUUAGCUUUGCGUUCAAUCUUGCAGUGUUCUUACCCAGUGACAGAAAGGGUUGCAAGACACGUAUUGUAUUGUUGCCAUCGAGGAUAACAAGAUGGGGUUUAUAUCAUAUUGCAUGAGUUUAUCCCUCUACAUCAUGUCAUCUUGCUUAAUGCGUUACUCUGUUCUUAUGAACUUAAUACUCUAGAUGCAGGCAGGAGUCAGUCGAUGAGUGGAGUAAUAGUAGUAGAUGCAGGCAGGAGUCGGUCUACUUGUUAUGGACGUGAUGCCUAUAUACAUGAUCAUGCCUAGAUAAUCUCAUAACUAUGCGCUUUUCUAUCAAUUGCUCGACAGUAAUUUGUUCACCCACCGUAAUACUUAUGCUAUCUUGAGAGAAGCCUCUAGUGAAACCUAUGGCCCCCAGAUCUAUCUCUUAUCAUAUUUUCUUUCAAUCUACUUUUAUUUGCAUCUUUACUUUUUGCAUCUAUAUUAUAAAAAACCAAAAAUAUAUUUAUCUUAUCAUACUAUCUCUAUCAGAUCUCACUUUCGCAAGUGGCCGUGAAGGGAUUCACAACCCCUUUAUUGCGUUGGUUACGAGUUCUCAGUUUGUUUGUGUAGGUGCGUGGGACUUUUGAGGAGCCUCCUACUGGAUUGAUACCUUGGUUCUCAAAACCAAGGGAAAUACUUACGCUACACUUNNNNNNNNNNNNNNNNNNNNNNNNNNNNNNNNNNNNNNNNNNNNNNNNNNNNNNNNNNNNNNNNNNNNNNNNNNNNNNNNNNNNNNNNNNNNNNNNNNNNNNNNNNNNNNNNNNNNNNNNNNNNNNNNNNNNNNNNNNNNNNNNNNNNNNNNNNNNNNNNNNNNNNNNNNNNNNNNNNNNNNNNNNNNNNNNNNNNNNNNNNNNNNNNNNNNNNNNNNNNNNNNNNNNNNNNNNNNNNNNNNNNNNNNNNNNNNNNNNNNNNNNNNNNNNNNNNNNNNNNNNNNNNNNNNNNNNNNNNNNNNNNNNNNNNNNNNNNNNNNNNNNNNNNNNNNNNNNNNNNNNNNNNNNNNNNNNNNNNNNNNNNNNNNNNNNNNNNNNNNNNNNNNNNNNNNNNNNNNNNCUAACGCUCACUGUUCAUCCCAGAGGCAGCAUCGAUCGGCUUCAGUUAGCAGCAGUAGCAAAGGAAUCGCUCGAUCGGGUUCAGUUAACAGCCAUCGAUUGAUCGCUCGGGUUCAGUAACGUGUAGCCUGCAGCGCAAUCGCUCGGGUUGAGUUAGAGCCCAACGCCUCGCUCGGGUUCAGUUAGAGCCAACGCCUCGCACACACGCGCGUACGUGUACGAGAGAAACGCGCAUCGCUCGACCCCCGACCAUCCACCGUAACCGGGAACUCCCCGAAAUUUUCCUCGCCCUCGCUUCUACCACGGUUUUUUCUGUCAUGGAAGACCCAAAGAAUGUCAUGCAGCUGCUUCUCCGGCCCGCCCAGGACGAAAAGCCCAUUUUUUGUCAUGAUUUUUUGUCAUAGAAGUAGGAGCCCACCACAUCUAUGAUGAUACCGGGUUUUGUCACAAUUAUCGUCAUAGAAGUGUCAUAUGUAUGACAGGAAAAAAAUCCGUUCAGCCCAAAAUGUCACGGAUGUGUCCUUUUUUGUAGUGAAAGUAGGAGAUUGAAGAUAGGGGAUGCAAUGGAUAGGAUCAACAAAUGGCUCACAAAUCCAUCCACAAACUCCCCUUCACAUAGAGGGGAGAUAGGACUUUGGGAGAGGUGGUAAGAUGCUCAAAAUGGUGUUAGGAAAGUGUAUGAACACCCCCCCCCCCCCCAAACCGGUGGGAGGAAGGAGCCCUUAAAUAGCCAAAACCCAAAACUAGCUAUUGUGACUCAACGGGCAGUUCCUGGACACCCUGUGCACAUGGGGAUUUAGACCCCGUGCCCAUGGUACAAGCCCGUGUGCACGGGGCCUCGUGCCCACAAGGGUCAAAAACCCCGUGUCCACGGGGUACCCAGAACAACAUGUAGCACCCCACUAAAACAGUGAUAACUUUGGCAUACAGACUCCAAAUUCGAUGAUCUUGGGUUCGUUUUGAAGCAAGGGAAAAGCCCAAGGUCCUCACAUAGAGAACCACCCAAGAUCAACAAGAAAGAAUGAUGCAAUUAAUGCAAAGGUUUGAGCUCUCUACAUGCGACGUGAUCAAGCUACUUGCCCGAAAGUCCCUCUUGAUAGUACGGCUAUCAAACCUAUAAUCCGGUCUCCCUCCAAGCACCAUGAGACCGGCAAAACUAGGAAAACCUAGCUAAGGUAUACCUUUGCCUUGCACAUUCAACUUGAGCUUGGUGAUGACUUUGACGCUUGCCUCAAGUUGGAAUCUUUUUCUUGUCCACAAUCACUUGGUGAACAUACUCGAAAUGCUUCCUCAUAUUGCAAUGAGGGAAGCCUUAACUUAAGCCCAUCUUCACAUGCACAUUAUCAUGAUGUGGACCGCAAGCUUCAAAGCAUAUAACCUUCGGCUUCUCAUCUUGCACUUGGACGCCUUGAACCCGAUGACCAUCACCACUUGAUGUCAUCGACACAUAGGCUACUUGAAAUCUCUCUUUUGAUGCAAGCCCAUGAGAAACACCUAACCCACAUAGACAUAGAAAGAACAUAGCAUGGGUUAGGUAGCAAAGCACAAUUCACAAUUACUUACCAUACCACUAGAUCACUUGAUCCCACGUAGUACAAAGAUUGCACUUUGAGAGUUGACCAUCUAAAUAAUCUUUGAGCUUCAUCUUGGUCACCCAACAUCUUUACUUCAAGUCCCAUCUUGGUUUCUUGAAAGCCACAAUGAACUCUUAAUUUCCCUUCAUCGCUUCAAGAAAGAGACCACCAAAUACUCUUUCAUGACCAUAUGAAGCUCCACUAUGAAUAUCAUAUUGGUCAUCAUUUGCUCUUCUAAAAACUCCGUCAUAAUCUAUUGAGAGGCACAAUGAAUUCUCCACUCUAGUUGCUUGCUUCAAGAGUUAAUCAACCAAAAACCCAACACAUGAGCUUACCAUGAUCUUGUCUUGAAACCAUAACUUGAAUUCUUCUAUUUGUUUAUAUUCUCAAGCUCUUGAUCCUUAAAAGCCCACAUAUGUCAAUCUUUGAGAUCCUCUAAUGAACUCCACCAUGAAUAUAUUUGGUUAGACAUUAAAAUCAAUCUUGAUGGCUUCAACAUAAAUCCCCCAAAGACCAACUUGAAGCCUCACUGAAUAUGGGAUCUCGAGUGCCAAAACCUAGGCCCCGUGUGCACGUGGGUCAGGGACCCCGUGCGCAUGGGGUAUCCAAAGAGUUGACACUCGACCGUGCGCAUGGGGUAUCCAGAGAGGAAUACCAUGAGGACUUCUUCGAAUGUUUUGAUGGCAUUCUUCUCACAUAAAUCCAACAUGCUUCAUGCAUCACUAUGGAACAUUUCUUCAUUAGGAUUCAAUGCACUCGAUGCUCCAUAGGAAUUUGUUAAUUAAUACCAAAGCUUAGAGCAAACAUAGAUUCAUAUAUAUGGACUUUAUCCUUGAUUCCAUCUAAUAUCCUUGAUGCACCAUCUAUGGACAAUUCCUUCACAUGUAUCUCAAUGAAAACAUUAGACCAUAGAGAUUGUCAUUAAUUACCAAAACCACACUUAGGGGCUACAUGCCAUUUCAACCGGGUAUUCAUCGGAUCACCGGGAGGGGUUCCAGGAGGCCCCCGGAGGUCUAUGGGCCUAAUGGGCCAAGGGGAGGCACACACCAGCCCACAAGGGGGCAGGCGCGCCCUCUCCCUGGUCGUCCGCCCUUGAGAAGGAAAGGGUGGAGGGCUAUCCCCUCCUGCCUUCCCCUCCUCAUGGGAGAAAGGAAAGGGGGGGGCACCGCCCCCUCUUGCCUUCUCCCUGACGCCAUACAAGGAGGGGGGCGCUAGAGGGCAGGAGCCCAAGGGGGUCGGUCGGCCAUCCUUGGGGCGCCUCCUCGCUGUGUCCCCUCCCCCCACUAUAUAUAUAUAUAUAUAUAUAUAUAUAUAUAUAUAUAUAUAUAUAUAUGAGGGAGGGGGCACCACAAAACCCACAACAACUCUUAGCCGUGUGCGGCACCCCUCUCCACAGUUUAGUCCUCCAUCCAGUUUCUCCGCAGUGCUUGAUACGUCUUCAACGUAUCUGUAAUUUUUUAUUGUUCCAUGCUAUUCUAUUAUCUGUUUUGUAUGUUUUAUAUGCAUUAAUAUGCUCUUUUAUAUUAUUUUUGGGACUAACCUAUUAACCUAGAGCCCAGUGCCAGUUCCUGUUUUUUCCCUGUUUUAGAGUUUCAUACAAAAGGAAUACCAAACGGAGUCCAAAUGAAAUAAAACUUUCGUGAUGAUUUUUCUUGGACCAAAAGACAACCAGGAGAAUUGGAGAUGUAAGUUAUAGGAGCCACGAGGCGGCCACAAGUACGGAGGGCGCGCCCAGGGGGUAGGGCGUGCCUCCCACCCUUGUGGGCCCCUUGUGCACCUCCUGGCCUAAUUCUUUUGCCUAUAUAUUCCCAUAUAUACCAAACCAACAGAAGCAUCCACAGAAACACUUUUCCGCCGCCGCAACCUUUUGUACCCAUGGAAUCCCAUCUAGGGGCCUUUUCCGGCGUCCUGCUGGAGGGGGAUUUGACCAUGGAGGGCUUCUACAUCAACACUAUUGCCCUUCCGAUGAAGCGUGGGUAGUUUACCACAGACCUACGGGUCCAUAGCUAGUAGCUAGAUGGCUUCUUCUCUCUCUUUGAUUCUCAGUACCAUGUUCUCCUCGAUGUUCUUGGAGAUCUAUUCGAUGCAAUACUUUUUUGCGGUGUGUUUGCCGAGAUCCGAUGAAUUGUGGAUUUAUGAUCAGCUUAUCUAUGAAUAUUAUUUGAAUCUUCUCUGAAUUCUUAUAUGCAUGAUUUGAUAUCUUUGCAAGUCUCUUCGAAUUAUCCGUUUGGUUUGGCCAAUUAGAUUGGUUCUUCGUGCAAUGGGAGAAGUGCUUAGCUUUGGGUUCAAUCUUGCGGUGUCCUUUCCCACUGACAUUAGGGGCAGCAAGGCACGUAUUGUAUUGUUUCCAUCAAGGAUAAAAAGAUGGGGUUUUCAUCAUAUUGCUUGAGUUAAUUCCUCUACAUCAUGUCAUAUUACUUAAUGUGUUACUCCAUUCUUUAUGAACUUUAAUACUCUAGAUGCAUGAUGGAUAGCGGGCGAUGUGUGGAGUAAUAGUAGUAGAUGCAGGCAGGAGUCGGUCUACUUGACAUGGACGUGAUGCCUGCAUUCAUGAUCAUUGCCUUAGAUAUCGUCAUAACUUUGCGAUUUUCUAUCAAUUUCUCGGCAGUAAUUUGUUCACCCACUAUAUUAUUUUCUAUCUUGAGAGAAGCCUCUAGUGAAACCUAUGGCCCCCAGGUCUAUUUUCCAUCAUAUUAGUUUCCGAUCUACUAUACUUGCAAUCUUUACUUUCCAAUCUAUAAACCAAAAAUACCAAAAACAUUUACUUCAUCGUUUAUCUAUCUCUAUCAGAUCCAACUUUUGCAAGUAACCGUGAAGGUAUUGAAAACCCCUUUAUCGCGUUGGGUGCAAGUUUGUUUGAUUGUUUGUGCAGGUAUAAAGUGAUUUGUGUGUUGUCUCCUACUCGAUUGAUACCUUGGUUCUCAAACUGAGGGAAAUACUUAUCUCUACUUUGCUGCAUCAUCCUUUCCUCUUCAAGGGAAAAACCAACGCAAGCUCAAGAAGUAGCAGGAAGAAUUUCGGGCGCUGUUGCCGGGGAAUUCUACACCAAGUCAAGACAUGCCAAGUACCCAUCACAAACUCUCAUCUCUUGCAUUACAUUAUUCGCCAUUCGCCUCUCGUUUUCCUCUCCCCCACUUCUAAAAUGAUUUUCGAAAACAUUUGCCUUUUCUUUACCCCUCUUUCGCCCAUCUUCUUUGCUUGCUUUUUGGUGUGAUCGUUUGUUGGUUUGGUUUGUUGCCAUCAUGUUUGAAUCUGGGGAGGUUAUCGUUGAAAAUCUUGAGGAGAAAUUUGAAUCUUGUUCUUUGGGUAAUGAAACUGCAAAUCCUCUCCUAAUUACAAAGCAAAAACUUUUCAUGUGGGUGACGGUAAUAUUAUUGGAAAAAGUGUUAUUCAAGAGUUCUUUGUUUGUACAUGAUCUAUGCCUAUUAAUAAAAGAUCUAUUCCUCUCGAUACAAAUUGUUAUGCGGAUGCCUUUUUUAUGCUUAUUGAGAAACUAGAAAGAAAAUUUGUGCACCUCCACCCCGCUUUGCAAAAAGUGUUUUACGAACUUCCUAACAUUAAUCAUCCUAUAGCUAAAAAGAUUGCAACUAUCAUUCUUAUGCGUGAAUUUGAUUUUAUACUACAAGAAGCUAGGGAUACUUUUUCUUUCUAUAAAAAGGAUGUUGAACACCCUCCAAUUGAGGAUAUCCUCCAUGACAAAGAAACUAUGCGUAGUUUGGAAUCUAGGGAUUAUAAGUCUUAUAGUGAAAACCUUAGGAGGAGAGUUCCCUAUGCAUAAAUCUCUCAAUCUUUGUACCUUGAGGCCUAUGAGGAAUUUGAUUGGAUUACGAGGGAUAUUCAUGUAGGAUUCAAUAGAGAUUGGUUGAAUAAAAUGAUGAAGGAACCCGUUAGAAACGAGAUACAUGUUCUUUAUGAUGAUAUUUAUGGUGAUGAUCCCGAUUACGGGUUUAUGAAUGUCAAAAUAACCAAUCAAAGUCCUUUUCAUGAUUUGAGUUCAUCUAAUAGAAGGGAAAUAAAGGAAAGGAUAGAUUUCUUAAGACGAGUUUUGGAGGAUUUGAUGAGAAAAGAAAUGCAUACCAAAGAUGACAAUACCUAGAUCUAUUCGUGUUUUAUGCCUAGCUAAGGGUGUUAAACAAUAGCGCUUCUUAGGAGGCAACGCAAUUUUAUUUUUGUUCUUUGCUUUUUGUUCCUGUUUUGCUUUGAAUAAUUCAUCUAGCCUCUGGUUAGAUGUGGUUUUGUGUUUUAAUUAGUGUUUGUGCCAAGUAAGACCUUUGGGAUAGCUUACGGUGAUAGCUGUUUUGAUCCUGCUGAAAAACAGAAACUUUUGCGCCCAGUAAAUAAUUUCCUGGAUUUUAUUGAAACAUGCUUUUGAUCUGAUUCUUUUUUCUCUAGAUUGGUACACAAAUUGCCCAGGUUUUCCUAAAUUUUCAGAAUUUUUGGAGUUACAGAAGUAUUCGAGAGUUACAGAUUGCUAUAGACUAUUCUGUUUUUGACAGAUUCUGUUUUCUAUGGGUUGUUUGCUUAUUUUGAUGAAUCUAUGGGCAGUAUAGGGGGUAUGAACCAUGUAAAAGUUGUAUUACAGUAGAUAUUACACCAAUAUAAAUAAAUAAUGAGUUUUCAACAGUACCAUAAAGUGGUGAUUUAUUUUCUUAUACUAACCGAGCUUAUGAGAUUUUCUGUUGAGUUUUGUGUUGUGAAGUUUUCAAGUUUUGGGUAAGGAUUUGAUGGACUAUGGAAUAAGGAGUGGCAAGAGCCUAAGAUUGGGGAUUCACAAGGCACCCCAAGGUAAUAUUAAAGGACAACCAAGAGCCUAAGCUUGGGGAUGCCCCGGAAGGCAUCCCCUCUUUCGUCUUCGUUUAUCGGCAACUUUACUUGAGGCUAUAUUUUUUCACCACAUGAUAUGUGUUUUGCUUGGAGCGUCUUGUAUGAUUUGAGUCUUUGAUUUUUAGUUUGCCACAAUCAUCCUUGUUUUACACACCUUUUGAGAGGGACACACAUGAAUCGUGAUUUAUUAUAAUACUCUAUGUGAUUCACUUAUAUCUUUUGAGCUAGGCAAUAUUGCUCUGGUGCUUCACUUAUAUGUUUUUAGAACACGGCGGUGGUUUUGUUUUAUAGAAAUUGUUGAACUCUCAUGAUUCACUUAUAUUAUUUUGGGAGUCUUUAAACAACAUGGUAAUUUGCUUUGGUUAUAAAUUUAGUCCUAAUAUGAUAGGCAUCCAAGAAGGAUAUAAUAAAAACUUUCAUAUAAAGUGCAUUGAAUACUAUGAGAAGUUUGAUUCUUUAUGAUUGUUUUGAGAUAUGAAGAUGGUGAUAUUAGAGUCAUGCUAGUGAGUAAUUGUUAAUUUGAGAAAUAGUUGUGUUGAGGUUUGUGAUUCAUGUAGCAUGCACGUGGUGAAUCGUUAUGUGAUGAAGUCGGAGCAUGAUUUAUUUUCUGAUUGUCUUCCUUAUGAGUGGCGAUCGGGGACGAGCGAUGGUCUUUUCUUACCAAUCUAUCCCCCUAGGAGCAUGUGCGUAGUACUUUUUUUGAUAACUAAUAGACUUCUGCAAUAAGUAUGUGAGUUCUUUAUGACUAAAGUUGAGUCCAUGGAUUAUACGCACUCUCACCCUUCCACCAUUGCUAGCCUCUCUUGUGCCGCGCAACUUUUGCCGGUGCCAUACACCCACCAUAUACCUUCCUCAAAACAGCCACCAUACCUACCUAUUAUGGUAUUUCCAUAGCCAUUCCGAGAUAUAUUGCCAUGCAACUUUCCACCAUUCCCUUAUUAUGACACGCUUCAUCAUUGUCAUAUUGCUUUGCAUGAUCAUGUAGUUGACAUCGUAUUUAUGGCAAAGCCACCUUUCAUAAUUCUUUCAUACAUGUCACUCUUGAUUCAUUACACAUCCUGGUACACCGCCGGAGGAAUUCAUAUAGAGUAAUAUUUUGUUCUAAGUAUCGAGUUGUAAUUCUUGAGUUGUAAGUAAAUAAAAGUGUGAUGGUCAUCAUUAUUAGAGCAUUGUCCCAGUGAGGAAAUGAUGAUGGAGACUAUGAUUCCCCCACAAGUCGGGAUGAGACUCCGGACGAAAAAAAAUAGGCGAAAAAAAGAGAAAGACCCAAACAAAAAAGAAUGAGAGAAAAAGAGAGAAGGGGCAAUGUUACUAUCCUUUUUACACACUUGUGAUUCAAAGUAGCACCAUGAUCUUCAUGAUAGAGAGUCUCCUAUGAUAUCACUUUCAUAUACUAGUGGGAAUUUUUCAUUAUAUAACUUGGCUUGUAUAUUCCAACGACGGGCUUCCACAAAUUGCCAUAGGUCUUCAUGAGCAAGCGAGUUGGAUGCACACCCACUUAGUUUUCUUUUGGGCUUUCAUAAACUUAUAGCUCUAGUGCAUCCGUUGCAUGGCAAUCCCUGCUCACUCACAUUGAUAUCUAUUGAUGGGCAUCUCCAUAGCCCGUUGAUACGCCUAGUUGAUGUGAGACUACCUCCACCUUUUUGUCUUCUCCACAACCAUUGUAUUCUAUUCCACCUAUAGUGCCAUGUCCAUGGCUCAACUCAUGUAUUGCGUGAAAGUUGAAAAAGAUUGAGAACAUCAAAAGUAUGAAACAAUUUCUUGGCUUGUCAUCAGGGUUGUGCAUGAUUUAAAUAUUUUGUGUGGUGAAGAUGAAGCAUAGCCCGACUAUAUGAUUUUGUAGGGAUAAGCUUUCUUUGCCAUGUUAUUUUGAGAAGACAUAAUUGCUUUAUUAGUAUGCUUGAAGUAUUAUUGUUUUUAUGUCAAUAUUAAACUUUUGUUUUGAAUUUUACAGAUAUGAACAUUCAUGCCACAAUAAAGAAAAUUACAAGGACAAAUAUGUUAGGUAGCAUUCCACAUCAAAAACUCUAUUUUUAUGAUUUACCUACUCGAGGGCGAGCAGGAAUUAAGCUUGGGGAUGCUUGAUACGUCUCCAACAUAUCUAUAAUUUUUUAUUGUUCCAUGCUAUUAUAUUAUCUGUUUUGGAUGUUUUUAUGCAUUAAUAUGUUAUUCUAUAUUAUUUUUGGGACUAUCCUAUUAACCUAGAGCCUAGUGUCCGUUCCUAUUUUUUCCCUGUUUUUGAGUUUCGUAGAAAAGGAAUACCAAACAGAGUCCAAACGGAAUAAAACUUUCGCAAUGAGGACAACCAGGAGACUUGGAGAUGAACUUGGAGGAGCCACGAGGUGGCCACAAGGACGAAGGGCGCGCCCCACUCUUGUGGGCCCCUCAUGCACCUCCUGACCUAAUUCUUUCACCUAUAUAUUACCAUAUAUCCCCAAACCAAUAGAAGCAUCCACGAAAACACUUUUCCGCCGCCGCAACCUUCUGUACCCGUGGGAUUCCAUCUAGGGGAUUUUUCCGUUGUCCUGCCGGAGGGGGAUUCGACCACGGAGGGCUUCUACAUCAACACCAUUGCCCUUCGGAUGAAGUGUGAGUAGUUUAUAGCUAGUAGCUAGAUGGCUUCUUCUCUAUCUUUGAUUCUCAAUACCAUGUUCUCCUCGAUGUUCUUGGAGAUCUAUUCGAUGUAAUACUUUUUUGCAGUGUGUUUGCCAAGAUCCGAUGAAUUGCAGAUUUAUGAUCAGCUUAUCUAUGAAUAUUAUUUGAAUCUUCUCUGAAUUCUUAUAUGCAUGAUUUGAUAUUUUUGCAAGUCUCUUCGAAUUAUCGGUUUGGUUUGGCCAACUAGAUUGGUUCUUCUUGCAAUGGGAGAAGUGCUUAGCUUUGGGUUCAAUAUUGCGGUGUCCUUUCCCAGCGACAGUAGGGGUAGCAAGGCACGUAUUGUAUUGUUUCCAUCAAGGAUAAAAAUAUGGGGUUUUCAUCAUAUUGCUUGAGUUAAUUCCUCUACAUCGUGUCAUCUUACUUAAUGUGUUACUUCGUUCUUUAUGAACUUAAUACUCUUGAUGCAUGCUGGAUAGCGGUCGAUGUGUGGAGUAAUAGUAGUAGAUGCAGGCAGGAGUCGGUCUACUUGACACGGACGUGAUGCCUAUAUUCAUGAUCAUUGCCUUAGAUAUCGUCAUAACUUUGCGCUUUUCUAUCAAUUGCUCGACAGUAAUUUGUUCACCCACCGUAUUAUUUUCUAUCUUGAAAGAAGCCUCUAGUGAAACCUAUGGCCCGCGAGUCUAUUUUCCAUCAUAUUAGUUUCCCAUCUAAUAUUCUUGCAAUAUUUUACUUUAUGAUCUAUAAAAAAAAUACCAAAAAUAUUUACUUUAUUGUUUAUCUAUCUCUAUCAGAUCUCACUUUUGCAAGUAAGAGUGAAGGGAUUGACAACCCCUUUAUCGCGUUGGGUGCAAGUUUGUUUGAUUGCUUGUGCAGGUAUUCGGUGAUCUGUGCAUUAUCUCCUACUGGAUUGAUACCUUGGUUCUAAAACUGAGGGAAAUACUUAUCUCUACUUUGCUGCAUCACCCUUUCCUCUUCAAGGGAAAAACCAACGCAAGCUCAAGAAGUAGCAGUGCUCAGCGAAGCCCUCCGGGAACGUGUUCACCAUUACCGUCACCACGCCGUCGUGCUGUCAGAACUCAUCUACUACUUCACCCAUCUUGCUGGAUCAAGAAAGCGAGGACGUCAUCGAGCUGAGCGUGUGCUGAACAUGGAGGUGUCGUAUGUUCGGUACUGGCUUGGUUGGAUCGCGAAGAAGUUCGACUACAUCAACCGCGUUAAUGAACGCUUCCGCUUUACGGUUUACAAGGGUACAUAGACACACUCUCCCCUCUUGUUGCUAUGCAUCUCCUUAAAUAGAUAUUACGUGUGCGUAGAAAUUUUUUUGUCUUCCAUGCAACGUUCCCCAACAGUGGCAUCAUGAGCCAGGUCUAUGCAUAGAUGAUAUGCACGAGUAGAACACAAAGAGGUUGUGGGCGAUGAUAGUCAUACAACUUACCACCAACGUCUUAUUUUGAUUCGACAGUAUUGAGGGAUGAAGCGGAAUGGACCAACCUUACGUGUCCACGCACAUGACACCGGUUCCACCGACUGACAUGCAACUUGUUUUGCAUAAAGGUGGCUGGUGGGUGUUUGUUUCUCCUACUUUCGUUGAAUGGAAUUUGACUACGGCAGGUCCUGGAAGAAGGUUAAAACAGCAAACUUGAUAAAUCACCAUUGUGGUUUUUGCGUAGUUAAGAACGGUUCUUUCUAGAAGCCCAUAGCAACCACGUAAAACUUGCAAUAACAAAGUAGAGGACGUCUAACUUGUUUUUCCAGGGCAUGUUGUGAUGUGAUAUGGUCCAGACGUGUUGUGAUAUACAUUGUUGUGUGAGAUGAUCAUGUUUUGUCAUAUCGACAACCUGCAGGAGCCUUAGGGUUGUCUCUUAAUUAUUGUAUGAAAUGCAACCGCCAUGUAAUAGAUUUACUUUUAUCACUAUGCGUUAGCAAUAGUUGUAGAAGCAAUAGUUGGCGAGAUGAACCCGACGCAACGAUGGAGAUCAAGGUGUCGAGCCAGUGACGAUGGAGAUCAUGACGAUGGUUUGGAGAUGGAGAUCAAAAUCACAAGAUGAUGAUGGCCAUAUCAUGUCACAUAUUUUGAUUGCAUGUGAUGUUUAUCCUCUAUGCAUCUUAUUUUUCUUAGAACAGUCGUAGCAUUGUAAGAUGAUCCCUUCACUAAAUUUCAAGAUAAAAGUGUUCUCCAGGAGUAUGCACCAUUGCCAAAGUUCGUCGUUUUGAAGCACCUCGUGAUGAUCGGGUGUGAUAGACUCUACGUUCACAUACAACGGGUGUAAGACAGUUUUGCACAUGCAGAAUACUUGGGUUAAACUUGACAAGCCUAGCAUGUACAGACAUGGUCUCGGAACACUGGAGACCGAAAGGUCAAACAUGAGUCAUAUAGUAGAUGUGAUCAACAUAGAGAUGUUCACCAUUAAUGACUUCCCCAUCUCACAUGAUGAUCGGACAUGGGUUAGUUGAUUUGGAUCAUGUAUCACUUAGAACUUGAGGGAUGUUUAUUUAAGUGGGAGUUCAUUAGUAAUUUGAUUAAUUGAACUUAAUUUACCAUGAACUUAGUCUUAAUAGUUUUUGCAUAUCUAUGUUGUAGAUCAUGGCCCGAGCUACCGUUCCCCUGAAUUUUAAUGCGUUCCUAGAGAAAGCUAAGUUGAAAGAUGAUGGUAGCAACUACACGGACUGGGUCCGUAAUUUGAGAAUUAUCCUCAUUGUUGCACAAAAGAAUUAUGUCCUUGAUGCACCGCUAGGUGACAGACCUGCUGCAGGAGCUACUACAUAUGUUAUGAACGUCUGGCAGAAUCGGUUUGAUGACUACUCGAUAGUUCAGUGUGCCAUGCUUUACAACCUAGAACCGGGACUUCAAAGACAUUUUGAACAUCAUAGAGCAUAUGAGAUGUUCCAAGAGCGGAAGUUGAUAUUUCAAGCCAAUGCCCAGGUUGAGAGAUAUGAAGUCUCCAACAAGUUCUACAGCUGCAAGAUGGAGGGAAAUAAUUCUGUCAAUGAACACAUACUCAAAAUAUCUGGGUAUCAUAACCACUUGACUCAGCUGGGAAUUGAUCUUCCAGUUGAGAGUGUUAUUGAUAGAGUUCUUCAGUCACUGCCACCAAGCUACAAAGGCUUCAUGAUGAACUAUAAUAUGCAAGGGAUGACGAAAACGAUUGUCGAGCUCUUCGCAAUGCUUAAGGCCGCAGAGGUAGAUAUCAAGAAGGAGCGUCAAGUGUUGAUGGUUAACAAACCCACUAGUUUCAAGAAAAAGGGCAAGGGAAAGAAAGAGAAUUUCGAGAAGAAUGGCAAGCAAGUUGCCACUCCCGUGAAGAAGCCCAAAGAUGGAAGCAAGCCUGAAACUGAGUGCUUCUACUGCAAAGGAAAUGGUCACUGGAAGCGGAACUGCCCCAAAUACUUGGCUGAUAAGAAGGAUGGCACAGUGAACAAAGGUAUAUUUGAUAUACAUGUUAUUGAUGUGUACCUUACUAAUGCUUGUCGUAGAGCCUAGGUAUUUGAUACUGGUUCGGUUGCUCAUAUCUGUUACUCGAAAUAGGAGCUACGGAAUAAACGAAGAUUGGCUAAGGACAAGGUGACAAUGCGCAUCAGGAAUGGUUCCAAGGUCGAUGUGAUCACCGUCGACACGCUACCUCUACAUCUACCUUCGGGGUUAGUUUUAGACCUCAAUAAUUGUUAUUUGGUGCCAGCAUUGAGCAUGAACAUUAUAUUUGGAUCUUGUUUAUUAUGAGACGGUUAUUCAUUUAAAUCAGAGAAUAAUGGUUGUUCUAUUUAUAUGAGUAAUAUCUUUUAUGGUCAUGCACCCUUGAUGAAUGGUCUAUUCUUGUUGAAUCUCGAUCAUAGUGAUACACAUAUAAUAUUGAUGCCAAAAGAUGCAAGGUUGAUAAUGAUAGUGCAAAAUAUUUGUGGCACUGUCGUUUAGGUCAUAUUGGUGUAAAGCGCAUGAAGAAACUCCAUAUAGAUGGACUUUUGGAAUCACUUGAUUAUGAAUCAUUUGAUACUUGCGAACCAUGCCUCAUGGGCAAGAUGACUAAAACUCCGUUCUCCAGAACAAUGGAGCGAGCUAAUGACUUACUGGAAAUAAUACAUACCGAUGUAUGCAGUCCGAUGAGUGUUGAGGCACGCGGUGGGUAUCAUUAUUUUCUGACCUUCACGGAUGAUUUGAGUAGGUAUGGAUAUAUCUACUUGAUGAAACACAUCUAAAACAUUUGAAAAGUUCAAGGAAUUUUGGAGUGAAGUAGAGAAUCAUCAUAAGAAGAAGAUAAAAUUUCUACGAUCUGAUCAUGGAGGUGAACAUUUGAGUUACGAGUUUGGCCUUCAUAUAAAAUAACGUGGAAUUGUUUCUCAACUCAUGCCACCUCGAACACCACAACGUAAUGGUGUGUCCAAACACCAUAACCACAUUUUAUUAGAUAUGGUGCGUUUUAUGGUGUCUCUUACCGAUUUACCACUAUUUUUUGGGUUAUGCAUUAGAGACAGCCGCAUUCUUGUUAAAUAGGGCACCGUCUAAAUCCGUUGAGAUGACACCGUAUGAACUAUGGUUUGGCAAGAAACCUAAGCUGUCGUUUCUUAAAGUUUGGGGAUGCGACACUUAUGUCAAAAGGCUUCAGCCUGAUAAGCUCGAACCCAAAUUGGAGAAUUGCGUCUUCAUAGGAUACCCUAAGGAAACUAUCGGUACACCUUCUACCACAGAUCCAAAGGCAAGAUCUUUGUUGCUAAGAAUGGGUCCUUUCUAGAGAAGGAGCUUCUAUCGAAAGAAGUGAGUGAGAGGAAAGUAGAACUUGAUGAGGUAAUUAUACCUUCUCUUGAAUUGGAAAGUAGCACAUCAGAGAAAACCGUUCCCGUGAUGCCUACACCAACUAGAGAGGAAGAUAAUGAUGAUGAUCAUGAAACUUCGGAUCAAGUUACUACUGGACCUUUUAGGUCGACCAGAGCAUGUUCUGCACUAGAGUGGUACGUACUCCUGUCCUGGAAGUCAUGUUAUUAGACCAUGGUGAACCUACAAACUAUGAAGAAGCUAUGAUGAGAUAGGAUCCAUGUAUGAGAACAAAGUAUGGACUUCGGUGGACUAGCCCGAUGAUCGGCAAGCCAUUGAGAAUAAAUGGAACUUCAAAAAGAAGACGGAUGCUGAUGGUAAUGUCACUAUCUACAAAGCUCAACUUGUCAGAAAAUGUUUCCGACAAGUUCAAGGGGUUGACUACGAUGAGACUUUCUCGCCCGUAGCGAUGCUUAAAUCUGUUCAAAUCAUGUUAGCAAUUGCCGCAUUUUAUAAUUAUGAAAUCUUGUAAAUGGACGUCAAAACUGCAUUCCUUAAUGGAUUUCUUAAAGAGAGUUGUAUAUGAUGCAACUAGAAGGUUUUGUCGAUCCUAAAGGUGCUAACAAAGUGUGCAAGCUGCAAAGAUCCAUCUAUGGACUGGUGCAAGCAUCUCGGAGUUGGAAUAUACGCUUUGAUGAGGUGAUUAAAGCAUAUGGUUUUAUACAGACUUACAAUGAAGUCUAUAUUUACAAGAAAGUGAGUGGGAGCUCUGUAGCAUUUCUGAUAUUAUAUGUGGAUGACAUAUUUGUUGAUUGGAAAUGAUAUAGAAUUUUUGGAUAGCAUAAAAGGAUACUUGAAUAAGAAUUCUUUAAUGAAAGACCCUGGUGAAGCUGCUUAUAUAUUUGGCAUCAAGAUCUAUGGGGAUAGAUCAAGAUGCUUAAUAGGACUUUAACAAAACACAUACCUUGAAAAAGUUUUGAAGAAGUACAAAAUUGAUCAGUCAAAGAAAGGGUUCUUGCCUAUGUUACAAGGUAUGAAAUUUAGUCAGACUCAAAGCCUGACCACUGCAAAAGAUAGAGAUAAAAUGAAAGUCAUUCCCCAUGCCUCAGCCAUAGGUUCUAUCAUGUAUGAUAUGCUGUGUACCAGACCUGAUGUGUGCCUAGCCAUAAGUUUGGCAGGUUUCGGUGUCAAAACAGGCGGAUCUCGGAUAGGGGAUCCCGAACUGUGCAUCUAAGGCUAAUGGUAACACGAGGCGGGGGACACAAUGUUUACCCAGGUUUGGGCCCUCUCGAUGGAGGUAAUACCCUACUUCCUGCUUGAUUGAUCUUGAUGAUAUGAGUAUUACAAGAGUUGAUCUACCACGAGAUCGAAGAGGCUAAACCCUAGAAGCUAGCCUAUGGUUAUGAUUGUUCUCCUCCUAUGGACUAAACCCUCCGGUUUAUAUAGACACUGGAGGGGGCUAGGGGUUACACAGAGUUGGUUACAAAGAAAGGAAUCUUCAUAUCCAAAUCGCCAAGCUUGCCUUUCACGCAAAGGAGAGUCCCAUCCGGACAUGGGAUGAAGUCUUCUAUCUUCUAUCUUCAUAUCCCAACAGCCCGGCAUACACAUAUAGUCCGGUUGUCCAAGGACCCCUUAAUCCAGGACUCCCUCAGUAGCCCCUAAACCAGGCUUCAAUGACGAUGAGUCCUGCGCGCAGAUUGUCUUCGGCAUUGCAAGGCGGGUUCCUUCUCUGAAUAGUCCAAAGUAGAUCUUGACCAAAAGAAUCGUGUCCGGCUCUGCAAAAAAAAAUUCCACAUACCAUGGUAGAGAGUACAGUAUCCCAUGAAUCCAAUCUGAUGACAGCUCAUAGCAUGACAUCACGCCGCGGUCGGGUCUUUAUUCGAACCAUUUUUAUCCUUCCCCUCCGUAUUUCGAGGCACGGUUUCAUUGGCACGUCUUGUCGAAGCAGAGAUCGUGUCCCCUUAUCACGGGAUUCUCACCAACGCGGGCGUGGGUAACCCAACCGUGCCAUCAGCACGACGCUUGGGAAAUAAGCAAGUUUUAGGGCGUACGGGGAGGCGCACGAUUUUUACUUCCUUUAUAAGGGGAUAAGGAUUCCCCUCUUUCACCCACGCCCUCUUCUUCCUCUGCUCAUUCAUCCUCGAGCUCCAACGCACAAGCACCCAUCUCUUCCGCCCCAAAAAGCACUCCCAUCAUGUCCGGAUCCGGAGCUGGAGGCAAGUGGAUGGACUCCUCCGUCAAGAAGGAGGACAUCAAGAAGCUCCGGGAGGCCGAGUACUUGUCCAAAGACAUCGCUCAUUGGCUUCCGGCCAAAGGGCAGAUCAUCCCUACCCCGGAGCCCCAAGAAAGGGUGGUAUUUCUUUCCCACUUCGUUCGCGGGCUGGGGUUCCCCCUCCACCCGUUCGUCUGUGGACUGAUGUUCUACUACGGGCUAGACUUCCACGACUUGGCCCCCAACUCCAUCCUCAACAUUUUGGCAUUCAUUGUCAUGUGUGAGUCCUUCCUCCGCAUCCCACCUCACUUUGGCCUAUGGCUGAAGACCUCCAAUGUGAAGCCCAAGGUGGUGAGCGGCGAACAAGCAGAGUGCGGAGGCGCUAUGGUGGGAAAGAUGCCCAAUGUCACCUGGCCCGAAGGCUCCUUUGUAGAGACCACAAAGGGGUGGCAAUCAGGGUGGUUCUACAUUACCGAACCGUGCGGCGCCAACUGGGCGGCGACCCCCGAAUUCUGAUCCGGAGUCCCCAUGCGGCUCACCUCUUGGCAAGAGAAGGGUUUAGCCUGGAGCUCAUUGGAAGAAGUGACUGGGCUCCAGACAUGUGUCCAGAACAUGAUUGACAAGAAAAUCAAGCUUGUGAACGUGAUCCAGGUCAUGCUCUUCCGCCGGAUUCUUCCGUGCCAGAGCCGGACUUGUAAUUUGUGGGAGUUCGACCCGGUCAAGCACCAGACACUACUGGAGCUCUUUGAUACGACACAUAAGACAUCUGGAAGGUGCUUUUUAAGGCCGGCGAGGUUCCACCGCCCACAUUCGAAGACCGCGAGCUUGCGCAAGACGCCGGGCUAAUCCGGUAAGUUCUUUUAUGUUUGCAAGAUAUAUCUUUUUGCCGGCAUAUCCGUGGGAGGAACCUAAGCCUCCAUGCCAAUCUCUCAGGCCUGGGUAACGAUCGUGGAGCAGAUCGAAUGUCCGACUCUGCUGCCCGAAGAUCAAUAAACGCCUCUUCUGACGAAGUUGCUAUUUCCGGCGCCUUAUGAGGUGUCGGAGAAGAAAACCAAGAAGGCGGCCAAGGGGACCAUAGGUGGUCUCCGACGCAAGGGAGUUUCAGACGUGACGUCUGAAGACGCCGAGGCGCACUCCUCCGCCGAAGACGACGGGGAGGNNNNNNNNNNNNNNNNNNNNNNNNNNNNNNNNNNNNNNNNNNNNNNNNNNNNNNNNNNNNNNNNNNNNNNNNNNNNNNNNNNNNNNNNNNNNNNNNNNNNNNNNNNNNNNNNNNNNNNNNNNNNNNNNNNNNNNNNNNNNNNNNNNNNNNNNNNNNNNNNNNNNNNNNNNNNNNNNNNNNNNNNNNNNNNNNNNNNNNNNNNNNNNNNNNNNNNNNNNNNNNNNNNNNNNNNNNNNNNNNNNNNNNNNNNNNNNNNNNNNNNNNNNNNNNNNNNNNNNNNNNNNNNNNNNNNNNNNNNNNNNNNNNNNNNNNNNNNNNNNNNNNNNNNNNNGAAGAGGAAGGCCUCCACAUAUGGGGAGGCCGAGGCGCCCAAGAAGGGAAAAAUCUCCCUUCCGGACUACUCCGCCGCAGCCACCAAUAGCAGCGAGGAGUGGGGGGCCAGGGUCAAGCCCCUGGCCAAAUUGUAAGUAUAUUUCCGAGCUUUUUCACCUUAUCGUUUUUAAUGUGUUAGACCAUGCAUCUGCAGUCCGGCCCAAUCCAACAUCGAGCUCUCCUCCUCUUCGAAGGGGUCGCUGGAUCCGUCAGUGAUGAACAGCAGGUCCCUUCCAACGGCCACCUCCCAUAAGGCCGCGGACAACACUGAUGUGUUGUCCCGAAGGAUACCGGGCCAAGGGAAGGCUGUUCCGGUGAUGCCGGAGGAAAGAAGUCUGGUCGUCGAGCACAUGGGGGGAAAGACCCCUAGACCCCGACGAUGAGGGCCGAGUCCAGUUCGGUCCUCAGCCAGAUACAGCUCCGGAGACCCAAGUGGCUCCGAAUUUGGGAAGGCAGUCUCUCCCUAACGAGGGGGGCAAGCCGCCUCCGCCGGUGACCUCUGUCCGCCUAGAGGCACCGGACAGAUUGUUGGAAGCGCUACAAGGCGCUUCCAUUAUGGAAGAACACCAUACUCUUAUGAGUACGGUGAUUGUGAAAGUCCAGGCCGCCAAAAACAGACUGACCGAAACCUGCCUUAGCCUUCUAACAGGCUUUGAGGUAAGUACUGUAGUUGUAAAAGAAUAUCACCUUGUAGACAGUAGCCCCUGAUGCUCUGUUCGGUGUUCGGAAAGAAAAACCAAACGGAGGAUCAAAAUAAUUUUCGCAGGAGUCUAACAUAGCAUGUCUAUGUGAACAAGCAGGCGUCGCUGCUACCCAUUGCCGCUCAUACUGCGGAGGUCUCUGACUUGACGCGGAAUCUGGAGCGGGCCGAGGAAGAACUCGGCCUCGUGAAGAAGCAACUAGAGGACGACCGAGGUCUACACUAACUGGUGCUUUAUAUUUGGGAAGGAUGAAAAGUUCAUACUGACUGAAGUGUCAUGAACUUUAUUAGGGGUCGCGACCAAAGUAGCGGCCCUUAAGAAGGCGUUGGCCGAGGCCGAGGACAAAGCGGCUAAGGAACGCGCCGCGCGCGAGAAGUAGGAGGCCCAGGUUGGCGAGGUCCAGCAAGAGCUUCAGGACGUUGUCAAAAAGUACGAAUCAUUGGAGCGUAAUUCGAAGAUUCAAGAGUCCGAACUUGCCAAGGCCCGCCAGGGCAUGCAAGAUGCCCGAGCCGAAGCCCAGAGCACCCUCCGGGAAAUCCAGGUGGCCCAGGAGAUCGCGGCGGGUAAGGCUUUUAUUAUGCAAAGCAAGUGUGUGAAUGAAACGUUCCCUUUACUUACCCGAAUUUGGAGUUCUACAGGAGCGUUUGCGGAUCUACCGUGUAGUAUAUCAGAUGCUGCCGAAUUCUUUCGAUCCGAAGAAGGGAGCUCUACGGAGAAGUUGUUCUAGUCUCAAUACCUUGGAUCGGAACAUCCGGUGCCCCUUAGCGACCAGCUAAAACAGUUGGUCGAGCUGCACAAGGUGGCCGAACUGGCAAUCACAGUAGUUCUCCCUUUACUACCCUAGUCGAUAUAGCGGAACGUAGGGUAGCAAGCACAGGAGCCGGGCAACCCAACUAUUGACCAAAGACAUGAUUCGGAGCCGAUGCAUAUAGUGCUAUAAGUUCGGGGUGCCGAACUAUACUAUAAACGUGUUCCGACUUUUUUGCCGUGUUAUGGGGACAAUGACGCCCCUGGCGAAUUAAGGCGUACCAUAAUGUAUGGGUGCAAUUGAAAAUAAAUGGACAAGAAAAAAUUGAAGUAAUGGGUAAACGCUGCAGAUUAUUUUUCAUUGUAAGUUGAUUGAUACGUCAAGGUGUAUCUAUACAAAGUAGUGCAAUAAGCAAAUAAGGCUAUUUAACAUGCCACGACCAAGAGCGAGUUGCGUGCGGGUAUUUAAAAUAGGUAUGACGAUCAUUAGCAAAGACCACCUGGGUAUCCCUUGUAUGUCCGAACCCCUAGCUUUCUUGGCGUAUCCGUCCCGCUACGGGUCCGAUGAACACGUUUAUCAAAAAAGGCCUUGAGAGGUGAAAAAACCUGAAAGAAAGAGAAAAAGUGAAGGUAUGCGGAUCCAGGAGCGGGUGAGCUGCAUUGUGGGCCGCAAUCUUAGUUGUGCCUCCGUCCAUGCCCAUGGUAUUUUAAGUGCGUAGUUGUGUACGCGCGGCACGAAUUUCGCCGCUUUAUUGGGGCUGGGAUGAAAGCUAGAUUGCUAGCUGAGCUGUGGACGAGCCGGAUGGUCCUGUUGCGGAGUAGCACGGACCCGCUUAACGGUGUCCGGGGGCUUUAUUGCCGAAUUGAGGUUUUGCCUAAGGAGGUUGUUCUAUACUUAUGGUGCAAGGGCCGCGGUAUGCUCCUCAGUACGGAGGGAGCGCUCCGUAUUUCCAUUGACUGUUAUAACACCGCGGGGUCUGGGCAUCUUGAGCUUAAGGUAGGCAUAGUGCGACACCGCAUUGAAACGGGCAAAUGCGGUUCGUUCGAGCAGUGCGUGAUAACCACUGUGGAAGGGGACGAUAUCGAAGAGUAGCUCUUCGCUUCGGAAAUUAUCCGGGGAUCCGAAGACCACUUCUAGUGUGAUUGAGCCCGUGCAGCAGGCCUCUACACCUGGUAUGACACCUUUAAAGGUGGUUUUGGUGGGCUUGAUCCUUGAGGGAUCAAUACCCAUUUUGCAUGUUGUAUCCUAGUAAAGCAGGUUCAGGCUGCUACCACCAUCCAUGAGGACGCGUGUGAGGUGGAAUCCGUCAAUGAUAGGGUCAAACACCAGUGCGGCUGAACCGCCGUGACGGAUACUAGUUGGAUGGUCCCUUCGAUCGAAGGUGAUCGAACAGGAGGACCAAGGGUUGUAUUUUGGGGCGACUAGCUCCAUCGCGUAGACGUCCCUUAGUGCGCGCUUCCGCUCCCUUUGGGGAUAUGGGUAGCAUAUAUCAUGUUCACCGUUUUCACUUGGGGGGGGGGGACUUCUUCUGUCCCCCUGUGUUCUGCGGUCGGGUUCCUCGUCGUCGUCACUUUGCGAUCCCUUUUCCUUGUUUUCAGCAUUUAACUUGCCGGCCUGUUUAAAGACCCAACAUUCUCUAUUGGUGUGAUUGGCUGGUUUAUCAGGGGUGCCGUGGCUUUGACAUGGACGAUCGAGUAUGCGGUCCAGACUGGACGGGCCCAGAUUGUUUCUUUUAAAAGGAUUUUUCCGCUGAUUGGACUUAGAGCCACUGAAUCCGGCAUUGAUGGUCGUGUCUUCGGUGUUAUCGCCAUUAUUUCGACGCUUGUGUCUGUUGCGUCGGGGCUUGCCAUUGCUGUCUUUGGCUUUGGAAGUGCCAGGUUUGCUUGAGAUGUUGUUGCUACGAGCUAGCCAGCUAUCCUCACCCACACAAAAGUGAGUCAUGAGCGUCGUGAGGGCUGCCGUGGACUUCGGCUUCUCUUGGUCGAGGUGUCGGGCGAGCCACUUGUCGCAGAUGUUAUGCUUAAAGGCCGCUAGGGCUUUGGCAUCUGGACAGUCGAUGAUUUGGUUCUUUUUAGUUAAGAACCGAGUCCAGAAUUUCCUGGCUGACUCUCCAGGCUGUUGGAUUAUAUGACUUAAGUCAUCAGCAUCCGGAGGUCGGACAUAAGUGCCCUGGAAGUUGUCAAGGAAUGUGUCUUCCAGGUUCUCCCAACUGCCAAUAGAGUUUCCUGGUAGACUGUUCAACCAGUGCCUAGCUGGCCCUUUGAGUUUUAGCGGGAGAUACUUGAUGGCAUGGAGAUCAUCACCGCAGGCCAUAUGUAUAUGGAUAAGGAAGUCCUCGAUCCAUACCACGGGAUCUAUUGUUCCAUCAUAUGAUUCAAUGUUUACGGGUUUAAACCCUUCUGGGAAUUCAUGCUCCAUUACUUCGUCAGUGAAGCGGAGGGGGUGUGCGGCACCUCUGUGUCGGGCUAUGCCCGAACGUAGCUCGAAUGGAGCCGGUCUGCGGUAUUCGGCCUGGACAGGUUUGUGCUUGUUAUAUCCGGCUUGGCGGCCGUCAUUGCACAUUGGGGCGCACCCCCGCGAUCCGUAGAUCGAUCUGGUUUGUCCUGCUCUAUUUUCCAAAUUGUACCGCGGGUCAUGUGUGUAUCCCUGAGCUGUUGUGUUUGUAUUUGUUCGGCGAGGUAGUGUCGGCUGGUGCUCGUGCUGAAUUGCCGUUUUAUCUCGGCCACGUGGUGGACGAUCAGCCGCAUUAUGCGCUGGUAGUGCCAGCUCUGGUGCCUCGUCAUCGAAUUGAGGUAGCAAUUUGCACUUUGGGUAACUUUUUGUUGGGCGUUCGAGUCUGUAUUCCUCGGCUCCCAGGACCUCGGUCCAUCUAUCAGUGAGCAGAUCUUGAUCAGCUUGAAACUGUUGCUGCUUCUUCUUCAGGCUUUUUGCAGUGGCUAUAACCCGGCGCUUGAAAUGCUCCUGCUCAACGGGAUCCUCUGGGACGAUAAAUUCUUCGUCGCCGAGGCUCACCUCGUCCUCGGAGAGGGGUAUGUAAUUGUUGUCUUCCGAGUCGUCAUUCACGGCCUGUUCGUCGGGGUUGGCUCGCCCAUCUUCCCGUCCAGCCUCUUCAAAACUUGGCUUGGCGGGGUCUUCGUUGUCUUCAGCAUCGUCCGGAGUGCUAUUCUCUCUUGUGCCGGUAUCGCUAUUUUUACCAUGGCGUGACUUAGAGCGGCGCCGCUGACAUCGGCACUUAGACUGCUUCUCAGGAAGUUUAUCCUCAACUGGAUCUUUUAUGUCAUCGCCAUUGUCUUCUUUGGGUGUAUCCACCAUGUAUAUAUUGUAUGAGGAGGCGACUGUCCAGCUCCCUAUUGGCGGUGGUUCCUGUUCUUCUCCAGCAUCGUCGUCCAUACCGUCGAUGUCUUCGUUGUCGAAAUCAAGCAUGUCGGUCAAAUUGUCAACAAUGGCUAUCAAGUGGGUGGUGGGUGGGUAACGAAGUUCUUCGUCGCCCGCUUGCCACUCAAGCCAGACAUAGUUCGGCCAAGGAUCUCCUGACAAGGAGAGGGACUUUAAUGAGUUUAACACAUCGCCUAAGGGCGAGUGUUGGAAGAUGUCCGCGGAGCUGAACUCUAAGAUCGGCGCCUGGUCAGAUUCGAUGGGUGCAGAUACGCGGGGUUCGGAGCCUAUGGCCGGAGAUGAGUCCGAGGCUGUGAUGACACAGGCCUCGUUGGAGGUUAGAUCUGUGUCCGUCUCUAGCACCGUUGAGUUUGCGGCUUCCGUGGCGAGGUUGAGCCUCCCGUCCCCGAAUGGCGCGCUCUGCUCUGGAUCUAGGGCCAGUGCAGUUACAUGCGCAAUCUCCCGCACGCCAUCUGAUGACAGAUUUAGGUCAUCUUCAUCGUGGCGGCGGGGCGCGACUGUCUUGGGCUCGAAUACGUCAAAGAUCAAGUCUCCGUGAAUAUCGGCGGUGUAGUUCAAGCUUCCAAACCUGACCUGAUGGCCAGGGGCGUAGCUGUCGAUCUGCUCCAGAUGGCCAAGCGAGUUGGCCCGCAGUGCGAAACCGCCAAAUAAGAAGAUCUGUCCGGGGAGAAAAACUUCACCCUAGACGACAUUGUUGUGGAUGAUUGAAGGAGCCAUCAAGUCUUAUGGUGGCGACACAGUGGAACUCUCAAUGAAAGCACCAAUGUCGGUGUCAAAACCGGCGGAUCUCGGGUAGGGGUCCCGAACUAUGUGUCUAAGGCUAAUGGUAACAGGAGGGCGGGGACACAAUGUUUACCCAGGUUCGGGCCCUCUCGAUGGAGGUAAUACCCUACUUCCUGCUUGAUUGAUCUUGAUGAUAUGAGUAUUACAAAAGUUGAUCUACCACGAGAUCGGAGAGGCUAAACCCUAGAAGCUAGCCUAUGGUUAUUAUUGUUCUCCUCCUACGGACUAAACCCUCCGGUUUAUAUAGACAUCGGAGGGGGCUAGGUUUACACAGAGUCGGUUACAGAGAAAGCAAUCUUCAUAUCCGAAUCGCCAAGCUUGCCUUCCAUGCAAAGGAGAGUCCCAUCCGGACAUGGGACGAAGUCUUCUAUCUUGUAUCUUCAUAUCCCAACAGUCCGGCAUACGCAUAUAGUCCGGCUGUCCGAGGACCCCUUAAUCCAGGACUCCCUCAGCAGGGAGGUACCAAAGUAAUCCAGGAGUGGAUCACUAGACAAAAUUCAAGAACAUCCUAGUACCUAAAAAGGACCAAGGAAAUUUUUCUCGGUUAUGGAGGUGACAAAGAGCUUGUCAUAAAUGGUUAUGUCGAUGCUAGCUUCGACACUGAUCCGGAUAACUCUAAGUCAUAAACCGGAUACGUAUUUAUAUUGAAUGGUGGAGCUGUCAGUUGGUGCAGUUCCAAGGAGAGUGUUGUGGCGGGAUCUAUGUGUGAAGCCGAGUACAUAGCUGCUUCAGAAGCAGCGCAUGAAGGAGUCUGGAUGAAGGACUUCAUAUCCAAUCUGGGUGUAAUACCCAGUGCAUCGGGUUCAACGAAAAUCUUUUGUGACAACACUGGAGAAAUUGCCUUAGUGAAGGAAUACAGGUUUCACAAGAGGACCAAACACAUUAGGAGACGCUUCAACUCCAUUAGUGAAAAGGUCAAGGAUGGAGACAUAGAAAUUUGCAAAAUACAUACGGAUCUGAAUGUAGCAGACCCAUUGACUAAGCCUCUUCCGCGAGCAAAACAUGAUCAAUACCAAGACUCCAUGGGUGUUAGAUUGAUUACAAUGUAAUCUAGAUUAUUGACUCUAGUGCAAGUGGGAGACUGAUGGAAAUAUGACCUAGAGGCAAUAAUAAAGUUGUUAUUAUUAUAUUUCCUUAUUCAUGAUAAAGGUUUAUUAUUCAUGCUAGAAUUUUAUUGACUAGAAACUUAAAUACAUGUGUGGAUACAUAAACAAAUACCGUGUCCCUAGUGAGACUCUACUAGACUAGCACGUUGAUAAAAAGAUGGUUAAGGUUUCCUAACCAUAGACAUGUGUUGUCACUUGAUAACGGGAUCACAUCAGAAUGAUGUGAUGGACAAGACCCAUCUGUUAGCUUAGCAUAUGAUCGUUCAGUUUAUUGCUAUUGCUUUCUUAAUGUCAAAUACAUAUUCCUUCGACUAUGAGAUCAUGAAACUCCCGGAUGCCGGAGGAAUAUCUUGUGUGCUAUCAAACGUCACAACAUAACUGGGUGAUCAUAAAGAUUCUCUACAGGUAUUUCCGAAUGUGUCUGUUGAGUUGGCAUGGAUUGAGAUUAGGAUUUGUCACUCCGUGUAUCGGAGAGGUAUCUCUGGGCCCUCUCGGUAAUACACAUCACAAGUAGCUUUCAAGCAAAGUGACUAAGGAGUUAGUUACGAGAUGAUGUAUCACUACUAGGGAAAAGCCUAUACAUAGGAUCUUACCAGCAGCGAGUUUUAAAAUAAGACGCUGCUGCAAUUUAUCAGUAGCGCGCUCCACCAGAACUCGCUGCUGAAAUAGAAGUAGCAGUAGCGCGCCUCCACUAAGCCACGCUACUGCUACAAUUCCCACGACCCUGCCACGAAGCUAGUUAUAGCAGCAACGUGUUAAUUAGAAGGGCGCUACUACUAGGUAGUUUAGUAGUAGCGCCUUUACCUAUACCACGCUACUGCUAAAACUAGCUACCUUCCACCACCCAUGCUCUCCUCUAUCCAAUCCACACUCACACUCACACUCACUCGACCUCCCCCUCAACCCCCCUCCCCCCGCGCCGGUCCUCUCCCGCCGGCCGCCGGCGCCUACCCCUCCUCCCUCUACGCCGUCGUCACCUCCUCCUCCUUGCUGGACUCGGUACCGCCCUCCUCCUCCUCCGUCCUUCCUCGACUCGCCGCCGGCCGGCCCCUCCUCGCUCCGCCAUUCCUCCUCCAUCCUACUCUCUCCUUCCUCCUCCAGUCGCCCCUCCUUCUCCCACCUCCCUCCUCCAUCCACAACCCCUCCUCCCUACUACAUUUUGAUUUAGUAGGCUAGUUCAUAUGCAACAUUUUGAUUUAGUUCAUAUGAUUUAGUUGAUUUAGUAGGCUAGUUGAUUUAGAACAUUUUGAUUUUGUUGAUUUAGUAGGCAAGUUGAUCUAGUAGGCUAGUUGAUUUAGUUGAUUUAUAGAACAUUUUGAUUUAGUCGAUUUAGUAGGCAAGUUGAUUUAAUAGGCUAGUUGAUUUAGUUGAUUUAUAGAACAUUUUGAUUUAGUUGAUUUAGUAUGCUAGUUGAUAGCUCUGAAGAUUUGGCACUUGGCAGUUGGUUCUAUUCUAGAAGGUGCUAGUAAGCUAUAAAAAUAUAACUGAAGAAGAACCAAAAAAUCACAUGCUACUAUUUUUAUUUCGUGUGAAGUGGAUUGUUAAUCCUUUGCUCAUAUUGCUUUAGGAAAAUGGCGCCACCACCACCACCACCAUGUCAAUUGUGCAAGUCAAGAUGCGCCAGCAGCCUUGCAACUGGCAAGCUGCUCGGCAUCUACUUCCAGCCGAGUUUUCGUCAUGCGGCGGUAAGAAAUUAUAUGAAAUGUAACAACUAUUUUAUUUUUAAUGUUGGUAUUACUGCAUUGUGUCAUUUUGCUUUUUUUACACAGAUCGUCCCAUGCAAUGUGAGGUUGAAAUUCAAUAAGCUGACAGGAGACAUUAUGACAUUUGAGGCUCCUGGGGGCCGUACACUAUGGAGGUCGAGAAAGGAUGAAAUAUUUCGCAGAUUGUAGGAGAUGGAUGGGCCCGUUUCCUCGCCCGCAUGAGUCUUACUGGUGGUGAGUUGAUCAGCUUCUCCUUCAGAGCAGAAAGACCCAAGUUGGUUGUCAUUUAUAUCAACCUGGUGGAAGAUGAUGAAGAUGACCAAGAUGAUGAAGAUAAUGAGGACCCACUUGAUGAAGAUGAUGAGGACCCACUUCAUGAAGCCAUCAUAGCUCAAAGAAUGAGGCUGAGUGACGAGGAGGUGUGCAACCUAUGGGACAUAAUUCCACCACGUGCUGACUUUGUCGGAGUGCCAUUCGUGACCCGCCUAACAAGUACCAUGGUCGAUCGACAUGAUAUGGUAUGUUAUACUUACAAAUGCAAAAUAUUCGAUGAUAUGAUUAGUGUGGAGUCCAAUGAUAUAUUGUGUGGAAUCUAGUCGAUGAUAUGCUUUAGUGUAGAGUUCGAUCACAUGCUUAUUAGUGUGGAAUCUAAGGAACUAUUAAUAGUGUAGGUAAUCCAUAUAUACUUAUUUGCAAGAGUAUGUGUGAGGCUAUUUAUUAAUUGACAUGUUUUUCUUAUUCAGAAAUUGGCAAAGAGCCUAUCUGUGAGUUAUGGUAUCGAGCCUGAUGAAGAAGGCUCAGCUGGACUACGCCUUACCGCAAGGGGCUCCGUCACAACCUGUACUUACCGCAUGGACACGGACAGUCGCACACACUUAAACUCGGUUGGGUGGAAGAGGUUCCUCGAUGGCAAGAAUCUUCGUGUUGGACAGGCCAUCCUAAUUACUAUCAGGAACACCAACCGCCCAGGCUUGAGGAUGAUGAUCGUCUUCGAUAUCAUCUAGAACUACAUAUGUGUGUGUGUGGAUAUGUCAUCUAGAACUACAUAUGAUGAUCGUCGUCGAUAUCAUCUAGAACUACAUAUGAUGAUCGUCGUCGAUAUGAUCUUGUACUGCUUGAGGAUGCAUGUUGACUAUACAUGAAAUUGUUAUCCAGUACUCCCUUCGUUCCAAAUUACUCAUCGUGGUUUGAACUAAAACCACGACGAGUAAUUUGGAACGGAGGGAGUACUACCUAGUACCUAUAAUGCUUUAUGAAAUUGAUAUAUAGUAGUAACUAGUAUCUGGAUAUUGCGGUUUACUGAAACCGAAACGGGGUAGGAAGCGGGGGGAAAUUGAUGAAAGAUAUAGCAGUAGCGAGGGGCUAGGAAUCCGCUACAGCUAACUAAUAGUAGCGUGUUCCAGAAAAGCGCUGCUGAUAUAGUCAAUAGUAGUAGCGCGGGUGCUGACCGCGCUAUUACUAACAGUUAGCUGUAGCACAGUAAUAGUAGUGCGGCUGCUCGUGCUGCUGAUAGCCUCAAAACCUGUGCUACUACUAGGGUUUUCCCUAGUAGUGUAUUACAGAAUGAGUAAAGAGACUUGCCGAUAAUGAGAUUGAACUAGGUAUGAAGAUACCGACGAUUGAAUCUCGAGCAAGUAACAUACCGACAGACAAAGGGAAUUAUGUAUGUUGUCAUUAGGUUCGAUCGAUAAAGAUCUUCGUAGAAUAUGUAGGAACCAAUAUGGGCAUCCAGGUUCCACUAUUGGUUAUUAACCGGAGAGGCGUCUCGGUCAUGCCUACAUCAUUCUCGAACCCAUAGGGUCCGCACACUUAACGUUCGUUGACGAUAUAGUGUUAUAUGAGUUAUGUGAUUUGGUGACCAAAUAUUGUUCGUAGUCUCGAAUGAGAUCACGGACAUGACGAGGAGCUUCGGAAUAGUCCGGAGGUAAAGAUUGAUAUAUAGGACGAUGAUAUUUGGACACCAGAAAGGUUUCCAAGUGAACCGGGUAUUCAUCGGAUCACCGGAAGGGGUUCCAGGAGGCCCCGAGAGGUCUAUGGUCCUAAUGGUCCAAGGGGAGGCAUAGACCAGCCCACAAGGGGGCUGGCGCGCCCUCUCCCUGGCCGCCGGCCCUAGAGAAGGAAAGGAAGGAGGGCUAGCCCCUCCCGCCUUCCCCUCCUCAUGGGAGAAAGGAAAGGGGGGGCACCCCCUCUCGCUUUCUCCCUGGUGCCAUACAAGGAAGGGGGCGCUAGAGGGCAGGAGUCCAAGGAGGCCGGCCGACCAACCUUGGGGCGCCUCCUGGCUAUCUCCCCUCCCUCCACUAUAUAUAUAUAGCCGUGUGUGACGCCCCUCUCCACAGUUUAGUCCUCCGUCCAGUUUCUCCGCACUGCUCGGCGAAGCCCUGCGGGAACGAGUUCAGCGUCACCAUCACCACGCCGUCGUGCUGCCGGAACUCAUCUACUACUUCGUCCGUCUUGCUGGAUCAAGAAGGCGAGGACGUCAUAUGUGUGUUGAACGCGGAGGUGAUGUAUGUUCGGUACUUGAUUGGUUGGAUCGCGAAGAAGUUCGACUACAUCAACCGCGUUAAUAAACACUUCUGCUUUACGGUCUACGAGGGUACGUAGACAUAAUCUCCCCUCUCGUUGCUAUGCAUCUCCUUAAAUAGAUCUUGCGUGUGCGUAGAAUUUUUUUUCCCAUGCAACGUUCCCCAAUAGUCGUAUCCCACCUUGAUCACACGAGUGGGUAUGAGAGGAAGACGAGGUCGUCGGACCAUCACAACACCACACGUAGAGUAUGAUUGGACUUGUGACAUAUGCACGUGUGUCGAGCAACUAGUGCUUCUCCUAAGACAUAAAAAGUCAAUAGUUUAUUAGUAUGCAAAAUUCGCUAAUCGACUUUUCUACCCAUAUGUAAUAACUUUGUAAUGCAAUAUUAUCUCAAAUUGGCGUUUUAAUCCUUCAAAUUGAGUGUGAUUAUUGAGUUGAUGUAACCAAAAAAUGAAGGUUGUGUUAUGACGACUCUAUGUUUGCGCAUAGCCAUUGCAACAUCUAACGUAUAUGGAGCACGCUCAAUAUCUCAUCGACUCUACAAGAAUUUAUCUUAGUUUAUAGUUUAAAUAAUUAUUAGUUGUUUGAUCAAUGUAAAGUCAUCGUGCAGUUCUUCUUCUGCCCAAGUUAUUAGGAAUGAAAUCGACAAAAUGACAUGUGGGUCCUACUUGCAGGGAAAAAAUGGAUGCUGCAUUACGACGACUUUGUGCUUCCACAUAGGCACGGCCCCCAUAUGCCAUAUGAUGAUUGCACUUGUGGUGACUCUGCUAGGGUCGAUCUAAGCAAUGGUACCAACGGGAAAAGACAUGUUUGCCAAGGCAGGAAAUUAGUAGGUUCCCUUCAAACUAAGCCAUAAGCCAAAAUAAAAUCUCUUAAGGACCUUCGACGUCUUACAAAUAAGCUAAUAAAAAAUCUUCUGCGUUUUUGGGCACGCAGAGAGAAACAACAAGGUUUACUAUGGAAUAACCAAGGUAUGGCCAUAUUUAAGACCUUUUUCAAAGGAAGACAUCAGAGAGAAAGAUUUGUUGCUUUCUUAGACAGGAAUGAUAGCUGGCGAACGUUUCCCGGGAGCCCAAUCCCGACGAACGCCUCCGGAACCAUCACAUUUGCAUCCAACAGUGGUAGUUUUCUGCCCAAAAAUUUAAUUUAAAUAAACUGCCAUGGCAGUUUUGUAAAAUGCCAACCUAGCCUCCCCUAAUACAUGUUCAAUUGCCACCCGGGCGUUCACAACUGCCAUGUCCAACAUUAAAAAAUGUAAGAGAGUCAAGUUGGGGUCUAUGUUAAUAGAGCUCUUAACUAGGGACAUGAUGAGUUAUGACAUGAAAUGUCUGGUUUGUAACAAACUUUUGUACCAAAAACUAAAGACCGAAUACAAUAAAGAAAGGGAAUUGAUAGUAAUUACUCGAUGAUUCACGAGAAGGACAAUUGUUGACUUUAAAAGGAUGAUUUAUUGAUUAUUUGUUUGGCGGAACCAAAAGUAAAAUUUGGUGUGGACAAGGAACCUGUAAAAACACCUAAUUUGUAGUAUGGAGAAAAGAGAAAUGAGGGAGGAAAUGACUACAAUUAUUAUUGUAACUAGUAGGUGUUUUUUUACUUCUUUGGCCCUUGUACAAUAGUUGUGUUACUUCAAACCAAAAAUCAAACUUAUCAAAAAAUGAAAUAUUUUUGGUUAAGUCUAUUUUUCGUAUUCAAUAUACAUGGUCGCAUACACUCGAUUUAUAUUAGUGAGAGGAGCAGUGCGCGUGCAAGAUCACUAACUUGAUAAAUUUAAAAAUAAACACAAAUAUUAUAGAAAUUUUAACAUGGCCCCAAACUAGUCUUCCGUAUUCUUUGGUCCAAGGGCCAUAUGAUCUUUUUUCUUACAAGAGGAAAUAUUAAUAAAAUAGGGAAAAAAGGCAUCAAUUAAUAAUAUGAAAAUAUAUUGCUAAGCGCUCUUGCAACAUCAAGUAUUAAGUUAAAUUCAGAACGGUACAUACUUUAACUUGUACAUACGUCAACAUGUUUGCAAAGUUAAUAAAUUACUAAUUUGACAUGUGAAUGUAAUUCUACAUAGAACUUUCAAUUAUUGCAUUUCUUUUCAAUCAAAUUUUAGUUUCUUCAAAACAAAAACUAAGAAUCCGUCCAGAAUAGCUUGUUCCACAUACACAAUUAACUUAGAUUUAUUUAUUUAUCGGAUUUGGUAAGGCACACACAAUUUGUCUGAGCCACACAUUUUUUUCAAUAUGUUAGGGAUUCUCUUCUUUGUUGAGGCUUCUUGAUACGAAAAGUGAUAUUUUAUAAAUUGUUUACUCCUUGCAGUCUAGAGAUGACAUGCGAAAAUCAAAGUUUCGCCUCCAUCCCGCCGGGGAUACUCCUUCGUCAUGCCGGUUGUUCGAUGCCAUUGUCAGUCAUUGCAUUCAUGUGAUUAUCAGCAGCAGGAUCGAGCUCCCUUUUGAGGAUCAGAUUGAUUACAUCGAGUUCUCGCUUUCCUUCUAAGUUGAAGAAGUUCUAGAAAAUGAUUACUUGUUCAACCAACUCAGACAGAUGCCUAAAGAGAAGUGGGUUGAGAUGUGGUCAAAGCUGAAAAAUGUCUCUAGUCACUAUGAAUUCCAAUAUCCCCCCAGGAAGGAUGAUGCGGUGAACAUGAUAUGGCGGCAGGUGAGGCACAAAAUCCCCGCAGUUAACCUUGCGAUCCACAGGAGUAGGAGACUAAAAGUUCCAGACUGGUGGUGAGCAUUUGGUGAAUUGUGUACAUAUUCUCAUAUCGAUGGCGAAACCGGCAUCAUUCAUAUGGUUCAUGACGAAGCCAUGGCGGUCAUUCCUUGUGCACCAUGACACUGGAUCCAGGAAGAUGUACUGACAGACACUAACAUUUUUGCCCCUUUUUGUUGAUCUUACGACACCGUAACCAUUACUCCCCCUUGAGGUCAUGAUAUAGUGAGAACGUGUAGUUAUGUUACAGAGCUGGCUUGCCCGGCAGAAGCAUGUGCAUUAGAAACACACUUACAAACAUGUGUACCAACAGACUGGAUGUUGCAAUGUAUUCAAGUAGAUAUAAUUUCUCUUAGUACUUUUUGAGCCCUUUAACAGCCAAGGUAUCUUUUUUUUUAUUGUUUUUGAGACAGCUAACCACCCAUUUCAAGUGGUAACAGCCAAGGUAUCUUUUGAUAUGUUCAUUCUGUGUUUCCUGUGAGAAAUUCUCUGGGUGGCUGGGAUCAACUGUUGGCCUGCUUAUCUCAUUGACUUGUUAGUAGUGGUAGCACAGUAGGUUUCCAGGAAGUGAAUCAGGAUGUAAGAAUUUUAUAUGCUGUGGAACAAACUGACUAUGGUGUGGACUGGAGAACACUUCUAUCAUGGGCUACUGAUUUCUAGCUUGUCAUGUCGGUCCUGUUUGCAGCAAUUUUUUGGUGGGGAUUGUGGAGAAGUAAUUGGUGGUUGUGUUUCCUCCAACAUAAAAAUCCCUGCAGUUAAUUUUGCGAUUCAGAGGAGUAUAUAGGAGAUUAAAAGUCCCAGACUGCUGGUGAGGAUUUGGUGAAUCGUGUACGUAUUAUCAUAUCGAUGGCAAAACCGGCAUCAUUCAUAUGGUUCAUGACGAAGCCAUGGGUGUGCGCAUGACACUGGAUCACAGGAAGGACUUUUGUGAUUAUAAACAGAAGAACAAGCUAGCCUGCCAAAUUUAUAAAUAUAUAUUCAGAGGGUCAAAAUGGAUUUGAUCAAACCAACUCCACUUUCGAUUUCUAUUUGGAAUUCAGACUACUGCCUAAAGCUCGUCUGCAAGAUGGGCCCACCUAGAAGCUCUCAUGGACUGUAAACAGCAAAUGCCAAGGACUAAUUUGCAUAUAUAUCCAGAGGGUCAAAUUUUAAUUUAAGAUUUGGUUGGGGUGCGCCUGCCCAGGCAGUAGUGCAACGCACUGGACGACACCCGAGGGCCCCAGUGGCAAGCCACUGUGGUGGGCCCUCCCCCACAAAAAAUAAAUUUAAUAUCGUUAUGGGCACAUGACCCACAUAUCAGAUAUUAAACUGAUAAGAACAGAUACUACACUUGAUCUUAGCCAAAAGGCCGAGAAAGGUAUGAGUUGCAGCGUUGCUCUGCCCCUCUAUUUGUAGCCUACUCGCCCUCCCGUCCCCUCUUCGCUAGGCGAGGUGGUACUAAACGAGUCGCCUCUCUCGCGCGGCUGCGGAGCGCGGACGCUGCGCUGCGUGCCCCCCGACCCCGAGCCAGCCUCUUUGUUGCAUGGGCCUCAAGCGAGACGGCCUUUCCGAUGAGGCCUGUAUUAUGGGCCUGAUUUGCUCUCGGCUCUUGGAGGCCGGGCCCUGUCGGAGCGUGUUCUGAAGCCUGACGGUCCUGCAUGUUAUAUGUAUGGCUGGCUGAGGCGCUGCACUGCACUGCACGGUGAGACGAGACAACCGGCGAGGCGGACUCGAUCGACCGGCAAACUCCCCGGGAAUGCAGUCGUCGUGAUCGAUCGUUAUGUGCGUUCUUUUGCAGAAUAUAUACUCUACUACUAGUGUGUAGCUCUGCACAACAGAAGCGACGUUUGAAGAUGCAAGGUAGCAUCCAUCCAUCAAGGAAUAGUAGUAAAAUGUGCAUGCAAUAAAUAGAAAAACACUGCAGAUAUAUAACAACAACAACAAAAUGCACUCCUAAUAGUUAUCCCCUUCCCCACGGGUCAUAUUAGACUAUCCCAGAAUGAUUCUCAUCCUCUAGAGUCUAGAUUGUUCUAUAUCAAUGUUUGAUGUCAUACUUCAAUGUGAAUCACCAGUUUUUUUUUCCGAAAAAGAUUCAAAUCUAUUAGUUCAUCAAAAGUACAAAGCACCUCGAACAUAAUAGAAAUUUACAUCGAGGUCGGUCUCUAGACCACCGAAUGACAACUACCGCCGUCAGAACGAGCCGCCAACAUGCCGCUCCUGUACUGGAGCCGGCAUGACAUUAUCGAUGACAUUCAGAAAGUCUUCAUGCACGUUCCUCUAAGAACUAGUACCAUGGAGCCGCAGUCGUCGUCGUUGAACUGUCGAACAUAUCUGAAGGAACUGGCACCAAAUCUUGCCGGCGCAUGCACGAGAAGAAACUCUAACCUCGUCGCCCCAAGGAAACGACAUAAAUCUACGUCGAAGCUCUGUCGACUGCGUCCAGAUGGACGAACUCGAGGAGAAUCAGAGGACGGAAAACAAACUCGAAGAAGAAGCAUCGUCAUCCACCAGAGCGCCGCACCAGUGAGGACCGAAGAAAACCUAACCUAAAAUACUAACCGAAGCAAAGGCACCGGGAGUGAAUCGCCAGUUUAUGAUGUGCUACUGAAAUUAUUGAUCUCACCAACAAAUGAUAUUAACCUACGACAUAUCGACAUAUAAGCUUGUGAUUCAACUAAUAAUUUAACAAUAACAUAAUUAUCAUAAUCCACAAAUUUGUGCUCGUGUUGAUUGUCACACCUCCCAAGCUUUACCAUGCCUAUUACACAAUAUCAUGGACAUAAGAGAGUAUCUCGUGUUUGCUUCCAUGCUACUAAUGUCUCUUUUUAUUAGAGAAUCCUAUAAGCAUGGGAAAUGAAGCUUCUAGAAUACAUGGGAUGAUAGAGUGGGGGAUCAACUAGAAGGCGAUGUGGCAGAAUCCUAUGGGUUUAGAAAUUAUCUAACGAAUGCCAAUGCUCAGAUUUUCCAUAUCUCAACCGUUGGAUGGAGCAUUUUCAACCACUUAUGUUUGAAGUUAUUGUCACACUAUAUAGUAGUAUAGAUGUAUAGAUAUAUGACAAAUCGUUCUUUCCUUGGAUGAGCUGGAUCAAACAUGUGUUUCUUACCUUGGUUCUGAUCAUAGGUGGUUGAUUGUUUAUCUCUUGUUGAGUGUUUUAAUGGUGGCCAGAAACAUUCAAGAACUAAGUGUAAUACUAGCAGGGUCACCAAAAUGUUUGAUUGUCAUAGAAAUCGGUAAUAUGACAAUUUUGACAAGAACACCACUCUAGCAGAGUCGCCAUCCGACCGAAUCAUCAUAAUUCAUGGAGGGAACUCCAUACUAAGUUAGCGAUUAUCUAUAUUUUGAGGUUGUGGGGCUUCGUUUGGAGGGCAGGCGGCCAAACGCCCACCGCGACGCGAGAUAAUGAACUGUGGUCACGACGUGUCCAACUAGUCGCGCCCCUUCCCGCUACCGCGCCCCAUGUUUUCCCACUGCCUGCCGCUGUAAAAAAGCUUGGCUCUCUUUCUCUACACUACCACCAUCCGUGCCUCGCAAACUCUUCUUUCUCUGCACUUACACCCUAUCGGUUCCCCUUGACUGAAAUGGGUUUUGCUCUCGGAGGAGAAGAAAUGAAUGCUCGACAAGGAGGAAGUCGUUGGAAUCGCUGAGGAUGAGUGUGAUCGUGGCGACGCGGAGGAGGCCAUGCAAUAGGAUCCCACCCUCCUCAACAGGUGCCUAGAUUCUAAUCUGAAACACAUGUUGGUGUUUGGGAUGUCAAGCACGAAUACAUGUAUAUAUCCCGUCUGGGUAGGAGAGGCCUUACACACGCAACUUAUAUCGGCCACCACAUGCUCCUUGAUGCCUCACUAUUAAGGAGGCAUGAGAAGGCAUGAGACGAGCGCUACACUGUCAACGUGUCAAACUUCCACCCCAAGAAAUAUUUGAGCAGACCACCGCUUGGCGGAGGCUGACGUUUGAGAGCAACAACACCAUACUGCGAGGAGGCAUGAUAAGAUUUCGCAGCGGAGAGCACGGAAGCGCGUCGGAUGAUGCCAAUUCAAUGUCAAUGUCGAGGCGACGACUCAUGCAAUAUUGGUCUUGCCCCCUUGAGAAAGUCAUUGAUGGAAAUAUGCCUAGAGGCAAUAAUAAAGUUGUUAUUAUUAUAUUUCUUUAUUCAUGAUAAAGGUUUAUUAUUCAUGCUAGAAUUGUAUUGAUCGAAAACUUAAAUACAUGUGUGGAUACAUAAACAAAUAUUAUGUCCCUAGUGAGCCUCUACUAGACUAGCUCGUUGAUCAAAAGAUGGUUAAGGUUUCCUAACCAUAGACAUAUGUUGUCACUUGAUAACGGGAUCACAUCAUUAGAAGAAUGAUGUGAUGGACAAGACCCAUCCGUUAGCUUAGCAUUUGAUCAUUCAAUUUAUUGUUAUUGCUUUCUUAAUGUCAAAUACAUAUUCUUUCGAUUAUGAGAUCAUGCAACUCCCGGAUACCGGAGGAAUACAUUGUGUAAUAUCAAACAUCACAACAUAACUGGGUGAUCGUAAAGAUGCUCUACAGGUAUCUCCGAAGGUGUAUGUUGAGUUGGCAUGGAUCGAGAUUAGGAUUUGCCACUCUGUAUAUCAGAGAGGUAUCUUUGGGCCCUCCCGGUAAUACACAUCACAAGUAGCUUGCAAGCAAAGUGACUAAGGAGUUAGUUACGAUUUGAUGUAUUACAGAACGAGUAAAGAGACUUGCCGGUAAUGAGAUUGAACUAGGUAUGAAGAUCCUGAUGAUCAAAUCUCGGACAAGUAACAUACAGACAGACAAAGGGAGUUACAUAUGUCGUCAUUAGGUUCGACCGAUAAAGAUCUUCGUAGAAUAUGUAGGAACCAAUAUGGGCAUCCAGGUUCCGCUAUUGGUAAUUGAUCAGAGAGGCGUCUCGGUCAUGUCUACAUCAUUCUCGAACCGUAGGGUCCGCACGCUUAACAUUCCUUGAUGAUAUAGUGUUAUAUGAGUUAUGUGAUUUGGUGACCGAAUGUUGUUUGGAGUCCCGAAUGAGAUCACGAACAUGGAGCUCCAUAAUAGUCCGGAGGAAAAUAUUGAUAUAUAGGACGGUGGUAUUUGGACACCGAAAAGGUUUCGGAGUGAACCGAUGAAAGGAUCUAGAUGACGACUAGAGGGGAGGGUGAAUAGGCAUUUUAAAACUUUUACGGAUUUGGCUUUAUUCUAAUGCGGAAUUAAACUAACGGAUACUUUUCAAGCACAAAUCCUAAAUAUGCUAGGCACAACUAGGUGCACCAACAACCUACGCUAAACAAGAUAGGAACUUAAGCAAACUAGCAAGCACAAGCUAUAUCACAAGAUAUGGAAAUGUAUGAACAACUAAGCAAUUCAACUAGCACAAGAUAUAUCAAUAUGAGCAAGUAUGAAUUGUGGAAAGUAAAGAGUGUGGGUAUGAGAUAACCACAAGUGAGUCAGGGACGCGGAUUUAUCCCGAAGUUCACACUUGUAAGAGUGCUAAUCUCCAUUGGAGCAGUGCCGAAGCCAAAACUUUGGGGCGUCACCAAGUGACUCACCGUAUUCUUCCUUUCGAGUCACCCCCAACGGAUGAGCCUCGAUUCACUCGGGGUUGGUCUUGAAGGCGACCACCACACCUUUACAAUCUUCUCCGGAGCACACCACAAACACGGAAGCUUCCGGAGGAACUUGACCACCUAGUCCACUUCAACACCCUUCCCCGGAUCACACCACAAAAGGAAGCUUCCCGAGGAAUCUUGGCCACAUAGCCUCUUCACAAUCUUCUUAAUGUAUCACCAAACCGUCUAGGAGGCAGAAGCCUCCAAGAGUAAUAAACUCACGAGCUCUCACUCGAACUAAUCGAUGUGGGGAGCUCAAACCAAUGCAACAAAUGCAAUGCAAGGUCAAGCAACAAAUGCUCAACUCACUCUCUCAAUCUCACAAGAUGCACUCUCGAAACACUACAAAAAAUACACUUCUGUGAUGAUACAUGUUUGUCACAGUAGGUUGCGUUUUUUGUCAUGCAUGUACAUCCAUGACGAUUUUAUGACAGAAUCAAGAUAGUCAUAUAUGUGCUGUCGUAGAAGUGUUCCAUGACAUUACCAAAAUUAUCACCACGGAAGUGUCCACUUCCAUGACGAUAAAUCGUGCGUCACAAAAGUGUUUUCGUCAAGGGUGAUCGACACGUGGCAUCCACCAUAACGGAACACUGUUAAGCUAUCGGGUUCGGUUUUGGAUCCGAUAAUCCGUUAACAGCCCAGACCAAUGGGGAUUUUCCACGUGUAAAAUCAUCAUUGGCCGCAGGAAACACGUGUUGCCUCACCGUUGGGACAGAUGUCAUCCACUCAUUGGACAGGAGGCGCCUAUGAUAGGUCGACACAUGGCACGGCCCAACAGUGGCCCAUUCCGGUGAAAAAGGUCGGCCCAGUAAAAAUUAGCAAGCCGGUCCAUAUAAGGCCUACUUGUGCCAGGUCCAUUUAAGCCCAUGGCCCAUACGAGAUGUGCUAAUUCGGCCUGUCAACGGCCCGUUAAACAUUUGACACCAUUGCAGCCCAUCGUCAGUUCGAGCCCGUUAACAGUCCGCUAUAUAUUUGGGCUCAAUAUCGGCAUGAUGAGAUUUCGGCCUGUUAACGGCCCAUUCAAUGGAUGAGCCGAUUUUCAGGAUGUACAUCUUUCGGCCUUUUAGCGACCCAUUGAAAUGUUGGGCUAAUUUCCGGCCCAGUGUGUCUUUCAGCCUGUUGACGACCCAUAAAUUUGAUGGGCCAUUUAUAGUCGGGCCUGAGUUUCGGCCUUUUAGCGGCCCAUUUAAGUGUUGGUCCAAUUUCCAGCCCGGUGUCACUUUUAGCCUGUUGAUGGCCCAUAAAUCAGUUGGGCCAUUUGUAGUCGGACCUGAGUUUUGGCCUUUUAGCGACCCAUUUAAGUGUUGGGCCAAUUCCCGGCCCUGUGUGCCUUUCGGCCUAUUAACGGAUAAUAAAUGAGUUGGGCCAUUUGUAGUCGGACCUUAGUUUUGGCCUUUUAACGACCCAUGCCCUUCAUGGUCCAAUACCAACCCGAUUUCUCUUUCGGCCUGCUAAAGGCCCACAACAUAGUUGGGCCAUUUACAAUACGACCUGACUUUCGGCCUCUUAGCGGCCCAUGCUCUUCAUGGUCCAGUACAAGCCCGCUGUCUCUUUCGGCCUGCUAAAGGCCUACAAUAUAGUUGGGCCAUAUGUAGCCCAAACUUAGUAACGGCCUGUUAAUGGCCCGUGAAAUAAAUUGGGCCCACCUGUUGCCCGCUUCGAUGUCGGCCUGUUAAUGACCCGGGAGGUAAGAGGGCCGACCAUUAACUUUCGGCCUAGUAAUGGCCCAUUAACUUAAUGGUCUCACUAAAGUUCGUACAUGUCUUUAGGCCAAAUUAGAUAAUUUGAGCCCAUUACGACGAGCAAUUAUGCACAGGACCAAAAUCGAUCAAGCAAAGGUACGGCAUACAGGGAAUAACGUUGCACAUCCAGCAUAUAUUAUAGGAAAUUACAUCCACUGGGCAAUCAAAGAUUGAUGCCAGUGCAAAUAAAUGAGCAGAACCUAACCAUCUACAACGUCACAAUAUGCAACCUCAGCAUAGAUGACGCCCAUAAGCAUGUGGGCAAGUUCUUGCUGUUUUGCUACACUGUCUUUGAAAACAUUGAUCAGUUGUUGUGUCGCACGACUCUGCACCUCUGAUUCAUCCACCAUUUCCAUCAUUGCUUCAGCCAUUAAUUGGUUCACAAACAUACAUUUAUUCUGUUGCAUUCGAGAGAGAGGAUACUGAACAGAUUCAGAUGGCAAUUUUUGCAGGCUUAUAUUAUUGAUAGUGGAGAGUGUCUCGACCACUGCAUCAUAACAUAAAUUAGAACGGGAACCAAACAGAUUAAUCAUGAGUUAUUGCCAUAUUACCUGGCCUAGAUUUACUGGAAAGAAACAAUGGGGUUGCCUUGUUGUUUUCAGAGUUUGUCUUCUUAUCUUUAGCAGCCUGCACAAAAUUAACACACUAGCAUUGCUAUCAUUGGCCAAGUCAGAUAAUAGAAAAGCAACAUUGAAACAGCGAACCUUUGGGCAACUAGCCUACACCGAAUUAACACAAUAUGGCACAACUAUCAUCAGCCAGGUAAGGUAAUACGAAAGCAACAUUGACACAAUGAAUGAAUGUGCAACCAGAGAAGCACUACAAUUCAGUAAUGUGUGUGAUAUAAGAUAGUACACUCAUGCAACUCAGUAUGCAAAACUACCAGGCAAUUUUCCUUACAAAAAUCAAUAUUGACGCCUUUAAAAUUUUGCUACAACUAAUUUUAGAUCAGAUAAAGGUUAGAUUCAUGCCGAUUAACAAAAUACAUGCUGAUGUAAAAAUAUAGUGAUAUACAACAGGUACUUACAUCAACAUUGGAGCACAGAUAAUCCCCACAAGAUAUUUUCCUCGAAUACGAUCCCAAUGGAGGAAGUCUUCUAUCGUUUAACCUUAUUUUCUAAAAGAGAGAUGGGUAAGAAACAUGCAGAAAAUAUGAUCAGAAUGCUAUAAAAUUUCAUGAUGCGAGGAUACGCACACGCUUCUUAGAAUGGAGUUGACAUUCUUUUGAUGGACUGGAGUGGACUAGUUCUUUGGCCAUUGGAAUCUGCUUAUUAUCAGUGGGAGUUGGGUUUCUCUGUGUUGGGGCAGUAUCUAUGAAAAAUGGAGUUGGUUUAUUAUCUCCUUGCGUUUGGAUCUUUUGCAAAGACCUGAUUUGUAACUCUUCAGAUUCUAACAUAGCCGUAUUCCCCUUGCAUGCCUUAUAUAGAAGAAUGGUGAUUCGGUUAUAAAACGUGCUACAACAGAGAUGGAAUAGGUACUGAAGAAUAGAAAGGCAUGACAUAUUGACAUGUAUUCCCUCCAUCCAGAAAUAAAUGGAUGGGUCUAGGCGUAUUUCAGUUCUAGAUACAUCCAGUUUUAUCCAUUUUUGCGACAUGUAAUCCGGACGGAGUGAGUAUGAUGUAAGAGCUAGGGAUACGACAAGACAACACAGUAAAAAAAACACUGAAAACCCACUGCAGAACCAAAGUAUUCAAACCCACUGAUAUGAGAUAGUACACUCAUGCAGCUCAGGAUGCAAAACUACCAGGCCGUUUUCCUUACAAAAAUCAACAUUAUGGCCUUUAAUCAUACAUUUUGCUACAACUAAAUUUAGAUCAGAUAAAGGUUGGAUUCACGCUGAUUAACAAAGUACAUGCUGAUGUAAAAAUAUAGUGAUAUACAACAGGUACUUACAUCUACAUUGGAGCACAGAGAAUUCCUGCAAGAAUCUUUCCUCAUAAACGAUACCAUUGCAGAAAUUCUUCUAUCUGUUAAGCUUAUUUUCUAAAAGAGAGAUGGGUAAAAAACAUGUAGAAAAUAUGAUCAGCAUGCUAUAAAAUUUCAUGAUGCAAGGAUAUGCACACGCUUCUUAGAAUGGAGUUGACAUAUUUUUGCUGGACUAGAGCGGACUAGUUCUUUGGCCACUGGAAUCUGCUUAUUAUCAGUAGGAGUUGGGUUUCUCUGUGCUGGAGCAGUAUCUAUAAAAAUUAGAGUUGGUUUAUUAUCUCCUGGCGUUUGGAUCUUUUGCAAAGGCCUUGUUUGUAACCCUUCAGAUUCUAACAUAACCGUCUUCCCCUUGCAUGCCUUGUAUAGAAGAAUGAUGCUUUAAUUAUAAAACAUGCGACAGCAGAGAGAUGUAAUAGGUACUGAAGAAUAGAAAGGCAUGACAUAUUGACAUGUAUUCCCUCCAUCCGGAAAAAAUGGAUGGGUCUAGGCGUAUUUUAGUUCUAGAUACAUCCUUUUUUAUCCAUUUCGGCAACAUGUAAUCCAGACGGAGGGAGUAUGGUGAAAGAGCUAGGGAUACGACAGGACAACACAGCAAAAAAACACUAGUUGAAUGUAAAAUUGUAUGCUAGCGGAAUACAUACAGAAAUAACUAAGGCAACAUACACGUGUAUGAUUGGGAAACUAAGAUGGCAUUGCAAUAAAGCACUAGAACAACACUUCAAUGUAAAAAAAACAUGGUAUGGUAGACAGAUGAAGUACAUACUAAUGAAUAACAAUGCAUAAGAUAUUCAGAAGCAUGAUGUCCAAAUUAAGCGGAUGGCAUUGCGAUAGAGUAGAAUGAUGGUACUUGAAUUUGAAAACAUGUUAUCAUGAAUGGAAUAGGUACUGAAAAACAGGAAGACAUGACAUAUUUACACGCAUGAUCAACAUGCUAAGCACAUGGCAUUGCAACAGAGUAGAUACACUCCAGGACAGUAUAUGCAUGUUGUACCCAUAUCACAGGCCAAGUUAGAGCAAGGACCUUGUGGGGUGAAGAGGAUUCAUCAUCUUUCUGCAAGUCUUCUGAAGAACUGCCUUUACAUGUUCCAUCAUAUUGGGUAUCAUUGACAUCAAGUUUAUUGGCCUUUACAUUGCUCCGUGAGGUUCUUGUGGAUAUAUCAGUGUGUGCAAUUAUAUCUGACAUGCAUGCAAGACAACUAGUAGUUAGAUUUAUGUAAUGAGUGCCUGUAGGAGACGACAUAAAUAGUAGGACUAGGGUUAACUAGCAGCAACAGGUCUCAUAAACUAAAGGGAGAACACAAAUGAAAGCUACAGAAUAUGUAUCGUUUGUACUCGAGAUUAACUAGAUGGCACACAAAAGUAUUAAAGAACAACAUAGGUAAUACUAGAACUGGUAUAAUACUAUAAUCACCAGCCUGUGGGAUAGCAUUGGCUGAUCGAUGAUAACUAUGGAACAUCGUUACCUAAACAAUAAGUAUCUUAGCUGAACUAUGGAACAUUGUUAACUCCCGAACAAGACCCGUAAGAGAUCAGCAUGAAUAUACAGUGAAAUGUGAUGAUCUAUUUUCCAUGCUUAGAUGAAUAACAAAGCCAUAAAUGUUGCACACAAGUAAGAUGAGGGUACAACCUAUCUGGCUGCCAUCCAUAGAAGUGAGCAUCAUGUGCUGACUUGUCGAUGGCCCUGCAGUUGUUGUGGCUGUCCAUGUCGGGCACGCGCAUUCGAUGUAGGGAACUAUUGAGUGGGGACUAUAGCUCCCUUCUGGUGUAUGCUUCCCUUGUUGGAGCAGCUGCGGUGAGUCGGAAGAUGGUGUGUCUGAAGAUGCAGAUAACACAUAAUGUUAAGAACGACGUAUCUCUUUGAUCUGAAGAAAUACACUAAGAGAUCAACAGCAAGGUACGAGAGUGGUCACACGUCUGUUGACUGAAGACUAAAUUGGGGUCACAUGAUUUUAUUUUAUUUUUGUACUGUCCGAUCUACGCCGGAUGGCUUGAUGGCCGUCUUGUGCCUCCCGGCUGACACUGUUCGGAAUCUUCCCCGAAGAGCCAGCGACCAAUGGCAGAGCAACCUACCUCCGCCUUCCGUGGCCCCGAAUAAAACCCCGCUCCCUGCCCACUGUACUGCCAUGGUUGCGCCGCCCCCGGGCCAAUCCACAAAGACUCCCCAUCAUCCAAAUUCGGCGGCGGCAGUACCUUCUACCCACAGAACUCUAAAAGAUAGCCAUCUAAGCGCUACUUCCACGGAAAACUUGCGGCCCCGCACCCUUAUGUUAGACACCAGCCAACCGGCAGCCUAGGAGCUCCGCCGCCUCGAGGGUUGCUGCUUUCCAUUGGGAAUCGAUUGGCCCAGAAUAAAAAUUCAGACAACUGACGCCUAAAUAAAGUGAUUUGAGAUGAGGGUGCGACCUAUCUAGCGGCAUGGUGAAGUAGGCAGGUCCAGCUGCCAAGUCGGUGAGGCCGGCGCGGUUGCGGUGGCGACCGGCGGCAGGGAAACAGCGAUGUCGAGACGGUCGACGGCUACGGGAAAGCAGCGCCAGGACUCUGGACGAAUCCGAAGUUGGAGCCGCUCCGGCGUCGUGAACAACGAUGGGGGUGAAUUGGCUCUGGUACGGUUCACGCGGCCAUCAUCGAGGCAGCACCAGCAGCACGGAGUAAGAGGCAUACGAACCAGUGCACGACAGCAAAUGGAAAGCGUCUCCGGCAUUAGCAAGGAGGGCGGCUUUGAAAAUUGUGCGGUGGGGGCGCCAUGGAGGUGGGCUGAGGUUUCACGGCUCGGGAGAAGGGAGCUUCCCGGGGAGAAGGUGAUUUGGCACCCAUGAGGUAUGAAUGGGGGCGGGGAGGGGAUUGGGAGGGGAGUGGAACCAUGUCUUACGGACGCAUUUGUCUGAAAUGUGAGGGGGAGUUACAGUUCUACCCUUGCCUUUAGGCUUCUCGGCUUGGGUCUAUGUACUGAGGGUCGGAGAUAGUAGAGUAACUUUGCUUCUCCCCAAAUAGUGGGCGGGAGAGAUUUCGGGCGAGGAGGGCGUGUUUUGAACUAUAGUGGGCGCCAGCGAUUUCGGGUGAGGAGAGCGUGUUUUGAAAUAAUGGGCACGAGCUAUUUCGGGCGAGGAGAGCGUGUUUUGCUGACCAUGGUUUAUGAAUUAUUCGGCACAUGUCAUUUCGGCCGAGGAUAAGGCGCGCUUGGAUGAAGUUACGAACCUACCCUCGAUGUACGACAGGCCAAUUGAUGUGUGUCCCACAUAGGACGGUAAUUUCGCGUCUCCCAUUUAUUUUCUCCGGUGAAUUCCACCGAGCAGAGAGGAUGUUUAACGGUUUGUUCAAAUUUUGGGAGAAUGAGCAUCCACGUCUACCUUACCAAGUCGAUUCGAAUCAAAUUUUGAAAUAUUAUCUUGCCACUUCUUUUUUAGAUGGAGAGAUGAUGCUCGGGAGUAAUGUGUUUUUACAUGCUCGUUGCUAGCGAUUUACUAUAUGACAAAUAGUUGACCCACUAAAAAACGUGAAUCAAACCCAAAAUGAAAUGUCUCGAUUCAAUGAAAUAGCUCGUUCACUAGGUCAAAAUAGUGAACUAAAUCCAAAAUUGAACACCUCAAUCGAGUAGCAUGUUGUACAUUAUUAUAGUACUCCAUGAACAUGUUGAAAGUCAAAUUAAUGAACUUGUUUGAUAUACGCAUAUAUCCGUUCAUGUGUGGAUUGCAGACAACAUGUUCUCCAAUUUAAAUAUUUGAAUGUAAGUUUAUAUCGAAGCAUGGUUUAUAUUAGUCUUUGAUGCAUAAAACGCGACCUCCCCCUCUCCCGGACUCCUGUUCUCUCUCUCUCGCGCGCACGCGCGCACGCUGACAAUCUUCAAUUAUGUCGCACGCAUCCGACACAAAAACCUUGUUGGUCCCUCUCCCUUUCUCUCCAUCUCUCUCUCUCUCACUCUCUCUCUCUCUUUGUAUGUGUGUGUGUGUGUGGGGGGGGGGGUCUUUCUAGUUUGCAUGCAUAUAUACACCAUCUAUAGGUCUCGCUCGCACACUAUGUAUGAUACUCUAGCUAGUACAAGCUAGAUAUCUUGGGUGCACUCAUCGUACGCACACAAAUUCCUUGGCUCUUUGCCGGUAACUCUCUCACGCACCACUCUGUCGUCUCGGAGCUCUUCCCCCCCUCUCUCAAAAUCUACAUCCACCUGGGUCACACAUACACAUGCAUAUCUCACUCGCACUCGAUAGGCCCAUCUAACACUCCAUAUCUCUCCCUCGUUUUCUCUCCAUCUCACAUGCACACACACACAAUCUCAUGCCUAGCUAGCCAAUUAUGAUGGUCUCUCACUCAAUUGUAGCACACACAGUCCCCCCUAUAUGUAUAUGGCUAGCUAAUCUUAGUCUCCAUCACAAACAUGUGCAUGGUCUAUCUCGAUUUCUCUCGGGGCAUCUUUCUAUCGCGCACGCACCUCCCUCGAUCUCCCACCCAUAUAGUCCCCUCACGAUCUCGAGGGGACCUCUCUAUUACAAACACACCCUCUCUCCCUCCCCACGUGUCCAUGUCCUCCAUGUGUCCCUCUCGACCUUUGUUCCUUGUUGGCCAGACCUCUAUUGGACAUGUGCUACAGGGGUGUCUCUCUCCGUUGCAAACAGUCACACACUAGAUAUCUUCAUGUAUCUCCUCGCCUCAUGAUACGUCUCCGUCGUAUCUAUAAUUUUUGAUUGUUCCAUGCCAAUAUUAUUCAACUUUCAUAUACUUUUGGCAACUUUUUAUACUAUUUUUUGGGACUAACAUAUUGGCCAGUGCCUAGUGCCAGUUCCUGUCUAUUGCAUGUUUUAUGUUUCGCAAAACCCCCAUAUCAAACGGAGUCCAAACGGGAUUAAAAUGGACGGAGAAUUAUUUUGGAAUAUUUGUGAAUUUUGGGAGGAAGAAUCAAUGUGAGACGAUGCCCGAGGUGGCCACGAGAUAGGGGCCCAUGCCCACUUAAAGUGGGCGCGCCCCCCACCCUCGUGGGCCACCCGUAAGGCGGUUGACGCUCGUUUUUUGCCGCAAGAAAGCUAAUUUUAUGAGAAAAAUCUGGGCGAAAGAUUCACCCCAAUCCGAGUUACGGAUCUCCAGAUAUAAAGGAAACGGUGAAGGGGCAGAAUCCGAGAAUGCAGAAACAGAGAGAUAGAUCCAAUCUCGGAGGGGCUCUCGCCCCUCCCAUGCCAUGGGAGCCAAGGACCAGAGGGGAAACCCUUCUCCCAUCUAGGGAGAAGGUCAAGGAAGAAGAAGAAGAAGGGGGGCUCUCUCCCCCUUGCUUCCGGUGGCGCCGGGACGCCGCCGGGGGCCAUCAUCAUCACCGCGAUCUUCACCAACACCUCCGCCAUCUUCACCAACAUCUCCAUCACCUUCCCCCAUCUAUAUUCAGCGGUCCACUCUCCUGCAAGCCGCUGUACCCUCUACUUGAACAUGGUGCUUUAUGCUUCAUAUUAUUAUCCAAUGAUGUGUUGCCAUCCUAUGAUGUCUGAGUAGAUUUUCGUUGUCCUAUCGGUGAUUGAUGAAUUGCUAUGAUUGGUUUGAGUUGCAUGUUUUAUUAUUGGUGCUAUCCUAUGGUGCCCUCCAUGUCGUGCAAGCGUGAGGGAUUCCCGCUGUAGGGUGUUGCAAUGCGUUCAUGAUUCGCUUAUAGUGGGUUGCAUGAGUGACUGAAACACAAACCCGAGUAAGGGGAUUGUUGCGUAUGGCAUAAAGGGGACUUGAUGCUUUAAUGCGAUGGUUGGGUUUUACCUUAAUGAAUCUUUAGUAGUUGUGGAUGCUUGCUAGAGUUCCAAUCAUAAGUGCAUAUGAUCCCAGAAGAGAAAGUAUGUUAGCUUAUGCCUCUCCAUCAAAUAGAAUUGCAAUAGUGAUUACCGGUCUAGUAACAUAGUCAAUGGCUUAGGGACAAUUUUACAACUCCUACCACCACUUUUCCACACUCGCUAUAUUUACUUUAUUGUUUAUUUAUCUAAACAGCCCCUACUUUUUAUUUACGUGUUCUUUAUUAUCUUGCAAACCUAUCCUAUCACACCUACAAAGUACUUCUAGUUUCAUACUUGUUCUAGGUAAAGCAAACACUAAGCGUGCGUAAAGUCGUAUCAGUGGCCGAUAGGACUUGAGAGAGUAUUUGUUCUACCUUUAGCUCCUUGUUGGGUUCGACACUCUUACUUAUCGAAAGAGGCUACAACUAUCCCGUAUACUUGCGGGUUAUCAAGACCUUUUUCUGGCGCCGUUGCCGGGGAGUCAUAGCGUGGGGUGAAUAUUCUCGUGUGUGCUUGUUUGCUUUAUCACUAAGUAAUUUUUAUUUGCUGUUCUAAGUUGUUCUCUAUCUUUAGUUAUGGUUAUGGAACAUGAAAUACCAAAAAAAUUAGGUGUACUUGCUACUCAUGGAGAUGGGGUAACUCCUAAAACCCUUGAUUCUCAUUAUGUGAAAGAUAUUAUGUACUACUUUGAUAAUCCUGAGAAAACCCCAUUCAACUUUAUAAUGGGAGACACAUUGGAUCAACGUGAAUACUUUAGGGAUUAUCGCUCGACACAAGAAGGGAAACUAUUAUGGGACCAAUUUAUUAUGUUGCGUUGGUAUGCCCGGGAUCUAUGCUUGAGAUAUGAUAUUACUUGUUGCUCUAGCAUGAAGGCUCCACACCUUCCCUUUUCAUGCAAAUUUAAUGAUAAUGAAACCUUAGCUUCUUAUGCUAAUGGUAUAUAUGAUUACUAUGAUGUGGAACAAAUAGAAGAAUUUGUUGCUUUUAAGGCUGCUUAUGAAAUUGAAUCUUUGUUUGAAAAGUAUGAAGCUUUUGAUGAUGAUGGUCUUUAUAGGCCUGAAAAUCUUGCUAUACUUAGAUAUUGCUAUGAAAAUUAUGAAUACCAUUACUAUAUUAAUGCAUUUAUUGAGAAAGUCUCCGCCAAGAAGAGACUAAUAUUUUGCAGGAAGCUAUGGAAGAAGAAAUUGAUGAAACUGUGAGCUCAUUGGAUGAAAAAGAUGAUGAGGAGAGCGAAGAACAAAAGGAGGAAGAGCGGAUUGAUCACCCGUGCCCACCUUCUAAUGAGAGUAACUCUUCAACUCAUACAUUGUUUAAUUCCCCUUCGUGCUUACCGAAGGAUGAUUGCUAUGAUCCCGUUGAUUCUCUUGAAAUAUCCAGUUUUGAUGAUGCUUGCUAUGCUUGUGGCCAAGAUGCCAAUAUGAAUUAUGCUUAUGGAGAUGAACUUGCUAUAGUUCCUUAUGUUAAACAUGAAAUUGUUGCUAUUUCACCCACGCAUGAUAGUCCUAUUAUCUUUUUGAAUUCUCCCGACUACACUAUAUCGGAGAAGUUUGUGCUUAUUAAGGAUUAUAUUGAUGGGUUGCGUUUUACUACUAUACAUGAUGAUUUUGAUAGAUAUAAUAUGCAUGUGCUUGCUUCUCCUACUUGCAAUUAUUAUGAGAGAGGAACUAUAUCUCCACCUCUCUAUGUUUCCAAUAUGAUAAAAUUGCAAGAAACUGUUUAUACUAUGCGUUGGCCUUUACUAUGUGUGCAUGAAUUGUUCUUUUAUGACAUGCCGAUGCAUAGGAAUAGAGUUAGACUUCGUUGUUGCAUGAUGUAUGUUAUGUUGUGCUCACUACUAAAUUACAAAUCAUUGUUAAUUAAAAUUGGCUUUGAUAUACCUUGGGAUCCGGGUGGAUUCAUUACUUGAGCACCAUAUGCCUAGCUUAAUGGCUUUAAAGAAAGCGCUGCCAGGGAGACAACCCAGAAGUUUUAGAGAGUCAUUUAUUUUUGGUGAGUGAUUUUAUAUAGUUUAAAAACAAAAAAAAUAAAGAGGGGAACCUAAAAACUUUUCAAAAAGGAAAGUGAAAGUGAGAGAGACAAGCAUUGUUGAAGUGGGAGAGCUCCUUGAACUUUGUUCAUGCUCACGGAAACUUUGUGAAUCUUGAUUACAGAAAUUUUUCAUCAAAAAUAAUUAUCCCCUUGUACAAUUCCAAUGUAUUAUAAAAAUAAUGUGCCAAGGUUUGCCUUUAGGAUGUUUACAAUGCUUGUUGGUUUGUACGGUGCAUGACAGAAACUUUGGCUGUAGUGCGCGAUUUUACAUUUUUAACUGGAACAUCAAACGGUUCUGAUUCUUUUUGCACUGUCUUGCUAUAAAACUUGUUUAUUUUUCCUAAUUUUGGUAGAAGUUUUGGGGUACCAGAAGUAUGGUGGAUGGUCAGAUUGCUACAGACUGUUCUGUUUUUGACAGAUUCUAUUUUUGAUGCAUAGUUUGCUUGUUUUGAUGAAUCUCAAUUUUUAUCAGUGGAUUAAGCCAUGGAAAAGUUAUAUUACAGUAGACACAAUGCAAAAACAAAAUAUGAAUUGGUUUGCUACAGUACUUAGAGUGGUGAUUUGCUUUAUUAUACUAACGGAUCUUACCGAGUUUUCUGAUGAAGUUUUUGUGUGGAUGAAGUGUCUAAAUGAGGAGGUCUCGAUAUGAGGAAAGGACGAGAGGCAAGAGCUCAAGCUUGGGGAUGCCUGAGGCACCCCAAGUAAAUAUUCAAGGAGACUCAAGCGUCUAAGCUUGGGGAUGCCCCGGAAGGCAUCCCCUCUUUCUUCAACAAGUAUCGGUAUGUUUUCGUAUUCGUUUCGUUCAUGCGAUAUGUGCAAGUCUUGGAGCAUCUUUUGCAUUUAGUUUUCACUUUUCUUUUAUGCACCAUGCUUGUAUGAGAUAGUCCUUGGUUGAUUUAUAGAAUGCUCAUUGCGCUUCACUUGAAUCUUUUGAGUAUCGCUUUAUAGAAUGCUUCAUGUGCUUCACUUAUAUCAUUUGAAGUUUGGAUUGCCUGUUUCUCUUCACUUAGAAAACCGCCAAUUGUAGAAUGCUCUUUUGCUUCACUUAUAAUUGUUAGAGCAUGGGCAUAUCUUUUGUAGAGAGAAUUAAACUCUCUUGCUUCACUUAGAUCUAUUUAGAGAGAUGACAUGAAUUGGUCAUUCACAUGGUUAGUCAUAAAAUCCUACAUAAACUUGUAGAUCGCUGAAUAUGAUAUGUUUGAUUCCUUGCAAUAGUUUUGCGAUAUAAAGAUGGUGAUAUUAGAGUCAUGCUAGUGGGUGGUUGUGGAUUGUAGAGACACUUGUGUUGAGCUUUGCAAGUCCCGUAGCAUGCACGUAUGGUAACCGUUGUGUGGCAAAUUUGAAGCAUGGGGUGUUUCUUUGAUUGUCUUCCUUAUGAGUGGCGGUCGGGGACGAGCGAUGGUCUUUUCCUACCAAUCUACCCCCCUAGGGGCAUGCGUAGUAGUACUUUGCUUUGAGGGCUAAUAAACUUUUGCAAUAAGUAUAUGAGUUCUUUAUGACUAAUGUGAGUCCAUGGAUUAUACGCACUUUUACCUUUCCAUCAUUGCUAGCCUCUUCGGUACCGUGCAUUGCCCUUUCUCACCUCGAGAGUUGGUGCAAACUUCGCCGGUGCAUCCAAACCCCGUGAUACGAUACGCUCUAUCACACAUCAGCCUCAUUAUAUCUUCCUCAAAACAGCCACCAUACCUACCUAUUAUGGCAUUUCCAUAGCCAUUCUGAGAUAUAUUGCCAUGCAACUUCCAUCAUCAUCAUAUACAUGACUUGAGCAUUUAUUGUCAUAUUGCUUUGCAUUAUCGUAAGAUAGCUAGCAUGAUGUUUUCAUGGCUUGUCCGUUUUUGAUGUCAUUGCUACGCUAGAUCAUUGCACAUCCCGGUACACCGCCGGAAGCAUUCAUAUAGAGUCAUAUCUUUGUUCUAGUAUCGAGUUGUAAUAUUGGGUUGUAAGUAAAUAAAAGUGUGAUGAUCAUCAUUAUAGAGCAUUGCCCCAUGAAAAAAGAAAAAAAAAAGAAAAAGAAAAAAAGGGGGCCAAAGAAGCCCACCGAAAAAGAAAAAAAAGAAAAAAAGAAAGAAAAGAAAAGGGGCAAUGUUACUAUCCUUUUUCCACACUUGUGCUUCAGAGUAGCACCAUGUUCUUCAUAUAGAGAGUCUCCUAUGUUGUCACUUUCAUAUACUAGUGGGAAUUUUUCAUUAUAGAACUUGGCUUGUAUAUUCCAACGAUGGGCUUCCUCAAAUGCCCUAGGUCUUCAUGAGCAAGCAAGUUGGAUGCACACCCACUUAGUUUCUUUUGUCGAGCUUUCAUACAUUGAUAGCUCUUAGUGCAUCCGUUGCAUGGCAAUCCCUACUCCUCACAUUGACAUCAAUUGAUGGGCAUCUCCAUAGCCCGUUGAUUAGCCGCGUCGAUGUGAGACUUUCUCCCUUUUUUGUCUUCUCCAUAUAAACCUCCACCAUCAUGUUCUAUUCCACCUAUAGUGCUAUAUCCAUGGCUUGCGCUCAUGUAUUUCGUGAGGGUUGAAAAAGCUGAAGCGCGUUAAAAAGUAUGAACCAAUUGCUCGGCUUGUCAUCGGGGUUGUGCAUGAUGGGGGCAUUUUGUGUGACGAAAAUGAAGCAUGGCCAAACUAUAUGAUUUUGUAGGGAUAAGAUCUCUUUGGCCUUGUUGUUUUGAAAACACAUGAUUGCUUUAUUGGUACGCUCGAAGUAUUAUUGUUUUUAUGUCAAAUGAUAGACUAUUGCUUUGAAUCACUCGUGUCUUAAUAUUCAUGCCAUGAUUAGACAUAUGAUCAAGAUUAUGCUAGGUAGCAUUCCACAUCAAAAAUUAUCUUUUUUAUCAUUUACCUACUCGAGGACGAGCAAGAAUUAAGCUUGGGGAUGUUGAUACGUCUCCGUCGUAUCUAUAAUUUUUGAUUGUUCCAUGCCAAUAUUAUUCAAUUUCAUAUACUUUUGGCAACUUUUUAUACUAUUUUUUGGGACUAACAUAUUGAUCCAGUGCCCAGUGCCAGUUCUUGUUUCUUGCAUGUUUUAUGUUUCGCAGAAACCUCAUAUCAAACGGAGUCCAAACGGGAUAAAAACGGACGGAGAAUUAUUUUGGAAUAUUUGUGAUUUUUGGGAGGAAGAGUCAAUGCGAGACGAUGCCCGAGGUGGCCACGAGAUAGGGGCCCACGCCCACUUAAAGUGGGUGCGCCCCCACCCUCGCGGGCCACCCAUAAGGCAGUUGACACUCUUCUUUUGCCGCAAGAAAGCUAAUUUUAUGAGAAAAAUCUGGAUGAAAGAUUCACCCCAAUCGGAGUUACGGAUCUCCAGAUAUAAAGGAAACGGUGAAGGGGCAGAAUCCGAGAACGCAGAAACAGAGAGAUAGAUCCAAUCUCGGAGGGGCUCUCGCCCCUCCCAUGCCAUGGGAGCCAAGUACCAGAGGGGAAAACCUUAUCCCAUCUAGGGAGAAGGUUGAGGAAGAAGAAGAAGAAGAAGGGGGGCUCUCUUCCCCUUGCUUCCAUUGGCGCCGGGACACCACCGGGGGCCAUCAUCAUCACCGCGAUCUUCACCAACACCUCCGCCAUCUUCACCAACAUCUCCAUCACCUUCCCCAAUCUAUAUUCAGCGGUCCACUCUCCCGCAACCCGUUGUACCCUCUACUUGAACAUGGUGCUUUAUGCUUCAUAUUAUUAUCCAAUGAUGUGUUGCCAUCCUAUGAUGUCUGAGUAGAUUUUCGUUGUCCUAUCGGUGAUUGAUGAAUUGCUAUGAUUGGUUUGAGUUGCAUGAUUUAUUAUUGGUGCUGUCUUAUGGUGCCCUCCGUGUCGCGCAAGCGUGAGGGAUUCCCGCUGUAGGGUGUUGCAAUGCGUUCAUGAUUCGCUUAUAGUGGGUUGCAUGAGUGGCUGAAACACAAACCCGAGUAAGGGGAUUGUUGCGUAUGGGAUAAAGGGGACUUCAUGCUUUAAUGCUAUGGUUGGGUUUUACCUUAAUGAAUCUUUAGUAGUUGCGGAUGCUUUCUAGAGUUCCAAUCAUACGUGCAUAUGAUCCAAGAAGAGAAAGUAUGUUAGCUUAUGCCUCUCCCUCAAAUAGAAUUGCAAUAGUGAUUACCGGUCUAGUAACAUAGUCAAUGGCUUAGGGACAAUUUUACAACUCCUACCACCACUUUUCCACACUCGCUAUAUUUACUUUAUUGUUUAUUUAUCUAAACAGCACCUACUUUUUAUUUACGUGUUCUUUAUUAUCUUGCAAACCUAUCCUAUCACACCUACAAAGUACUUCUAGUUUCAUACUUGUUCUAGCUAAAGCGAACACUAAGCAUGCGUAGAGUCGUAUCAGUGGCCGAUAGGACUUGAGAGAGUAUUUGUUCUACCUUUAGCUCCUCGUUGGGUUUGACACUCUUACUUAUCGAAAGAGGCUACAACUAUCCCGUAUACUUGCGAGUUAUCACCUCACUUUUCUAUCUCAGAGAUGCAUGCGUAAUAUGUUCGCAUAAGAAACGAAAAAACACACACUCUCUCUAAUUUAUCGUUUGUUGUCACUUUCUCUUUCACACACAUACUCUUUUUGCACACUUACUCAUUCUCCUUCACACGCACUGGAUUUAUCUCGACUUAGGCACUCUCCUCGGUCCAUAGCAUAUAGAUUUAUUGAAAAGUCAAACAUCACAAAGUUUGACCAUGUACGUGGAGAAAAACAAUUACAUCUAGUACGGCAAACAUAUACCAUUAGAUUCACCAUGAGAUGUAGUUUUGUAUGAUGUAUCUUUGGUAUUGUAGAUAUAAAUAACAUUUGCGUAAACCUGAUCAAAGUUUCCAAAGUUUGACUUCUAAAAAAUUUACAUGCACUGCAUUAUCGAGCGGAUGGAAUAUCUCUUUCCCCCGCUCAGCUAUCUGACGCACCACUCAGCCUUAUCGGGGCUCCUCAAUCUCUCUCAAACUUUAUUGGUCAGUUUGGUUCGUGACCUGACCCUCAUGCCUUGAUGGCCAGUACUGCCUAGUGUGGACGUGAGAUGUAAAAUAUUUCUGCCUGGCUAGGCUUGUGUGGUGUUGAAGCGUUUGGUCCAUGCCUAGGCCAGGCAAAGCAUCAACGUCCCAUCAAUCAAUCCAUGCAGCAAUUAUUUAAUGCUAAUAUCCAUCCAUGUUGCUGUUAGCCUCGUGGCCGCACGAUCAGGCACGGCCAGGCAUUCAAAAUCGGUCGCCUGGGCCAGGCGACUUGCAGUGUCUGGAGUCCAGCCAAGUUACUUAAAGUGCAAGGGAACCCAGGCCAGGCGGGCUUUCUUUUUCACAUGGUAGCAACCAAACAAGCGUGCAUGAAAUCCAUCUACUACCCCAGGCAAGGCAAAGGAUGCUCAUGACGCAAGCCAAACUGACCUUAUAUCUCCCUGGUUCACACAUACACAUGUCUCGCUCGCGCUAUACAUAUAGACCCAUCCAACACUCUCCGCCCUUGUUCUCUCUCCAUGUGACACGCACCCCCCUAAGUACCAUAAUCCCUCACUCCAUCAUAGGCGCAAGCACUCCCCCCUCCUAAGUAUGAUUAUCUCUUACUAGCCAUCAGGAACACACGUAUUGUCUCCUUCCAUCCAUACGUCUAUCUCGAUAUCUCUCGAGGCAUCUUCUAUCGCGCACACCUUGUCACUCGAUCUCCCACCCAUCUAGUCCCAUCACGAUCUCCAGGGGAUCUCUCUAUGACAAACAUACACUCUCUCCUCCCCAUGUCUGCAUUUUCUCCGUACGUCUCUCUCGACCUCUCUCCCUUGUUUGUCAGACCCCUCUUGGCCACGUUCUAGGGGUCUUGCUGUCUCGGUUCCAAACAACCACACACUAUCUCCUCACCUUGCCUCCGUUGUCGAAGAUGCAUGUGUGAUAUGUUUGCAUAAGACACACACGCUUUUUCUCUACUUUUAUCAUGUGUUGUCCAUGUCUCUUUCACACACACACACACAAACACACUUUUCACUCACUCUUUCUAUCUCUCUCUCUCUCUCUAGUUAGGGACUCUAUCACGUCCAUAAGCAUAUGGAUGUUUUGAAAAGUCAAACCUCAGAAAAGUUUGACUAGGUAUAUGUGGAGAAAAACAUUUACAUCUAGAACGAUCAUUAGAUUCAUCACAACAUGUUCUUACUUCAUACUAUCAUUUAUGUUUGGUAUUGUAGAUAUAAGUAAUUUCUUUAUAAACUUGGUCAAAGUUUCAAAAGUUUGACUUUAAAAAAAAUGUUGGAACUACAUUAUCGAACGGAGGGAGUAGCUCUUUCUCUCUCUCUAUCUGCUAUCUCUCACGGGCCUCCCCUCUCACUCCAACUCUCUAUACCGACGGAUUAUACGCUCACUCUGUCAGCGUAUAACUUCGUAUAUUGUUUAGUUGACCGGUCAACCAAUCCACAUGCUGCCUUGUCAGCUCGUGUUCUGUAUCUUCGUGUGCUAGCCCAUGUGGCAGUGGGUGAAAAUAAGUAAACUAGAGGCUCAUCUGACACGCGGUGAAGUAAACAAAGUUGAAACCACUCGGGGUAGCACCCCACUCACUAGUAAAUUGAGGGCGCAUUGAGGACACACUUCUUGCGCGUGAAGGCCGCACUCGAGCACAACUCACCACUGCCUGGCGACGUGCACAGAAGGACACACUCGCGCACACCCAGCACACAACACACACCAGCACACGUGUACACCACCCUCGCCGCCUGUUGAGAUGGAUGGCGAGGCAGCCAACAAGCGGAGGCGGCUUGAGCCAAAACCGCAUCCGGCGAGCCUGGACUUCAUCAGCAGCCUCCCCAACGACAUGCUGCUUGUCAUCAUCGGCCUCCUCCCCACCAAAUCUGCCGUGCGGACCGCCCUGCUCUCCCGACGGUGGCGCCCCCUCUGGAGCUGCAUCCCCCUCAACCUCACCGUUGACAGCUGCCUCUGCGACGGGGAUUGCAAGUGCAUGGCCGCAGUCUCCAAGAUCCUUUCAUCGCACCCUGGGCCAGCCAGACGCCUUGACAUCCGCAUGUUCAGUACCAACUGCAAGGUCCAACCCAAGUUCGACGAGUGGUUCUUAUCCCCCGCCCUAGAUCAGCUCGAGGAGCUCAGCUUUGAAGCUGGACGAUGUCGCUCUCUCCCGCUGUCCGCGCUCCGCCUCACGCCAACGCUGCAUCGCGCCAGCUUCAACUCCUGCUAUCUUCCCCAGAUUAAUGCCGCGCCCGCCCUUCUUCUCCCUCAACUCAAGCAGCUCGACCUCUUCGACAUUGUCAUCUCGAAGAAGGCUAUGUUGCACCUGCUCCGCAGUUGUACUGCGCUCGAGUACCUUCGUCUUGAGCAGAUCCACAGGUUCAUUAGCCUCCACAUCGCCUCGACGAAUCUCCGAUGGAUUUAUGUAUCUUGCUGGCCCCGCAACAAGACAUCAAUUGGGAAGAGAUCACUCCAGCUGUUCCACUUUAUGGUCAUCGAGAAGGCGCCUUUCCUUGAGAGAUUGCUUGUAUCGGAUCUAGAAGGUCCAACAAAAAUCAGGGUCAUUGACGCGCCGAAAUUGACAGCGUUGGUGUACUCAUCUGCCAAAUUCUCCGAACUCUUUAUUGGAUCCGUAAUCGUUUAGGUACAACACUCAUCUUCUUCUACGUCUUCUUGAAAUUCACAUUUUUAAAUUUCUUCUUGAUGUAUUUAACAGACAAAAUGUUAAUGCAUGUCCCUAAAAACUAUAUCAUUGGAUUCGUAUUUGAACAUAAUUUCAAAUGGUGUAAUUUUUAUUGACAUGCAUUGGCAUUUUCUUAGGUAAAUCUGUGGUCAAAAUUUUAUACUAAAUACGAGGUAGUAUUCCCUCCGUCCCAAAAUUCUUGUCUUACAUUUGUUUAGAUACAGAUGUAUCUAACACUAAAAUGUAACUAGAUACAUCCGUAUUUAGACAAACUUAAGACAAGAAUUUUGGGACGGAGGGAGUACAAAAGUGGGCUAUGUAGGCCAAAACACGUGCCAAAUUCACUUGUGAUGCAUUUGGCAUCGAUGCCCCUCCAUUGCUCACCUGGUGCCCCAAUCUGGAUCACCUACUUUGCUCCGGUGCCAAAUUAACUCACGCAAUGAAAAAACACUGCGUGGGAGAGAGAGAGGACUGAGGCAAUAAAAAACACUUGUUUGGGAGAGUGAGAGGCUGGUGUAGUUGGUUUGAUUGAUUUGUUUAUACAUGUGGGUCUGUGUGCACAGUGGUGCCAACUCUCUCACAUCACGAGAGCGGUGCCAAAAUCUUUUGAUUUGACAUCGAUGCGUAUUAUGUGGCAUACUUUUGCGAAAUAUGGCAUCGGCCACAUAGUGGAAGGCAACAAAUGCCCAAGCUCUUCACGUGCUCCUAGUUAAAUGAGAGGAAACAGAAAGAGAGAGAGAGAGAGAGAGAGAAAGUAUUACUAGCCAGCCAACCCUAUCAUAUGAGCGAAUGAUAUUGGUACCUCUUGAUGACACGGCAAUCUUAUACAGCCAGCUGCUCUAAUAUGUUCUCUUCUUUUGCAGAUAAAAAAAGACUCGAAAGUGAAAAAUGUGCUACACUAUAACAAUCUCAUCGAAUGCCUUGAUCUCCAUCUUACAGAAAUUGAUUUGAUCGACAACCGAGGCAGCACAUCUGAGAUUAAAUUCGCUAGGUUCUUUGUUUUGGAGGCAAGUGUGCUCAAGGUAAUGAGGUUUGGCGUUCUCUGGCGCAACAAUGAAUGGCGUGCUAAUCACAGCAAGUGUCUAAGCCUAAAUGACAAAGUCUCCGUAGAAGUUGAAUUUGUUUUUGAAACAUCAAGUGGACAGAGACUGGAAAACUUAUUUGCCCAUUAGUGACUUGUCAGGGCGGUGGAUUUUAGUUUGUACGAUAAUGCUGCAUCCACCUAAAGUAAUGAAAGUUCUUACGUAAACUUCCUAGUAAUUCCCUCUUUGUAGGUGCAACAUUACUCCUAACAUUUGUAAUAUCAGUUUGAAACUAAUAUUGAUGUGUCCUAUUCCUGCAUUUUCAAAAUCCCGUGAAUCAAACAGGUCCUGAGUUGGUGAUGAUGUUGUGCCUCCCAUCUUUCACCAAUAGCCGUUGGAUCUAGAUCUGACGCAUACAAACCAAGCUUCUCCAUUUUUGCAAAAAGAUGCCCGCACUUGUUCCCUAUUUACAAACAACUCCUUGUCUCUCACAAUCAGCCUUAUCUCCUCCCCACCACAUCUAUAAGGCCGUGGAAAAACCUAGCGUGAUGGUCGCUGCCGGCGCUAUCCACCCCCAGUCUUGGUGUUCCGUGCAAUGCACGUGCAUCUAUGCAUGGGAAAUUAUGUCGAACAGGGCUAGUUGCAAGCAGGCUAGCUCUAUAACCAUGAUGAUAGUGACUGCAGAUGGUGAGGCUGACUACGAUAUGCCGAACACGGCGCCUAUACUCAGGUGUCAUCUCCGCCGCAGGGUCUUGUCACUUCACUGUGAGGAGCAGCACGUAAUAAUUUGACCAACCGGUAGUACAGUGCUAGUACUCCUACUACAUUGGUAGUACUACUACUAGUACUAGUAGCACCAUCGUCUGGAUUUAGGAGUACUACCACAUCCAUCUGGAUUUUAGUAUUUGACUAGCAAUAUCUAGUAAUGCAUGUCACAAAAAAUGUACUACUCCCUUUGUAAAUAAAUACAUGGUGUUUUAUUCCUAUAGGCGAGAGAACUUAAUGUCUUUUUGCUAACUAGAGUAAUAGGAUUACAUGCAAUGAACUAAACACUGCAUGUCAUGUUUGGUAGUCUCAAGUCAUUGAAAGCAUGCACGACCCACAUCUCUCAUUGGUUGAUAUGUCACGAAAUAAGAAACAAGGUGGGAGUUAAUGCACCGUGCCUAAGUGUUUUGGGAUUAUUUGGUUUUCGUAAGGUGACUUACACAACAUUUUUGUUUACAUGCAUUAACAUUUUAUUAGUUAAAUCAAAGGUCAAAACUUGGCGCAAAAUGCAAAGGGGACCAAUAAACCAGUAAACAUCAAACUUCUCUCGUUUGGCCCCAACUAGAGGUCCGGUGAGAUGACUAUACUGCACCGGCACGGAGGGGGACGCAGCUUCAUUGACUUACUGCAACUGCCUUUAGGUGAAUGACACGUGGGCCCAAGGCUUGGCUGGCCCACCUAUCAUACAGCCAAAGGCAGGUGCAGUAGAGGGCCGAGGAGUAGUAUGAAGUACGAAAUCCUAAGCACCUAUGCACGCUAACCAAGGGCAAGAGUGAUCACUCGGAUCGCAAGAUCAGUUGACUAGAAUCUAAGCUAGACCCAUGGAGGCGAUGAGCGCGAGCAUUAACCGGCUAUGCCAGAUGGUCCACGACGCCGGCCUGCGGCCCGGCACCAAGGAACGCCUCCAGGUAUUGCUUGAGGCCGCCAGGGCAAGGGGCCGCUUGGACGACAACUUCGUCUCCUUAUUCGAUGAGGUCCUCAUUGGUUUCCUCGACAAGUUCACCAUCGUCAAGAAGCUCACGGACGACUUUGACGUGUGCCUCCAGUUGACGCGCCCAGGCUCUGCGAUGCCCACCACCCUCAAUGGCCACUAUGGUGACAACCUCUUCGACGCACUGUUGGCCUUGCGACUGCCCACCGUCGCGCCGGAGAAUGUCCACCUCGAGGUCGCGCUCGCUGCGCAGCGCCUAGCACAACAAGACACCAUCAACAUAAUCACCCACGUCUAUGCGCAAAUCGUCCACAAGGACUAGUACAUGCAAGAGGAGGACGAUAGGAUGCUGGCCUUCUUGGACCGCAGGGCAACCUUGGACGGCAUUGUUCAGAAGCACGUUGAGCUCACCGCCGCUGCUCCUCACACGUCGGUUGGUGACCCGGCGCACUAGGGCAUGAGGAUGUCGUUGAUUGAUCCGUAUGUAUUUUUAUCUUUCCGUCAAAUCCAUGUAGUAGUAUAUGGUACUACUAGUAAUUAUCUUACCUUUCGCAUCAACUUCAUAAUUUUCGUAUGUACUCCAUGCAUGAACGGCGCCAGAACCAAACUUCUCAUUACUCUAGGCAAAAUCGUUAUUUUCUAUCUAUCGGUCGCGCCAUGGAGCAGAACCAAAUUUUACAAGUUACGAGUUCAAAAGGAAAAGCCUGCCGUGUUCGUGUCGCACCCCCACACGGUUGGUCCGGCACACUGCUCAAGGGGGAAUGCGUGCGGUGCUGCAUUUUCACUUACAAGUGGGACCAUAGUUGAGCAAACCGACUAUCGGCAAACCCCCACCCCGCCCACCGCGCGAUGGCUGAGAAAACAGGAGGGAGAAGAGAUGGCUGUAGCACGGACUCCAAGAAAAUUGGUGUCAGAUGGGACUCAUGUGGGUGGCGUGUGUCGUACUGCUAGACGUGAAUGCUAGUUAUGGCACCCCACUAUAUGGAGGUACGUAGAACAAAUUUCCUGGAGUCCGUGCUCAGCCCUCCUCUAUCUCUCUUCUCAGCCAGCCAGUGGACGUGCGGAGCCCAUCGUCUUUUUGCUCACAUGCGGUCCCACAUGUCAGUGAAAACGCAAGAUGACCCACUGAACCUGCACAUCUUUCACCUCGAUUUGCUGGUGAUAAAAAACAAAUCCAAUAAAGAUCUUCGGUGGCCGCUUUUGGAGUUACUCAAGAGUAGUAAGAUUCUAUUUACAGUUUAACCCAAGAUGCACAUCACGUGGCUUCAACUACCACUCUAUUUUCUUGCAUGACACGACCUGGAUGCUGGAUGUCCCAUGUGUCGGCAAAAGGAGGAAGAACCCGACCAAAUCUUCGGUUGUGCUAUCGGAUUAGACUAGUUGUGCUAACUUAAAAAUUUUAUUGUGUACUCCCUCCGUUCCAAAAUACUUGACUUCCAUUUGUCCAAAAGUGGAUGUACCUAUAUACUGAAACAUGUCUAGAUACAUCUAUAUUUUGACAAAUAGAAGGCAUGUAUUGUGGAAUGGAGGGAGUAGAAUGGAUGCAAGUUUUGGUAUUGGGAAGAAGAGUACAUCGAUAUAUUGAUAGAGCGCAAUCUUGUAGAUGUUCUAGCACUUUUAGCUAGCAUAGAUGCUAGAGAUGAGACUAGUGCACUUGUUGAUACUCCUACUAGAAUAGAGGCUAGACAUGAGACUAGAUGCGAGGAAGCAACAUCUACUUAUUUACACUCGAAGAAGAAAGAAGCACGCAAGAUCGAGCCUCUGCAGAUCAACAAUGAAUGCAUCGAGAAGGCACUAAUCCAACUUACAGGAGCAGUUAUGGAAGUUGGAUAUCUUCUAGAGUAGUAAAAUGUAUUCUUGUGGUUCUUGUUUUCUUUGGUCUUGCUUUUCUAGUCAAAAUUAUCGUUGGAGUUCGUGCAAAACGGAGGUCUGUUUGGGGUCGUGCGUUGUAGUUGGCCUUACAAGUGGGACCGCAGUUGAGGAAACUGACUAUCGGCAAACCCCCACCUCGCCCAUCGCGCGAUGGCUGAAGUUAGAGAAACAACGAGGUUGAAGAGAUUGCUCUAGCACGGACUCCAAGAAAUAAUAUGGUGUCAGAUGGAUGCACUACAAAAGAAAUAAACUUCUGUGAUGAUACAUGUUUGUCACAGUAGGCCGCGGUUUUUGUCAUGCAUGUUCAUCCAUGACAAAUUUAUGACAGAAUCAAGAUAGUCAUACAUGUGCUGUCGUAGAAGUGUUCCAUGACAUUACCAAAAUUAUCAUCACGGAAGUGUCCACUUCCAUGACGAUAAAUCGCGCGUCACAGAAGUGCUUUCGUCAAGGGUGACCGACACGUGGCAUCCAUCGUAACGGGACGCCGUUAAGCUACCGGGUCGGGUUUUGGAUCCGAUAACCCGUUAACAGCCCCGACCAAUGGGGAUUUUCCACGUGUAAAAUCAUCAUUGGCUGGAGGAAACACGUGUCGGCUCACCGUUGGGACAGAUGUCAUCCACUCAUUGGACGGAAGACGCCUAUGGUACGUCGACACGUGGCACGACCCAACAGAGGCCCAUUCCUGUGAAAAGGCCGGCCCAAUAAAAAUUAGCAAGCCAGCCCAUAUAAGGCCUACUUAUGUCAGGUCCAUUUAAGCCCACGACCCAUACGAGAUGAGCCAAUUCGGCCCGUCAACGGCCCAUUAAAGAUUUGACACCAUUGCAGCCCAUCGUCAGUUCGAGCCCGUUAACAGCCCGCUAUAUAUCUAGGCUCAAUAUUGGCCCGAUGAGAUUUCGGCCUGUUAACGACCCGUUUAAUGGAUGGGCCAAUUUUCAGGACGUACAUCUUUUGGCCUUUUAGCGACCCAUUUAAAUGUUGGGCUAGUUUCCGGCCCGGUGUGUCUUUUAGUCUGUUGACGGCCCAUAAAUCUGAUGGGCCAUUUGUUGUCGGACCUGAGUUUCGGCCUUUUAGCGGCCCAUUUAAGUGUUGGGCCAAUUUUCUGGUCCGGUGUCACUUUCAGCCUGUUGACGGCCCAUAAAUCAGUUGGGCCAUUUUUAGUCGGACCUGAGUUUUGGCCUUUUAGCGACCCAUUUAAGUGUUGGGCCAAUUCCCGGCCCUGUGUGACUUUCGGCCUGUUAACGGACCAUAAAUGAGUUGGGCCAUUUGUAGUCAGACCUUAGUUUUGGCCCUUUAACGGCCCAUGCCCUUCAUGGUCCAAUACCAGCCCGGUUUCUCUUUCGGCCUACUAAAGGCCCACAACACAGUUGGGCCAUUUACAAUACGACCUGACUUUCGGCCUCUUAGCGGCCCAUGGUCUUCAUGGUCCAGUACAAGCCCGCUGUCUCUUUCGGCCUGCUAAAGGCCUACAGUAUAGUUGGGCCAUAUGUAGCCCAAACUUAGUAAUGGCCUGUUAACGACCCGUGAAAUAAACUGGGGCCACCUGUUGCCCGCUUCGAUGUCGGCCUGUUAACGACCCGGGAGGUAAGAGGGCCGACCAUUAAAUUUCGGCCUAGUAACGGCCCAUUAACUUAAUGGGCCCACUAAAGUUCGUACAUGUCUUUAGGCCAAAUUAGAUAAUUUGAGCCCAUUACAACGAGCAAUUAUGCACAGGACCAAAACCGAUCACGCAAAGGUACGACAUACAGGGUAUAACGUUGCACAUCCAACAUAUAUCACAGGAAAUUACAUCCACUGGGCAAUCAAAGAUUGAUGGCAGUGUAAAUAAAUGAGCAGAACCUAACCAUCUACAACGUCACAAUCUGCAACCUCAGCACAAAUGACACCCAUAAGCAUGUGGGCAAGUUCUUUCUGCUUUGCUACACUGCCUCUGAAAACAUUGAUCAGUUGUUGUGUCGCACGACUCUGCACCUCUGAUUCAUCCACCAUUUCCAUCAUUGCUUCAGCCAUUAAUUGGUUCACAAACAUACAUUUAUUCCGUGGCAUUCGAGAGAGAGGAUACUGAACAGAUUCAGAUGGCGAUUUUUGCAGGCUUGUAUUAUUGAUAAUGGAGAGUGUCUUGACCACUGCAUCAUAACAUAAAUUAGAACGAGAACCAAACAGAUUAAUCAUGAGUUAUUGCCAUAUUACCUGGCCUAGAUUUACUGGAAAGAAACAAUUGGGUUGCCUUGCUGUUUUUAGAGUUUGUCUUCUUAUCUUCAGCAGCCUGCACAAAAUUAACACACUAGCAUUGCUAUCAUUGGCCAAGUCAGAUAAUAGGAAAGCAACAUUGACACAACGAACGUUUGGGCAAGUAGCCUACACCAAAUUAACACAAUAUGGCACAACUAUCAUCAGCCAGGUAAGGUAGUACGAAAGCAACAUUGACACAAUGAAUGAAUGGGCAACCAGAGAAGCACUACAAUUCAGUAAUGUGCAUGAUAUGAGAUAGUACAUUCAUGCAGCUCAGUAUGCAAAACUACCAGGCAGUUUUCCUUACAAAAAUCAACAUUGGCGCCUUUAACAUUUGCUACAACUAAUUUUAGAUCAGAUAAAGGUUAGAUUCAUGCCGAUUAACAAAAUACAUGUUGAUGUAAAAAUAUAGUGAUAUACAACAGGUACUUACAUCAGCAUUGGAGCAUAGAGAAUUCCCGCAAGAUAUUUUCCUCGAAUACGAUCCCAAUGGAGGAAGUCUUCUAUCGUUUAACCUUAUUUUCUAAAAGAGAGAUGGGUAAGAAACAUGUAGAAAAUAUGAUCAGAAUGCUAUAAAAUUUCAUGAUGCGAGGAUACGCACACGCUUCUUAGAAUGGAGUUGACAUUCUUUUGCUGGACUGGAGCGGACUAGUUCUUUGGCCACUGGAAUCUGCUUAUUAUCAGUGGGAGUUGGGUUUCUCUGUGCUGGAGCAGUAUCUAUGAAAAAUGGAGUUGGUUUAUUAUCUCCCGGCGUUUGGAUCUUUUGCAAAGUCCUGGUUUGUAACCCUUCAGAUUUUAACAGAGCCGUCUUCCCCUUGCAUGCCUUAUAUAGAAGAAUGGUGAUUCAGUUAUAAAACAUGCUACAACAGAGAUGGAAUAGGUACUGAAGAAUAGAAAGGCAUGACAUAUUGACAUGUAUUCCCUCCAUCCGGAAAUAAAUGGAUGGGUCUAGGCGUAUUUCAGUUCUAGAUACAUCCAAUUUUAUCCAUUUCUGCGACAUUUAAUCCGGACGGAGGGAGUAUGAUGUAAGAGUUAGGGAUACGACAGGACAACACAGUAAAAAAAACUGAAAAACCCACUGCAGAACCAAAGUAUUCAAACCCACUGAUAUGAGAUAGUACACUCAUGCAGCUCAAGAUGCAAAACUACCAGGAAGUUUUCCUUACAAAAAUCAACAUUGUGGCCUUUAAUCAUACAUUUUGCUACAACUAAAUUUAGAUCAGAUAAAGGUUGGAUUCACGCCGAUUAACAAAAUACAUGCUGAUGUAAAAAUAUAGUGAUAUACAAUAGGUACUUACAUCUACAUUGGAGCAUAGAGAAUUCCUGCAAGAAUCUUUCCUCACAAACGAUACCAUUGCAGAAAUUCUUCUAUCUGUUAAGCUUAUUUUCUAAAAUAGAGAUGGGUAAGAAACAUGUAGAAAACUAGAUGAUUCCCCACGCGUUGCUGCGGGAAUCUAUGGUCAAAAAAUAAACAUUGACGAUUAUGUAGAAUGAUGAUUUUGAUUAUCAGAUUACUCUUUCAGUCACAUGGAAUAUUGUUAUGAGUUCAAGGGGAAAGAGAAAUUGUCCAGUACAAUUCUAUGUGUAGAUGCUAAUAACGGGAAUUUUGCACCAACCAAAAUUUGAAAGUACAUUAUCAAAGACUUGGUCAUUACAUACUUCCCAAAUGCACCAAGUCUAUGAAUAGCAAUUUCCAUGGCAAAUAGUUUGUUUAUCUAUUCUUUAACAAUCUCUAUCUCUCCAAUAAUUUGGUUGCCUGUUCUCCAUUAGCAUUGCAAGGCAAAAGAAAAUUCCAAGGAAAAUACAACUAUAUUCCUUGACAUGAGUACUUGAGCCGGCAGAACAUUUCCAAAGAAAAUUGAAAUGGAAUAAAAGAUCCCUCAACUUUUAAUAUGCCCGCCAAAAGACUAAGGCACACCAUGGAAUCAGGAGCCCUGCUGGAUUACUAACGCUGGAUGUCAAUAAGGAAGCUCGUAGUUAUACAAAAUAGCAAUAGAUGUAUUACUGUUCCCAACAAAAAGAUUGAUCACAUGACGUCAUGACAUGGGAGGAUAAAAGACAGAUGCAUCAAGUAGUAGAACGGAGCAAGAACACAACCCACUUUUAUUUUUUUUGCAUUUAUUCUCAGCAUAGAUGAAUUGUACAAUUAGAAAAACAAUAAUGCCAUGAGACCAUACAUAAAAGAUCCCUUGCCAGACCACAAGUGAAAGGCAACAAAAUCGUAAGCGAGAGUAAUAAACAUGGUCAAAAACUGAUGGCACCUCGAUUGGUAAUGGCCAAUUAGCAAAGGAGAACGCCCUCAAUGUUGUGGUUCUCUACAAUAUAUUCCAUGAAGAUUUGCCCCAUGUUACUCACAAUAAGAAGGGAACAUUACUUGGAGAUGCCAAAUCAUUUUAAAGCAACCGAAAGAUGAAGAUUUGAGCACCCACUUCACUACUCCUUUGGCAAAUUUUGGGUCAUCCCCACAAUCAAAUUGACAAAAAUGGAAUAAUCCAAUGAGUCUGCACCACCAACAAAAAUAAAAUCAUGUACAUUUCAUAUUAAUAUAACAACAAAGUUCAACGACUUGAUAUACUGAACCCUUUACAAACUGGUGAUGCACAAAUAUUGAAUCAUACAUAACUGGUGAUUAUUUGCUAGAUUUAGGUGGCAAUGAUUACCAUGAAGGUCACGAUAAUGGGAAUGAAGAAAGCAUUGUGAAUGAAAAAUCAGAAUAUAAUUUGGAAUCUCAUACGUUCAAAAGAACUCUAGUGCUGCAAAAAUAAAAUAGUGUUGGAACUAUGAAGUUUCCUUAGAGGAAGACAAAACAUAUCUUACCAUCAUAGUGCAGCGAUGAAGUGUUUUUCAAGCAUAAAAAAAUCAUUGGUUGUCAAUGAUAUACCAGACAUAUGGUGUUGAAUGAUAGAACAUUGAUGCACUUUUAAUAUGUAGUCCAUGUCUUCAUCUGUUGGGAUGACAAUAUAGAUCUCAAAGUUUUCCGUACAGUGCCGAAACAUGAGUGGUAUGCCAUCAACUUCACUGAUUUAUAUCUUCCAUAUUUCAAAUGAAAGUUGUCAUGUGGCCAAAGCCCCCAGCCAACUUCAUGAAAAAGAGAACGGACCUAUGAUGACAAAUAAAUAAUCACAAUGGUAUGCAUCAGUAAUCCUAUAAUUAUGAUAUAAUACAUGUUCUUUUGAGAUCAAUACAGUGCAAGAGGGAACGUCGGAUUAACUUUGCAUGACCUGGCAGUCAUGAGACAAUUUUGGAGCAAAGGUGCAGACACCAACCUGAUGUUCAAAACUAUGGGAGCGAUGCCGCUCCACUAUCUGAAGUGUUUUUUUUGCGGGGGCACGACAAGUCGAUUGUUGAGAGGCGGCAGCAUCGUCACUUCCGUGCAGCAGGGAGGUGGCGGAGGUCGUGCUUCAGGAGGUAGAGUCAUCGAGGUGGCCGGGGUUGGGCGCCUCAAGUCUGCGGCAUGGUAGUUUUGCACCGGAUCUCCCUCCCCCUCUCCCUACCUCCGCCGCCCCCACCCAUCACCAUCUCUCCCCGGAUUAGAUCGAGACGCAGGUGAGGCGGCGGCCAGAUCGAUGUCGCGAUGGAGGUGGCUUCAUCGAGGUCCUCGCACGCCAGGAAAAGGAGAUGAGGAUGCGGAGGCAUGGGGUGCCUGUGCUCGCCCGCGUGGAAGAACGCCGGAGUGGUCGGCUGCAGGGCAUCGAUGGUGCGUGGGUAGUGAAUGGUAUCAUCGCCUGCUGCCAGGGAUAAGAAGAUAUCGACCGAUGGGCUUCUCUCGGGCUUCUCUUGAUUGAUAUUACGCCACCUCAUCAGUUACGAAAGCCCAAAGAGGCUCGCUUAUGAUUUUGUUACCCCUGAAACAAAAAACAAAAUGACUUGUUGAUACUGAUCUCGCGAGCAAUAAUAUUCUGUGAUGGGUAAAAAAAUUAAUUAACAAAAUAAAUGAUGAUGUGGCAGUUAGUGGGUUACUCCUAUUUAUUAUUGAUGAUGUGGCAUGGUGAUGAUGUGGAUAGUGUGCAUGUUGAAAGAAUAGGUAGAAGUGGGGAGCAACUUCUUAAGAAUGUUAGAUAUGAUCAACAUGCUAUAAAUUUUCAUGAUGCAAGGAUACGCACACGCUUCUUAGAAUUGAGUUGACAUAUUUUUGCUCGACUGGAGCGGACUAGUUCUUUGGCCACUGGAAUCUGCUUAUUAUCAGUAGGAGUUGGGUUUCUCUGUGCUGGAGCAGUAUCUAUAAAAACUGGAGUUGGUUUAUUAUCUCCUGGCGUUUGGAUCUUUUGCAAAGGCCUUGUUUGUAACCCUUCAGAUUCUAACAUAGUCGUCUUCCCCUUGCAUGCCUUGUAUAGAAGAAUGGUGCUUUAAUUAUAAAACAUGCGACAACAGAGAGAUGUAAUAGGUACUGAAGAAUAGAAAGGCAUGACAUAUUGACAUGUAUUUGAAGGAAAUGUGCCCUAGAGGCAAUAAUAAAGUUAUUAUUUAUUUCCUUAUAUCAUGAUAAAUGUUUAUUAUUCAUGCUAGAAUUGUAUUAACCGGAAACAUGAUACAUGUGUGAAUACAUAGACAAACAUAUAGUCACUAGUAUGCCUCUACUUGACUAGCUCAUUAAUCAAAGAUGGUUAUGUUUCCUAACCAUAGACAUGUGUUGUCAUUUGAUUAAUGGGAUCACAUCAUUAGGAGAAUGAUGUGAUUGACAUGAACCAUUCCGUUAGCCUAGCACUUGAUCGUUUAGUAUAUUGCUAUUGAUUUCUUCAUGACUUAUACAUGUUCCUGUAACUAUGAGAUUAUGCAACUCCCGUUUACCGGAGGAACACUUUGGGUGCUACCAAACGUCACAACGUAACUGGGUGAUUAUAAAGGAGUACUAUAGGUGUCUCCAAAGGUACAUGUUGGGUUGGAGUAUUUCGAGAUUAAGUUUUGUCACUCCGAUUGUCGGAGAGGUAUCUCUAGGCCCUCUCGGUAAUGCACAUCACUAUAAGCCUUGCAAGCAAUGUAGCUAAUGAGUUAGUUACGGAAUGAUGCAUUACAUAACGAGUAAAGAAACUUGCCAGUAACGAGAUUGAACUAGGUAUUGGAUACCGACGAUCGAAUCUUGGGCAAGUAACAUACCGAUGACAAAGGGAACAACGUAUGUUGUUAUGCGGUUUGACCGAUAAAGAUCUUCACAGAAUAUGUAGGAGCCAAGAUGAGCAUCCAGGUUCCACUAUUUGUUAUUGACCGAGAAGAGUUCUAUGUCAUGUCUACAUAGUUCUCGAACCCGUAGGGUCCGCACGCUUAACGUUACGAUGACAAUUUUAUUAUGAGUUUAUAAGUUUUGAUGUACCGAAGGUUGUUCGGAGUCCCGGAUGUGAUCACGGACAUGACGAGGAGUGUCGAAAUGGUCGAAACAUAAAGAUUGAUAUAUUGGAAGCCUAUGUUUGGACAUUGGAAGUGUUCCGGGUGAAAUCGGCAUUUUACCGGAGUACCGGGAGGUUAUCGGAACCCCCCGGUGACCUAAUGGUCCUUAUUGGGCCUAGUGGAGGAAGAGGAGAGGAGGCCUAGGGGCAGCCACGCGCCCCUCCCCCCCAAGUCCGAAUAGAACAAGGAGGGGGGGCGGCGCCCCCCCUUUCCUUCCCCCCCUCUCCUCCUUCCCCCCAAGUCCUAGUCCAACUAGGGAAAGGGGGGAGUCCUACUCCCGGUGGGAGUAGGACUCCUCCGGCGCGCCUCCUCCUAGGGCCGGCCGCACCCCCCUUGCUCCUUUAUAUACGGGGGCAGGGGGGCACCCUAGAACACAGAAGUUGAUCUACGUGAUCGGUCCUUAGCCGUGUGCGGUGCCCCCCUCCACCAUAUUCCACCUCGGUCAUAUCGUCGCGGAGUUUAGGCGAAGCCCUGCACCGGUAGAACAUCAUCAUCAUCACCACGCCGUCGUGCUGACAAAACUCAUCCCCGACACUUUGCUGGAUCGGAGUCCGGGGAUCGUCAUCGAGCUGAACGUGUGCUGAACUCGGAGAUGCCGUACGUUCGGUACUUGGAUCGGUCGGAUCGUGAAGACGUACGACUACAUCAACCGCGUUGUCAUAACGCUUCCGCUUACGGUCUACGAGGGUACGUGGACAUUACUCUCCCCUCUCAUUGCUAUGCAUCACCAUGAUCUUGCGUGUGCGUAGGAAUUUUUUUGAAAUUACUACAUUCCCCAACAGUAUUCCCUCCAUCCGGAAAAAAUGGAUGGGUCUAGGCGUAUUUCAGUUCUAGAUACAUCCCUUUUUAUCCAUUUCGGCAACAUGUAAUCCGGACAGAGGGAGUAUGGUGUAAGAGCUAGGGAUACGACAGGACAAAAAAAUAGUUGAAUGUAAAACUAUAUGCUAGCGGAAUACAUACAGAAAUAACCAAGGCAACAUACACGUGUAUGAUUGGGAAAAUAAGAUGGCAUUGCAGCAGAGCACUAGAACAACACUUCAAUGUAAAAAAACAUGGUAUGGCAGACAGAUGAAGUACAUACUGAUGAAUAACAAUGCAUAAGAUAUUCAGAAGCAUGAUGUCCAAAUUAAGCAGAUGGCAUUGCGAUAGAGUAGAAUGACAGUACUUGAAUUUGAAAACAUGUUAUCAUGAAUGGAAUAGGUACUGAAAAACAGGAAGGCAUGACAUAUUUACAUGCAUGAUCAGCAUGCUAAGCACAUGGCAUUGCAACAGAGUAGAUACACUCCAGGACAUUAUAUGCAUGUUGUACCCAUAUCAUAGGCCAAGUUAGAGCAAGGACCUUGUGGGGUGAAGAGGAUUCAUCAUCUUUCUGCAAGUCUUCUGAAGAACUGCCUUUACAUGUUCCAUCAUAUUGGGUAUCAUUGACAUCAAGUUUAUUGGCCUUUACAUUGCUCCGUGAGGUUCUUGUGGAUAUAUCAGUGUGUGCAAUUAUAUCUGACAUGCAUGGAAGACAACUAGUAGUUAGAUUUAUGUAAAUGAGUGCCUGUAGGAGACGACAUAAAUAGUAGGACUGGGGUUAACUAGCAGCAACAGGUCUCAUAAACUAAAGGGAGAACACAGAUGAAAGCUACAGAAUAUGUAUCGUUUGUACUCGAGAUUAACUAGAUGGCACACAAAAGUAUUAAAGAAUAACAUAGGUAAUACUAGAAGUGGUAUAAUACUAUGAUCACUAGCCUGUGGGAUAGCAUUGGCUGAUGGAUGAUAACUAUGGAACAGCGUUACCUAAAGAACAAGUAUCUUAGCUGAACUAUGGAACAGUGUGAACUCCUGAACAAGACCCAUAAGAGAUCAGCAUGAAUAUACAGUGAAAUGUGAUGAUCUAUUUUCCAUACUUAGAUGAAUAACAAAGCCAUAAAUGUUGCACACAAGUAAGAUGAGGGUACAACCUAUCUGGCUGCCAUCCAUAGGAGUGAGCAUCAUGUGCUGACUUGUCGAUGGCCCUACAGUUGUUGUGGCUGUCCAUGUCGGGCACGCGCAUUCGAGGCAGGGAACCGUUGACUGGGGACUGUAGCUCCCUUCUGGUGUAUGCUUCCCUUGUUGGAGCAGCUGCGGUGAGUCGGAAGACGGUGUGUCUGAAGAUGCAGAUAACGCAUAAAGUUAAGAAUGACAUAUCUCUUUGAUCCGAAGAAAUACACUAAGAGAUCAACAGCAAGGUACGAGAGUGGUCACACGUCUGUUGACUGAAGACUAAAUUGGGGUCACAUGAUUUUAUUUUAUUAUGGUACUGUCCGAUCUACGCCGGAUGGCUUGAUGGCCGUCUUGGGCCUCCCGGCUGACACUAUUCGGAAUCUUCCCCGAAGAGCCAGCGACCAACAACAGAGCAGUCUGCCUCCGCCGUCCGUGGCCCCGUCCAAAACCCCGCUCCCCGCCCCACCGCACUGCCGUGGUUGCGCCGCCCCCGGGCCAAUCCACAAAGACUCCCCGUCAUCCAGAUCCGGCGGUGGCAAUACCUUCAACCCACACAACUCUAAAAGAUAGCCAUCUAAGCGCUGCUUCCGCGGCGAACUUGCGGUCCCGCACCCUUACGUUAGACACCAGCCAACCGACAGCCUAGGAGCUCCGCCGCGUCGAGGGGUGCUGCUUCCCAUUGGGAAUCGAUUGGCCCAGAAUAAAAAUUCAGACAACUGCCGCCUAAAUAAAGUGAUUUCAGAUGAGGGUGCGACCUAUCUGGCGGCAUGGUGAAGUAGGCAGGUCCAGCUGCCGAGUCGGUGAGGCCGGCGCGGUUGCGGUGGUGACCGGCGGCAGGGAAAGAGCAAUGUCGAGACGGUCGACGGCUACGGGAAAGCAGCGCCAGGACUCUGGACGGAUCCGAAGUUGGAGCCGCUCUGGCACCGUGAACAACGGCGGGGUGAAUCGGCUCCGGUAUGGUUCACGCGGCCGUCGUCGAGGCAGCACCAGCAGCACGGAGUAAGAGGCACAUGGCCCAGUGCACGACGGCAAUUGGACAGCGUCUCCGACAUUAGGGAGGAGGGCGGCUGUGAAAUUGGUGCGGUGGGGGGCGCCAUGGAGGUGGGGCUGAGGUUUCGCAGCUCGAGAGAAGGGAGCUUCUCGGGGAGAAGGUGAUUUGGCGCCCACGAGGUAUGAAUGNNNNNNNNNNNNNNNNNNNNNNNNNNNNNNNNNNNNNNNNNNNNNNNNNNNNNNNNNNNNNNNNNNNNNNNNNNNNNNNNNNNNNNNNNNNNNNNNNNNNNNNNNNNNNNNNNNNNNNNNNNNNNNNNNNNNNNNNNNNNNNNNNNNNNNNNNNNNNNNNNNNNNNNNNNNNNNNNNNNNNNNNNNNNNNNNNNNNNNNNNNNNNNNNNNNNNNNNNNNNNNNNNNNNNNNNNNNNNNNNNNNNNNNNNNNNNNNNNNNNNNNNNNNNNNNNNNNNNNNNNNNNNNNNNNNNNNNNNNNNNNNNNNNNNNNNNNNNNNNNNNNNNNNNNNNNNNGUGAGGGGGAGUUACAGUUCUACCCUUGCCUAUAGGCUUCUCGGCUUGGGUCUAUGUACUUAGGGUCGGGGAUAGUAGAGUAACUUUGCUUCUCCCCAAAUAGUGGGCAGGAGCAAUUUCGGGCGAGGAGGGCGUGUUUUGAACUAUAGUGGGCUAGCGAAUUCGGGCGAGGAGAGCGUGUUUUGAAAUAGUGGGCGCGAGCUAUUUCGGGCGAGGAGAGCGUGUUUUGCCGACCAUGGUUUAUGAAUUAUUCGGCACAUGUCAUUUCGGCCGAGGAGAAGGCGCGCUUGGAUGAAGUUACGAACCUACCCUUGAUGUACAACGGGCAAAUGAUGCGUGUCCCACAUAGGACAGUAAUUUCGUGUCUCUCAUUUAUUUGCUCGGGCGAAUUCCACUGAGCAGAGAGGAUGUUUAAUGGUUCGUUCAAAUUUUUGGAGAACGAGCAUCCAUGUCUACCUUACCAAGUCGAUUCGAAUCAAAUUUUGAAAUGUUAGCUCGCCACUUCUUUUUUAGAUGGAGAGAUGAGGCUCGGGAGUAAUGUGUUUUUACAUGCUCGUUGCUAGCGAUUUACUAUAUGACAAAUAGUUGACCCACUCAAAAACGCGAAUCAAACCCAAAAUGAAAUAUCUCGAUUCAAUGAACUAGCUCAUUCAGUAGGUCAAAAUAGUGAACUAAAUCCAAAAUCAAACACCUCAAUCGAGUAGCAUGUUGUACAGUAUUAUAGUACUCCAUGAACAUCUUGAAAGUCAAAUUAAUGAACUUGUUUGAUAUACGCAUAUAUCCGUUCAUGUGUGGAUUGUAGACAACAUGGUUUCCAAUUUAAAUAUUUGAAUGCAAGUUUAUAUCAGUCUUUGAUGCAUAAAACAUGACCUCCCCCUCUCCCGGACUCCUGUUCUCUCUCUCUCUCACUCUCUCGCCGACAAUCUUCAAUUCUGUUGCACGCAUCCGACACAAAAACCUUGUUGGUCCCUCUCCCUUUCUCUCUCUCUCUAUGUGUGUGUGUGGGCGGGGUCUUUCUAGUCCGCAUUCAUAUAUACACUAUCUAUAGGUCUCUCUCGCACACUAUGUAUGAUACUCUAGCUAGUCCAAGCUAGAUAUCGUGGGUGCACUCAUCGUACGCACACAAAUUCCUUGGCUCUUUGCCCGUAACUCUCUCACGCACCACUAUGUCAUCUCGGAGCUCUUCCCCCCCUCUCUCAAACUCUCCAUCCACCUGGGUCACACGUACACAUGCAUAUCUCACUCACACUCGAUAGGCCCAUCUAAAACUCUAUCUCUCUCCAUCGUUCUCUCUCCAUAUCACACGCACACACACACACACAAUCUUAUGCCCAGCUAGCCAAGUAUGAUGGUCUCUCACUUAAUUGUAGGCACACGCAGUCCCCCGUAUAUGUAUAUGACUAGCUAAUCUUAGUCUCCAUAACAAACAUGUGCAUGGUCUAUCUCGAUUUCUCUCAGGGCAUCUUUCUAUCGCGCACGCACUCCCUCGAUCUCCCACCCAUAUCGUCCCCUCAUGAUCUUGAGGGGAUCUCUCUAUCACAAACACACCCUCUCUCCCUCCCCAUGCGUCCAUGCCAUCCAUGUGCCCCUCUCGACCUUUUUUCCUUGUUGGCCAGACCUCUAUUGGACAUGUGCUACAGGGGUGUCUCUCUCCGUUGCAAACAAUCACACACUAGAUAUCUUCGUGUAUCUCCUCGCCUCGCUUUUCCAUCUCGGAGAUGCAUGCGUGAUAUGUUCGCAUAAGAAACGAAAAAACACACACUCUCUCUAAUUUAUCGUUUGUUGUCACUUUCUCUUUCACACACAUACUAUUUUUGCACACUUACUCAUUCUCCUUCACACGCACUUGAUCUGUCUCGACUGAGGCACUCACCUCCGUCCAUAGCACAAAUUUAUUGAAAAGUCAAACAUCACAAAGUUUGACCAUGUACGUGGAGAAUAAGAAUUACAUCUAGUACGGCAAACAUAAACCAUUAGAUUCACCAUGAGAUGUAGUUUUGUAUGAUGUAUCUUUGGUAUUGUAGAUAUAAAUACCAUUUGCGUAAACCGGAUCAAAGUUUCCAAAGUUUGACUUCUUAAAAAUUUACAUGCACUGCAUUAUCGAGCGGAUGGAAUAUCUCUUUCCCCCUCUCAGCUAUCUGACGCACCACUCAGCCUUAUCGGGGCUCCUCAAUCUCUCUCAAACUUUAUUGGUCAGUUUGGUUCGUGACCUGACUCUCAUGCCUUGAUGGUCGGUACUGCCUGGUGUGGACGUGAGAUGUAAAAUAUUUCUGCCUGGCCAGGCUUGUGUGGUGCUGAAGCAUUUGGUUCAUGCCUGGGCCAGGCAAAGCAUCAACGUCCCAUCAAUCAAUCCAUGCAUCAAUUAUUUAAUGCUAAUAUCCAUCCAUGUUCCUGUUAGCCUCGUGGCCGCACGACCAGGCACGGCCAGGCGUUCAGAAUCGGUCGCUUGGGCCAGGCUACUUGCAGUGUCUGGAGUUCAGCCAGGCUAAUUAAAGUGCAAGGGAACCCAGCCCAGGCGGGCUUUCUUUUUCACAGGGUAGCAACCAAACAAGCGUGCAUGAAAUCCAGCCACAACCCCAGGCCACGCAAAAGAUGCUCACGACACAAGCCAAACGGGCCUUAUAUCUCCUUGGUUCACACAUACACAUGUCUCGCUCGCGCUAUACAUAUAUACCCAUCCAACACUCUCCGCCCUUGUUCUCUCUCCAUGUGACACGCACCCCCCUAAGUACCAUAAUCCCUCACUCCAUCAUAGGCUCUGUUUGGAUCCAUGGGUUAGAGUUAGUUUGGGUUAGUUUGGAGUCAACUAACCCAAAAAGAUCCAAACAGGAGGGUUAGUUUAGGUUAGAUGCAUCUAACCCAUCCAAAAAAACUAACCCAUCCAAGAGGUGCUUAUUUGGGUUAGUUCUUCUCGGGACCACUAAUAAACACUUUUUUCUCUCGCUCUCCCCGCAGCAGAUCCCUCCCCACUUCCUCGAAGCUUCUCGUCCUCUCCCUCCCUCCCUCUCGCACCGCCCGUGAAGGUGCCUCGCCGUAUCCGUGCUCCAUCUAACCCUGCCAUCCAAACACCUCUUUACUUAGAGUUAGUUCAGGGUUAGAAUCUAACUCUAACCUCUAACUGAGUUAGAGUAUCCAAACAGGGCCAUAGGCGCAAGCACUCCCCCCUCCUAAGUAUGAUUAUCUCUUACUAGCCAUCAGGAACACACGUAUUGUCUCCUUCCAUCCAUACGUCUAUCUCGAUAUCUCUCGGGGCAUCUUCUAUCGCGCACACACCUUGUCACUCGAUCUCCCACCCAUGUAGUCCCAUCACGAUCUCUAGGGGAUCUCUCUAUGAAAAACAUACACUCUCUCCUCCCCAUGUCCGCAUUUUCUCCGUACGUCUCUCUCGACCUCUCUCCCUUGUUUGUCAGACCCCUCUUAGCCACGUGCUAGGGGUCUUCCUCUCUCGGUUCCAAACAACCACACACUAUCUCCUCACCUUGCCUCCGUUGUCGAAGAUGCAUGUGUGAUAUGUUUGCAUAAGACACGCACGAUUUUUCUCCACUUUUAUCGUGUGUUGUCCAUGUCUCUUUCACACACGCACACACACUUUUUUCACUCUCUCUCUCUCUCUCUCUCGUCAGGGACUCUGUCACGUCCAUAAGCAUAUGGAUGUUUUGAAAAGUCAAACCUCAGAAAAGUUUGACUAGGUAUAUGUGGAGAAAAACAUUUACAUCUGGAACAAUCAUUAGAUUCAUCACAACAUGUACUUACUUCAUAAUAUCAUUUAUAUUUGGUAUUGCCGAUAUAAGUAAUUUCUUUAUAAACUUGGUCAAAGUUUCAAAAGUUUGACUUUAAAAAAAUGUUGUAACUACAUUAUCGAACGGAGGGAGUAGCUCUUUCUCUCUCUCUCUCUGCUAUCUCUCACGGGCCUCCCCUCUCACUAGAACUCUCUAUACCGACGGAUUAUACGCUCACUAUGUCAGCGUAUAGCUCUGUUAUUGUUUAGUUGACCGGUCAACCAAUCCACAUGCUACAUUGUCAGCUUGUGUUCUGUAUCUUGGUGUGCUGGCCCAUGUGGCAGUGGGUGAAAAUAAGUAAACUAGAGGCCCAUCUGACACGCGGUGAAGGAAACAAAGUUGAAACCACUCGGGGUAGCACCCCGCACGCUAGUAAAUUGAGGGCGCAUUGAGGACAAACUUCUUGUGCGCGAAGCACACACUCGCGCACAAUUCACCACUACGCGGCGGCAUGCACAGAAGGACGCACUCGCGCACACCCAGCACACAACACACACCAGCACAUGUGUACACUGGCAUCACCACCGGUUGAGAUGGACGGCGAGGCAGCCAACAAGCAGAGGCCGCUCGAGCCAAAACCGCAUCCGGCGAGCUUGGACUUCACCAGAAGCCUUCCCGACGGCAUGCUGCUCGUCAUCAUCGGCCUCCUCCCCACCAAAUCUGUCGUGCGGACCGCCCUGCUCUCCCGGCAGUGGCGCCCCCUCUGGCGCUGCGUCCCCCUCAACCUCACCAUCCACAGCUGCCUCUGCGACGGGGAUUGCAAAUGCAUGGCCGCAGUCUCCAAGAUCCUUUCAUCGCACCCUGGGCCUGCUAGACGCCUUGACAUCCGCAUGUUCAGUACCAACUGCAAGGUCCAACCCAAGUUCGACGAGUGGUUCUUAUCCCCCGCCCUAGAUUAGCUCGAGGAGCUCAGCUUAGAAGCUAGACGAUGUCGCUCUCUGCCGUCGUCCGCGCUCCGCCUCAUGCCAACGCUGCGCCGCACCAGCUUCAGCUCCUGCUAUCUUCCCCAGAUUAAUGCUGCGCCCGCCCUUCUUCUCCCUCAACUCAAGCAGCUCGACCUCUUCAACGUUGUCAUCUCGAAGAAGGCUAUGGAGCACCUGCUCCGCAGCUGUACUGUGCUCGAGUACCUUCGUCUUGAGCAGAUCCACGGGUUCAUUAGCCUCCACAUCGCCUCGACGAAUCUCCGAUGGAUUUAUGUGUCUUGCUGGCCCCGCAACAAGACAUCAAUUGGGAAGAGAUCACUCCAGUUGUUCCACGUUAUGGUCAUUGAGAAUGCGCCUUUCCUUGAGAGAUUGCUUGUAUCGGAUCUAGAAGGUCCAACAAAAAUCAGGGUCAUUGACGUGCCGAAAUUGACAGUGUUGGUGUACUCGUCUGCCAAAUUCUCCGAACUCUUUAUUGGAUCCGUAAUCGUUCAGGUACAACACUCAUCUUCUUCUCCGUCUUCUUGAAAUUCACAUUUUUAAAUUUCUUCUUGAUGUAUUUACGACCGUCUUCCAGAAAAUGAUUCCCACAAGCUUGACCCAGUCCAUGCGCACAGUGAAGAUCUUAGCACUAAAAUCUAUCGGCCCCAAUCUGGAUCAACUUGUUGGAUUCCUUACAAGCUUUCCAUGCACGGAGAAGCUACUCAUCAAGGUGAAACUUCUUUCCUAUUAUUAAACAAUAAUCACAACAUAGCUCAAUUUUUUCGUAAUUUUCCCAAAUUACGAUGACAAGUGUAGUGUUCAAAACUACAUCUACGCACUGCACCGAAAGAAAUGUUUUUAGUAUUUUUUCUCACGUGAUCACCUGCAUCAUUUUUAUGCUGUACUACUAUAGUAGCCUAGGCUAGUCAUAGUGGAAAGUAACUUAGACUACUCCAGUAACUCUAUGGUUACCCUAAGGGCAAGUACUACCGCCGUCCUGGUUUACUCUUCCAAUUUUGUAGUAUCAAAAUUUGACCAUAGAUUUAACUGACAAAAUGUUAAUGCAUGUCACUAAGAACUAUAUCAUUGGAUUCGUAUUUGAACAUAAUUUCAAAUGGUGUAAUUUUUAGUGACAUGCAUUGGCAUUUUCUUAGGUAAAUCCGUGGUCAAAAUUUUAUACUAAAUACGAGGUAGUAUUCCCUCCGUCCCAAAAUUCUUAUCUUACAUUUGUUUAGAUACGGAUGUAUCUAACACUAAAAUGUAACUAGAUACAUCCGUAUUAAGACAAAUUUAAGACAAGAAUUUUGGGACGGAGGGAGUACAAAAGUGGGCCAUGUAGGCCAAAACACGUGCCAAAUUCACUUGUGAUGCAUUUGGCAUCGAUGCCCCUCCAUUGCUCACCUGGUGCCCCAAUCUGGAGCACCUACUUUGCUCCGGUGCCAAAUUAACUCACGCAAUGAAAAAACACUGCGUGGGAGAGAGAGAGGACUGAUGCAAUAAAAACCACUUGUUUGGGAGAGUGAGAGGCUAGUGUAGUUGGUUUGAUUGAUUUGUUUAUACAUGUGGGUCUAUGUGCACAGCGGUGCCAACUCUCUCACAUCGCGAGAGCGGUGCCAAAAUCUUUUGAUUUGACAUCGAUGUGUUUUAUGUGGCAUACUUUUGCGAAAUAUGGCAUCAGCCACAUAGUGGAAGGCAACAAAUGCCCAAGCUCUUCACGUGCUCCUAGUUAAAUGAGAGGAAACAGAAACACACAGAGAGAGAGGGAGAGAGAGAGAGAGUGAAAAAUAUCACUAGCCAGCCAACCCUAUCGUAUGAGCGAAUGAUAUUGGUACCUCUUGAUGACACGACAAUCUUAUGCAGCCAGCUGCUCUAAUAUGUUCUCUUCUUUUAUAGAUAAAAAAGACCCGAAAGUGAAAAAUGUGUUGCACUAUAACAAUCUCAUCAAAUGCCUUGAUCUCCAUCUUACAGAAAUUGAUUUGAUCGACUACCAAGGCAUCACAUCUGAGAUUAAAUUGGCCAGGUUCUUUGUUCUGGAGGCAAGUGUGCUCAAGGGGUUUGGCGUUGCACAACAAUGAAUGGCGUGCUGAUCACCGCAAGCGUCUAAGCCUAAAUGACAAAGUCUCCGCAGAAGCUGAAUUUGUUUUUGAAACAACAAGUGGCCAGAGACUCGAAAACUUAUUUGCCCAUUAGUGACUUGUCAGGUCGGUGGCUUUUAGUUUGUACGAUAACGCUGCAUCCACCUAAAGUAACGAAAGUUCUUACGUGAACUUCCUAGUAAUUCCCUCUUCCUAGGUGCAACAUUACUCCUAACAUUUGUAAUAUCAGUUUGAAACUUGUAAUAUUGCCAUGUCCUAUUCCCGCAUUUUCAAAAUCCUGCGAAUCAACAGGUCCUGAGUUGGUGAUGAUGUUGUGCCUCCCAUCUUUCACCAGUAGCCGCCGGAUCUAGAUCUGACACAUACAAACCAAGCUUCUCCAUUUUUGCAAAAAGAUGCCCGCACUUGUUCCCUAUUUACAAAAAACUCCUUGUCUCUCACAAUCAGCCUUAUCUCCUCCCCACCACAUCUAGAAGGCCGUGGAAAAAUCUGGCGCGAUGACCGCUACCAGAGCAGUCCACCCCCAAUCUUGGUGUUCCGUGCAAUGCACGGGCAUCUACGCAUGGGAAAUUAUGUCGAACAUGGCUAGUUGUAAGCAGGCUAGCUCUACAGCCAUGAUGAUAGUGACUGCAGACGGUGAGGCUGACUAUGGUAUGCCGAACACGGCGCCUAUACUCAGGUGUCAUCUCCGGCGCAGGGUCUUGUCACUUCACUAUGAUGAGCAGCACGUAAUGAUUUGACCAACGGGUAGUACAGUGCUAGUACUCCUAGGAGUACUACAUUGGUAGUACUACUACUAGUACUAGUAGCACCACCGUCUGGAUUUAGGAGUACUACAACGUCCAUCUGGAUUUGAGUAUUUGACUAGCAAUAUCUAGUAAUGCAUGUCACAAAAAAUGUACUACUCCAUCUGUAAAUAAAUACAUGGUGUUUUAUUCCUAUCGGCGAGAGAACUUAAUGUUUUCUUGCUAACUAGAGUCUUAAUAGGAUUACAUGCAAUGAACUAAACACUGCAUGUCAUGUUUGGUAGUCUCAAGUCAUUGAAAGCAUGCACGGCCCACAUCUCUCAUUGGUUGAUAUGUCACGAAAUAAGAAACCAGGAGGGAGUUAAUGCACCGCGCCUAAGUGUUUUGGGAUUAUUUGGUUUUCGUAAUGUGACUUACACAACAUUUUUGUUUACAUGCAUUAACAUUUUAUUAGUUAAAUCAAAGGUUAAAACUUGGCGCAAAAUGCAAAGGGGACCAAUAAACCAGUAAACAUCAAACUUCUCUCGUUUGGCCCCAACUAGAGGUCCGGUGAGAUGACUAUACUGCACCGGCACGGAGGGGGGCGCAGCUUCAUUGACUUACGACAACUGCCUUUGGGUGAAUGACACGUGGGCCCAGGGGGUGGCUGGCCCACCUAUCAUACAGCCAAAGGCAGGUGCAGUAGAGGGUCGAGGAGUAGUACGAAAUCCUACACACCUACGCACGCUAACCAAGGGCAAGAGUGAUCACUCGAAUCGCAAGAUCAGUUGACUAGUAGAAGCUAAGCUAGACCCAUGGAGGCGAUGAGCGCGAGCAUCAGCCGGCUGUGCCAGAUGGUCCACGAUGCCGGCCUGCGGCCCGGCAACGAGGAACGUCUCCAGGUAGUAUUGCUUGAGGCCGGCAGGGCGAGGGGCCGCUUGGACGACAACUUCGUCUCCUUGUUCGAUGAGGUCCUCGUCGGUUUCCUGGACAAGUUCACCGUCAUCAAGAAGCUCGCAGACGACUUUGAUGUAAGCCUUCAGCCGACGUGCCCAGGCUCUGCGAUGCCCGCCACCCUCAAUGGCCACUAUGGCGACAACCUCUUCGACGCACUGGUGGCCCUGCGACUGCUCGCCGUCGCGCCGGAGAAUAUCCACCAUGAGGUCGCGCUCGCCGCGCAGCGCCUGGCGCAGCAAGACACCAUGGACAUAAACACCCACGUCUACGCACAUGCAAGAGGAGGACGAUAGGACGCUGGCCUUCUUGGACUGCAGGGCAACCUUGGAUGCACUGUUCAGAAGCACGUUGAGCUCGCCGCCAACGUCGUUGCUCCUCACACGUCGGUUGGUGACCCGGCGCACUAGGGCGUGAGGAUGUCGUGGAUGGAUCCGUAUGUAUUUUUAUCUUUCCGUCAAAUCCAUGUAGUAGUAUAUGAUACUACAAUAAUUAUCUUACCUUUUGCGUCAACUUCAUAAUUUUCGUACGUACUCCAUGCAUGAACGGCGCCAAAACCAAACUUCUCAUUACUCUAGGCAAAAUCGUUAUUUUCUAUCUAUCGAUCGCGCCAUGGAGCAGAACCAAAUUUUACAAGUUACCAGUUCAAAAGGAAAAGCCUGCCGUGUUCGCGUCGCACCCCCACACGGUUGGUCCGGCACGCCGCUCAAGGGGGAAUGCGUGCGGUGUUGCAUUUUCACUUACAAGUGGGACCGUAGUUGAGCAAACCGACUAUCGGCAAACCCCCACCCCGCCCACCACGUGAUUGCUGAGAAAACAGGAGGGAGAAGAGAUGGCUGUAGCACGGACUCCAAGAAAAUUGGUGUCGGAUGGGACUCGUGUGGGUGGCGUGUGCCGUAGUGCUAGACGUGAAUGCUAGUUAUGGCCCAUGCCACCCCACUAUAUCGAGCCUAUAUCGAGGUACAGUACGUAGAACAAAUUUCCUGUAGUCCGUGCUUAGCACUCCUCCAUCUCUCUUCUCAGCCAGCCAGCGGACGCGCGGAGCCCAUCGUCUGUUUGCUCACAUGCGGUCCCACAUGUCAGUGAAAACGCAAGCGGACCCACUGAACCUGCACAUCUUUCACCUCGACGUGUUGGUGAUGAAAAACAAAUCCAAGAAAGAUCUUCGGUGGCCGCUUUUGGAGUUACUCAAGAGUAGUAAGAUUCUAUUUACACUUUAACCCAAGAUGCACAUCUCGUGGCUUCAACUUAUCAUCUACCACUCUAGUUUCUUUCAUGACACGACCUGGAUGCUAGAUGUUCCACGUGUCGGCAAAAGGAGGAAAAACCCGACCAAAUCUUCGGUUGUGCUCUCGGAUUAGACUAGUUGUGCUAACUUAAAAAUUUUAUUGUGUACUCCCUCCGUUCCAAAAUACAUGACUUCCAUUUGUCCAAAAAUGGAUGUGCCUAUAUACUAAAACAUGUCUAGAUACAUAUAUAUUUUGACAAAUAGAAGGCAUGCAUUGUGUAACGGAGGGAGUAGAAUGGAUGCAAGUUUUUGUAUUGGGAAGAAGAGUACAUCCAUAUAUUGAUCGAGCGCAAUUUAGUAGACGUUCUAUCACUUUUAGCUAGCACAGAGGCUAUAGAUGAGAUUAGUGCACUUGUUGAUACUCCUACUUGGUGUGCGUGUUGCUGCUUAGACGUAGAGAAAAACGGACCGGAGGGAGUACUAGAAUAGAGGCUAGACAUGAGACUAGAUGCGAGGAAGCAAUGUCUACUUCUUUACACUCGAAGAAGAAAGAAGCACGCAAGAUCGAGCCUCCGCAGAUCAACAAUGAAUGCAUCGAGAAGGCACUAAUCCAACUUACAGGAGUAGUAAAAUGUAUUCUUGUGGUUCUUGUUUUGUUUGGUCUUGCUUUUCUAGUCAAAAUUAUCGUUGGAGUUCGUGCAAAAUGGAGGUCCAUUUGGGGUCGUGCGUUGCAGUUGGCCUUACAAGUGGGACCGCAGUUAAGGAACCGACUAUCGGCAAACCCCCACCUCGCCCGCCGCGCGAUGGCUGAGUUAGAGAAACGAUGAGGUUGAAGAGAUUGCUCUAGCACGGACUCCAAGAAAUAUGAUGUCAGAUGGAAGUCGUGCUGGUGGCGUGUGCCGUACUCCUGGACGUGAAUGCUUGUUCUGGCCCAUGCCACCCUACUACUCCUACUAGUUAGUACUAUAUAGUACUACUAGUAUCGAGGAUUUGAGGUGCUGGUUAUGUAGUACAGUAUGGCUACAGUAAAAACACCCGCACGACGCGCAAAGCAUGUGAAGCUAGUACAAAUAGUGUACUACUAUUGUUGAUUGGCCCCAUCCGAUAACCUGUUGCAAUGCAGGUACAAUUAUGUAUUCGGAAAAUAUUUUUUUGCCUCGUCGCACCACUCACUCACAGAAGCAACUCAAAAGCCAUUCAUAAAUUUAGUAAGUUUAUCACAGGCAUAUAAUUUUAUUACAUACAACAGGUCAUCAACCCACAUCGACAACGAGGAUACAUUAUAAAUACUAAAGUUUUCACCACACAACAAAUAUCAAGCGAUGAAAUGAACUUAAAAUCAACCAUUCCUCGGCGUUGGAAAUGCUUGCUUUGAACCACAAGUGAUUCUCUGGGACGGGCCAUCCAUUGUCGAUCUCGAGACCAACGCAGGACUGAUCAUCCAGGCUGAAGCGGCCUACUAUAUCAGUACCAGGGUAGGGAACCACCCAAAUGUCCGAGGUAUAGACAUAGUUGCUUCUCAUAAAUGGUAGUAACAUUGUGUCAACAGUAGUUGGAUCGCCUUUCACCAUCAUUGGAUAGUUUUGUCCAAGGAAGAGCGAGUUUUCUCCAAGACUAUCAAUUCUGUACCAGGGAGAAGAAGUUGGCGCUAGCACACUAGUAUCCAUCCCGAAUACCAUGCAAUGGGUGUUGGAAUAGGUCCGGAGAGUGCAACCAUGGGAGACUACACCUGCUUCCUUAGCAGUAACAUCAUCAGUGGGCUGUAUACACACGAGAAGAGGUGAUCCAUCGGAAUUAGUUGCCAGGCGCCAAAUAGUAUAUGGGCGCUGCUCGUCCUCAUGCUCGUGAUCAUCACCAUCAUCACCUCCCCCUUGGUUAUAAAAAUCUUCAAGUAUAGGUGGUGGAAUGUUCACAGGACCUUGGAAACACAAGAAGAAGGUUAAUUAGUAAGGCUGGCCAUAGUGGGGGUAGCAUACUACCUCUGUCCUGGUUUAUAGGUCCCUUUUAUAGUUUGUGCCAAAUUUUGACUAAAGAUUUAACUAACAAAAUGUUAAUGCAUGUCAUGAAAAAAAUAUCUCAUUGGAUUCGUAUUUGAACAUAGUUUUGAAAAAUAUAAUGUUUGGUGACAUGCGUGAACAUUUUCUUAGUUUAAUCUAUGGUCAAAAUUUGGCACGAAAUACAAUGGGGACCAAUAAACCCGGACAGAGGUAGUAAGUAGUAUCAUGCACUUGGGACUCGCAAACAUGCUUAUGUGGCAGGCAAUUAAGGAAGAGAGAGAUGGUUAUAGUAACAUAGGUAGAUACCGUAACAUAAUAAAUGUGAUGCUACUAUGUGUCAUGCAUGGCAAUAAAUGAGACCACCUAUGAUACUAAUCUAAGGUACUAUGCACUAUAGAGGUAGUAACAUAAACUAGUAACAUAUGCAUGUUACUAGUCUAAGUUACUCCCCACUAUGACCAGCCUUGCUAACCCGCAUGCAUGUGGAUGAAACAAUUAUAAUUAUGGUGGCAGACAAAAAUACCGAAACAACGAGGAUGCCAUGCAAAAACAGUGCCACGAGUGGUGGCAGCAAACACAAGGCCCUCGUAUUGAAUUGCAUCACAAUACUCAUCCGUGUACAGAAACUGAUUUUUGAGAAAUAUCCAUCCAGUCAAACCACUGACGACGGCAACAAGCUUGUCGAAGAUAGCAACAACUUCAUAGUUGUUGUAAUUCCAAGAGCGGUUGGGGACUCGAGAAAUUGCUAUCUUCCGUAGAAGACAGUCACCAUGAUUGUAUUUGAACGUGCGUACAAUACCGGUGUGCUCAACCUCUGGGCAGUCUGCUGAGAUUUUUGGAAGUGGAACCCGGUCACGAGUGUACACAUUCACAAGUUCCCACUCGCAGUUGGACCCAAUGUAAACAACCCAAUCUCCAUUUUCGCCUGCCCAAGCCUUGCCCUCAAGCGAUGGCAUCUUAACAUCAUACGUAUCAUUAUCAAGCGGCAUCAACUUGCACAGGGCGAGGCCUCCGUCGUGACGGCGCCAGUCAUCAGGGUCACGGCGAAGAAGAUAGGGGAGAUCAAACCGCUCCUUGACUCUUGGGUUCCUUGUAAUGAUGUUAUUAGUUGAGUCGAGAAUGGGCUUGAACGAACCUGCAUGCUAGCCGAGGUGAUGACGUCGCACCGAUCAAUGAGUUCCUCCACCACGUCACCUUUCAGAUUGGGGCAAGAAUAAUGGGGUCGUUUCCGUCCUGUUCCCUCCAUGGAUAAGACGAUCGAACAAUGGCAGAAGAAAGGGUGAAGGGCUGAAGGAAAAUGGAGGAGGGAGAGGAAGAGCGUGCGACAGCAGUUCCAAAUCUAGAGGGAAAGGCGAAGAGUCGAUGGACGGUUGCCAGUUUUGCCACGGUUCACGAAGGGGCGCCCCGACCUACACGUCGGUUUUGAAAUACUCCUACUACUCGCCGUCGUCUCACUGAUAUGUGGAACGGGACCACAUGUCAACGAGACAUGGUGUGUAAUUUCUCGUGCAAAAUGCGAUCUGGCCGCGUUGGCCCGAGGUGCCGCAUUAGUUAUCGGCCUUUCUUUUUAAUGGCGCGCCAUUCAGUUUUGAAGCACGACUAACUGGUACUGUACACAGAGAAAAUAUAAACUACUCUACCACUACUCCACCUCCAGUACUAGUAGUAUAAAGAAGAUAUAUAGGCUGGAGCUUCAGUGCUUUCUUGCCAAGGGCUGCACACUUGCUUCUCACACUACCACCCUCUCUCCAGAUCUAAAAAAGACAGACCCUCUCUCCCUCCUCAGCGGUGGCCACAGAUCCGCCGGGGAAGAAAAGGACAUGCAGCGUUGACGCACUCGUCGUCGGCGAGUGAGGUCACGCACUGAUGACAAGGUCGUCCUCUCAGACCUAGCGCCCGCGCGGGAUCGCUGCCGUAGUGUGUGCGGAGGAUGACGACCACGAGCGAAGCCACUUCCCGCCGACCCUCAAGUAUGCUACCUCUUUUCGAACCAUACCCUUGUUUUAUUGCCCCAUCUGCCACGUCGUUGCAUGUGGAUCUUUUUCUACUCCACCAUCUUCCCAAUUUGCUAUCCUCUGCUCUGCUGGCCACGCAGACGAAAACCAUAAUUUGCACUAUUAAAGGAAACCCUACUUCAUGCAGACUAAUGCAUGUCUGGGUUGAAUAAGGAAAGGAAGGGAUACUGUACUGUCCAAGAGAGUAGGCAUCGAACCCGCAUCUAGGUUGAAAAGGGGAAAAUCAGUAGCUAAGGAACGAGUCUCGUGUCUCUUGGUUGAAGAAGGGUAGAAAGGCAUGACAACGCAAUAGAGAAUGACCAGGUCGAUCAGUUUGUUGUCCUCACAUAGGAAAAAGGUGGCUAAAGAGAACAAAAAUGGGAUGUAAUCCACAUAUGCUGCAUGGAUAUUCGUUGCUCUGGGCAACCAUACCUCCCUCACCACUCUGCGUUCGUGGAGGUACAUCAAACUGGUGCGCCCACUGUCCGAAUGGGCCUCCCAUGCUCUUAUUGCUACUUUUUUUGCUGUUAGUAUAACGCCAGCAGUCAAGUCAAGCAAUGCUACUGCUAAAGUGAUGCCACAUUUAACUAAUGCCGCUCUCAGUCUAAUGCCACAGAUAAAUUUAAGCAGUGCUAUUUAAUGUCACUGGAUCAUUUCAGGGUUAGCUGUUGAUUGUGGAUGUAUUAAAGAUUUUUUAGCUAAGGCAUUCUAAUGCUGUUGCACAGCUAGUAUACCAAUGAUGAAACUUGUUACUACCUUCAGAUUUUUGCACUGUUAAUGCUUAUAGAUUACAUACCUCACUUUCAUGAGAUAAGUUAAUUUUUUUUGUACAGUGUUACCAAAAUGCCAAGGCGCUGAUGCCAUUUUAUUUUGGUUAAACUACACUGACAAUUAUGAAGACAAGAGGAAAGGUCAAGAGUGGGCACCUCCUCCUCCGGCUGUUCUCUUGAUUAUCAAGAGGAAAGAUCAAGUUUUUAUGUUUGAUCAAUUAUCAAGAUUGGGAUAGAAAUUUUUAAGGUCCCCCCGAGUUCGAAAUGAUAUUUACCUUGGAGGUACAUGGUUUGCAAUUUUUUUAUACUGUCAUUAGUUAAUAAUGCUAGUUACCUUCAGACUUUUGUAUUUGGUUUAAUGCUCAUGCACAGCUAGUAUACCAAUGCUGAAACUUGUUACCUUUACAUUUUGUAUUGUUAAUUCUUAUAGAAACCUUCCGGUGCUAGAGUUUAUUGAAAUCUGUUCAGUAAAACCAUUGUACUAUACCCUGUAAUAAACUAACUACUCUACUAUUGCACUAGCCACUGGAUUAGUGUAUAUUUGUAGUAUUCGAAUGGUGUUGCAUUAGCGUAUGGACAUAAAUAAAGUGUGGCAAGCUUUCCCAGAUAUGUGCUCAAGAAAACUACUACCUGAUUUUCUAAAUACUAGACGUUUGGGUACUUUAAAUUGAACCGUGAAAACGCCUUAUAUUAAGGAACAGAGGGUGUAGAGUUCACACAAAUUAUCCUGGUAAAGCUAGUCACACCUUUGUUAAAAUUAAUGUUCAUUAUGUUAUCGGAGGAGGUCUGUAUGUUUGUCUCUAAUGCCUGUCUACUACAUACCCGACAUCAUGAUGUAAUGUUAAGUCAUUUCCUUUUGUACAGUGUAACUAAAUUGUCAAGGUGGUGAUGGCAUUUUAUUUUAGUAGAACUGCACAAAAUUUGCUUAAAAUAAGAGGAAAGGUCAGGAAUGGCUCAGUUUUUCAGAAAAAAACUAUGUAUGCCUUCCCGACAUCAGCCGCUGUUGCUUUAUUUAUUCCUUCAAACAGGUGGUUAGAAACACUCUUGCUACCUUUUCCCAUUAAGAAAUUGGAAUGCUUAUAUUUGUGAGUAUAUGCUUCAACUAGUGCCACUUCUAUAGUAAUCACACUUUCAAUAUCUAUGCAAACAGGGAUGCUCGAUUUUAGUGGAGCUGCACAAAAAGUCCAACUGGUUCAACAUUAGGAGCAUGUUUUUUUCCAAACCUUUAUAUCCAAUUGGUGGCACUAUGAGCUGUUCAUUACGAAGGUACAUGGUUUGCUACUAUCUUGCUACUCUUUUUGUACUGUCAUUAGAUAGUAGUACUAGUGGUUUGCAUGUGAAUUUAUUGGCAGGGUGGACCUACAUUGGAGGUGCAGGACAGGAUUCAAUGAUUGGAUGCUCAAUUUCGGUUGUAUCGAUUUCACCUCUUCCAUCACUGCAAACAUGGUGUGGUAUAUGUUUACUAGCUGCUUGAUAUUUGUGCAGACAGAGAUGUCUGCCCGUUGCUAUUUGGCAAACAAACAAAGUGUUCGCAAUUUUGGUUGAACUGCACAAGAGAAUAGCAUAGUCACUGCAUGCAGUGCCAUUUGAAAAUAGACACAAAGAUUGGAUAGUCACUUCAUGGACUGCAGAAAAGUAGUACUGUACUAUUUACUGGCCAACAGUUGGUGCUUCAUUGCUUUGGUCUAAUUAUACAAUGGGCAUCAUUUUCCCUAAGUUAAAGUUUGUAUUCUGAAAAUAGUCUCGCAGUGUGAUCGAGAGAAGACCAAAUCAUAUUGCAGUGGAUGUUCCUCCAUCAUGUGUGGUUCAUUAUCAUGGUUCCAGCUGUUGGUUAAACCACUUACGUUUGCAAGAGGAAUUGUAGACUUCACAAACAAAUUUGUCUUUCAAUAUGUACUGAAUGUUGGCCAAGAGAAGCAUCCAUGUUAGUAGGAAGAACAAAUAUUUUUUCUAGAUCUUUGCUUUUGGAGCUACAUAUUUGUAUAUGAUGUGUGAAUCAUUGAGAUGCAUUAACAUGUUGAUAUUAUGUAUGGGAAUCAUACUAGUUAGUUUUAGUUGCGACGCAAGAUCUGAACUGGCUGAUCUUUGCUUUUGGAGCUACAUAUUUGUAUAUGAUCUGUGAAUCAUCGAGAUGCAUUAACAGUUACUUAUUUCUGUUCGCUCAGUGUUUACAAGUUACUAAUCGAUCACUAGCUAGCCUACAAAUGCGCACCUGGCAGUUUUAUUUGCGACGCAAGAUGCGAAGUGGCAGUUUUUUGAAUAAAAACGCCUACCUCUAAAGAAACUGACUAGCUACACUAUCGAUCCUACACGGAUAAAAAUGCCUACCUCUGAAGAAACUGACAAGCUACACUAUCGAUCCUACACGGAUAAAUAGCAUAUCACGCACGUACUACCUCCUUUCCGGUUUGCAGGGCUCAAUUCAAGAAACGACCUACUCGAUCCUACACGAAUAAAUAGCGGAUCACGCACGUACUAGUACCUCCUUUCCGGAUUGCAGGGCUUAACUCAAACCUCUCACCAACCAAGGUACUCCCUCCGUCCGGGUUUAUUAGUCUCGUGAGCAAAGCAGCAAGACCAAGGCAUGGCAAUAAUUAACGGCAUGCAGAAGUUUAAGCCUAAUUAAUUCCAGCGAUUUAAGUGGCUGCAUGCGUGCCCUCGGCUGCGACUCGUUGCAUGCUGCUUCGCGUACUGCCUGCGAGCGAUUCUGAGUGCCUGCAUGCAGCCGACCAUAAUUAAGGCAGCUAACUGAUGCGAAAAAAGACAUGCUUUAAUUAUUGCGGGCUUUUUAAAUCCGUGAAAUCAUUAUUGACAAGGAGGGAGAUGAUUCGAGUGCACUCGUCUGACCGCCAUGCCAGCGUGCGACCCAGACGGGACAGGACGACACAGUCAUAAUUUCAGUUUCCCUUGUUUUCCACGGCAAGCUGGCGUGCUAAGCCAUUAUGCAUUGAAUUCCGAGGACCGUCACACUACCUUCCCCCUAUAAGUACUGUUUCCCGGCAUUCUCCAGUGCCACCGUGACCCAACUCGCCAUAUCCUCAUAAGCCCCCACCAGCCCGACGUUGCUCGUCACGUCCGCCAUGCCCCCGCCCGUCCGCGGUAGGCGACGCCGGAGGCGGUCACCGCCGGAACUAGUGUUCGGUUUUCGCCGGAAGGCAGACGGAGGGAGGAGGCAUUCUAUCUGUCUUUAGAUGGCAAUGCACAGAUCGAGGAGUUGUUGGAGCACUACCGCAUGGCAAAGGAGCAGGAGUUGUUGGAGCGCGACCUCCUGGCAGAGGAGCAGCGUAACACCGAUUUGCGCCGCCAGCGGGAUAUGGAGCAACAGCGCACCGAUGCUCUGAGUCGCGAGCAGAGCGCCCGCAACUGGGCCGACUAUGUGGAGGCCGGCGCCCGACGAAUAGCCCUGGAGGCUGUCGGGCACGCACGCGUUCACGACACCGAUUUUUACUACCAGCUCGUCAAGUGGGUUCCCCGCUUGGAAGUCGAAGCUUCGGUGGACCAUGCCGACAUGGAAAGGGCCAACGCGCGCGAGAAACACGCCAUAUCGCACCUCUGGCAAGUCCGAGGCGAGGCGCAGAACGCCGGUGCCGGUGUUUAGCGUGUACCGCCGGCAUCGUCUAGUUAUCUAAGAGUAAGUUAGUACUUGUCUAGUGGGAGUAGAUAGUUAACUUGGCUAUGAUGGUUGUCAACGUGGAAGUUCAGUACUCUAUAUGUGGAUCAGACCGGUUACUUUGCUCUGAAUGUUGAACUUUCCGUUUGAUCGUAUGGACUGGGCUGUUAUUUUUUUAAAUGGGUUGUAUUUGUCCUCCACGGGUUUAGAGGCUGACUUGUGGGCCUAGCAAGUUGACGCAUACACAACCAGGAGAUGAUUGUACGUAGAGAGGAUGACAGCAGGGACCCGCCAAGGUCAUGGCAGUACGCAAGCAAGUGCCUCCUUAUUUCAAGCCAAUAAAAAAAUGGCUCCCAGUGGAUUUCUGACAUCUGGGUCCCAUGCCAUUGUCAACGUAGUCAAUAAACGAGAGAAUUGCACAACGAGCGGCUGACACCAGGGACCCAUCAGCUCGCCCAGUUAUUUUUGUUUUGGGUUAAUUUGAUAAAUGCCUCCGAGAAAUGCCACUGCAAUUUCCAAACUUUGAAAAAUGCCAUUUCAUGCCAUUUCUAGUGGCAUUUUUUGAAGUCUGGAGUGGCAUUUUUCAAAGUUUGCAAACUGCAGUGGCAUUUUUCAAAGUUUGCAAAAAUUGCAGUGGCAUUUUUCAAAGUUUGGAAAUUGCAGUGGCAUUUUUAUGAAUCGCCAUAAUUGGAGUGGCAUUUAUCUAAUAUGUUUUUGAGACGGAAGCAGGGUGUCAACUGGGCUGUGCGGGACACUCUGGCCUGUCUAGACAGCCUUUUCUUUUAUGUUUACCACAGACCAGCCCAGUAGUUUUUUUUCUUUUUGAAAAUGGCUAGCCAAGUUUUUUUGUGAUUUGUCAAGUAAGUCACUUUAUCACGCCUGUUGGGCUAGACGAGGAGAGCUUCAUUCGGCUGGCCGAGAAAAUGGCCUAUCAGUAAUGAGAAAUGGGUUGUACAUUUUUAAAACACAUCAAACCGGCAAUUAGUUUCAAAUAUCUUUUUUUCAUUUCGAGAUUUUCAAUUGCAUUGAUUUUUAUGCAUGGACAAUUUAUUGGAUUUUAUAUUGAUAUACAUUUAUUUUUAAAAUCAGUCUGAAUGUGACUCGAAAUUUCGGGAUUAAAAACAGUUCAAACCGCACCGACAUAUGCAAAAUUUCGUAUAAUUUUUUAACCGUGGCCACAAUGUGGGCUAUAAUGCUAACAAAAAGAAUAUGGGCUAAAAAACACGUAAGAAUUAGCAAAUGGGCUGUAAACUAUUUGAAAUAAUGGCAGAUGGGCUGUAUGUUGUUUUCCACAGAUUUGAGGCUUUCCACAGAUGGCCUGUAUAAUGUUGGAUGUCCAUCCAACGGCCAUCGUGCUUCUUCAAUCUCUGCUCUUCCUGCUCUAGCCGCUCAAACAAGCGCCGGCGGGACUGCCUGCUCCCUCCUCCCCGCGGCCGGCUGUGCUGCCGCGCAGGCCUCACCGCCCCACCGUACUCCCAUCGCUGGCCUAGUUAUACCUCUACUCACCCUCAGUCCCACACAUGCUGUUAUUCUACGGCGACGGCAGAUGAACCAGUAAACCCUCGUACUCCUCCGCGUGGGAAAUAACCGUCGAGUAUUCCCUGGCUCCGUGUCGUUCCCUUCCUAGGCCUCGCCGUCGUCCACUGCCCUGGUACUCUCGGCGCGGCCUGGUCAACGUGGUCAAUGAAUGACAUCCAUCGGAAGUGGACUAUACGUGGAGAGGCUGACAGCUGGGUCCACGGCCGCAUGCAAGGAAAUGCCUCCUUAUUACGGGCAAAAUAAUGAUUCCUCCACCUGACAUCUGGGACCCACCGAAAGGGCCUCUGUAUUUCGCGAAAAAAACGUUACCGCCGCUGACAGCUCGGACCCACCAGCUAUAUCUUCGCGCGCAAGGAAGUGCCUCCUUAUUACGCCCAAAAAAAGAAUACUCCCCCUGCUAGCUGGGACCCAGUAUAGUGGGCCUACUAACUUGACGGGGACGAAGGGCUUUGUCAACUUAGUCAAUAUGCACGAUUCUAGCUCGACUAACCGUACAAUGUCCAUCCAACGGACGUAGUGCUUCUUCAACCUCUGGUCUUCUUGCUCCAGCCGCCCAAAGCAGCGCCGGUCGUGCCGCCUGCUCCUGCCUCCCGUGGCCGGCUGUGCUGCCGCGGAGGCCUCACCGCCCCCAUACUACUCCCACCGCUGGCCAGGCCAUCCCUCCACUCCACUCACCCACACCCCCUGUUAUUUUGCGGCAACGGCAGCGCAGCCGAACCAGUGAACCCUCGUACUCCUCUCCGAGUGGGCAUCCACUGCCGCAUCUUCCCCGGCUCCGUGUCGUCCCCUUCCUAGGAUUCACCAUCGUCCAUCGCCGUAGUGCUCUAGGCGCGACAUGGUCAAUGAGGUCAACGACCGAAUUCCAUCGGAAGAAUACUGUAUGUGGAGAGGCUGACAGCUGGGUCCAUGGCAGCCACAAGGAAGUGCCUCCUUAUUACGCGGAAAAUAAUUAUUCCUCCACCUGACAGCAGGGAACCACCGGACGGGCCACCAGUAUUUCACGAAAAAAACGUUUGCCCCUGACUGCUGGGACCCACCCGACGGGCCACUGUAUUUCGCGAAAAAAACGUUCCCCCUGAUAUCAGCUCGGACCCACCGGAAGUGCCUCCUUAUUACGCACAAAAAAAUGAAUACCCCCCAGCUAGCUGGGACCCACCUUGGUGGGAGGCUUACUUGUGGGCCUACUAAGUUGACGGGGACGGAGGGCUUUGUCAACUUAGUCAAUAUAAAUGAUUCUAGGUCCAGUGACCGUAUGAUGUCCAUCCAACGGCCGUAGUGCUUCUUCAACCUCUGGUCUUCUUGCUCCAGCCACCCAAAGCAGCGCCAGUCGUGCCGCAUGCUCCUGCCUCCCGUGGCCGGAUGUGCUGCCGCGGAGGCCUUACCGCCACCUACUAUUCCCACCGCUGGCCAGGCCCUACGGCGACGGCAGCGUCACACCGCAACCGAACCAGUGAAACCUCGUACUCCUCUCAGCGCGGGCUUCCACUGCCGCGUCUUCCCCGGCUCCCCGUCGUCCCCUUCCUAGGCCUUGCCGUCGUUCACCGCCCUGGUGCUCUCGGCGCGGCGUGGUCAACGUGGUCAAGGAACGAUUUCCAUCGGACGUGGACUGUAUGUGGAGAGGCUGACAGCUGGGUCCUCGGCCGCAGCAAGGAAGUGCCUCCUUAUUACGCGGAAAAUAAUUAUUCCUCCACCUGACAGCGGGGACCCACCGGACGGGCCACCGUAUUUUGCGAAAAAACGUUUCCCGCCUGACUGCUGGGACCACCAGCUACACCUUCGCACGCAAGGAAGUGCGUCCGGGCAAGUAAAAAAACGAUUCGCCCCUCUGACUGCUGGGACCCACCAGCUACAUUUUCGCACGCAAGGAAGUGCCUGACAGUCGGGACCCACCUGGUCGAAGCGUACGUAGCAUUGUCAUUCUGGUCGCGAACGUGUACGUACAUACUGGUCGUUGUAGAGGCGCGCACGUGUCAUAGUAGAGGCGCGAACGUAGCAUGUACACGUACAUACAGCGGCGAGGGUGCAAGAAAGAAAAUACGGCCAUGUAUGUGUAUAUAUGGGCGGGGUCUCGAAUGCCUAGUCGCGCAUACGUACGGCGAGGGCUCGUGUUCAUGGGGAGGCAACGAAAUGUGUCGCGUUCAUGGGGAGGCAGCGGAAUGCGUCGUGUUCAUCGGGAGGCAACGGAAUGUGUCGUGUUCAUGGGGAUGCAACAGAAUGCGUUGUGUUCAUCGGGAGGCAACGGAACGCGUGGGAGCCAACCGGCUUGGACGGAACAGGCAAUGGAAACAAGGCCUGGCGUACCGCACAACGGAGGAAACGGACCUCCUAUGGUCGAAACGGGGGUCCUGUUGAUCGGGAGGGGUGUGGCGUACUGCAAAACGGAGGAAACAGACCUCCUACGAUCGAAAAGGGGUCCUGUUGAUCGGGAGGGGUGUGGCGUACCGCAAAACGGACGAAACGGACUUGUGUUGGAGCGCUACGGUCGAAAAGGGGGUCCUGUUCAUCGGNNNNNNNNNNNNNNNNNNNNNNNNNNNNNNNNNNNNNNNNNNNNNNNNNNNNNNNNNNNNNNNNNNNNNNNNNNNNNNNNNNNNNNNNNNNNNNNNNNNNNNNNNNNNNNNNNNNNNNNNNNNNNNNNNNNNNNNNNNNNNNNNNNNNNNNNNNNNNNNNNNNNNNNNNNNNNNNNNNNNNNNNNNNNNNNNNNNNNNNNNNNNNNNNNNNNNNNNNNNNNNNNNNNNNNNNNNNNNNNNNNNNNNNNNNNNNNNNNNNNNNNNNNNNNNNNNNNNNNNNNNNNNNNNNNNNNNNNNNNNNNNNNNNNNNNCAAAACGGGACUCCACGGGAUACUGUUCAUCUCCACCGUCGACCUCCUCUAGCCUCCACGAGCUCCUGUUCAUCCAGCCUCCACCAUGCGCUACUCCACCGGCUACUGUUCAACCACCCCUCCACGACCACCCCUCCACCGUCUACUGUUCAUCCAGCCCUCCACACCACGGGGUCCUGUUCAACCACCCCUCCACGGCCACCCCUCCAUCAUCUACUAUUCAUCCAGCCCUCCACACCACGGGUUCCUGUUCAUCCAGAGGCAACGCCACCGCUCACUGUUCAUCCAACCCCUCCCCCCCGUAACACUCACUGUUCAUCCCAGAGGCAACAUCGAUCGGCUUCAGUUAGCAGCAGUAGCGAAGGAAUCGCUCCAUCGGGUUCAGUUAACAGCCAUCGAUCGAUCGCUCGGGUUCAGUAACGUGUAGCCUGCAGUGCAAUCGCUUGGGUUCAGUUAGAGACCAACUCCUCGCUCGACUUCAGUUAGAGCCAACGCCUCGCACAAACGCGCAUACGUACGAGAGAAACGCGCAUCGCUCUGCCUCCGACCUCCCACCGUAACCGGCAACUCCCCGAAAUUUUCCUCCCCCUCGCUUCUACCAUGGUUUUUUCCGUCAUGGACGGCCCAAAGAAUAUCAUGCAGCUGCGUCUCCGGCCCGCCCACGAUGAAAAGCCCAUUUUCUGUCAUGAUUUUUUGUCAUAGAAGUAGGAGCCCACCACGUCUAUGAUGAUACCGGGUUUUGUCACAAUUAUCGUCAUAGAAGUGUCAUAUGUAUGACAGAUUUUUUUUUCGUUCGGCCCAAAAUGUCACGGAUGUGUCUUUUUUUUAUAGUGAUGUCGUGGUGGUGGCAUGUGCCAUACUCCUGGACGUGAAUGCUUGUUCUGGCCCAUGCCACCCUACUACUCCUACUACUUACUAUAUAGUACUAGUAUCAAGGAUUCGAGGUGCUGGUUACAUACAGCAAACACAUUAGCAUAUGGCUACAGUAAAAACACCCGCCCAAUGCGCGAAGCAUGUGAAGCUAGUACAAAUAGUGUACUACUAUUGUUGAUUGGCCUCACCCAAUAACCUGUUGCAAUGCACAUACAAUUAUGUAUUCGUAAAAUAUUUUUUUGCCUCGUCCCACCACUCACUCAGAGAAGCGACUUGAAAGCCAUUCAUAAAUUUAGUAAGUUUAUCACAGGCAUAUCAUUUUAUUACAUACAACAGGUCAUCAACCCACAUCGACAACGAGGAUACAUUAUAAAUACUAAAGUUUUCAUCACACAACAAAUAACAAGCGAUGAAAUGAACUUCAACUCAACCAUUCCUCGGUGUCGGAAAUGCUUGCUUUGAACCACAAGUGAUUCUCUGGGACGGGCCAUCCAUUGUCGAUCUCGAGACCAACAAAGGACUGAACAUCCAGGCUGAAGCGGCCUACUAUAUCAGUACCAGGGUAGGGAACCACCCAAAUGUCCGAGGGAUAGACACAGUUGCUUCUCAUAAAUGGUAGUAACAUUGUGUCAACAGUAGUUGGAUCGCCUUUCACCAUCAUUGGAUAGUUUUGUCCAAGGAAGAGCGAGUUUUCUCCAAGACUAUCAAUUAUGUACCAGGGAGAAGGAGUUGGCGCUAGCACACUAGUAUCCAUCCCGAAUACCAUGCAACGGGUGUUGGAAUAGGUCCGGAGAGUGCGACCAUGGGAGACUACACCUGCUUCCUUAGUAGUAACAUCAUCAGUGGGUUGUAUACAGACAAGAAGAGGUGAUCUAUUGGAAUUAGUUGCCAGGCGCCACAGAGUAUAUGGGCGCUGUUCGUCCUCAUGCUCGUGAUCAUCACCAUCGUCAUCUCCCCCUUGGUUAUAAUUUUUUUCAAGUAUAGGUGGUGGAAUGUUCAUAGGACCUUGGAAACACAAGAAGAAGGUUAAUUAGUAACGGGAAACUUGCUAACCCGCAUGCAUGUGGAUGAAACAAUUAUAAUUACGGUGGAAGACAAACGUACCGAAAGCAUAAGGAUUCCAUGCAAAAAUAGUGCCACGAGUGGUGGCAGCAAACACAAGGCCCUCGUAUUGAAUUGCAUCACAAUACUCAUCCGUGUACAUAAACUAAUUUUUGAGGAAUAUCCAUCCAGUCGAACCACGAAGGACGGCAUCAAGCUUGUCGAAGAUAGCAACAACUUCAUAGUUGUUGUAAUUCCAAGAGCGGUUGGGAACUCGACAAAUUGCUAUCUUCCAUAGAAGAAAAUCACCAUGAUCGUAUUUGAACGUGCGUACAAUACCGCUGUGCUGAACCUCUGGGCAGUCUGCUGAGAUUUUUGGAAGUGGAACCUGGUCACGAGUGUACACAUUCACAAGUUCCCACUCGCAGUUGGACCCAAUGUAAAUAAUUCAAUCUCCAUUUGCGCCUGCCCAAGCCUUACCCUCAAGCGAUGGCAACUUAACAUCAUACGUAUCAUUAUCAAGCGACAUCAACUUGCACAAGGCGAGGCCUCCCUCGUCCUCGCGCCAGUUAUCAGGGUCACGACGAAGAAGAUAGGGGAGAUCAAACCGCUCCUUGACUCUUGGGUUCCUUGUAAUGAUGUUAUUAGUUGAGUCGAGAAUGGGCUUGAACGAACCUACCAUGCUAGCCGAGGUGAUGACGUCGCACCAAUCAAUGAGUUCCUCCACCGCGUCAUCUUUCAGAUCGGGGCAAGAAUAACGGGGUCGUUUCUGACCUGCUCCCUCCAUGGAGAAGAGGAUCGAACAAUGGCAGAAGGAAGUGUGAAGGGCUGAAGGAAAAUGGAGGUGGGAGAGGAAGAGCGUGCGGCAUUAGUUUCAAAUCGAGAGGGAAAGGUGAAGAGUCGGUGGACGGUUGCCAGUUUGCCACGGUUCAUGAAGAGGCGCCCCGCCCACACGUCCGUUCGGAAAUUCUAGUAGAAAAGGACUCGCCGUCGUGUCACUGAUAUGUUGGAACGAGACCACAUGUCAACGAAACAUGGUGUGUAAUUUCUCGUGCAAAAUGCGAUCUGGCCGCGUUGGCCCGUGGUGCCGCAUUAGUUAUCGACCUUUAUUUUUUUAAUGGAGUGCCGUUCAGUUUUGAAGCACGAGUAAAUGGUACUGUACGCAGAGAACAUAUAAACUACUCUACCACUACUCCAGCUCCAGUACUAGUAGUAUAAAAAAGAUAUAUAGACUGGAGCUUCAACGCUUUCUUACUAAGGGCCGCCCACUUGCUUCUCACACUAUCACCCUCUAUCCAUAUCUAAAAAACACUGCCUCUCUUUCCCUCCUCACUGGUGGUCAUAGAUACGCCGGGUAAGAAAAGGACAUGCAGCGUUGACGCACUCGUCACCGGCGAGCAAGGUCACGCACUGAUGACAAGGCCGUCCUCUCAGACCUAGCGCCUGCGCGGGAUCGCUGCCGUAGUGUGUGCGGAGGAUGACGACCACGAGCGAAGCCACUUCCCGCCGACCCUCAAGUAUGCUACCUCUUUUCGAACCAUACCCUUGUUCUAUUGCCCCAUCUGCCACGUUGUUGCAUGUGGAUCUUUUUCCACUCCACCAUCUUCCCAAUUUGCUAUCCUCUGCUCUGCUGGCUACGCAGACGAAAACCAUAAUUUGCACUAUUAAAGGAAACCCUACUUCAUGCAGACUAAUCCAUGUCUGGGUUGAAUAAGGAAAGGAAGGGAGACUGUACUAUCCAAGAGAGAAGGCAUCAAACCCGCAUCUAGGUUGAAAAGGGGAAAUCAGUAGCUAAGGAACGAGUCUCGUGUCUCUUGGUUGAAGAAGGGUAGAAAGGCAUGACAACGCAAUAGAGAAUGACCAGGUCGAUCGGUUUGUUGUCCUCACAUAGGAAAAAGGUGGCUAAAGAGAACAAAAAUGGGACAUAAUCCACAUAUGCUGCCUGGAUAUUUGUUGCUCUGGGCAACCAUAUGUUGGGGAACGUAGCAGAAAUUCAAAAUUAUCCUACGAAUCAUCAAGAUGUAUCUAUGGAGAAACCAACAACGAGGGGAAGGAGAGUGCAUCUACAUACCCUUGUAGAUCGCUAAGCGGAAGCGUUCAAGAAAACGGGGUUGAAGGAGUCGUACUCGUCGUGAUCCAAAUCACCGGAGAUCCUAGUGCCGAACGGACGACACCUCCGCGUUCAACACACGUACAGCCCGGUGACGUCUCCCAUGCCUUGAUCCAGCAAGGAGAGAGGGAGAGGUUGAGGAAGACUCCAUCCAGCAGCAGCACAACGGCGUGGUGGUGGUGGAGGAGCGUGGUGAUCCAGUAGGGCUUCGCCAAGCACCGCGAGAUAUGAGGAGAAAGAGAGGUAGGGCUGCGCCAACAUGAGAAGAACCUUGUGUCUUGGGCUGCCCCUUUGCCUCCACUAUAUAUAGGGGGAGAGGGGGGGCUGCGCCCCCACCUAGGGUUCCACCCUAGGGGCGGCGGGCAGCCCAAGAUCCCAUCUGGGGCGCGGCCAAGGGGGGGGGGGAGAGGGGAAACUUGCCCCCCAAGUCAGGUGGGUGCGCCCUCUCCCCAAACCCUAGGCACCUUGGGCCCUGGGGGGGGGGGGCGCACCAGCCCACCUGGGCCUGGCCCCCUCCCACACUUGGCCCAUGCCGCCCUCCGGGGAUGGUGGCCCCACUUGGUGGACCCCCGGGACUCUCCCGGCGGUCCCGGUACGUUAUCGAUAAAACCCGAAACUUUUCCGGUGACCAAAAUAGGACUUCCCAUAUAUAAAUCUUUACCUCCGGACCAUUCCGGAACUCCUCGUGACGUCCGGGAUCUCAUCCGGGACUCCGAACAACAUUCGGUAACCACAUACAAACUUCCUUUAUAACCCUAGCGUUAUCGAACCUUAAGUGUGUAGACCCUACGGGUUCGGGAACCAUGCAGACAUGACUGAGACGUUCUCCGGUCAAUAACCAACAGCGGGAUCUGGAUACCCAUGUUGGCUCCCACAUGUUCCACGAUGAUCUCAUCGGAUGAACCACGAUGUCAAGGACUCAAUCGAUCCCGUAUACAAUUCCCUUUAUCUAGCGGUAUUGUACUUGCCCGAGAUUCGAUCGUCGGUAUCCCGAUACCUUGUUCAAUCUCGUUACUGGCAAGUCUCUUUACUCGUUCCGUAACACAUCAUCCCAUGAUCAACCCCUUGGUCACAUUGUGCACAUUAUGAUGAUGUCCUACCGAGUGGGCCCAGAGAUACCUCUCCAUCACACGGAGUGACAAAUCCCAGUCUCGAUUCGUGCCAACCCAACAGACACUUUCGGAGAUACCUAUAGUGCACCUUUAUAGCCACCCAGUUACGUUGUGACGUUUGGUACACCCAAAGCAUUCCUACGGUAUCCGGUAGUUGCACAAUCUCAUGGUCUAAGGAAAUGAUACUUGACAUUAGAAAAGCUUUAGCAUACGAACUACACGAUCUUUGUGCUAGGCUUAGGAUUGGGUUUUGUCCAUCACAUCAUUCUCCUAAUGAUGUGAUCCCGUUAUCAACGACAUCCAAUGUCCAUGGUCAGGAAACCGUAACCAUCUAUUGAUUAACGAGCUAGUCAACUAGAGGCUUACUAGGGACAUGGUGUUGUCUAUGUACCCACACAUGUAUCUGAGUUUCCUAUCAAUACAAUUAUAGCAUGGAUAAUAAACGAUUAUCAUGAACAAGGAAAUAUAAUAAUAAUAAAUAAUUUAUUAUUGUCUCUAGGGCAUAUUUCCAACAGUCUCCCACUUGCACUAGAGUCAGUAAUCUAGUUCACAUCGCCAUGUGAUUAACACUGAUAGGUCACAUCGCCAUGUGACCAACAUCCAAAGAGUUUACUAGUGUCACUAAACUAGUUGACAUCACCAUGUGAUUAAGACUCAAUGAGUUCUGGGGUUUGAUCAAGUUUUGCUUGUGAGAGAGGUUUUAGUCAAUGGGUCUGCAGUAUCCAGAUCCGUAUGUACUUCGCAAUUCUCUAUGUCAUAUUGUAAAUGCUGCUUCCACGCUCCACUUGGAGUUAUUCCAAAUGGUUGCUUUACUAUGUGUAUCCGAUUUGCUACUCAGAGUCAUUCGGAUAGGUGUUAAAGCUUGCAUCAACGUAACCCUUUACGCCGAACUCUUUAUCACCUCCAUAAUCGAGAAACAUGUCCUUAUUUACUCCAAGGACAAUUUUUGACCGCUCUCCAAUAAUCCCCAUUCCUGGAUCAUUAUUGUACCCCUUGACUGACUCAUGGCAAGGCACACUUCCGGUGUGGUACAUAGCAUAGCAUACUAUAGAGCCUACGUCUGAAACAUAGGGGACGACCUUCGUCCUUUGUCUCUCUUCUGUCGUGGUCGAGCUUUAACUCUUAACUUCAUACCUUACAACUCAGGCAAGAACUCCUUCUUUGACUGAUCCAUCUUGAACACCUUCAAGAUCAUGUCAAGGUAUGUGCUCAUUUGAAAGUACUAUUAAGCAUUUUGAUCUAUCUUAUAGAUCUUGAUGCUUAUUGUUCAAGUAGCAUAAUUCCAGGUUUUCCAUUGAAAAACACUUUUCAAAUAACCCUAUAUGCUUUCCCGAAAUUCUACAUCAUUUCUGAUCAACAAUAUGUCAACAACAUAUACUAAUCAGAAAUUCUAUAGUGCUCCCACUCACUUCUUUGGAAAUACAAGUUUCUCAUAAACUUUGUAUAAACCCAAAAUCUUUGAUCAUCUCAUCAAAGCGUACAUUCCAACUCUGAGAUGCUUACUCCAGUCCUAAGAAGGAUUGCUGGAGCUUUGCAUACUUAUUAGCGUCUUUCAGGAUUGACAAAACCUUCUGGUUGUAUCACAUAUAACCUUUCCUCAAGUAUCACAUCGAGGAAACAAUGUUUUUUGACAUCCUAUCUGCAAGAUUUCAUAAAUCAUGCAGUAAUUGCUAAUAUAAUCCCAACAAAUUCUUAGCAUCCCUACGAAUGAGAAAGUCUCAUCGUAGUCAACUCCUUGAACUUGUCGGAAAACAUCUUAACGACAAGUCGAGCUUUCUUAAUGGUGAUACUUACCAUCAUUAUCUGUCUUUCUUUUAAAAUCCAUCUGUACCCAAUGGCCUUACGACCAUCAAGUAUUUCUUCCAAAGUCAUGGAUCCUCUCUCGGAUUUUAUGGCCUCGAGCCAUUUGUCGGAACCUGGGCCCACCAUCGCUUCUCCAUAGCUCGUAGGUUCAUUGUUGUCUAGCAACAUGAACCCCAAGACAGGAUUACGUACCACUCUGAAGCAGUACGCAUCCUUGUCGACCUACGAGGUUUGGUAGUGACUUGAUCCGAAGCUUCAUGAUCACUAUCAUAAGCUUCUACUUCAAUUGGUGUAGGUGCUACAGGAACAACUUCCUGUGUCCUGCUACACACUAGUUGAAGUGAUGAUUCAACAACCUCAUCAAGUCUCCACCAUCCUCCCACUCAAUUCUUUCGACAGAAACUUUUCCUCGAGAAAGGACCCGUUUCUAGAAACAAUCACUUUUGCUUCCGGAUCUGAAUUAGGAGGUAUACCCAACCAUUUUGGGUAUCCUAUGAAGAUGCAUUUAUCCGUUUUAGGUUCGAGCUUAUCACGAUGAAACUUUUUCACAUAAGCGUCGCAGCCCCAAACUUUCAAGAAACGACAGCUUAGGUUUCUCUAAACCAUAGUUCUCACGAUGUCAUCUCAACGGAAUUACGUGGUGCCCUAUUAAAGUGAGUGCGGUUGUCUCUAAUGCCUAACCCAUGAAUGAUAGUGGUAAUUCGAUAAGAGACAUCAUGGUACGCAUCAUAUCCAAUAGGGUGCAACUAUGAUGUUCGGAAACACCAUCACACUAUGGUUUUCCAGGCGGUAUUUAUUGUGAAACAAUUUCCACAAUGUCUUAAUUGCGUGCCAAAGCUCAUAACUCAGAUACUCAUCUCUAUGAUCAUAUCAUAGACAUUUUAUCCUCUUGUCACAAUGAUCUUCAAUUUCACUCUGAAAUUACUUGAACCAUUCAAUAAUUCAGACUUGUGUUUCAUCAAGUAAAUAUACAACAUCUACUCGAAUCAUCUGUGAAGUAAGAACAUAAUGAUAUUCACUGCAUGCCUCAGCACUCAUUGGACUGCACGCAUCAAAAUGUGUUACUUCCAACAAGUUGCUAUCUUGUUCCAUCUUACUGAAAACGAGGCUUUUCAGUCAUCUUGCCCAUGUGGUAUGAUUUGCAUAUCUCAAGUGAUUCAAAAUCAAGUGAGUCCAAAUGAUCCAUCUGCAUGGAGUUUCUUCAUGCGUAUACACCAAUAGACAUGGUUCACAUGUCUGAAUCUUUUCAAAAACGAGUGAGUCCAAAGAUCCAUCAACAUGGAGCUUCUUCAUGCGUUUUAUACCAAUAUGACUUACAUGGCAGUGCCACAAGUAAGUGGUACUAUCAUUACUAUCUUAUAUCUUUUGGCAUGAAAAUGUGUAUCACUACGAUCGAGAUUCAAUAAACCAUUCCUUUAGGUGCAAGACCAUUGAAGGUAUUAUUCAAAUAAAUAGAGUAACCAUUAUUCUCCUUAAAUGAAUAACCGUAUUGCGAUAGACAUAAUCCAAUCAUGUCUAUGCUCAACGCAAACACCAAAUGACAAUUAUUCAGGUUUAAUACUAAUCUUGAUGGUAGAGGGAGCGUGCGAUGUUUGAUCACAUCAAACUUGGAAACACUUCCAACACAUAUCGUCAUCUCACCUUUGGCUAGUCUUUGUUUAUUUCGUAGCUCUUUUAUUUCGAGUUACUAACACUUAGCAACCGAACCGAUAUCUUCAUACCCUAGUGCUACUAGGAGUACUAGUAAAGUACACAUUAACACAAUCUAUAUCCAAUAUACUUCUAUCGACCUUGCCAGCCUUCUCAUCUACCAAGUAUCUAGGGUAAUUCUGCUCCAGUGGCUGUUCCCCUUAUUACAGAAGCACUUAGUCUCAGGUUUGGGUUCAACCUUGGGUUUCUUCACUAGAGCAGCAGCUGAUUUGCCGUUUCAUGAAGUAUCCCUUCUUGCCCUUGCCCUUCUUGAAACUAGUGGUUUCACCAACCAUCAACAAUUGAUGCUCCUUCUUGAUUUCUACUUUGGCGGUGUCAAACAUCACGAAUACCUCAAGGAUCAUCAUAUCUAUCCCUGAUAUGUUAUAGUUCAUCAUGAAGCUCUAGCAGCUUGGUGGCAAUGACUUUGGAGAAACAUCACUAUCUCAUCUGGAAGAUCAACUCCCACUCGAUUCAAGUGAUUGUUGCACUCAGACAAUCUGAGCACAAGCUCAACGAUUGAGCUUUUCUCCCUUAGUUUGCAGGCUAAGAAAAUCGUCGGAGGUCUUAUACCUCUUGACGUGGGCACGAGCCUGAAAUCCCAAUUUCAGCCCUCAAAACAUCUCAUAUGUUCCGCGAUGUUUCGAAAACGUCUUUGGUGCCUCAACUCUAAACCGUUUAACUGAACUAUCACAUAGUUAUCAAAACAUGUAUGUCCGAUGUUCGAAACAUCCACAGACGACGCUUGGGGUUCAGCACAUUGAGCGGUGCAUUAAGGACAUAAGCUUUCUACUGUCCGCAUAAUCGCUACUGUCAACUUUCAACUAUAUUUUCUCUAGGAACAUAUCUAAACAGUGGAACUAAAGCGCGAGCUUACAACAUAAUUUGCAAAGAUCUUUUGACUAUGUUCAGGAUAAUUAAGUUCAUCUCAUGAAGUCCCACUCAGAUAGACAUCCCUCUAGUCAUCUAAGUGAUUACAUGAUCCGAGUCAACUAGGCCGUGUCCGAUCAUCAUGUGAGACGGACUAGUCAUCAUCGGUGAACAUCUUCAUGUUGAUCGUAUCCUCCAUACGACUCAUGCUCGACCUUUCUGUCUCUUGUGUUCCGAGGCCAUGUCUGUACAUGCUAGGCUCGUCAAGUUAACCUAAGUGUUUCUCGUGUGUAAAUCUGGCUUACACCCGUUGUAUGUGAACGUAAGAAUCUAUCACACCCGAUCAUCACGUGGUGCUUCGAAACGACGAACUUUCACAACGGUGCACAGUUAGGGGGAACACUUUCUUGAAAUUUUAUUGAGGGAUCAUCUUAUUUACUACCGUCGUUUUAAGCAAAUAAGAUGUAUAAACAUGAUAAACAUCACAUGCAAUCAAAAAGUGACAUGAUAUGGCCAAUAUCAUUUUGCUCCUUUUGAUCUCCAUCUUCGGGGCUCCAUGAUCAUCAUCGUCACCGGCAUGACACCAUGAUCUCCAUCAUCAUGAUCUCCAUCAUCAUGAUCUCCAUCAUCGUGUCUCCAUGAAGUUGUCUCACCAACUUAUUACUUCUACUACUAUGGCUACCGGUUAGCAAUAAAGUAAAGUAAUUACAUGGCGUUGUUCAAUGACACGCAGGUCAUACAAUAAAUUAAGACAACUCCUAUGGCUCCUGCCGGUUGUCAUACUCAUCGACAUGCAAGUCGUGAUUCCUAUUACAAGAACAUGAUCAAUCUCAUACAUCACAUAUCAUUCAUCACAUUCUUUUUGGCCAUAUCACAUCACAUAGCAUACCCUGCAAAAACAAGUUAGACGUCCUCUAAUUGUUGUUUGCAUGUUUUACGUGGCUGUUAUGGGUUUCUAGCAAGAACGUUUCUUACCUACACAAAAACCACAACGUGAUAUGUCAAUUGCUAUUUACCCUUCAUAAGGACCCUUUUCAUCGAAUCUGAUCCGACUAAAGUGGGAGAGACUGGCACCCGCUAGCCACCUUAUGCAACAAGUGCAUGUCAGUCGGUGGAACCUGUCUCACGUAAGUGUACGUGUAAGGUCGGUCUGGGCUGCUUCAUCCCACAAUACUGUUGAAACAAGAUUGGACUAGUAAUGGUAAGCAUAUUGAACAAAAUCAACACCCACAACUACUUUGUGUUCUACUCGUGCAAAGAAUCUACGCAAUAGACCUAGCUCAUGAUGCCACUGUUGGGGAACAUAGCAGAAAUUUAAAAUUUUCCUGCGAAUCACCAAGAUCUAUCUAUGGAGAAACCAGCAACGAGGGGAAGGAGAGUGCAUCUACAUACCCUUGUAGAUUGCUAAGCGGAAGCGUUCAAGAAAACGGGGUUGUAACGCCCCGGAUCCGAUGCGCCAGGUGUCCGCCAGUUAUUCGUCGUUGUUGCCAUGAUAUUUGCUUGCGUGUUGCAUUUUAUCAUGUCAUCAUGUGCAUUUCAUUUUGCAUACGUGUUCGUCUCAUGCAUCCGAGCCUUUUCCCCGUUGUCCAUUUUGCAAUCCGGCACUCCUAUGCCCUCCGGCGUUCCCUUUUCGUCUCUCGUUGUGAGCGGGUAUUAAACUUUCUCGGAAUGGCCCGAGGUUUGUCAAGUGGCCUUUGUAUAGCAUCAGUAGACCGCCUGUCAAGUUUUCUGCCAUUUGGAGGUCAUUUGGUACUCCAACGGUUAACCGCGUAGCCCGAAGCCUCUCUCUCUUUGCAGCCCAACACCCCUUUCAAAACUGGCCCAAAACCCAUCUAACUCCCCUCCAUGCUCUCGGUCGUUCGAUCACGAUCGUGCGGGCAAAAACCGCUCCUCAUUUGGACUCUCCUAGCUCCCUCUACCUAUAAAACUAGCCCCUCCCCCGAAAUUCGCGGAUGAAUCCCCCCGAAACCCUAAAAAAUCGUCCUCCGCCGCGCCGGACACGUCCGUGCCGCGCCGGACAUGUCUGCGCCGCCGCCCCGUCGAAUCGCAGUGCGCCNNNNNNNNNNNNNNNNNNNNNNNNNNNNNNNNNNNNNNNNNNNNNNNNNNNNNNNNNNNNNNNNNNNNNNNNNNNNNNNNNNNNNNNNNNNNNNNNNNNNNNNNNNNNNNNNNNNNNNNNNNNNNNNNNNNNNNNNNNNNNNNNNNNNNNNNNNNNNNNNNNNNNNNNNNNNNNNNNNNNNNNNNNNNNNNNNNNNNNNNNNNNNNNNNNNNNNNNNNNNNNNNNNNNNNNNNNNNNNNNNNNNNNNNNNNNNNNNNNNNNNNNNNNNNNNNNNNNNNNNNNNNNNNNNNNNNNNNNNNNNNNNNNNNNNNNNNNNNNNNNNNNNNNNNNNNNNNNNNNNNNNNNNNNNNNNNNNNNNNNNNNNNNNNNNNNNNNNNNNNNNNNNNNNNNNNNNNNNNNNNNNNNNNNNNNNNNNNNNNNNNNNNNNNNNNNNNNNNNNNNNNNNNNNNNNNNNNNNNNNNNNNNNNNNNNNNNNNNNNNNNNNNNNNNNNNNNNNNNNNNNNNNNNNNNNNNNNNNNNNNNNNNNNNNNNNNNNNNNNNNNNNNNNNNNNNNNNNNNNNNNNNNNNNNNNNNNNNNNNNNNNNNNNNNNNNNNNNNNNNNNNNNNNNNNNNNNNNNNNNNNNNNNNNNNNNNNNNNNNNNNNNNNNNNNNNNGGUCUCUCCUCCGACCUCGCCGGCCUUCGCGCCCGGGCCCCGCCGCCUCAGCCUCCCUCCGGCCGGAUCCGCCUCCUCCCGGCCUCCCCGACCUCUCCCGCAGCUCCGGCCACCUUCCCCUUCAACUCCGGCGAAGUUCCGGCGAGAUCCGCCGCCGCAUCAAAAACCGUGCAGAUCUGGAAGUUGCCCCGAAAUUCCACUAAGUCCCCAGUUUUUGUAAUUUUCAUGCCAUGUUUGACCUGUUGUAACUCUGCAUCCGUAGCUCCGUUUCGUGCGUGUAAUAUGUCAAAUUGUUCGUCUCAACACGUACAUCAUUUCAUUCCAUUGAAUCAUAUUCAUUUGAGGUCAUAUAGAUGCCCGAAUCAUCGUUAUAAGAGUGCUUCAUGAUGUUUUCUGCUGUCUGUUAUCAGAACGAGCUCUUUUGUCAUUUUUGCCAUGAUUGAUGUGUGCAUCCUAUGAGGUUGAUGUCUAUAUGUGUUUUGAACUAUGCUAUGUCUUCUUUACAGAGGUUCUUACCAUGUAUUUUUGUGAUCAAUGUGGUGACUAGCACAAGCAUGCAAACUAGGCAUCGUGAUGUUGCUGAUUUUAGUUCCUGUUCUGCUGUAAUUUUGAUGCCAUGUAAACUUGAUGCUACAGAGAGAUCCAUGCAUAUUUUGAGAUACUUCAGCAAGGGUGUUUUGAACAUGUGGUUAUUGUCUAUCCAUUCAUGCCCUUUGUUGCAAUUAUGGAGUAGUCUAGCAUGUCAUUUGAGUGCUCUACUUUUGCUUCAAAAUGUUUCCUGGCAGAUUGUUUACAUGUUAUACAAUUUGGCCAAGCUUGCUAUAGUUGAUCCUUGCAUGCUAUGGACUUGUUCUUGACUUGGUUUGUUUCACAAACAUGUCUUCUUGAUGAUGCUAUGCUUAUCUUGUCAUGCAAUGACUUGUGGUGAGUGUAUCGAGCUUGUUAAGUAGGGUUCAUGAUGUUGUUGUUUUGCUAGGCUGAAUCUGUUAUUUCGCGAUGCUAUAUAAACAUGUUGCUUCUAAUCAUUCUAUGCAUAAUAUGGAGAUGUUCUAUAAACAUGUUUUGAUCUACAUGUCAUCCUCUAUCCAUCCAAGCCCUUGGUUGCAUUUAUAGGUUGCUGUAGCUUGUUCAUAUCUUGCUCCAAAGUUGCUUCAUAAUGUUGCUGUCAGCCUGUUUACAUUAAGUUCACUUGUUCCCAUGUGUUUUGCUAGUGAUCCAUGCACCCUAUGACCUUGCUAUUGACAUGCUUAGCUUCACAAAUAUGCAUUCUUACUGUUGGGUGCCUUGCUAUGCCAUGUAAUGAUCUGUAGUGAGUUGCACAAGCUCAUCUACAUGCCUUCAUAAUUAUGUUUCUGCCAUGUUUGAAUCUGUAUAAUCACUUGCUAUGUUUACGUGGGUGCCAUCAUAUUUUCUGCUCCUUUUUGGCUUAUGGUCAGUAAGGGACUUUUGAUCUAUGCAUUUAGUAGAUUCAUGCCAUGCCUUUGUUUUCCAUUAUAAGUUCCUGUAACAUGUUGUUUGAUAGCUCUAAACAUUGCAUCGUGAUGUUAUUUUCUGCAAAGUCUGAAAUUGUUAUAACUUGCAAUCUUACCAUGUUUGUUUGAGCAUGUUCUAGUGAUUUCUGGAGAUAGCUCAGUGUUCAUGUUUUGUAAUGCUUUACCUGUACAUCAUGCCCAUGCCUUUUUUUCUUGUUGUGGUGCUGUAGCAUAUUGUUUUGAUGCUUGCAAUAUGCCUAGUCGCUGUUUUGGACAGCUUGUCCUUUAAACUUGUAUAGAGUGCAUGUGUUGAACCGUUGCUCCGUUUUGAGUGUGCUCUAUAUGAAACUUGCUUGAUUUUGCAUGUAGUUUCAUAUUAUCAUGUUGCAUCCUUGUUUUGAGAUGUUUUCUUGAUGUUUGGGUGCGUUUUGCAUCAAUGCCAUGUUUAACUUGGUUUGCUCAUAUCUUCUAGGCCGUAGCUCCGAACUAAAUGAACUUUAUAUGUAACUUGACUAGAAUCUCAUGUAGAUCAUCGUUGUGCAUUUUAACUUGAUGUUUAACUACUUGAACAUAAUGUUUAUUCAGAUCUGGACCAAUUUCGAAAUAUGCAUAUGAGGACUUACCGGAAUUGUUAUAUGUUGUCCCCGGCCUCAUUUAAACUUGCCUUGAUGUGUUGUUCUUGUUUGCAUCAUCUCUUGUUAUGAGUAGCCUUCAUGUAGCCUUGUCAUGCAUCAUGCUUGUCGAGCAUCAUGUCUUGUUCAUGUGUGGUGUGUUUACUAUGUUGUGUGCUUCUUCUUGUUAGUUCUUGUUUCAUUGCGAUCGUGAGGAUUCGUUCAUCUACGAUUGGUUCGGCUUCAUCCGUUCGUCUUCUUCAUGGACUCGUUCUUCUUCCUUGCGGGAUUUCAGGCAAGAUGACCGCUACCCUGGAUCUCAAUACUAUCAUUGCUAUGCUAGUUGCUUCGUUCUAUCGCUAUGUUGCGCUACCUAUCACCUGUUUAUCAAGCCAUCCCAUAUUGCCAUGAACCUCUAACCUUUGACACCUUUCCUAUGCAAACCAUUGUUUGGCUAUGUUACCGCUUUUGCUCAGCCCCUCUUAUAGCGUUGCUAGUUGCAGGUGAAGUUGAAGAUUGCUCCAUGGUGGACAGGAUUUUGGUUGGGAUAUCACAAUAUCUCUUAUAUUAUUAAUGCAUCUAUAUACUUGGUAAAGGGUGGAAGACUCGGCCUUUUGCCUGGUGUUUUGUUCCACUCUUGCCGCCCUAGUUUCCGUCAUACCGGUGUUAUGUUCCCGGAUUUUGCGUUCCUUACGCGGUCGGGUGAUUUAUGGGACCCCCUUGACAGUUCGCUUUGAAUAAAACUCCUCCAGCAAGGCCCAACCUUGGUUUUACCAUUUGCCUCACCACCACCUACCCCUUUCCCUUGGGUCGGCCAACCAGACGGUCAUCUUUAUUUUAGCCCCCCCGGGCCAGUGCUUUUCUAAGUGUUGGUCCGAACCAGAGCCACUUGCAGCGCCACCUCGGGGAAACUUGAGGGUUGGUUUUAGUUGUACGUAGUGUUCAUCCGGUGUUGCCCUAAGAACGAGAUAUGUGCAGCUCCUAUCGAGAUUGUCGGCGCAUCAGGCGGCUUUGCUAGUCUUGUUUUACCAUUGUUGAAAUGUCUUGUAAACCGGGAUUCCGAGUCUGAUCGGGUCUUCCUGGGAGAAGGUCUAUUCCUUCGUUGAUCGCGAGAGCUUGUCAUGGGCUAAGUUGGGACACCCCUGCAGGGUAUAAUCUUUUGAAAGCCGUGCCUGCGGUUAUAGGCAGAUGGGAAUUUGUUAAUGUCCGGUUGUAGACAACUUGACACCAGAUCCGAAUUAAAAUGCAUCAACCGCGUGUGUAGACGUGAUGGUCUCUUCUCGGCGGAAUCCGGGAAGUGAACACAGUUUCUGGGUUAUGUUUGACGUUAGUAGGAGUUCAGGAUCACUUCUUGAUCAUUGCUAGUUGACGACCGUUCCGCUUGCUCUCUUCUCGCUCUUAUUUGCGUAUGUUAGCCACCAUAUAUGCUUAGUCGCUGCUGCAGCCUCACCACUUUACCCCUUCCUUUCCCUUUAAGCUUUGCUAGUCUUGAUACCCAUGGUAAUGGGAUUGCUGAGUCCUCGUGGCUCACAGAUUACUACAACAACAGUUGCAGGUACAAGUUUUGCGAUGAUCAUGACGCGAGAGCGAUGCUUGCUUGUGUUGAGUUCUUCUUCUGCUUCUUCGAUCAGGGGAUAGGUUCCAGGUCGGCAGCCUGGGCUAGCAGGGUGGAUGUCGUUUGAGUUUCUGUUUGUGAUUCAUCCGUAGUCGGAUGAUGCUCUUAUGUUUUGUGAUGUUGUAUUCAUGUGGCAUUGUAUGCCUUAUGUAUGUAUCCCCAUCUAUUAUGUAAUGUUGAUGUAAUGAUAUCCACCUUGCAAAAGCGUUUCAAUAUGCGGGUCUAUCCUUGGUGGGACCUUCGAGUUCCUUUUGGAUAGGGUCGCAUAUUGGGCGGGACAGGGGUUGACGGAGUCGUACUCGUCGUGAUCCAAAUCACUGGAGAUCCUAGUGCCAAACGGACGGCACCUCCGCGUUCAACACACGUACAGCCCGGUGAUGUCUCCCAUGCCUUGAUCCAGCAAGGAGAGAGGGAGAGGUUGAGGAAGACUCCAUCCAAUAGCAGCACAACGGCGUGGUGGUGGUGGAGGAGCGUGGUGAUCCAGCAGGGCUUCGCCAAGCACCGCGAGAUAUGAGGAGAAAGAGAGGUAGGGUUGCGCCAACAUGAGAAGAACCUCGUGUCUUGGGCUGCCCCUUUGCCUCCACUAUAUAUAGGGGGAGAGGGGGGAUGUGCCCCCACCUAGGGUUCCACCCUAGGGGUGGCGGCUAGCCCAAGAUCCCAUCUGGGGGNNNNNNNNNNNNNNNNNNNNNNNNNNNNNNNNNNNNNNNNNNNNNNNNNNNNNNNNNNNNNNNNNNNNNNNNNNNNNNNNNNNNNNNNNNNNNNNNNNNNNNNNNNNNNNNNNNNNNNNNNNNNNNNNNNNNNNNNNNNNNNNNNNNNNNNNNNNNNNNNNNNNNNNNNNNNNNNNNNNNNNNNNNNNNNNNNNNNNNNNNNNNNNNNNNNNNNNNNNNNNNNNNNNNNNNNNNNNNNNNNNNNNNNNNNNNNNNNNNNNNNNNNNNNNNNNNNNNNNNNNNNNNNNNNNNNNNNNNNNNNNNNNNNNNNNNNNNNNNNGCCCCCUCCCACACUUGGCCCAUGCCGCCCUCCGGGGAUGGUGGCCCCACUUGGUGGACCCCCGGGACCCUCCCGGUGGUCCCUGUACGUUACCGAUAAAACCCGAAACUUUUCCGGUGACCAAAACAGGACUUCCCAUAUAUAAAUCUUUACCUCCGGACCAUUCCGGAACUCCUCGUGACGUCCAGGAUCUCAUCCGGGACUCCGAACAACAUUCGGUAACAACAUACAAACUUCCUUUAUAACCCUAGCGUCAUCGAACCUUAAGUGUGUAGACCCUACGGGUUCGGGAACCAUGCAGACAUGACCGAGACGUUCUCCGGUCAAUAACCAACAGCGGGAUCUGGAUACCCAUGUUGGCUCCCACAUGUUCCACGAUGAUCUCAUCGGAUGAACCACGAUGUCAAGGACUCAAUCGAUCCCGUAUACAAUUCCCUUUGUCUAGCGGUAUUUUACUUGCCCGAGAUUCGAUCAUCGGUAUCCUGAUACCUUGUUCAAUCUCGUUACAGGCAAGUCUCUUUACUCGUUCCGUAACACAUCAUCCCGUGAUCAACCCCUUGGUCACAUUGUGCACAUUAUGAUGAUGUCCUAUCGAGUGGGCCCAGAGAUACCUCUCCGCCACACGGAGUGACAAAUCCCAGUCUCGAUUCGUGCCAACCCAAUAGACACUUUCGGAGAUACCUGUAGUGCACCUUUAUAGCCACCCAGUUACGUUGUGACGUUUGGUACACCCAAAGCAUUCCUACGGUAUCCGGGAGUUGCACAAUCUCAUGGUCUAAGGAAAUGAUACUUGACAUUAGAAAAGCUUUAGCAUACGAACUACACGAUCUUUGUGCUAGGCUUAGAUUGGGUCUUGUCCAUCACAUCAUUCUCCUAAUCAUGUGAUCCUGUUAUCAAUGACAUCCAAUGUCCAUGGUCAGGAAACCGUAACCAUCUAUUGAUUAACGAGCUAGUCAACUAGAGGCUUACUAGGGACAUGGUGUUGUCUAUGUACCCACACAUGUAUCUGAGUUUCCUAUCAAUACAAUUAUAGCAUGGAUAAUAAACGAUUAUCAUGAACAAGGAAAUAUAAUAAUAAUAACUAAUUUAUUAUUGUCUCUAAGGCAUAUUUCCAAUAGCAUGCCUCCCUCACCACUCUGCGUCCGUGGAGGUACAUCAUACUGGUGCACCCACUGUCCGAAUGGGCCUCCCAUGCUCUUAUUGCCACUUUUUUGCUGUUAGUAUAACGCCAGUUAUCAAGUCAAGCAAUGCUACUGCUAAAGUGAUGCCACAUUUAACUAAUGUCGCUCUCAGUCUAAUGCCACCGAUAAAUUUAAGCAACACCAUUUAAUGUCACUGGAUUAUUUCGGGGUUAGCUGUUGAUUGUGGAUGUAUUAAAGAUUUUUCAGCUAAGGCAUUCUAAUGCUGUUGCACAACCAGUAUACCAACGAUGAAACUUGUUACUACCUUCAGAUUUUUGCACUGUUAAUGCUUAUAGAUUACAUACCUCACUUUCAUGAGAUAAGUUAAUAUUUUUGUACAGUGUCACCAAAAUGCCAAGGCGCUGAUGUCAUUUUAUUUUGGUUAAACUGCACAAAAAAUUAUGAAGACAAGAGGAAAGGUCAAGAGUGGGCACCUCCUCCUCCGGCUGUUCUCUUGAUUCGUUCGAUCAAGUUUUUAUGUUUGAUCGAUUAUCAAGAUUGGGAUAGCAUUUUUAAGGCCCCCCCCCCCGAGUUCGAAAUGAUAUUUACCUUGGAGGUACAUGGUUUGCAAUUUUUUUAUACUGUGAUUAGUUAAUAAUGCUAGUUACCUUCAGACUUUUGUAUUUGGUUUAAUGCUCAUGCACAUCUAGUAUACCAAUGCUGAAACUUGUUAGCUUUACAUUUUGUAUUGUUAAUUCUUAUAGAAAUCUUCCAGUGAAGAGUUUAUUGAAAUCUAUAUAGGAAAACCAUUGUACUGUACCCUGUAAUAAACUAACUACUCUACUGUUGCACUAGCCACUGGAUUAGUGUAUAUUUGUAGUAUUCGAAUGGUGUUGCAUUAGCAUAUGGACAUAAAUAAAGUGUGGCAAGAUUUCCCAGAUAUGUGCUCAAGAAAACUACUACCUGUUUUUCUAAAUACUAGACAUUUGGGUAAUUUAAAUUGAACCGCGAAAACGUCUUAUAUUAAGGAACAAAGGGUGUAGAGUUCACUCAAAUUAUCCCGGUAAAGCUAGUCACACCUUUGUUAAAAUUAAUGUUCAUUAUGUUAUUGGAGGAGGUCUGUAUGUUUGUCUCUAAUGCCUGUCGACUACAUACCUGACAUCAUGUUGUAAUGUUAAGUCAUUUCCUUUUGUACAGUGUCACUGAAUUGUCAAGGCGGUGAUGACAUUUUAUUUUAGUUGAACUGCACAAAAUAUGCUUAGAAGAAGAGGAAAGGUCAGGAAUGGCUCAAUUUUUCAGAAAAAACUAUGUAUGCCUUCCUAACAUCAGUCGUUGUUGCUUUAUUUAUUCCUUCAAACAGGUGGUUAGAAACAGUCUUGCUACCUUUUCCCAUUAAGAAAUUGGAAUGCUUAUAUUUGUGAGUCUAUGCUUCAACUAGUGCCACUUUUAUAGUAAUCACACUUUCAAUAUCUAUGCAAACAGGAAUGCUCGAUUUUAGUGGAACUGCACAAAAAGUCCAACUGGUUCAACAUUAGGAGCAUGUUUUUUUCCAAACCUUUAUAUCCAAUUGGUGGCACUAUGAGCUGUUCAUUACGAAGGUACAUGGUUUGCUACUAUCUUGCUACUCUUUUUGUACUGUCAUUAGAUAGUAAUACUAGUGGUUUGCAUGUGAAUUUAUUGGCAGGGUGGACCUACAUUGGAGGUGCAGGACAAGAUUCAAUGAUUGGAUGCUCAAUUUCGGUUGUAUCAAUUUCACCUAUUCCAUCACUACGAACAUGGAUAUCCUUGGUCUGAUGAAGAAUAGGCGCUAUAUUUCUGCUCUGACCAGCAAAUCAAUUCAGUAUGAAAUUGUCCAGGGCAAAACAUAACUAUAUCAGAUUGUCCAGUGCAGAACAUGAUAGAUGCUAAGCGGAAGAGACAUGUUUAAACCGAAAAUACAUGGUGUGGUAUAUGUUUACUAGCUGCGUGAUAUUUGUGCAGACAGAGAUGUCUGCUCGUUGCUAUUUGGCAAACAAACAAAGUGUCCGCAAUUUUGGUUGAACUGCACAAGAGAAUAGUAUAGUCACUGCAUGCAGUGUCAUUUGAACACAGAAAGAUUGGAUAGUCACUUCAUGGACUGCAGAAAAGUAGUAUUGUACUAUUUAUUGGCCAACACUAGGUGCUUCAUUGCUUUGGUCUAAUUAUACAAUGGGCAUCAUUUUGCCUAAGUUAAAGUUUGUAUUCCGAAAAUAGUCUCGCGGUGUGAUCGAGAGAAGACCAAAUCAUAUUGCAGUGGAUGUUCCUCCAUCAUGUGUGGUUCAUUCUCAUGGUUCCAGAUAUUGGUGAAACCACUUACGUUUGCAAGAGGAAUUGUAGACUUCACAAACAAAUUUGUCUUUUAGUCUGUACUGAAUGUUGGCCAAGAGAAGCAUCCAUGUUAGUAGGAAGAACAUAUGUUUUUUCUAGAUCUUUGCUUUUGGAGCUACAUAUUUGUAUAUGAUCUGUGAAUCAUUGAGAUGCAUUAACAUGCUGAUCUUAUGUAUGGGAAUCGUACUAGUUAGUUUUAGUUGCGACGCAAGAUCCGAAGUGGCUGGUCUUUGCUUUUGGAGCUACAUAUUUGUAUAUGAUUUGUGAAUCAUUGAGAUGCAUUAACAAUUACUUAUUUCUGUGUGCUCUGUGUUUACAAGUUACUGAUCGGUCACUAGCUAGCCUACUAAUGUGCUCCUGGCAGUUUUAUUUGUGACGCAAGAUCCAAAGUGGCGGUUUUUUGAAUAAAAAUGCCUACCUCUGAAGAAACUGACAAGCUACACUAUCCUACCUACUCGAUCCUACACGGAUAAAUAGCGGAUCAUGCACGUACUACCAUGCUUCAUGCUAGUGCGACUUCUUCAUGUCAGGAUGAUGCAGAGCAUCCUUCGGUCAUCCCCAUGGACCUUCCAUCGUCUCACCAGGCACCAAGAGGACCCAUGGCUAGAGCACGAGCCAGAGCUCUCGAGACCGAGGUGACUUCUCUCCUUUGUGAUAUCUCCUUUCCGGUUUGCAGGGCUCAAUUCAAGAAACGACCUACUCGAUCCUACACGAAUAAAUAGCGGAUCACGCACGUACUAGUACCUCCUUUCCGGUUUGCAGGGCUUAAUUAAAACCUCUCACCAACCAAGGUACUCCCUCCGUCCGGGUUUAUUAGUCCUGUGAGCAAAGCAACAAGACCAAGGCAUGGCAAUAAUUAAGGGCAUGCAGACGUUUAAGCCUAAUUAAUUCCAGCGAUUUAAGUGGCUGCAUGCGUGCCCUCGACUGUGACUCGUUGCAUGCUGCUCCGCGUACUGGCUGCGAGCGAUUCUGAGUGCCUACAUGCAGCCGGCCGUAAUUAAGGCAGCUAACUGAUGCGAAAAAAGAUGCGCUUUAAUUGUUGCGGGCUUUUUAAAUCCGUGGAAUCCUUAUUGACAAGGAGGGAGAUGAUUCGAGUGCACUCGUUUGACCGCCAUGCCGGUGUGCGACCCAGACGGGACGGGAUGGCACAGUCAUAAUUUCAGUUUCUCUAGUUUUCCAUGGCAAGUUGGCGCGCUAAGCCAUUAUGCAUUGAAUUCCAAUGACCGUCGCGCUACCUUCCGCCUAUAAGUACUGUUUCUCGGCCUUCUCCGGUGGCACCGAGACCCAACUCGCCAUAUCCUCAUAAGCCCCCACCGGCCCAACGUUGCUCGCCACAUCCACCAUGCACCCGCCCGUCCAUGGUAGGCGACGCCGGAGGCGGUCACCACCGGAACUAGUGUUCGGUUUUUCACCGGAAGGCAGAUGGAGGGAGGAGGCAUUCUAUCUGUCUUUAGAUGGCAAUGUGGAGAUCGAGGAGUUGUUGGAGCGCGACCGCCUGGCGGAGGAGAAGGAGUUGUUGGAGCGCAACCGCCUGGUGGAGGAGCAACGUAUCGCUGAUUUGCGCCGCCAUCGGGACAUGGAGAAGCAGCGCACCGACGCUCUGAGUUGCGAGCAGAGCGCCCGCAACUGGGCCGACUACGUAGGCCAGCGCCCGGCAAAUAGCACUGGAGGCUGUCGGGCACGCACGCGUUCACGACGCCGAUUUUUACUACCAGCUCAUCAAGUGGGUUUCCCGCUUGGAAGCCGAAGCUUCGGUGGACCACGCCGGCAUGGAAAGGGCCAACUCGCGCAAGAAACGCGCCCUAUCGCACCUCUUGCAAGUCCGAUGCGAGGCGCAGGACGCCGGUGCCGGCAUUUAGCGUGUACCACAGAUGGCGGCCGUCAUCGUCUAGUUAGCUAAGAUUAAGUUAGUACUUGUACGCUACUAGAGCAUUAGUGGGAGUAGAUAGUUAACUUGGCUAUGAUGGUGGUCAACGUGGAAGUUCAGUACUCUAUAUGUGGAUCAGACCUGUUACUUUGCUCUGAAUGUUGAACUUUCUGUUUGAACAUAUGGAAUGGGCUGUUAUUUUUUAAAUGGGUUGUAUUUGUCCUCCACGGGUUUAGAGGCUGACUUGUGGGCCUAUCAAGUUGAUGCGUACACAAUCAGGAGAUGAUUUUACAUGGAGAGGAUGACAACAGGGAUCCGCCAAGGUCAUGGCAGUACGCAAGAAAGUGCCUCCUUAUUUCAAGCCAAUAAAAAAUGGCUCCUCCUAGUGGAUUUAUGACAUCUGGGUCCCAUGCCAUUGUCAACAUAGUCAAUAAACGAGAGAAUUGCACAAUGAGCGGCUGACACCAGGGACCCAGCAGCUCGCCCAGUUAUUUUUGUUUUGGGUUAAUUUGAUAAAUGCCACUCCAAAUCUGGUGUUUCCGAGAAAUGCCACUGCAAUUUCCAAACUUUGAAAAAUGCCAUUUCAUGCCAUUUCUAGUGGCAUUUUUCGAAGUCUAGAGUGGCAUUUUUCAAAGUUUGCAAACUGUAGUGGCAUUUUUCAAAGUUUGCAAAAAUUGAAGUGGCAUUUUUCAAAGUUUGGAAAUUGCACUGGCAUUUUUAUGAAUCGCCAUAAUUGGAGUGGCAUUUAUAUAAUUUGUUUUUGAGACGGAAGCAGGGUGUCAACUGGGCUGUGCGGGACACUCUGGCCUGUCUAGACAGCCUUUUCUUUUUAUGUUUACCCCAGGCCAGCCCAGUAGUUUUUUUUCUUUCUAAAAAUGGCUAACCCAGUUUUUUUUGAUUUGUCAAGUAAGUCGCUUUAUCUGGCCUUUUGGGCUGUAAAUCUUUCAAGACGAGGAGAGCUUCAUUCGGCUGGCCGAGAAAAUGGCCUAUCAGUAGUGAGAAAUGGGUUGUACAUUUUUAAAACACAUCAAUCGGCAAUUAGUUUCAAAUAUCUUUUUUUCAUUUUGAGAUUUUAAAUUGCAUUGAUUUUUAUGCGUGCACAAUUUAUUGGAUUUUAUAGUGAUAUACAUUUAUUUUUAAAAGCAGCCUGAAUGUGACUCGAAAUUUUGGGAUUAAAAACAGUUCAGACCGCGCCGACAUAUGCAAAAUUUCAUAUAAUUGUUUAACCGUGGCCACAAUAUGGGCUGUAAUGCUAACAAAAAGAAUAUGGGCUCAAAAAAACCCGUAAGAAUUAGCAAAUGGGCUGUAAAUUAUUUGAAAUAAUGGCACAUGGCCUGUAUGCUGUUUUCCACAAAUUUGAGGCUUUCCUAAAAAAGGUUGACGCACAAGCAGUGACUGUUGGAUGUCCAUCCAACGGCCGUCGUGCCUCUUCAAUCUCUACUCUUCCUGCUCCAGUCGCUCAAACAAGCGCCGGCGGGACUGCCUGCUCCCUCCUCCCCGCGGCCGGCUGUGCUGCCGCGCAGGCCUCAUCGCCCCACCGUACUCCCAUCGCUGGCCUAGCCAUCCCUCUACUCACCCACACCUGUUGUUAUUCUCUGGCGAUGGCAGACGAAUCAGUAAACCCUCGUACAGUCGUACUCCCCUCCGUGUGGAAAACAACUGCCGAGUCUUCCCUGGCUCCAUGUCGUUCCCAUCCUAGGCCUCGCCGUUGUCCACCGCCCUGGUGCUCUAGGCGUGGCGUGGUCAACAUGCUCAACGACCGAUAUGCAUCUGAAGUGGACUGUACGUGGAGAGGCUGACAUCUGGGUCCACGGCCGCAUGCAAGGAAAUGCCUCCUUUUUACGCGUAAAAUAAUGAUUCCUCCACCUGACAUCUGGGAACCACCGAAAGGGCCUCUAUAUUUCGCGAAAAAACAUUACCGCCGCUCAUAGCUUGGACCUACCAGCUAUAUCUUCGCACGCAAGGAAGUGCCUCCUUAUUACGCACAAAAAAAAUGAAUACUCCCCCUGCUAGCUGGGACCCAGUAUAGUGGGCCUACUAAGUUGACGGGGACGGAGGGCUUUGUCAACUUAGUCAAUAUGCACGAUUCUAGCUCGACUGGCCGUACGAUGUCCAUCCAACGAUGGUAGUGCUUCUUCAACCACUGGUCUUCUUGCUCCAGCCGCCCAAAGCAGCACCGGUCGUGCCGCCUGCUCCUGCCUCCCGUGGCCGGCUGUGCUGCCACGGAGGCCUCAUCACCCCCAUACUACUCCCACCGCUGGCCAGGCCAUCCCUCCACUCCACUCACCCACACCCCCUGUUAUUCUGCAGCGACGACAGUGCAGCCGAACCAGUGAACCCUCGUACUCCUCUCCGCAUGGGCAUCCACUGUCGCGUCUUCCCCGGCUCCGCGUCGUCCCCUUCCUAGGCCUCGCCGUCAUCUACCGCCUUGGUGCUCUUGGCGCGGCGUGGUCAAUGUGGUUAACGACCGAAUUCCAUCGGAAGAGUAUUGUACAUGGAGAGGCUGACAACUGGGUCCACGGCAGCCGCAAGGAAUUGCCUCCUUAUUACGCAGAAAAUAAUUAUUCCUCCACCUGACAGCAGGGACCCACUGGACGGGCCACCGGUAUUUCGCGAAAAAAAUGUUUCCCCCCUGAUUGCUAGGACCCACCGGACGGGCCACCGUAUUUAGCGAAAAAAAUGUUUCCCCCUGACUGCUGGGACCCACCGGACGGACCACCGUAUUUCACGAAAAAAACGUUCCCCCCGCUGUCAGCUCGGACCCACUGGAAGUGCCUCCUUAUUAUGCACAAAAAAUGAAUACUCCCCCUGCUAGCUGGGACCCACCAUGGUGGGAGGCUGACUUGUGGGCCUACUAAGUUGACUGGGACAAGGGCCUUUGUCAACUUUAGUCAAUAUGAAUGAUUCUAGCUCCAGUGACCGUAUGAUGUCCAUCCAACGGCCGUAGUGCUUCUUCAACCUCUAGCCUUCUUGCUCCAGCCGCCCAAAGCAGCGCCGGUCGUGCCGCAUGCUCCUACCUCCCAUGGCCGGCUGUGAUGCCGCGGAGGCCUCACCGCCUCCUACUACUCCCACAGCUGGCCAGGCCAUCCCUCUACUCAACCACACCCCUGUUAUUCUAUGGCGACGACAGCCUCACACUGCAGCCGGACCAGUGGACCCUCGUACUCCUCUCCACGUGGGCAUCCACUGCCGCGUCUUCCCCGGCUCCAUGUCGUCCCCUUCCUAGGCCUUGCCGUCGUCCACCGCCCUGGUGCUCUCGGCGCAGCAUGGUCAACAUGGUCAAGGAACGACUUCCAUCGGACGUGGACUGUACGUGGAGAGGCUGACAGCUGGGUCCACGGCCACAGCAAGGAAGUGCCUCCUUAUUACGCGGAAAAUAAUGAUACCUCCACCUGAUAGCAGGGACCCACCAGACGGGACACUGUAUUUCGCGAAAAAAUGUUUCCCCCUUGACUGCUGGGACCAACCAGCUACAUCUUCGCAUGAAAGGAAGUGCGUCCGAAAAAAACGAUUCGCCCCCCUGACUGUUGGGACCCACCAGCUACAUCUUCACAUGCUAGGAAGUGCCUGACAGUCGGGACCCACCUGGUCGAAGCGUACGUAGCAUUGUCAUUCUGGUCGCGAACGUGUAUGUAAAUACUGGUGUAUGUAGAGGCACGCACGUGACGUAGUAGAGGCGCGCACGUGUCAUACUAGAGGCGCGUACGUGUCGUAGUAGAGGCGCGCACGUAGCAUGUACACGUGUGUACAACGACCAGUGUGCAAGAAAGAAAAUACAGCCAUGUAUGUGUACAUAUGGGCGGGGUCUCAAACGCCUGCUCGCGCAUACGUAUGGCCAGGGCUCAUGUACAUGGCUGGGUCGGAACGGAGAAACAACGUCGUCGUCGUGUUCAUGGGGAGACAACUGGCUGGGUCGGAAUGGAAUGCGUCGUCGUGUUCAUCGGGAGGGCUUGGACGGAAUAGGCGAUGGAAACGAGGCCUGGCAUACCGCAGAACGGAGGAAACGUCCUUGUGUUCGACUAGCCAUGUUCGAAACGGGAUCCUGUUCAUUGGGAGGGGUCUGGCGUACCACAAAAUGGAGGAAACGGACCUCCUAUGGUCGAAAUGGGGGUCCUGUUGAUCGGGAGGGGCGUGGCGUACCGCAAAACGGACGAAACGGACUUGUGUUGGAGCGCUACAGUCGAAACGGGCAUCCUGUUCAUCGGGAGGGGUGUGGCGUACCGCAAAACGGGACUCCACGGGAUACUGUUCAUCUCCACCAUCGACCUCCUCCAGCCUCCACGGGCUACCGUCGACCUCCUCCAGCCUCCACGGGCUCCUGUUCAUCCAGCCUCCACCGCGCGCUACUCCACCGGCUACUGUUCAACCACCCCACCACAGGCACCCCUCCAUCGUCUACUGUUCAUCCAGCCCUCCACGGGGUCAUCCUGUUCAUCCAGCCCUCCACGGGGUCCUGUUCAUCCAGCCCCAACCGGCUCGAUCGAUCGGGGUCCUGUUCAUUGAUACGUCUCCAACGUAUCUAUAAUUUUUUAUUGUUCCAUGCUAUUAUAUUACCCCUUUUGGAUGUUUAUGGGCUUUAUUUUACACAUUUAUAUCAUUUUUGGGACUAACCUACUAACCGGAGGCCCAGCCCAUAUUGUUGUUUUUUUUGCCUAUUUCAGUAUUUCGAAGAAAAGGAAUAUCAAACGGAGUCCAAACGGAAUAAAACCUUCGAGAGCGUGAUUUUUGGAGCGAACGUGAUCCGGAGAGCUUGGAGUGCAAGUCAAGAAGCUGUCGAGGAAGCCACGAGAUAGGAGGCCGCCCCCCUGUAGGGCAUGCCCCCUGUCUCAUGGGCCCCUCGGGCGUCCACCAACGUACUUCUUCCUCCUAUAUAUACCUACAUACCUCAAAAACAUCCAGGAGCACCACGAAACACAAUUUCCACCGCCGCAACCUUCUGUAUCUACGAGAUCUCAUCUUGGAGCCUUCGCUGGCACUCUGCCGGAGGGGGAAUCGACAAUGGAGGGCUUCUACAUCAACAUCCUUGCCCCUCUGAUGAGUUGUGAGUAGUUUACCACAGACCUACGGGUCCAUAGUUAUUAGCUAGAUGGCUUAUUCUCUCUUUUUGGAUCUCAAUACAAUGUUCUCCCCCUCUCUUGUGGAUAUCUAUUCGAUGUAAACUCUUUUUGCGGUGUGUUUGUCGAGAUCCGAUGAAUUGUGGGUUUAUGAUCAAGUUUAUCUAUGAAUAAUAUUUGAAUCUUCUCUGAAUUCUUUUAUGUAUGAUUGAGUUAUCUUUGCAAGUCUCUUCGAAUUAUCGGUUUGCUUUGGCCUACUAGAUUGAUCUUUCUUGCCAUGGGAGAAGUGCUUAGCUUUGGGUUCAAUCUUGCGGUGUUCUUACCUAGUGACAGAAAGGGUUGCAGGACACGUAUUGAAUUGUUGCCAUCGAGGAUAACAAGAUGGGGUUUAUAUCAUAUUGCAUGAGUUUAUCCCUCUACAUCAUGUCAUCUUGCUUAAUGUGUUACUCUGUUCUUAUGAACUUAAUACUCUAGAUGCAGGCAGGAGUCGGUCGAUGUGUGGAGUAAUAGUAGUAGAUGCAGGCAGGAGUCGGUCUACUUGUUAUGGACGUGAUGCCUAUAUACAUGAUCAUGCCUAGAUAAUCUCAUAACUAUGCGCUUUUCUAUCAAUUGCUCGACAGUAAUUUGUUCACCCACCAUAAUACUUAUGCUAUCUUGAGAGAAGCCUCUAGUGAAACCUAUGGCCCCCGGGUCUAUCUCUUAUCAUAUUUGCUUUCAAUCUACUUUUAUUUGCAUCUUUACUUUUUGCAUCUAUAUUAUAAAAUACCAACAAUAUAUUUAUCUUAUCAUACUAUCUCUAUCAGAUCUCACUUUCGCAAGUGGCCAUGAAGGGAUUGACAACCCCUUUAUUGCGUUGGUUGCGAGUUCUCAGUUUGUUUGUGUAGGUGUGUGGGACUUUUGAGGAGCCUCCUACUGGAUUGAUACCUUGGUUCUCAAAACUGAGGGAAAUACUUACGCUACACUUGCUGCAUCACCCUCUCCUCUUCGAGGAAAACCAACGCAAGCUCAAGACGUAGCAAGAAGGAUUUCUGGCGCCGUUGCCGGGGAGGUCUUCGCUCAAGUCAAGACAUACCAAGUACCCAUCACAAACCCAUCUCCCUCGCAUUUACAUUAUUUGCCAUUUGCCUCUCGUUUUCCUCUCCCCCACUUCACCCUUGCCGUUUUAUUCUCCCUCUCUUUCCCAAUCUCCUCCUCUCUUUUUCGCUCGCUUUCUUCCGCCUUGCUUUCGUUUGCCGCUAUGUCUGAAAUUGGGGAGAUUAUCAUCGAUAUGGACAAUAAUGAUAACAUAGAAAAUCCCGAGGCUCCGGCCGAUGAACCCCCUAUUUUGCAUACUAAAAAGUUUCGAAUCGGUAGUGGUAACAUCAUUGGCAAAGGUGUUAUUCAAGAUUUCUUUACUUGUGCCGGUGCUUUACCUUCCAUGGGUUGUUCUAUUCUUCAUAGAACUAGUAGUCUUGCGGAUGCUAUCGCUAUGCUUGUAGUUGAACUUGAAAGACAAUUUAUGCAUAUGCAUCCUUGCAUACAAAGAAUUUUGCUAGAAUUCUCUAAUAUUGAGCAUUCUUCUGUUAAGCGCGCUGUUACUAUCUUUUUGGCUCAUGAGUUUAGAUUUAUCAUAAGAGAGGCCAAAGAAAUCUUUGCGCACUAUAGGGUGGACGCCGGUCGUCCUCCCAUAGAGGCGAUCCUAUAUGAUCAAGAGGAAUUUAGACGUUUUCAAUCUCCUGACUAUGUCGCUUUUAAUGAAAACCUUAGAAAAAAGGUUCCAACCAAUGUCUUGAUUGAUUGCAUUAACGAACUUAAUAAUGUUUUUGCUCUUCGAAACAAUGAGCUAGGAAACUAUCUUGAGUAUAGGCUCACAAGAUUUUGCCAAAAGAAUGCUUUGAGUGAUGAAAUAGUUGUGCACUAUGAAGGGCCGAAGGAGGAACCCGUUCCUCCAUUGAUUGAUCUUGGGGACCUUUUGUUGGAAAUAUGCCCUAGAGGCAAUAAUAAAAGUGUUAUUAUUAUAUUUCUUUGUUCAUGAUAAUAGUCUUUUAUUCAUGCUAUAACUGUAUUAUCCGAAAAUCGUAAUACACGUGUGAAUACAUAGACCACAAUAUGUCCCUAGUGAGCCUCUAGUUGACUAGCUCGUUGUGAUCAAUAGAUAGUCAUGGUUUCCUGGCUAUGGACAUUGGAUGUCGUUGAUAACGGGAUCACAUCAUUAGGAGAAUGAUGUGAUGGACAAGACCCAAUCCUAAGACUAGCACAAAAGAUCGUGUAGUUCAUUUGCUAGAGCUUUGCCAAUGUCAAGUAUCUCCUCCUUUGACCAUGAGAUCGUGUAACUCCUGGAUACCGUAGGAGUGCUUUGGGUGUAUCAAACGUCACAACGUAACUGGGUGACUAUAAAGGUGCACUACAGGUAUCUCCGAAAGUAUCUAUUGUUUUAUGCGGAUCGAGACUGGGAUUUGUCACUCCGUGUAAACGGAGAGGUAUCUCUGGGCCCACUCGGUAGGACAUCAUCAUAUGCGCAAUGUGACCAAGGAGUUGAUCACGGGAUGAUGUGUUACGGAACGAGUAAAGUGACUUGCCGGUAACGAGAUUGAACAAGGUAUUGGAUACCGACGAUCGAAUCUCGGGCAAGUAAAAUACCGCUAGACAAAGGGAAUUGUAUACGGGAUCGAUUGAGUCCUUGACAUCAUGGUUCAUCCGAUGAGAUCAUCGUGGAACAUGUGGGAGCCAACAUGGGUAUCCAGAUCCCGCUGUUGGUUAUUGACCGGAGAACGUCUCGGUCAUGUCUGCAUGUCUCCCGAACCCGUAGGGUCUACACACUUAAGGUUCGAUGACGCUAGGGUUAUAAAGGAAGCUUGUAUGUGGUUACCGAAUGUUGUUCGGAGUCCCGGAUGAGAUCCCGGACGUCACGAGGAGUUCCGGAAUGGUCCGGAGGUAAAGAUUUAUAUAUGGGAAGUCCUGUUUUGGUCACCGGAAAAGUUUUGGGCGAUAUCGGUAUUGUACCGGGACCACCGGGAGGGUCCCGGGGUCCACCAAGUGGGGCCACCUGCCCCAGAAGGCUGCGUGGGCCAAGUGUGGGAGGGGACCAGCCCCUAGGAGGGCUGGUGCGCCCCCCACAAGGAGUCCAAGGCGCAAGAGAGAGUGGGAGGGGGCAAACCCUAGUCCAGAUGGGCCUUAAGGCCCAUAUUGGUGCGCCUCCCUCUCCUCUCCCCCCUUGGCCGCCUCCCCUUUGCCAUCUAGGGCUGGCCGCACCCCUUGGGGGUGGGAAACCCUAAAGGGGGCGCAUCCCCCCCUUCCCCCUAUAUAUAGUUGAGGUUUGGGGCUGCCAUACACAUGAGUUCUCUCCCUCUUGGUGCAGCCCUGCCUCUCUUCCUCCUCUUCUCCUGUGGUGCUUGGUGAAGCCCUGCAGGAUAGCCACGCCCUCCACCACCACCACGCCGUUGUGCUGCUGCUGGAUGGAGUCUUCCUCAACCUCUCCCUCUCUCCUUGCUGGAUCAAGGCGUGGGAGACGUCACCGGGCUGUACGUGUGUUGAACGCGGAGGUGCCGUCCGUUCGGCACUUGAUCAUCGGUGAUCUGAAUCACGACGAGUACGACUCCAUCAACCCCAUUCACUUGAACGCUUCCGCUUAGCGAUCUACAAGGGUAUGUAGAUGCACUCUCCUUCUACUCGUAGCUGGUUUCUCCAUAGAUAGAUCUUGGUGACGCGUAGGAAAAUUUUGAAUUUCUGCUACGUUCCCCAACAGUGGCAUCAUGAGCUAGGUCUAUUGCGUAGAUUCUUUGCACGAGUAGAACACAAAGUAGUUGUGGGCGUUGAUGUUGUUCAAUAUGCUUACCGUUACUAGUCCAAUCUUGUUUCGAUGGUAUUGUGGGAUGAAGCGGCCCGGACCGACCUUACACGUACUCUUACGUGAGACAGGUUCCACCGAUUGACAUGCACUUGGUGCAUAAGGUGGCUAGCGGGUGCCGGUCUCUCCCACUUUAGUCGGAACAGAUUCGAUGAAAAGGGUCCUUAUGAAGGGUAAAUAGCAAUUGGCAUAUCACGUUGUGGUCUUGCGUAGGUAAGAAAUGUUCUUGCUAGAAACCCAUAGCAGCCACGUAAAACAUGCAAACAACAAUUAGAGGACGUCUAACUUGUUUUUGCAGGGUAUGCUAUGUGAUGUGAUAUGGCCAAAAGGAUGUGAUGAAUGAUAUAUGUGAUGUAUGAGAUUGAUCAUGUUCUUGUAAUAGGAUUCACGACUUGCAUGUCGAUGAGUAUGACAACCGGUAGGAGCCAUAGGAGUUGUCUUUAUUUAUUGUAUGACCUGCGUGUCAUUGAAGAACGCCAUGUAAACUACUUUACUUUAUUGCUAAACGCGUUAGUCAUAGAAGUAGAAGUAGUCGUUGGCGUGACAACUUCAUGAAGACAUGAUGAUGGAGAUCAUGAUGAUGGAGAUCAUGGUGUCAAGCCGGUGACAAGAUGAUCAUGGAGCCCCGAAGAUGGAGAUCAAUGGAGCUAUAUGAUAUUGGCCAUAUCAUGUCACAACUAUAUAAUUGCAUGUGAUGUUUAUUAUGUUUAUGCAUCUUGUUUACUUAGGACGACGGUAGUAAAUAAGAUGAUCCCUUACAAAAUUUCAAGAAGUCUUCUCCCCUAACUGUGCACCGUUGCUACAGUUCGUCGCUUCUAAGCACCACGUGAUGAUCGGGUGUGAUGGAUUCUUACGUUCACAUACAACGGGUGUAAGACAGUUUUACACAGCGAAAACACUUAGGGUUAACUUGACGAGCCUAGCAUGUGCAGACAUGGCCUCGGAACACGGAGACCGAAAGGUCGAGCAUGAGUCGUAUAGUAGAUACGAUCAACAUGAAGAUGUUCACCGAUGAUGACUAGUCCGUCUCACGUGAUGAUCGGACACGGCCUAGUUGACUUGGAUCAUGUAAUCACUUAGAUGACCAGAGGGAUGUCUAUCUGAGUGGGAGUUCAUAAGAUGAACUUAAUUAUCCUGAACAUAGUCAAAAGACCUUUUGCAAAUUAUGUCGCAGCUCGCGCUAUAGUUCUACAGUUUAGAUAUGUUCCUAGAGAAAAUUAUAGUUGAAAGUUGAUAAUAGCGAUUAUGCGAUCAGUAGAAAGCUUAUGUCCUCAAUGCACCGCUCAGUGUGCUGAACCCCAAUCGUCGUCUGUGGAUGUUGCGAACAUCGGACAUACAUGUCUUGAUAACUACGUGAUAGUUCAGUUAAACGGUUUAGAGUUGAGGCACGAAAGACGUUUUCGAAACAUCGCGAAACAUAUGAGAUGCUUCGAGGGCUGAAAUUGGGAUUUCAGGCUCGUGCCCAUGUCAAGAGGUAUGAGACCUCCGACGAUUUUCUUAGCCUGCAAAGUAAGGGAGAAAAGCUCAAUCGUUGAGCUUGUGCUCAAAUUGUCUGAGUGCAACAAUCACUUGAAUCGAGUGGGAGUUGAUCUUCCAGAUGAGAUAGUGACGUUUCCCCAAAAGUCAUUGCCACCAAGCUGCUAGAGCUUCGUGAUGAACUAUAACAUAUCAAGGAUAGAGAUGAUGAUCCUUGAGGUAUUCACGUUGUUUGACAUCGCGAAAGUAGAAAUCAAGAAGGAGCAUCAAUUGUUGAUGGUUGAUGAAACCACUAGUUUCAAGAAGGGCAAGGGAACGAAGGGAUACUUCAUGAAACGGCAAAUCAGCUGCUGCUCUAGUGAAGAAACCCAAGGUUGAACCCAAACCCGAGACUAAGUGCUUCUGUAAUAAGGGGAACAGUCACUAGAGCGGAAUUACCCUAGAUACUUGGUAGAUGAGAAGGCUGGCAAGGUCGAUAGAAGUAUAUUGGAUAUACAUUAUGUUAAUGUGUACUUUACUAGUACUCCUAGUAGCACCAGGGUAUUAGAUACCGGUUCGGUUGCUAAGUGUUAGUAACUCGAAAUAAAAGCUACGGAAUAAAACGGAGACUGGCUAAAGGUGAGCUGACGAUAUGUGUUGGAAGUGUUUCCAAGUUUGAUGUGAUCUAACAUCGCACGCUCCCUCUACCAUCAAGAUUAGUAUUAAACCUGAAUAAGUGCUCUUGCACCUAAAGGAAUGGUUUAUUGAAUCUUGGUCGUAGUGAUACACAUUUUCAUGCCAAAAGAUAUAAGAUAGUAAUGAUAGUACCACUUGUGGCACUGCCAUAUAAGUCAUAAUGGUAUAAAACGCAUGAAGAAGCUCCAUGUUGAUGGAUCUUUGGACUCACUCAUUUUUGAAAAGUUUGAGACAUGCGAACCAUGUCUAUUGGUGUAUAUGCAUGAAGAAACUCCAUGCAAAUGGAUCGUUCGGACUCACUUGAUUUUGAAUCACUUGAGAUAUGCAAAUCAUACCACAUGGGCAAGAUGACUGAAAAGCCUCAUUUUCAGUAAGAUGGAACAAGAUAGCAACUUGUUGGAAGUAACACAUUUUGAUGUGUGCAGUCGAAUGAGUGCUGAGGCAUGCAGUGAAUAUCAUUAUGUUCUUACUUCACAGAUGAUUCGAGUAAAUGUUGAGAAUAUUUACUUGAUAAAACACAAGUCUGAAUUAUUGAAUGGUUCAAGUAAUUUCAGAGUGAAGUAGAAGAUCAUUGUGACAAGAGGAUAAAAUGUCUAUGAUAUGAUCAUAGAGAUGAGUAUCUGAGUUACGAGUUUUGGCACACAAUUAAGACAUUGUGGAAAUUGUUUCGCAAUUAAUACCGCCUGGAACACCAUAAUGUGAUGGUGUGUCCGAACAUCAUAGUUGCACCCUAUUGGAUAUGGUGCGUACCAUGAUGUCUCUUAUCGAAUUACCACUAUCGUUCAUGGGUUAGGCAUUAGAGACAACCACAUUCACUUUAAAUAGGGCACCACGUAAUUCCGAUGAGAUGACACUGUAUGAAUUAUGGUUUAGAGAAACCUAAGUUGUCGUUUCUUAAAAGUUUGGGGCUGCGACGCUUAUAUGAAAAAGUUUCAGGUUGAUAAGCUCGAACCCAAAGCGGGUAAAAUGCAUCUUCAUAGGAAACCCAAAACAGUUGGGUAUACCUCCUAAUUCAGAUCCGAAAGCAAUAUGGAUUGUUUCUAGAAUCGGGUCCUUUCUCGAGGAAAAGUUUCUCUCGAAAAAAUUGAGUGGGAGGAUGGUGGAGACUUGAUGAGGUUAUUGAACCGUCUCUUCAACUAGUGUGUGACAGGGCACAGGGAGUUGUUCCUGUGGCACCUACACCAAUUGAAGUGGAAGCUUAUGAUAUUGAUCAUGAAACUUCGGAUCAAGUCACUACCGAACCUCGUAGGACGACAAGGACACGUACUACUUCGGAGUGGUAAGGUGAUCAUGUCUUGAAGGUCAUGUUGCUAGACAACAAUGAACCUACGAGCUAUGGAGAAGCGAUGGUGGGCCCGAAUUCCGACAAAUGGUUAGAAGCCAUGAAAUCCGAGAUAGUAUCCAUAUAUCAGAACAAAGCAUGGACUUUGAUGGACUUGCCCGAUGAUCGGCAAUCCAUUGAGAUAAAUGGAUCUUUUAAGAAGAAGACGGACGUGGAUGGUAAUGUCACCAUCUAUGAAGCUCGACUUGUGGCGAAGUGUUUUCCGACAAGUUCAAGGAGUUGACUACGAUGAGAUUUUCUCACUCGUAGCGAUGCUUAAAGUCCGUCGGAAUCAUGUUAGCAUUAGCUGCAUUUAUGAAAUCUGGCAGAUGGAUGUCAAGACAAGUUUCCUUACUAGUUUUCGUAAGGAAAGGUUGUAUGCAAUACAAUCAGAAAAGUUUUGUCGAUCCUAAGGAUGCUAAAAGGUAUGCUAGCUCCAGCGAUCCUUCUAAGGACUGGAGUAAGCAUCUCGGAGUUGGAAUGUACACUUUGAUGAGAUGAUCAAAGAUUUUGGAUUUAUACAAAGUUUAUGAGAAACUUGUAUUUCCAAAGAAGUGAGUGGGAGCACUAUAGAAUUUCUGAUGAGUAUAUGUUGUUGACAUAUUGAUGAUCAGAGAUGAUGUAGAAUUUCUAGAAAGCAUAUAGGGUUAUUUGAAAGGUGUUUUUCAAUAGAAAACCUGGAUUAAGCUACUUGAACAUUGAGCAUCAAGAUCUAUAAGGAUAGAUCAAAAUGCUUAAUAAUACUUUCAAAUGAGCACAUACCUUGACAUGAUCUUGAAGGUGUUCAAGAUGGACCAGUCAAAGAAGGAGUUCUUGCCUGAGUUGUAAGGUAUGAAGUUAAGACUUAAAGCUCGACCACGGCAGAAUAGAGAGAAAGGACGAAGGUCGUCCCCUAUGCUUAAGACGUAGGCUCUUCAGUAUGCUAUGCUGUGUACCGCACCUGAAGUGUGCCUUGCCAUGAGUCAGUCAAGGGGUACAAGAGUGAUCCAAGAAUGGCUCACAGGACAGCGGUCAAAGUUAUCCUUAGUAACUAGUGGACUAAGGAAUUUUCUCGAUUAUGGAGGUGGUAAAAGAGUUCGUCGUAAAGGUUACAUCGAUGCAAGCUUAACACCUAUCCGGAUAGCUCUGAGUAGAGAGACCGGAUACAUAUAAUGGAGCAAUAAUUUAGAAUAGCUCAAAGUAGAACAGUUGUUUGGAAUAGCUCCAAAUAGAGCGUGGUAGCUGCAUCUAGGAGAUGACAUGGAGAUUUGUAAAGCACACACGGAUCUGAAAGGUUCAGACCCGUUGACUAAAACCUCUCUCACAAGCAACAUGAUCAAACAUAAAUCUCAUUGAGUGUUAAUCACAUAGUGAUGUGAACUAGACUACUGACUCUAGUAAACUCUUGGGUAUUAGUCACAUGGCGAUGUGACCUGUGAGUGUUAAUCACAUGGUGAUGUGAACUAGAUUAUUGACUCUAGUGCAAGUGGGAGACUGUUGGAAAUAUGCCCUAGAGGCAAUAAUAAAAGUGUUAUUAUUAUAUUUCUUUGUUCAUGAUAAUAGUCUUUUAUUCAUGCUAUAACUGUAUUAUCCGAAAAUCGUAAUACACGUGUGAAUACAUAGACCACAAUAUGUCCCUAGUGAGCCUCUAGUUGACUAGCUCGUUGUGAUCAAUAGAUAGUCAUGGUUUCCUGGCUACGGACAUUGGAUGUCGUUGAUAACGGGAUCACAUCAUCAGGAGAAUGAUGUGAUGGACAAGACCCAAUCCUAAGACUAGCACAAAAGAUCGUGUAGUUCAUUUGCUAGAGCUUUGCCAAUGUCAAGUAUCUCUUCCUUUGACCAUGAGAUCGUGUAACUCCUGGAUACCGUAGGAGUGCUUUGGGUGUAUCAAACGUCACAACGUAACUGGGUGACUAUAAAGGUGCACUACAGGUAUCUCCGAAAGUAUCUAUUGUUUUAUGCGGAUCGAGACUGGGAUUUGUCACUCCGUGUAAACGGAGAGGUAUCUCUGGGCCCACUCGGUAGGACAUCAUCAUAUGCGCAAUGUGACCAAGGAGUUGAUCACGGGAUGAUGUGUUACGGAACGAGUAAAGUGACUUGCCGGUAACGAGAUUGAACAAGGUAUUGGAUACCGACGAUCGAAUCUCGGGCAAGUAAAAUACCGCUAGACAAAGGGAAUUGUAUACGGGAUCGAUUGAGUCCUUGACAUCGUGGUUCAUCCGAUGAGAUCAUCAUGGAACAUGUGGGAGCCAACAUGGGUAUCCAGAUCCCGCUGUUGGUUAUUGACCGGAGAACGUCUCGGUCAUGUCUGCAUGUCCCCCGAACCCGUAGGGUCUACACACUUAAGGUUCGAUGACGCUAGGGUUAUAAAGGAAGCUUGUAUGUGGUUACCGAAUGUUGUUCGGAGUCCCGGAUGAGAUCCCGGACGUCACGAGGAGUUCCGGAAUGGUCCGGAGGUAAAGAUUUAUAUAUGGGAAGUCCUGUUUUGGUCACCGGAAAAGUUUCGGGCGAUAUCGGUAUUGUACCGGGACCACCGGGAGGGUCCCGGGGUCCACCAAGUGGGGCCACCUGCCCCAGAAGGCUGUGUGGGCCAAGUGUGGGAGGGGACCAGCCCCUAGGAGGGCUGGUGCGCCCCCCACAAGGAGUCCAAGGCGCAAGAGAGAGUGGGAGGGGGCAAACCCUAGUCCAGAUGGGCCUUAAGGCCCAUAUUGGUGCGCCUCCCUCUCCUCUCCCCCCUUGGCCGCCUCCCCUUUGCCAUCUAGGGCUGGCCGCACCCCUUGGGGGUGGGAAACCCUAAAGGGGGCGCAGCCCCCCCUUCCCCCUAUAUAUAGUUGAGGUUUGGGGCUGCCAUACACAUGAGUUCUCUCCCUCUUGGUGCAGCCCUGCCUCUCUUCCUCCUCCUCUUCUCCUGUGGUGCUUGGCGAAGCCCUGCAGGAUAGCCAUGCCCUCCACCACCACCACGCCGUUGUGAUGCUGCUGGAUGGAGUCUUCCUCAACCUCUCCCUCUCUCCUUGCUGGAUCAAGGCGUGGGAGACGUCACCGGGCUGUACGUGUGUUGAACGCGGAGGUGCCGUCCGUUCGGCACUUGAUCAUCGGUGAUCUGAAUCAUGACGAGUACGACUCCAUCAACCCCAUUCACUUGAACGCUUCCGCUUAGCGAUCUACAAGGGUAUGUAGAUGCACUCUCCUUCUACUCGUAGCUGGUUUCUCCAUAGAUAGAUCUUGGUGACGCGUAGGAAAAUUUUGAAUUUCUGCUACGUUCCCCAACAGUGGCAUCAUGAGCUAGGUCUAUUGCGUAGAUUCUUUGCACGAGUAGAACACAAAGUAGUUGUGGGCGUUGAUGUUGUUCAAUAUGCUUACCGUUCCUAGUCCAAUCUUGUUUCGAUGGUAUUGUGGGAUGAAGCGGCUCGGACCGACCUUACACGUACUCUUACGUGAGACAGGUUCCACCGAUUGACAUGCACUUGGUGCAUAAGGUGGCUAGCGGGUGCCGGUCUCUCCCACUUUAGUCGGAACAGAUUCGAUGAAAAGGGUCCUUAUGAAGGGUAAAUAGCAAUUGGCAUAUCACGUUGUGGUCUUGCGUAGGUAAGAAACGUUCUUGCUAGAAACCCAUAGCAGCCACGUAAAACAUGCAAACAACAAUUAGAGGACGUCUAACUUGUUUUUGCAGGGUAUGCUAUGUGAUGUGAUAUGGCCAAAAGGAUGUGAUGAAUGAUAUAUGUGAUGUAUGAGAUUGAUCAUGUUCUUGUAAUAGGAUUCACGACUUGCAUGUCGAUGAGUAUGACAACCGGCAGGAGCCAUAGGAGUUGUCUUUAUUUAUUGUAUGACCUGCGUGUCAUUGCAGAACGCCAUGUAAACUACUUUACUUUAUUGCUAAACGCGUUAGUCAUAGAAGUAGAAGUAGUCGUUGGCGUGAAAACUUCAUGAAGACACGAUGAUGGAGAUCAUGAUGAUGGAGAUCAUGGUGUCAAGCCGGUGACAAGAUGAUCAUGGAGCCCCGAAGAUGGAGAUCAAUGGAGCUAUAUGAUAUUGGCCAUAUCAUGUCACAACUAUAUAAUUGCAUGUGAUGUUUAUUAUGUUUAUGCAUCUUGUUUACUUAGGACGACGGUAGUAAAUAAGAUGAUCCCUUACAAAAUUUCAAGAAGUCUUCUCCCCUAACUGUGCACCGUUGCUACAGUUCGUCGCUUCUAAGCACCACGUGAUGAUCGGGUGUGAUGGAUUCUUACGUUCACAUACAACGGGUGUAAGACAGUUUUACACAGCGAAAACACUUAGGGUUAACUUGACGAGCCUAGCAUGUGCAGACAUGGCCUCGGAACACGGAGACCGAAAGGUCGAGCAUGAGUCGUAUAGUAGAUACGAUCAACAUGAAGAUGUUCACCGAUGAUGACUAGUCCGUCUCACGUGAUGAUCGGACACGGCCUAGUUGACUUGGAUCAUGUAAUCACUUAGAUGACCAGAGGGAUGUCUAUCUGAGUGGGAGUUCAUAAGAUGAACUUAAUUAUCCUGAACAUAGUCAAAAGACCUUUUGCAAAUUAUGUCGCAGCUCGCGCUAUAGUUCUACAGUUUAGAUAUGUUCCUAGAGAAAAUUAUAGUUGAAAGUUGAUAAUAGCGAUUAUGCGAUCAGUAGAAAGCUUAUGUCCUCAAUGCACCGCUCAGUGUGCUGAACCCCAAUCGUCGUCUGUGGAUGUUGCGAACAUCGGACAUACAUGUCUUGAUAACUACGUGAUAGUUCAGUUAAACGGUUUAGAGUUGAGGCACGAAAGACGUUUUCGAAACAUCGCGAAACAUAUGAGAUGCUUCGAGGGCUGAAAUUGGGAUUUCAGGCUCGUGCCCAUGUCAAGAGGUAUGAGACCUCCGACGAUUUUCUUAGCCUGCAAAGUAAGGGAGAAAAGCUCAAUCGUUGAGCUUGUGCUCAAAUUGUCUGAGUGCAACAAUCACUUGAAUCGAGUGGGAGUUGAUCUUCUAGAUGAGAUAGUGACGUUUCCCCAAAAGUCAUUGCCACCAAGCUGCUAGAGCUUCGUGAUGAACUAUAACAUAUCAAGGAUAGAGAUGAUGAUCCUUGAGGUAUUCGCGUUGUUUGACAUCGCGAAAGUAGAAAUCAAGAAGGAGCAUCAAUUGUUGAUGGUUGAUGAAACCACUAGUUUCAAGAAGGGCAAGGGAACGAAGGGACACUUCAUGAAACGGCAAAUCAGCUGCUGAUCUAGUGAAGAAACCCAAGGUUGAACCCAAACCCGAGACUAAGUGCUUCUGUAAUAAGGGGAACAGUCACUAGAGCGGAAUUACCCUAGAUACUUGGUAGAUGAGAAGGCUGGCAAGGUCGAUAGAAGUAUAUUGGAUAUACAUUAUGUUAAUGUGUACUUUACUAGUACUCCUAGUAGCACCAGGGUAUUAGAUACCGGUUCGGUUGCUAAGUGUUAGUAACUCGAAAUAAAAGCUACGGAAUAAAACGGAGACUGGCUAAAGGUGAGCUGACGAUAUGUGUUGGAAGUGUUUCCAAGUUUGAUGUGAUCUAACAUCGCACGCUCCCUCUACCAUCAAGAUUAGUAUUAAACCUGAAUAAGUGCUCUUGCACCUAAAGGAAUGGUUUAUUGAAUCUUGGUCGUAGUGAUACACAUUUUCAUGCCAAAAGAUAUAAGAUAGUAAUGAUAGUACCACUUACUUGUGGCACUGCCAUAUAAGUCAUAAUGGUAUAAAACGCAUGAAGAAGCUCCAUGUUGAUGGAUCUUUGGACUCACUCAUUUUUGAAAAGUUUGAGACAUGCGAACCAUGUCUAUUGGUGUAUAUGCAUGAAGAAACUCCAUGCAAAUGGAUCGUUCGGACUCACUUGAUUUUGAAUCACUUGAGAUAUGCAAAUCAUACCACAUGGGCAAGAUGACUGAAAAGCCUCAUUUUCAGUAAGAUGGAACAAGAUAGCAACUUGUUGGAAGUAACACAUUUUGAUGUGUGCAGUCGAAUGAGUGCUGAGGCAUGCAGUGAAUAUCAUUAUGUUCUUACUUCACAGAUGAUUCGAGUAAAUGUUGAGAAUAUUUACUUGAUGAAACACAAGUCUGAAUUAUUGAAUGGUUCAAGUAAUUUCAGAGUGAAGUAGAAGAUCAUUGUGACAAGAGGAUAAAAUGUCUAUGAUAUGAUCAUAGAGAUGAGUAUCUGAGUUACGAGUUUUGGCACACAAUUAAGACAUUGUGGAAAUUGUUUCGCAAUUAAUACCGCCUGGAACACCAUAAUGUGAUGGUGUGUCCGAACAUCAUAGUUGCACCCUAUUGGAUAUGGUGCGUACCAUGAUGUCUCUUAUCGAAUUACCACUAUCGUUCAUGGGUUAGGCAUUAGAGACAACCACAUUCACUUUAAAUAGGGCACCACGUAAUUCCGAUGAGAUGACACUGUAUGAAUUAUGGUUUAGAGAAACCUAAGUUGUCGUUUCUUAAAAGUUUGGGGCUGCGACGCUUAUAUGAAAAAGUUUCAGGUUGAUAAGCUCGAACCCAAAGCGGGUAAAAUGCAUCUUCAUAGGAAACCCAAAACAGUUGGGUAUACCUCCUAAUUCAGAUCCGAAAGCAAUAUGGAUUGUUUCUAGAAUCGGGUCCUUUCUCGAGGAAAAGUUUCUCUCGAAAAAAUUGAGUGGGAGGAUGGUGGAGACUUGAUGAGGUUAUUGAACCGUCUCUUCAACUAGUGUGUGACAGGGCACAGGGAGUUGUUCCUGUGGCACCUACACCAAUUGAAGUGGAAGCUUAUGAUAUUGAUCAUGAAACUUCGGAUCAAGUCACUACCGAACCUCGUAGGACGACAAGGACACGUACUACUUCGGAGUGGUAAGGUGAUCAUGUCUUGAAGGUCAUGUUGCUAGACAACAAUGAACCUACGAGCUAUGGAGAAGCGAUGGUGGGCCCGAAUUCCGACAAAUGGUUAGAAGCCAUGAAAUCCGAGAUAGUAUCCAUAUAUCAGAACAAAGCAUGGACUUUGAUGGACUUGCCCGAUGAUCGGCAAUCCAUUGAGAUAAAUGGAUCUUUUAAGAAGAAGACGGACGUGGAUGGUAAUGUCACCAUCUAUGAAGCUCGACUUGUGGCGAAGUGUUUUCCGACAAGUUCAAGGAGUUGACUACGAUGAGAUUUUCUCACUCGUAGCGAUGCUUAAAGUCCGUCGGAAUCAUGUUAGCAUUAGCUGCAUUUAUGAAAUCUGGCAGAUGGAUGUCAAGACAAGUUUCCUUACUAGUUUUCGUAAGGAAAGGUUGUAUGCAAUACAAUCAGAAAAGUUUUGUCGAUCCUAAGGAUGCUAAAAGGUAUGCUAGCUCCAGCGAUCCUUCUAAGGACUGGAGUAAGCAUCUCGGAGUUGGAAUGUACACUUUGAUGAGAUGAUCAAAGAUUUUGGAUUUAUACAAAGUUUAUGAGAAACUUGUAUUUCCAAAGAAGUGAGUGGGAGCACUAUAGAAUUUCUGAUGAGUAUAUGUUGUUGACAUAUUGAUGAUCAGAGAUGAUGUAGAAUUUCUAGAAAGCAUAUAGGGUUAUUUGAAAGGUGUUUUUCAAUAGAAAACCUGGAUUAAGCUACUUGAACAUUGAGCAUCAAGAUCUAUAAGGAUAGAUCAAAAUGCUUAAUAAUACUUUCAAAUGAGCACAUACCUUGACAUGAUCUUGAAGGUGUUCAAGAUGGACCAGUCAAAGAAGGAGUUCUUGCCUGAGUUGUAAGGUAUGAAGUUAAGACUUAAAGCUCGACCACGGCAGAAUAGAGAGAAAGGACGAAGGUCGUCCCCUAUGCUUAAGACGUAGGCUCUUCAGUAUGCUAUGCUGUGUACCGCACCUGAAGUGUGCCUUGCCAUGAGUCAGUCAAGGGGUACAAGAGUGAUCCAAGAAUGGCUCACAGGACAGCGGUCAAAGUUAUCCUUAGUAACUAGUGGACUAAGGAAUUUUCUCGAUUAUGGAGGUGGUAAAAGAGUUCGUCGUAAAGGUUACAUCGAUGCAAGCUUAACACCUAUCCGGAUAGCUCUGAGUAGAGAGACCGGAUACAUAUAAUGGAGCAAUAAUUUAGAAUAGCUCAAAGUAGAACAGUUGUUUGGAAUAGCUCCAAAUAGAGCGUGGUAGCUGCAUCUAGGAGAUGACAUGGAGAUUUGUAAAGCACACACGGAUCUGAAAGGUUCAGACCCGUUGACUAAAACCUCUCUCACAAGCAACAUGAUCAAACAUAAAUCUCAUUGAGUGUUAAUCACAUAGUGAUGUGAACUAGACUACUGACUCUAGUAAACUCUUGGGUAUUAGUCACAUGGCGAUGUGACCUGUGAGUGUUAAUCACAUGGCGAUGUGAACUAGAUUAUUGACUCUAGUGCAAGUGGGAGACUAUUGGAAAUAUGCCCUAGAGGCAAUAAUAAAAGUGUUAUUAUUAUAUUUCUUUGUUCAUGAUAAUAGUCUUUUAUUCAUGCUAUAACUGUAUUAUCCGAAAAUCGUAAUACACGUGUGAAUACAUAGACCACAAUAUGUCCCUAGUGAGCCUCUAGUUGACUAGCUCGUUGUGAUCAACAGAUAGUCAUGGUUUCCUGGCUAUGGACAUUGGAUGUCGUUGAUAACGGGAUCACAUCAUUAGGAGAAUGAUAUGAUGGACAAGACCCAAUCCUAAGACUAGCACAAAAGAUCGUGUAGUUCAUUUGCUAGAGCUUUGCCAAUGUCAAGUAUCUCUUCCUUUGACCAUGAGAUCGUGUAACUCCUGGAUACCGUAGGAGUGCUUUGGGUGUAUCAAACGUCACAACGUAACUGGGUGACUAUAAAGUGUUGGAAAUAUGCCCUAGAGGCAAUAAUAAAUUGAUUAUUAUUAUAUUUCCUUGUUCAUGAUAAUCGUUUAUUAUCCAUGCUAGAAUUGUAUUGAUAGGAAACUCAGAUACAUGUGUGGAUACAUAGACAACACCAUGUCCCUAGUAAGCCUCUAGUUGACUAGCUCGUUAAUCAAUAGAUGGUUACGGUUUCCUGACCAUGGACAUUGGAUGUCGUUGAUAACGGGAUCACAUCAUUAGGAGAAUGAUGUGAUGGACAAGACCCAAUCCUAAGCCUAGCACAAGAUCAUGUAGUUCGUAUGCUAAAGCUUUUCUAAUGUCAAGUAUCAUUUCCUUAGACCAUGAGAUUGUGCAACUCCCGGAUACCGUAGGAGUGCUUUGGGUGUACCAAACGUCACAACGUAACUGGGUGGCUAUAAAGGUACACUACGGGUAUCUCUGAAAGUGUCUGUUGGGUUGGCACGAAUCGAGAUUGGGAUUUGUCACUCCGUGUAAACGGAGAGGUAUCUCUGGGCCCACUCGGUAGGACAUCAUCAUAAUGUGCACAAUGUGACCAAGGGGUUGAUCACGGGAUGAUGUGUUACGGAACGAGUAAAGAGACUUGCCGGUAACGAGAUUGAACAAGGUAUCGGUAUACCGACGAUCGAAUCUCGGGCAAGUACCAUACCGCUAGACAAAGGGAAUUGUAUACGGGAUUGAUUAAGUCCUUGACAUCGUGGUUCAUCCAAUGAGAUCAUCGUGGAACAUGUGGGAGCCAUCAUGGGUAUCCAGAUCCCGCUGUUGGUUAUUGACCGGAGAACGUCUCGGUCAUGUCUGCAUGUCUCUCGAACCCGUAGGGUCUACACACUUAAGGUUCGAUGACGCUAGGGUUAUAAAGGAAGUUUGUAUGUGGUUACCGAAUGUUGUUCGGAGUCCCGGAUGAGAUCCCGGACGUCACGAGGAGUUCCGGAAUGGUCCGGAGGUAAAGAUUUAUAUAUAGGAAGUCCUGUUUCGGCCAUCGGGACAAGUUUCGGGGUCAUCGGUAUUGUACCGGGACCACCGGAAGGGUCCCGGGGGCCCACCGGGUGGGGCCACCUGCCCCGGGGGGCCACAUGGGCUGUAGGGGGUGCGCCUUGGCCUACAUGGGCCAAGGGCACCAGCCCCUAGAGGCCCAUGCGCCAAGAUAUAGGAAAAAGGGGAGAGUCCUAAAGGGGGAAGGCACCUCCGAGGUGCCUUGGGGAGGAUGGACUCCUCCCCCCCCUCUUAGCCGCACCCCUUCCUUGGAGGAAGGGGCAAGGCUGCGCCUCCCCCCUCUCCCCUGCCCCUAUAUAUAGUGGAGGGGAGGGAGGGCAUCCAUACAUGAGCCCUUGGCGCCUCCCUCCCUCCCGUGACACCUCCUCCUCUCCCGUAGGUGCUUGGCGAAGCCCUGCAGGAUUGCCACGCUCCUCCAUCACCACCACGCCGUUGUGCUGCUGCUGGAUGGAGUCUUCCUCAACCUCUCCCUCUCUCCUUGCUGGAUCAAGGCGUGGGAGACAUCGUCGAGCUAUACGUGUGUUGAACGCGGAGGUGCUGUCCGUUCGGCACUAGAUCAUCGGUGAUUUGAAUCACGACGAGUACGACUCCAUCAACCCCGUUCACUUGAACGCUUCCGCUUAGCGAUCUACAAGGGUAUGUAGAUGCACUCUCCUUUCUACUCGUUGCUGGUUUCUCCAUAGAUAGAUCUUGGUGACACGUAGGAAAAUUUUGAAUUUCUGCUACGUUCCCCAACAGUGGCAUCAUGAGCUAGGUCUAUUGCGUAGAUUCUUUGCACGAGUAGAACACAAAGUAGUUGUGGGCGUCGAUAUUGUUCAAUAUGCUUGCCGUUACUAGUCUUAUCUUGAUUCGGCGGCAUCGUGGGAUGAAGCGGCCCGGACCAACCUUACACGUACGCUUACGUGAGACCGGUUCCACCGACAAACAUGCACUAGUUGCAUAAGGUGGCUGGCGGGUGUCUGUCUCUCCCACUUUAGUCGGAUCGGAUUCGAUGAAAAGGGUCCUUAUGAAGGGCAAAUAGCAAUUGGCAUAUCACGUUGUGGUUCAUGCGUAGGUAAGAAACGUUCUUGCUAGAAACCCAUAGCAGCCACGUAAAACAUGCAAACAACAAUUAGAGGACGUCUAACUUGUUUUUGCAGGGUAUGCUAUGUGAUGUGAUAUGGCCAAAAAGGAUGUGAUGAAUGAUAUAUGUGAUGUAUGAGAUUGAUGAUGUUCUUGUAAUAGGAAUCACGACUUGCAUGUCGAUGAGUAUGACAACCGGCAGGAGCCAUAGGAGUUGUCUUUAUUUAUUUGUGACCUGCGUGUCAACUUAAACGUCAUGUAAUUACUUUACUUUAUUGCUAACCAUUAGCCAUAGUAGUAGAAGUAAUAGUUGGCGAGGCAACUUCAUGAAGACACGAUGAUGGAGAUCAUGAUGAUGGAGAUCAUGGUGUCAUGCCGGUGACGAUGAUGAUCAUGGAGCCCCGAAGAUGGAGAUCAAAAGGAGCAAAAUGAUAUUGGCCAUAUCAUGUCACUAUUUGAUUGCAUGUGAUGUUUAUCAUGUUUAUACAUCUUAUUUGCUUAGAACGACGGUAGUAAAUAAGAUGAUCCCUUACAACAAUUUCAAGAAGUGUUCUCCCCUAACUGUGCACCGUUGCGACAGUUCGUGUUUCGAAGCACCACGUGAUGAUCGGGUGUUAGAUUCUAACGUUCACAUACAACGGGUGUAAGACAGAUUUACACACGCGAAACACUUAGGGUUAACUUGAUGAGCCUAGCAUGUACAGACAUGGCCUCGGAACACGGAGACCGAAAGGUCGAGCAUGAGUCGUAUAGAAGAUACGAUCAACAUGAAGAUGUUCACCGAUGAUGACUAGUCCGUCUCACGUGAUGAUCGGACACGGCCUAAAUUGACUCGGAUCAUGUAAUCACUUAGAUGACUAGAGGGAUGUCUAUCUGAGUGGGAGUUCAUAAGAUGAACUUAAUUAUCCUGAACAUAGUCAAAAGGAUUUUGCAAAUUAUGUCGUAGCUCACGCUAUAGUUCUACUGUUUAGAUAUGUUCCUAGAGAAAAAUUAGAUGAAAGUUGAUAGUAGCAAUUAUGCGGACUAGGUCCGUAAACUAAGGAUUGUCCUCAUUGCUUCAUAGAAGGCUUAUGUCCUUAAUGCACUGCUCAGUGUGCUGAACCUCGAACGUUGUCUGUGGUUGUUGCGAACAUCUGACAUACACGUUUUGAUAACUACGUGAUAGUUCAGUUAAACGGUUUAGAGUUGAGGCACCAAAGACAUUUUUGAAACGUCGCGAAACAUAUGAGAUGUUUUGAGGGCUGAAAUUGGGAUUUCAGGCUCGUGCCCAUGUCAAGAGGUAUAAGACCUCCGAUGACUUUCUUAACCUGCAAACUAAGGAGAAAAGCUCAAUUGUUGAGCUUGUGCUCAGAUUGUCUGAGUACAACAAUCAUUUGAAUCGAGUGGGAGUUGAUCUUCCAGAUAAGACAGUGAUGGUUCUCCAAAGUCAUUGCCACCAAGCUAUUAGAGCUUCAUGAUGAACUAUAACAUAUCAGGGAUAGAUAUGAUAAUCCUUGAGGUAUUCGCGAUGUUUGACACCGCGAAAGUAGAAAUCAAGAAGGAGCAUCAAUUGUUGAUGGUUGGUGAAACCACUAGUUUCAAGAAGGGCAAGGGCAAGAAGGGAUACUUCAUGAAACGGCAAAUCAGCUGCUGCUCUAGUGAAGAAACCCAAGGUAAAACCCAAACCCGAGACUAAGUGCUUCUGUAAUAAGGGGAACAACCACUAGAGCAGAAUUACCCUAGAUACUUGGUAGAUAAGAAGGCUGGCAAGGUCGAUAGAAGUAUAUUGGAUAUACAUUGUGUUAAUGUGUACUUUGCUAGUACUCCUAGUAGCACCAGGGUAUUAGAUACCGGUUCGGUUGCUAAGUGUUAGUAACUCGAAACAAAAGGCUACGGAAUAAACGGAGACUAGCAAAAGGUGAGCUGACGAUAUGUGUUGGAAGUUUUCCAAGCCUGAUAUGAUCAAGCAUCGCACGCUCCCUCUACCAAAGAGAUUGGUGUUAAACCUAAAUAAUUGUUAUUUGGUGUUUGCGUUGAGCAUAGACAUGAUUGGAUUACGUCUAUCGCAAUACGGUUAUUCAUUUAAGGAGAAUAAUGGUUACUCUGUUUAUUUGAAUAAUACCUUCAAUGGUCUUACACCUAAAAUGAAUGGUUUAUUAAAACUCGAUCAUAGUAAUACACAUGUUCAUGCCAAAAGAUAGUAAUGAUAGUACCACCUACUUGUGGCACUGCCACGUAAGUCAUAUCGGUAUAAAACGCAUGAAGAAGCUCCAUAUUGAUGGAUCUUUGGGCUCACUCGUUUUUGAAAAGUUUCAGACUUGUGUGCAGUCCAAUGAGUGCUGAGGCAUGCAGUGAAUAUCGUUAUGUUCUUACUUCACAGAUGAUUCGAGUAGAUGUUGAGUAUAUUUACUUGAUGAAUCACGAGUCUGAAUUAUUGAAAGGUUCAAGUAAUUUCAGUGUGAAGUUGAAAGAUCGUCGUGACAAGAGGAUAAAAUAUCUAUGAUAUGAUCAUAGAGAUGAAUAUCUGAAUCACGAGUUUGGCACAGAAUUAAGACAUUGUGGAAAUUGUUUCACAACUGAUACAGCCUGGAACACCAUAGUGUGAUGGUGUGUCCAAACGUCAUAGUUGCACCCUAUUGGAUAUGGUGCAUACCAUGAUGUCUCUUCUCGAGUUACCACUAUCGUUCAUGGGUUAGGCAUUAGAGACAACCACAUUCACUUUAAAUAGGGCACCACAUAAUUUCGUUGAGACGACACCGUAUGAACUAUGGUUUGGAGAAACCUAAGUUGUCGUUUCUUGAAAGUUUGGGGCUGCGACGCUUAUGUGAAAAGGUUUCGGGUUGAUAAGCUCGAACCCAAAGCAGAUAAAAUGCAUCUUCAUAGGACACCCAAAAACAGUUGGGUAUACCUCCUAAUUCAGAUCCGAAAGCAAUAGGGAUUGUUUCUUGAAUCGGGUCCUUUUUCGAGGAAAGGUUUCUCUCGAAAGAAUUGAGUGGGAGGAUGGUGGAGACUUGAUGAGGUUAUUGAACCGUCACUUCAACAAGUGUGUAGCAGGGCACAGGAAGUUGUUCCUGUGGCACGUACACCAACUGAAGUGGAAGCUUAUGAUAGUGAUCAUGAAACUUCGGAUCGAGUCACUACCAAACCUCGUGGGAUGACAAGGAUGCGUACUACUUCAGAGUGGUACAGUAAUCCUGUCUUGGAAGUCAUGUUGCUAGACAACAAUGAACCUACGAGCUAUGGAGAAGCGAUGGUGGGCCCGGAUUCCGAUAAAUGGCUCAAGGCCAUAAAACCCGAGAGAGGAUCCAUGUAUGAAAACAAAGUGUAGACUUUGGAAGAACUACUUGAUGGUCGUAAGGCUGUUAGGUACAUAUGGAUUUUGAAAGGAAGACAGACAAUGAUGGUAAGUGUCACCAUUGAGAAAGCUCGACUUGUCGUUAAGAUGUUUUUCGACAAGUUCAAGGAGUUGACUACGAUGAGACCUUCUCACUCGUAGCGAUGCUAAGAGUCUGUUGGAAUUAUAUUAGCAAUUACUGCAUUAUUUAUGAAAUCUUGCAGAUAGGAUGUCAAAACAUUGUUUCCUCGACGAUUCUUGAGGAAAGGUUGUAUGUGAUACAACCAGAAGGUUUUGUCUAUCCUGAAAUAUGCUAAUAAGUAUGCAAAGCUCCAGCAAUCCUUCUGAGGACUGGAGUGAGCAUCUCGGAGUUGGAAUGUAUGCUUUGAUGAUGAUCAAAGAUUUUGGGUGUAUACAAAGUUUAUGAGAAACUUGUAUUUCCAAAGAAGUGAGUGGGAACACUAUAGAAUUUCUGAUGAGUAUAUGUUGUUGACAUAUUAAUGAUCAGAAAUGACGUAGAAUUUCUGGAAAGCAUAUAGGGUUAUUUGGAAAGUGUUUUCAAUGGAAAACCUGGAUUAAGCUACUUGAACAUUGAGCAUCAAGAUCUAUAAGGAUAGAUCAAAAUGCUUAAUAAUACUUUCAAAUGAGCACAUGCCUUGACGUGAUCUUGAAGGUGUUCAAGAUGGAUCAGUCAAAGAAGGAGUUAUUGCCUGAGUUGUAAGGUAUGAAGUUAAGACUUAAAGCUCGACCAUGGCAGAAUAGAGAGAAAGGAACAAAGGUCGUCCCCUAUGCUUAAGACAUAGGCUCUACAGUAUGCUAUGCUGUGUACCGCACCUGAAGUGUGCUUUACCAUGAGUCAGUCAAGGGGUACAAGAGUGAUCCAAGAAUGGAUCACAGGACAGCGGUCAAAGUUAUCCUUAGUAACUAGUGGACUAAGGAAUUUUCUCAAUUAUGGAGGUGGUAAAAGAGUUUGUCGUAAAGGGUUACGUCGAUGCAAGCUUAACACCUAUCCGGAUAGCUCUGAGUAGAGAUACCGGAUACGUAUAAUGGAACAACAAUUUAGAAUAGCUCCAAGUAGAACAGUUAUUUGGAAUAGCUCCAAAUAGAACGUGGUAGCUGCAUCUAGGAGAUGACAUAGAGAUUUGUAAAGCACACACGGAUCUAAAAGGUUCAGACCCGUUGACUAUAACCUCUCUCACAAGCAUAACAUGAUCAAACCCAGAACUCAUCGAGUGUUAAUCACAUGGUAAAUGUGAACUAGAUUAUUGACUCUAGUAAACUCUUUGGGUGUUAGUCACAUGGGGAUGUGACCUUGAGUGUUAAUCACAUAUCGAUGUGAACUAGAUUAUUGACUCUAGUGCAAGUGGGAGACUGUUGGAAAUAUGCCCUAGAGGCAAUAAUAAAUUGAUUAUUAUUAUAUUUCCUUGUUCAUGAUAAUCGUUUAUUAUCCAUGCUAGAAUUGUAUUGAUAGGAAACUCAGAUACAUGUGUGGAUACAUAGACAACACCAUGUCCCUAGUAAGCCUCUAGUUGACUAGCUCGUUAAGCAAUAGAUGGUUACGGUUUCCUGACCAUGGACAUUGGAUGUCGUUGAUAACGGGAUCACAUCAUUAGGAGAAUGAUGUGAUGGACAAGACCCAAUCCUAAGCCUAGCACAAGAUCAUGUAGUUCGUAUGCUAAAGCUUUUCUAAUGUCAAGUAUCAUUUCCUUAGACCAUGAGAUUGUGCAACUCCCGGAUACCGUAGGAGUGCUUUGGGUGUACCAAACGUCACAACGUAACUGGGUGGCUAUAAAGGUACACUACGGGUAUCUCUGAAAGUGUCUGUUGGGUUGGCACGAAUCGAGAUUAGGAUUUGUCACUCCGUGUAAACGGAGAGGUAUCUCUGGGCCCACUCGGUAGGACAUCAUCAUAAUGUGCACAAUGUGACCAAGGGGUUGAUCACGGGAUGAUGUGUUACGGAACGAGUAAAGAGACUUGCCGGUAACGAGAUUGAACAAGGUAUCGGUAUACCGACGAUCGAAUCUCGGGCAAGUACCAUACCGCUAGACAAAGGGAAUUGUAUACGGGAUUGAUUAAGUCCUUGACAUCGUGGUUCAUCCGAUGAGAUCAUCGUGGAACAUGUGGGAGCCAUCAUGGGUAUCCAGAUCCCGCUGUUGGUUAUUGACCGGAGAACGUCUCGGUCGUGUCUGCAUGUCUCUCGAACCCGUAGGGUCUACACACUUAAGGUUCGAUGACGCUAGGGUUAUAAAGGAAGUUUGUAUGUGGUUACCGAAUGUUGUUCGGAGUCCCGGAUGAGAUCCCGGACGUCACGAGGAGUUCCGGAAUGGUCCGGAGGUAAAGAUUUAUAUAUAGGAAGUCCUGUUUCGGCCAUCGGGACAAGUUUCGGGGUCAUCGGUAUUUUACCGGGACCACCGGAAGGGUCCCGGGGGCCCACCGGGUGGGGCCACCUGCCCCGAGGGGGCACAUGGGCUGUAGGGGGUGCGCCUUGGCCUACAUGGGCCAAGGGCACCAGCCCCUAGAGGCCCAUGCGCCAAGAUAUAGGAAAAAGGGGAGAGUCCUAAAGGGGGAAGGCACCUCCGAGGUGCCUUGGGGAGGAUGGACUCCUCCCCCCCCCCUCUUAGCCGCACCCCUUCCUUGGAGGAAGGGGCAAGGCUGCGCCUCCCCCCUCUCCCCUGCCCCUAUAUAUAGUGGAGGGGAGGGAGGGCAUCCAUACCUGAGCCCUUGGCGCCUCCCUCCCUCCCGUGACACCUCCUCCUCUCCCGUAGGUGCUUGGCGAAGCCCUGCAGGAUUGCCACGCUCCUCCAUCACCACCACGCCGUUGUGCUGCUGCUGGAUGGAGUCUUCCUCAACCUCUCCCUCUCUCCUUGCUGGAUCAAGGCGUGGGAGACAUCGUCGAGCUAUACGUGUGUUGAACGCGGAGGUGCUGUCCGUUCGGCACUAGAUCAUCGGUGAUUUGAAUCACGACGAGUACGACUCCAUCAACCCCGUUCACUUGAACGCUUCCGCUUAGCGAUCUACAAGGGUAUGUAGAUGCACUCUCCUUUCUACUCGUUGCUGGUUUCUCCAUAGAUAGAUCUUGGUGACACGUAGGAAAAUUUUGAAUUUCUGCUACGUUCCCCAACAUAAAGGUGCACUACAGGUAUCUCCGAAAGUAUCUAUUGUUUUAUGCGGAUCGAGACUGGGAUUUGUCACUCCGUGUAAACGGAGAGGUAUCUCUGGGCCCACUCGGUAGGACAUCAUCAUAUGCACAAUGUGACCAAGGAGUUGAUCACGGGAUGAUGUGUUACGGAACGAGUAAAGUGACUUGCCGGUAACGAGAUUGAACAAGGUAUUGGAUACCGACGAUCGAAUCUCGGGCAAGUAAAAUACCGCUAGACAAAGGGGAUUGUAUACGGGAUCGAUUGAGUCCUUGACAUCGUGGUUCAUCCGAUGAGAUCAUCGUGGAACAUGUGGGAGCCAACAUGGGUAUCCAGAUCCCGCUGUUGGUUAUUGACCGGAGAACAUCUCGGUCAUGUCUGCAUGUCCCCCGAACCCGUAGGGUCUACACACUUAUGGUUCGAUGACGCUAGGGUUAUAAAGGAAGCUUGUAUGUGGUUACCGAAUGUUGUUCGGAGUCCCGGAUGAGAUCCCGGACGUCACGAGGAGUUCCGGAAUGGUCCGGAGGUAAAGAUUUAUAUAUGGGAAGUCCUGUUUUGGUCACCGGAAAAGUUUCGGGCGAUAUCGGUAUUGUACCGGGACCACCGGGAGGGUCCCGGGGUCCACCAAGUGGGGACACCUGCCCCAGAAGGCUGCGUGGGCCAAGUGUGGGAGGGGACCAGCCCCUAGGAGGGCUGGUGCGCCCCCCACAAGGAGUCCAAGGUGCAAGAGAGAGUGGGAGGGGGCAAACCCUAGUCCAGAUGGGCCUUAAGGCCCAUAUUGGUGCGCCUCCCUCUCCUCUCCCCCCUUGGCCGCCUCCCCUUUGCCAUCUAGGGCUGGCCGCACCCCUUGGGGGUGGGAAACCCUAAAGGGGGCGCAGCCCCCCCUUCCCCCUAUAUAUAGUUGAGGUUUGGGGCUGCCGUACACAUGAGUUCUCUCCCUCUUGGUGCAGCCCUGCCUCUCUUCCUCCUCCUGUUCUCCUGUGGUGCUCGGCGAAGCCCUGCAGGAUAGCCACGCUCCUCCACCACCACCACGCCGUUGUGCUGCUGCUGGAUGGAGUCUUCCUCAACCUCUCCCUCUCUCCUUGCUGGAUCAAGGCGUGGGAGACGUCACCGGGCUGUACGUGUGUUGAACGCGGAGGUGCCGUCCGUUCGGCACUUGAUCAUCGGUGAUCUGAAUCACGACGAGUACGACUCCAUCAACCCCGUUCACUUGAACGCUUCCGCUUAGUGAUCUACAAGGGUAUGUAGAUGCACUCUCCUUCUACUCGUAGCUGGUUUCUCCAUAGAUAGAUCUUGGUGACGCGUAGGAAAAUUUUGAAUUUCUGCUACGUUCCCCAACACCUUUGUCCCACUAAAUUUAGCCCUUUUGAUUACUUUUUCUUGCCUCAGAGAAAACUUGCUGCCGAACAUAGAGAAUAUGAGAUGAGCUUUCAAGAUCUAUCUUAUUAUUAUGGCACUCGUUAGAUCUAUGUUUGCUUUUAUGCCUAGCUAGGGGCGUUAAACGAUAGCGCUAGUUGGGAGGCAACCCAAUUUUCUUUAUGUUUUUUUGUUUUUGCUCCUGUUUAGUAAUAAAUCUUGCAUCGACUCUCUGCUUAGAUGUGUUUUUAUCUUUUAAUUAGUGUUUGUGCCAAGUAGAACCUAUAGGAUAACCUACGAUGGUAGUUGAUUUGAUUCUGCUGAAAAACAGAAACUUUGCGCUCACGAGAAAAAAUUCAAUAAAUUACAGAAACAUGAUUUUGCAUUGAUUCUUUUUGCUGAUGAUCAAUAGACAAAUUUUCCAGUACGUCCUAUUUUGUUAGGAUUUUUAGAGUUCCAGAAGUUUGCGUUAGUUACAGAUUGCUACAGACUGUUCUGUUUUUGACAGAUUCUGUUUUUCGUGUGUUGUUUGCUUAUUUCAAUGCAUCUAUGGCUAGUAAACUAGUUUAUAAACCAUAAGGAAGUUGGAAUACAGUAGGUUUAACACCAAAAUAAAUAAAGAAUGAGUUCAUUGCAGUACCUUAUGUGGUGGUUUUGUUUUCUUUCACUGACGAAGCUUAUAAGAUUUCCUAUUGAGUUUUGUGUUGUGAAGUUUUCAAGUUUUGGGUAAAGCUUUUAUGGACUAUGGAAUAAGGAGUGGCAAGAUCCUAAGCUUGGGGAUGCCCAAGGCACCCCAAGAUAUUCAAGUAUAGCCAAAAGCCUAAGCUUGGGGAUGCCCCGGGAAGGCAUCCCCUCUUUCGUCUUCGUUCAUUGGUAACUUUACUUGGAGCUAUAUUUUUAUUCACCACAUGAUAUGUGUUUUGCUUGGAGCGUUGUGUAUUAUAUUAGUCUUUGCUCUUUAGUUUACCACAAUCAUCCUUGCUGUACACACCUUUUUGGAUAAGCCUAUUUUAUUAGAAUUUGCUAGAAUACUCUAUGUGCUUCACUUAUAUCUUUUGAGCUUGAUAGUUUUUGCUCUAGUACUUCACUUAUAUCUUUUAGAGCAUGGUGGUGGCUUGAUUUUAUAGAAAUUGCUAGUCUCUCAUGCUUCACUCAUAUUAUUUUGAGAGUCUUUUAGAACAGCAUGGUAUUUGCUUUGGUUAAAAAUUUGGCCCUAGAAUGAUGAUCAUCCAAGUUGGGUAUAAUAAAAACUAUCAUAGAAAUUGAAUUGGAUGCUAUGAUCAAUUUGUUGCUUGAUAAUUGUUUUGAGAUAUAAAGGUAGUAAUGUUAGGGUCAUGCUAGUGGAUAAUUAUGAAACUGAGAAAUACUUUUGUUGAAGUUGGCAAGUCCCGUAGCAUGCACGUAUCGUAAAAGUUGUGUGACAAAUUUGUUGCAUGAGGUGCUCUUUUGAGUGUCUUUCUUAUGAGUGGCAGCCGGGGACAAGCAAUGGAAUUUUUUCCUACCAAUCUAUCUCUCUUGGGGCAUGCGUAGUAGUACUUUGCUUCGAGGGCUAAGUAGACUUUUGCAAUAAGUAUAUGAGUUCUUUAUAACUAAUGUGAGUCCAUGGAUAUACGCACACUCAUCCUUCCACUUUGCUAGCUUCGCGCAACUCUCGUCGGUAUUGAACCCAUUAUUUACCUUCCUCAAAACAGCCACCAUACCUACCUAUUAUGGCAUUUCCAUAGCCAUUCUGAGAUAUAUUGCCAUGCAACUUUCCACCGUUUAGUUUAUUAUGACACGUUUCAUCAUUGUCAUAUUGCUCUUUGCAUGAUCAUGUAGUUGACAUCGUAUUUGUGGCAAAGCCACCUUCAUAAUCUUCAUACAUGUCGCUCUUGAUUCAUUGCAUACCCCGGUACACCACCGGAGGCAUUCACAUAGAGUCAUAUCUUGUUCUAGAUAUGAGUUGUAGUUUUUGAGUUGUAAAUCCAUAAAAGUGUGAUGAUCUUCAUUAUUAGAGCAUUGUUCUAGUGAGGAAAGGAUGAUGAAGACUAUGAUUCCCCCAGAAGUCGGGAUGAGGCUUCGGACUUUAUAAAAAUAAAAGAGGCCAAAGAAACCCACCAAAAAGAAAAAAAAGAAAAAAAGAAAAAAAAGGAAAAAAAGGAAAAAAAGAAGAAGAAAUAAAGAGAAAUAAAAAGAGAGAAAAAGAGAGAAGGGACAAUUGCUACUAUCUCUUUUUCCACACUUGUGCUUCAAAAUAGCACCAUGAUCUUCAUGAUAGAGAGUCUCAUAUGUUGUCACUUUCAUAUACUAGUGGGAAUUAUUUCAUUAUAGAACUUGGCUUGUAUAUUCCAAUGAUGGGCUUCCUCAAAGUGCCCUAGGUCUUCGUGAGCAAGCAAGUUGGAUGCACACCCACUUAGUUUCUUUUGUUGAGCUUUCAUAUAUUUAUAGCUCUAGUGCAUCCGUUGCAUGGCAAUCCCUACUCACUCACAUUGAUAUCUAUUUAUGGGCAUCUCCAUAACCCGUUGAUACACCUAGUUGAUGUGAGACUAUCUUCUCCCACUUUUUGUCCUUACAACCACCACCAUUUACCACCAUAGUGCUAUGUCCAUGGCUUGCGCUCAUGUAUUGCGUAAGAGUUGAAAAGCUGAAGUGCAUUAAAAAGUAUGAACCAAUUGCUCGGCUCGUCAUCGGGGUUGUACAUGAUGGGAGUAUUUUGUGUAAUGAAAAUGAAGCAUGGCCUAACUAUAUGAUUUUGUAGGGAUAAGCUUUCUUUGGCUAUGCUAUUUUGAUAGGACAUGAUUAUUUGUUAGUAUGCUUUGAAGCAUUAUUAUUUUUAUGUUUUAUAAGCUUUUAUCUUGAAUCAUUUGGAUCUGAACAUUCAUGCCACAUUAAAGAAAAUUACAUUGAGAAUUAUGAUAGGUAGCAUUCCACAUCAAAAAUUUCUUUUAUAUCAUUUACCUACUCGAGGACGAGUAGGAAUUAAGCUUGGGGAUGCUUGAUACGUCUCCAACGUAUCUAUAAUUUUUGAUUGUUCCAUGCUAUUAUAUUACCCCUUUUGGAUGCUUAUGGGCUUUAUUUUACACAUUUAUAUCAUUUUUGGGACUAACCUACUAACCGGAGGCCCAACCCAUAUUGUUUUUUUGCCUAUUUCAGUAUUUCGAAGAAAAGGAAUAUCAAACGGAGUCCAAACGGAAUGAAACCUUCGGGAGCGUGAUUUUUGGAACGAACGUGAUCCAGAGAGCUUGGAGUGCAAGUCAAGAAGCUGCCGAGGAAGCCACGAGAUAGGAGCCCCCCCCCCUGUAGGGCGCGCCCCCCUGUCUUGUGGGCUCCUCGGGCAUCCACCGAUGUACUUCUUCCUCCUAUAUAUACCUACGUGCCCCGAAAACAUCCAGGAGCACCAUGAAACACAAUUUCCACCGCCGCAACCUUCUGUAUCCAUGAGAUCUCAUCUUGGAGCCUUCGCCGGCACUUUGCCAGACGGGGAAUCGACCAUGGAGGGCUUCUACAUCAACAUCCUUGCCCCUCCGAUGAGUUGUGAGUAGUUUACCACAUACCUACGAGUCCAUAGUUAUUAGCUAGAUGGCUUCUUCUCUCUUUUUGGAUCUCAAUACAAUGUUCUCCCCCUCUCUUGUGGAGAUCUAUUCGAUGUAAACUCUUUUUGCGGUGUGUUUGUCGAGAUCAGAUGAAUUGUGGGUUUAUGAUCAAGUUUAUCUAUGAAUAAUAUUUGAAUCUUCUCUGAAUUCUUUUAUGUAUGAUUGAGUUAUCUUUGCAAGUCUCUUCGAAUUAUCGGUUUGGUUUGGCCUGCUAGAUUGAUCUUUCUUGCCAUGGGAGAAGUGCUUAGCUUUGGGUUCAAUCUUGCGGUGUUCUUACCCAGUGACAGAAAGGGUUGCAAGACACAUAUUGUAUCGUUGCCAUCGAGGAUAACAAGAUGGGGUUUAUAUCAUAUUGCAUGAGUUUAUCCCUCUACAUCAUGUCAUCUUGCUUAAUGUGUUACUCUGAUCUUAUGAACUUAAUACUCUAGAUGCAGGCAGGAGUCGGUCGACGUGUGGAGUAAUAGUAGUAGAUGAAGGCAGGAGUCGGUCUACUUGUUAUGGAUGUGAUGCCUAUAUACAUGAUCAUGCCUAGAUAAUCUCAUAACUAUGCGCUUUUCUAUCAAUUGCUCGACAGUAAUUUGUUCACCCACCGUAAUACUUAUGCUAUCUUGAGAGAAGCCUCUAGUGAAACCUAUGGCCCCCGGGUCUAUCUCUUAUCAUAUUUGCUUUCAAUCUACUUUUAUUUGCAUCUUUACUUUUUGCAUCUAUAUUAUAAAAAACCAAAAAUAUAAUUAUCUUAUCAUACUAUCUCUAUCAGAUCUCACUUUCGCAAGUGGCCGUGAAGGGAUUCACAACCCCUUCAUUGCGUUGGUUGCGAGUUCUCAGUUUGUUUGUGUAGGUGUGUGGGACUUUUGAGGAGCCUCCUACUGGAUUGAUGCCUUGGUUCUCAAAACUGAGGGAAAUAGUUACACUAUACNNNNNNNNNNNNNNNNNNNNNNNNNNNNNNNNNNNNNNNNNNNNNNNNNNNNNNNNNNNNNNNNNNNNNNNNNNNNNNNNNNNNNNNNNNNNNNNNNNNNNNNNNNNNNNNNNNNNNNNNNNNNNNNNNNNNNNNNNNNNNNNNNNNNNNNNNNNNNNNNNNNNNNNNNNNNNNNNNNNNNNNNNNNNNNNNNNNNNNNNNNNNNNNNNNNNNNNNNNNNNNNNNNNNNNNNNNNNNNNNNNNNNNNNNNNNNNNNNNNNNNNNNNNNNNNNNNNNNNNNNNNNNNNNNNNNNNNNNNNNNNNNNNNNNNNNNNNNNNNNNNNNNNNNNNNNNNGCUCACUGUUCAUCCCAGAGGCAGCAUCGAUCAGCUUCAGUUAGCAGCAGUAGCAAAGGAAUCGCUCGAUCGAGUUCAGUUAACAGCCAUCGAUUGAUUGCUCAGGUUCAGUAACGUGUAGCCUGCAGUGCAAUCACUCGGGUUGAGUUAGAGCCCAACGCCUCGCUCGGGUUCAGUUAGAGCCAACGCCUCGCACACACGCGCGUACGUGUACGAGAGAAACGUGCAUCGCUCCACCUCCAACCAUCCACCGUAAUCGGGAACUCCCCGAAAUUUUCCUCGCCCUUGCUUCUACCACGGUUUUUUCCGUCAUGGAAGACCCAAAGAAUGUCAUGCAGCUGCUUCUCCAGCCCGCCUAGGACGAAAAGCCCAUUUUCUGUCAUGACUUUUUGUCAUAGAAGUAGGAGCCCACCACAUCUAUGAUGAUACCGGGUUUUGUCACAAUUAUCGUCAUAGAAGUGUCAUAUGUAUGACAGGAAAAAAAUUCGUUCGGCCCAAAAUGUCACGGAUGUGUCCUUUUUUGUAGUGAAAGUCGGAGAUUGAAGAUAGGGGAUGCAAUGGAUAGGAUCAACAAAUGGCUCAAAAUCCAUCCACAAACUCCCCUUCACAUAGAGGGGAGAUAGGGCUUUGGGAGAGGUGGUAAGAGGCUCAAAAUGGUGUUAGGAAAGUGUAUGAACAACCCCCCCCCCCCCAACCGGUGGGAGGAAGGAGCCCUUAAAUAGCCAAAACCCAAAACUAGUUGUUGUGACUCAACGGGCAGUUCCUGGACACCCCGUGCACAUGGGGAUUUAGACCCCAUGCCCACGGUACAAGCCCGUGUGCACGGGGCCUCAUGCCCACGAGGGUCAAAACCCCCGUGUCCACGGGGUACCCAGAACAGCAUGUAGCACCCCACUAAGACAGUGAUAACUUUGGCAUACAGACUCCGAAUUCGAUGAUCUUGGGUUCGUUUUGAAGCAAGGGAAAAGCCCAAGGUCCUCACAUAGAGAACCACCCAAUAUCAACAAGAAAUAAUGAUGCAAUUAAUGCAAAGGUUUGGUCUCUCUACAUGCGACGUGAUCAAGCUACUCGCCCGAAAGUCCCUCUUGAUAGUACGGCUAUCAAACCUAUAAUACGGUCUUCCUCUAAGCACCAUGAGACAGGCAAAACUAGGAAAACCUAGCUAAGGUAUACCUUUGCCUUGCACAUUCAACUUGAGCUUGGUGAUGACUUUGAUGCUUGCCUCAAGUUGGAAUCUUUUUCUUGUCCACAAUCACUUGGUGAACAUACUCGAAAUGCUUCCUCAUAUUGCAAUGAGGAAGCCUUAACUUAAGCCCAUCUUCACAUGCACAUUAUCAUGAUGUGGACCGCAAGCUUCAAAGCAUAUAAACUUUGGCUUCUCAUCUUGCACUUGGACGCCUUGAACCCGAUGACCAUCACCACUUGAUGUCAUCGACACAUAGGCUACUUGAAAUCUCUCUUUUGAUGCAAGCCCAUGAGAAACACCUAACCCACAUAGACAUAGAAAGCACAUAGCAUGGGUCAGGUAGCAAAGCACAAUUCAGAAUUACUUACCAUACCACUAGAUCACUUGAUCCCACGUAGUACAAAGAUUGCACUUUGAGAGUUAACCAUCUAAAUGAUCUUCGAGUUUCAUCUUGGUCACCCAACAUCUUUACUUCAAGUCCCAUCUUGGUUUCUUGAAAGCCACAAUGAACUCUUAAUUUCCCUUCAUCGCUUCAAGAAAGAGACCACCAAAGACUCUUUCAUGACCAUAUGAAGCUCCACUAUGAAUAUCAUAUUGGUCACCAUUUGCUCUUCUAAAAACUCCGUCAUAAUCUCUUGAGAGGCACAAUGAAUUCUCCACUCUAAUUGCUUGCUUCAAGAGUUAAUCAACCAAAAACCCAACACAUGAGCUUACCAUGAUCUUGUCUUGAAACCAUAACUUGAAUUCUUCUAUUUGUUUAUAUUCUCAAGCUCUUGAUCCUUAAAAGCCCACAUAUGUCAAUCUUUGAGAUCCUCUAACGAACUCCACCUUGAAUAUAUUUGGUUAGACAUUAAAAUCAAUCUUGAUGGCUUCAACAUAAAUCCCCCAAAGACCAACUUGAAGCCUCACUGGAUAUGGUAUCUCGAAUGCCAAAACCUAGGCCCCGUGUGCACGUGGGUCAGGGACCCCGUGCGCACGGGGUAUCCAGAGAGUUGACACUCGACCCCGUGCGCACGAGGGUCAGGAGGCCCGUGCGCACGGGGUAUCCAGAGAGGAAUACCAUGAGGACUUCUUUGAAUGUUUUGAAGGCAUUCUUCUCACAUAAAUCCAACAUGCUUCAUGCAUCACUAUGGAACAUUUCUUCAUUAGGAUCCAAUGCACUCGAUGCUCCAUAGGAAUUUGUCAAUUAAUGCCAAAGCUUAGAGCAAACAUAUCUUCAUAUAUAUGGACUUUAUCCUUGAUUCCAUGUAAUAUCCUUGAUGCACCAUCUAUGGACAAUUCCUUCACAUGUAUCUCAAUGAAAACAUUAGUCCAUAGAGAUUGUCAUUAAUUACCAAAACCACACUUAGGGGCUACAUGCCCUUUCAACCGGGUAUUCAUCGGAUCACCGGAAGGGGUUCCAGGGGGCCCCCGGAGGUCUAUGGGCCUAAUGGGCCAAGGGGAGGCACACACCAGCCCACAAGGGGGCUGGCACGCCCUCUCCCUGGCCGUCCGCCCUUGAGAAGGAAAGGGUGGAGGGCUAUCCCCUCCUGCCUUCCCCUCCUCAUGGGAGAAAGGAAAGGGGGGGCACCGCCUCCUCUUGCCUUCUCCCUGACGCCAUACAAGGAGGGGUGCGCUAGAGGGCAGGAGCCCACGGGGGCCGGUCGGCCAUCCUUGGGGCGCCUCCUCGCUCUGUCCCCUCCCCCACUAUAUAUAUAUAUAUGAGGGAGGGGGCGCCACAAAACCCACAACAACUCUUAGCCGUGUGCGGCACCCCUCUCCACAGUUUAGUCCUCCAUCCAGUUUCUCCACAGUGCUUGAUACGUCUUCAACGUAUCUAUAAUUUUUUAUUGUUCCAUGCUAUUCUAUUAUCUGUUUUGGAUGUUUUAUAUGCAUUAAUAUGCUCUUUUAUAUUAUUUUUGGGACUAACCUAUUAACCUAGAGCCCAGUGCCAGUUCCUGUUUUUUCCCUGUUUUAGAGUUUCGCACAAAAGGAAUACCAAACGGAGUCCAAACGGAAUAAAACUUUCGUGAUGAUUUUUCUUGGACCAAAAGACAACCAGGAGACUUGGAGAUGUAAGUUAUAGGAGCCACAAGGCGGCCACAAGUACGGAGGGAACGCCCAGGGGGUAGGGCGCGCCUCCCACCCUUGUGGGCCCCUUGUGCACCUCCUGGCCUAAUUCUUUUGCCUAUAUAUUCCCAUAUAUACCAAACCAACAGAAGCAUCCACGGAAACACUUUUCCGCCACCGCAACCUUUUGUACCCAUGGAAUCCCAUCUAGGGGCCUUUUCCGGCGUCCUGUCGGAGGGGGAUUUGACCAUGGAGGGCUUCUACAUCAACACUAUUGCCCUUCCGAUAAAGCGUGAGUAGUUUACCAAAGACCUACGGGUCCAUAGCUAGUAGCUAGAUGGCUUCUUCUCUCUCUUUGAUUCUCAAUACCAUGUUCUCCUCGAUGUUCUUGGAGAUCUAUUCGAUGCAAUACUUUUUUGCGGUGUGUUUGCCGAGAUCCGAUGAAUUGUGGAUUUAUGAUCAGCUUAUCUAUGAAUAUUAUCUGAAUCUUCUCUGAAUUCUUAUAUGCAUGAUUUGAUAUCUUUGCAAGUCUCUUCGAAUUAUCCGUUUGGUUUGGCCAACUAGAUUGGUUCUUCGUGCAAUGGGAGAAGUGCUUAGCUUUGGGUUCAAUCUUGCGGUGUCCUUUCCUAGUGACAUUAGGGGCAGUAAGGCACGUAUUGUAUUGUUUCCAUCAAGGAUAAAAAUAUGGGGUUUUCAUCAUAUUGCUUGAGUUAAUUCCUCUACAUCAUGUCAUAUUACUUAAUGUGUUACUCCAUUCUUUAUGAACUUAAUACUCUAGAUGCCUGAUGGAUAGCGGGCGAUGUGUGGAGUAAUAGUAGUAGAUGCAGGCAGGAGUCGGUCUACUUGACACGGACGUGAUGCCUGCAUUCAUGAUCAUUGCCUUAGAUAUCGUCAUAACUUUGCGCUUUUCUAUCAAUUGCUCGACAGUAAUUUGUCCACCCACUGUAUUAUUUUCUAUCUUGAGAGAAGCCUCUAGUGAAACCUAUGGCCCCCGGGUCUAUUUUCCAUCAUAUUAGUUUCUGAUCUACUAUACUUGCAAUCUUUACUUUCCAAUCUAUAAACCAAAAAUACCAAAAACAUUUACUUCAUCAUUUAUCUAUCUCUAUCAGAUCCAACUUUUGCAAGUAACCUUGAAGGUAUUGAAAACCCCUUUAUCGCGUUGGGUGCAAGUUUGUUUGAUUGUUUGUGCAGGUAUUCAGUGAUUUGUGUGUUGUCUCCUACUGGAUUGAUACCUUGGUUCUCAAACUGAGGGAAAUACUUAUCUCUACUUUGUUGCAUCAUCCUUUCCUCUUCAAGGGAAAAACCAACGCAAGCUCAAGAAGUAGCAGGAAAAAUUUCUGGCGCUGUUGCCGGGGAAUUCUACACCAAGUCAAGACAUGCCAAGUACCCAUCACAAACUCUCAUCUCUUGCAUUACAUUAUUCGCCGUUUGCCUCUCGUUUUCCUCUCCCCCACUUCUAAAACGAUUUUCGAAAACAUUUGCCUUUUCUUUACCCCUCUUUUGCCAUCUUCUUUGCUUGAUUUUUGGUGUGCUUGUUUGUUGGUUUGGUUUGUUUCCAUCAUGUUUGAAUCUGGGGAGGUUAUCAUUGAAAAUCUUGAGGAGAAAUUUGAAUCUUGUUCUUUGGGUAAUGAAACUGCAAAUCCUCUCCUAAUUACAAAGCAAAAACUUUUCAUGUGGGUGACGGUAAUAUUAUUGGAAAAAGUGUUAUUCAAGAGUUCUUUGUUUGUACAUGAUCUAUGCCUAUUAAUAAAAGAUAUAUUCCUCUCGAUACAAAUUGUCAUGCGGAUGCCUUUGUUAUGUUUGUUGAGAAACUAGAAAGAAAAUUUGUGCACCUCCACCCCGCUUUGCAAAAAGUGUUUUACGAACUUCCUAACAUUAAUCAUCCUAUAGCUAAAAAGAUUGCAACUAUCAUUCUUAUGCGUGAAUUUGAUUUUAUACUACAAGAAGCUAGGGAUACUUUUGCUUUCUAUAAAAAGGAUGUUGAACACCCUCCAAUUGAGGAUAUCCUCCAUGACAAAGAAACUAUGCGUAGUUUGGAAUCUAGGGAUUAUCAAUCUUAUAGUGAAAACCUUAGGAGGAGAGUUCCCUAUGCAUAAAUCUCUCAAUCUUUGUACCUUGAGGCCUAUGAGGACUUCGAUUGGAUUGCGAGGGGUAUUCAUGUAGGAUUCAAUAGAGAUUGGUUGAAUAAAAUGAUGAAGGGACCCGUUAGAAACGAGAUACAUGUUCUUUAUGAUGAUAUUUAUGGUGAUGAUCCCGAUUACGGGUUUAUGAAUGUCAAAAUAACCAAUCAAAGUCCUUUUCAUGAUUUGAGUUCAUCUAAUAGAAGGGAAAUAAAGGAAAGGAUAGAUUUCUUAAGACGAGUUUUGGAGGAUUUGAUGAGAAAAGAAAUGCAUACCAAAGAUGACAAUACCUAGAUCUAUUCUUGUUUUAUGCCUAGCUAAGGGCGUUAAACAAUAGGGCUUCUUAGGAGGCAACGCAAUUUUAUUUUUGUUCUUUGCUUUUUGUUCCUGUUUUACUUUGAAUAAUUCAUCUAGCCUCUGGUUAGAUGUGGUUUUGUGUUUUAUAGUGUUUGUGCCAAGUAAGACCUUUGGGAUAGCUUACGGUGAUAGCUGUUUUGACUGAAAAACAGAAAUUUUUGCGCCCAGUAAAUAAUUUCCUAGAUUUUAUUGAAACAUGCUUUUGAUUUGAUUCUUUUUGCUCUAGAUUGGUACACAAAUUUCCCAGGUUUUCCUAAAUUUUCAGAAUUUUUGGAGUUACAGAAGUAUUCGAGAGUUACAGAUUGCUAUAGACUAUUCUGUUUUUGACAUAUUCUGUUUUCUAUGGGUUGUUUGCUUAUUUUGAUGAAUCUAUGGGCAGUAUAGGGGGUAUGAACCAUGUAAAAGUUGGAAUACAGUAGAUAUUACACCAAUAUAAAUAAAUAAUGAGUUUUCAACAGUGGGAGACUGAAGGAAAUAUGCCCUAGAGGCAAUAAUAAAGUUAUUAUUUAUUUCCUCAUAUCAUGAUAAAUGUUUAUUAUUCAUGCUAGAAUUGUAUUAACCGGAAACAUGAUACAUGUGUGAAUACAUAGACAAACAUAUAGUCACUAGUAUGCCUCUACUUGACUAGCUCAUUAAUCAAAGAUGGUUAUGUUUCCUAACCAUAGACAUGUGUUGUCAUUUGAUUAGUGGGAUCACAUCAUUAGAAGAAUGAUGUGAUUGACAUGACCCAUUCCGUUAGCCUAGCACUUGAUCGUUUAGUAUACUGCUAUUGCUUUCUUCAUGACUUAUACAUGUUCCUGUAACUAUGAGAAUUAUGCAACUCCCAUUUACCGGAGGAACACUUUGGGUACUACCAAACGUCACAACGUAACUGGGUGAUUAUAAAGGAGUACUACAGGUGUCUCCGAAGGUACAUGUUGAGUUGGCGUAUUUCGAGAUUAGGUUUUGUCACUCUGAUUGUCGGAGAGGUAUCUCUGGGUCCUCUCGGUAAUGCACAUCACUAUAAGCCUUGCAAGCAGUGUAGCUAAUGAGUUAGUUACGGAAUGAUGUAUUACAUAACGAGUAAAGAGACUUGCCGGUAACGAGAUUGAACUAGGUAUUGGAUACCGACGAUCAAAUCUCGGGCAAGUAACAUACCGAUGACAAAGGGAACAAUGUAUGUUGUUAUGCGGUUUGACCGAUAAAGAUCUUCGUAGAAUAUGUGGGAGCCAAUAUGGGCAUCCAGGUCCCGCUAUUGGUUAUUGACCGGAAACAAGUUCUAGGUCAUGUCUACAUAGUUCUCGAACCCGUAGGGUCCGCACGCUUAACGUUUUGUUGACGAUAUAGUAUUAUAUGAGUUAUGUAUGUUGGUAACCGAAUGUUGUUCGCAGUCCCAGAUGAGAUCAUGGACAUGACGAGGAACUAUGGAAUGGUCCGGAGAUAAAGUUUGAUAUAUGGGAUAAUAGUGUUUGAUCUCCGGAAGAGUUCCGGAAUUCACCGGAAGGGGUUCCGGAUGUUUCCCGAAAUGUUUGGGAACGAGAACACGUUAUUUGGGCCAAAGGGGAAACACAAGGUUUUUGGAAAGCGCAAAAAGAAGUUUUGCGGAGUCCAGGGGCCAGACGCCAGGGUCCCUGGUGUCUGGGUCCAGACGCCGGAAACCCUGGGGUCUGGCCCUGCAGUCCGAGAAGGACUCUUGCCUUUCUGGUGAAACUGACUUUGUGGAGGCUUUUACUCCAAGUUUCGACCCCAAGGCUCAACAUAUAAAUAGAGGGGUAGGGCUAGCACCAAAGAGACAUCAAGAAACACCAAGCCGUGUGCCGGCAACCCCGUCCCCUCUAGUUUAUCCUCCGUCAUAGUUUCCAUAGAGCUUAGGCGAAACCCUGCGGAGAUUGUUCUUCACCAACACCGUCACCACGCCGUCGUGCUGCCGGAACUCAUCUACUACUUCGCUCGUCUUGCUGGAUCGAGAAGGCGAGGACGUCAUCUAGUUGAACGUGUGCAGAACUCGGAGGUGCCGUGCGUUCGGUACUUGGAUCGGUCGGAUCGUGAAGACGUACGACUACAUCAACCGCGUUGAUAAACGCUUCCGCUUAGCGAUCUUCAAGGGUAUGAAGAUACACUCCCCCUCUCGUUGUUAUACAUCACCAUGAUCUUGCAUGUGUGUAGGAAUUUUUUUUGAAAUUACUACGUUCCCCAACAGUGGCAUCCAAGCCUAGGUUUUAUGCGUUGAUGUUAUAUGCACGAGUAGAACACAAGUGAGUUGCGGGCGAUACAAGUCAUACUGCUUACCAGCAUGUCAUACUUUGGUUCGGCGGUAUUGUGAGAUGAAGCGGCCCGGACCGACAUUACGCGUACACUUACGCGAGACUGGUUUCACCGUUACGAGCACUCGUGCUUAAAGGUGGCUGGCAGGUGUCUGUCUCUCUCACUUUAGCUGAAUCGAGUGUGGCUACGCCCGGUCCUUGCGAAGGUUAAAACAGCACUAACUUGACGAACUAUCGUUGUGGUUUUUGAUGCGUAGGUAAGAACGGUUCUUGCUAAGCCCGUAGCAGCCACGUAAAAUUUGCAACAACAAAGUAGAGGAUGUCUAACUUGUUUUUGCAGGGCAUGUUGUGAUGUGAUAUGGUCAAGACGUGAUGCUAUAUUUUAUUGUAUGAGAUGAUCAUGUUUUGCAACCGAAGUUAUCGGCAACUAGCAGGAGCCAUAUGGUUGUCUCAUUAUUGUAUGAAAUGCAAACGCCCUGUAAUUGCUUUACUUUAUCACUAAGCGGUAGCGAUAGUCGUAGAAGCAAUAGAUGGCGUAACGACAAAGAUGCUACGAUGGAGAUCAAGGUGUCGCGCCGGUGACGAUGGUGAUCAUGUCGGUGCUUCGAAGAUGGAGAUCACAAGCACAAGAUGAUGAUGGCCAUAUCAUAUCACUUAUAUUGAUUGCAUCUGAUGUUUAUCCUUUAUGCAUCUUAUCUUGCUUUGAUUGACGGUAGCAUUUUAAGAUGAUCUCUCACUAAUUAUCAAGAAGUGUUCUCCCCGAGUAUGCACCAUUGCAAAAGUUCUUCGUGCUGAGACACCACGGGAUGAUCGGGUGUGAUAGGCUCUACGUUCAAAUACAACGGGUGCAAAACAGUUGCACACGCGGAAUACUCAGGUUAUACUUGACGAGCCUAGCAUAUACAGAUAUGGCCUCGGAACACGGAGACCGAAAGGUCGAACGUGAAUCAUAUAGUAGAUAUGAUCAACAUACUGAUGUUCACCAUUGAAACUACUCCAUCUCACGUGAUGAUCGGACAUGGUUUAGUUGAUUUGGAUCACGUGAUCACUUAGAUGACUAGAGAGAUGUCUGUCUAAGUGGGAGUUCUUAAGUAAUAUGAUUAAUUGAACUUAAAUUUAUCAUGAACUUAGUACCUGAUAGUAUUUUGAUUGUCUAAGUUUGUUUGUAGAUAGAUGGCUCGUGUUGUUGUUUCAUUGAAUUUUAAUGCAUUCCUUGAGAAAGCAAAGUUGAAAGAUGAUGGUAGCAAUUACACGGACUGGGUCCGUAACCUGAGGAUUAUCCUCAUUGCUGCACAGAAAAGUUACGUCCUGGAAGCACCGCUAGGUGCCAGGCCUGCUGCUGAUGCAACUGACGACGUUAAGAACGUCUGGCAGAGCAAAGCUGAUGACUACUCGAUAGUUCAGUGUGCCAUGCUUUACGGCUUAGAACCGGGUCUUCAACGACGUUUUGAAUGUCAUGGAGCAUAUGAGAUGUUCCAGGAGUUGAAGUUAAUAUUUCAAGCAAAUGCCCAGAUUGAGAGAUAUGAAGUCUCUAAUAAGUUCUACAGCUGCAAGAUGGAGGAGAAUAGUUCUGUCAAUGAACACAUACUCAAAAUGUCUGGGUAUAAUAAUCACUUGAUUCAACUGGGAGUUAAUCUUCCUGAUGAUAGUGUCAUUGACAGAAUUCUCCAAUCACUGCCACCAAGCUACAAGAGCUUCGUGAUGAACUAUAAUAUGCAAGGGAUGAACAAGACUAUUCCCGAGCUCUUCGCAUUGCUAAAAGCCGCGGAGGUAGAAAUCAAGAAGGAGCAUCAAGUGUUGAUGGUUAAAAAAACCACCAGUUUCAAGAAGAAGGGCAAAGGGAAGAAGAAGGGGAACUUCAAAAAGAACAGCAAGCAAGUUGCUGCUCAAGAGAAGAGACCUAAGUCUGGACCUAAGCCUGAAACUGAGUGCUACUACUGCAAGCAGACUGGACACUGGAAGCGGAACUGCCCCAAGUAUUUGGCGGAUAAGAAGGAUGGCAAAGUGAACAAAGGUAUAUGUGACAUACAUGUUAUUGAUGUGUACCUUACUAAUGCUCGCAGUAGCACCUGGGUAUUUGAUACUAGUUCUGUUGCUAAUAUUUGCAACUCGAAACAGGGACUACAGAUUAAGCGAAGAUUGGCUAAGGAGGUGACAAUGCGCGUGGGAAAUGGUUCCAAAGUCGAUGUGAUCGCGGUCGGCACGCUACCUCUACAUCUACCAUCGGGAUUAGUUUUAGACCUAAAUAAUUGUUAUUUGGUGCCAGCGUUGAGCAUGAACAUUAUAUCUGGAUCUUGUUUGAUGCGAGAUGGUUAUUCAUUUAAAUCAGAGAAUAAUGGUUGUUCGAUUUAUAUGAGUAAUAUCUUUUAUGGUCACGCACCCUUGAAGAGUGGUCUAUUUUUGUUGAAUCUCGAUAGUAGUGAUACACAUGUUCAUAGUGUUGAAACCAAAAGAUGCAGAGUUGAUAACGAUAGUGCAACUUAUUUGUGGCACUGCCGUUUAGGUCAUAUCGGUGUAAAGCGCAUGAGGAAACUCCAUACUGAUGGGCUUUUGGAAUCACUUGAUUAUGAAUCACUUGGUACUUGCGAACCGUGCCUCAUGGGCAAGAUGACUAAAACGCCAUUCUCCGGAACUGUGGAGCGAGCAACUGAUUUGUUGGAAAUCAUACAUACUGAUGUUUGUGGUCCAAUGAAUGUUGAGGCUCGCGGCGGGUAUCGUUAUUUUCUCACCUUCACAGAUGAUUUGAGCAGAUAUGGGUAUAUCUACUUGAUGAAACACAAGUCUGAAACAUUUGAAAAGUUCAAAGAAUUUCAGAGUGAAGUGGAAAAUCAUCGUAACAAGAAAAUAAAAUUUCUACGAUCUGAUCGUGGAGGAGAAUAUUUGAGUUACGAGUUUGGUCUACACUUGAAACAAUGCGGAAUAGUUUCGCAACUCACGCCACCCGGAACACCACAACGAAAUGGUGUGUCCGAACGUCGUAAUCGUACUUUACUAGAUAUGGUGCGAUCUAUGAUGUCUCUUACUGAUUUACCGCUAUUGUUUUGGGGUUAUGCUUUAGAGACGGCCGCAUUCACGUUAAAUAGGGCACCAUCAAAAUCCGUUGAGACGACGCCUUAUGAACUGUGGUUUGGCAAGAAACCAAAGUUGUCGUUUCUUAAAGUUUGGGGUUGCGAUGCUUAUGUGAAGAAACUUCAACCAGAUAAGCUUGAACCCAAAUCGGAGAAAUGUGUCUUCAUAGGAUACCCAAAAGAAACUAUUGGGUACACCUUCUAUCACAUAUCUGAAGGCAAGAUUUUCGUUGCUAAAAUCGGAUCCUUUCUAGUGAAGGAGUUUCUCUCAAAAGAAGUGAGUGGGAGGAAAGUAGAACUUGAUGAGAUAACUGUAUCUACUCCCUUAUUGGAAAGUAGUUCAUCACAAGAACCGGUUCCUAUGACAACUACACCAAUCAGUGAGGAAGCUAAUGAUAUUGAUCAUGAAACUUCAGAUCAAGUUUCUGCUGAACUUCGUAGGUCUACCAGAGUAAGAUCCGCACCAGAGUGGUAUGGUAAUCCUAUUCUGGAAGUCAUGUUACUUGACCAUGAUGAACCUACGAACUAUGAGGAAGCGAUGAUGAGCCCAGAUUCUGCAAAAUGGCUAGAGGCCAUGAAAUCUGAGAUGGGAUCCAUGUAUGAAAACAAAGUAUGGACUUUGGUUGACUUGCUCGAUGAUCGGCAAGCAAUUGAGAAUAAAUGGAUCUUUAAGAAGAAGACUAACGCUGAUGGUAAUGUAACUAUCUAUAAAGCUCGACUUGUUGCGAAAGGUUUUCGACAAGUUCAAGGUGUUUACUACGAUGAGACUUUCUCACCCGUAGCGAUGCUUAAGUCUGUCCGAAUCAUGUUAGCUAUUGAUGCAUUUCAUGAUUAUGAAAUUUGGCAAAUGGAUGUCAAAACUGCAUUCUUGAAUGGAUUUCUGGAAGAAGAGUUGUAUAUGAUGCAGCCAGAAGGUUUUGUUGAUCCAAAAGGUGCUAACAAAGUGUGCAAGCUCCAGCGUUCCAUUUAUGGACUGGUGCAAGCAUCUCGGAGUUGGAAUAAACGCUUUGAUAGUGUGAUCAAAGCAUAUGGUUUUAUACAGACUUUUGGAGAAGCAUGUAUUUACAAGAAAGUGAGUGGGAGCUCUGUAGCAUUUCUGAUAUUAUAUGUAGAUGAUAUAUUAUUAAUUGGAAAUGAUAUAGAAUUUCUGGAUAGCAUAAAGGGAUACUUGGAUAAAAGUUUUUCAAUGAAAGACCUCGGUGAAGCUGCUUACAUAUUGGGCAUCAAGAUCUAUAGAGAUAGAUCAAGACGCUUGAUAGGACUUUCACAAAGCACAUACCUUGAUAAAAUUUUGAAAAAGUUCAAAAUGGAUCAGGCAAAGAAAGGGUUCUUGCCCGUACUACAAGGUGUGAAGUUGAGUCAAACUCAAUGCCCGACCACAACAGAAGAUAGAGAGAAAAUGAAAGAUGUUCCCUAUGCUUCAGCCAUAGGCUCUAUCAUGUAUGCAAUGUUGUGUACCAGACCUGACGUAUGCUUAGCAAUAAGCUUGGCAGGAAGGUACCAAAGUAAUCCAGGAGUGGAUCACUGGACAGCGGUCAAGAACAUCCUGAAAUACCUGAAAAUGACUAAGGAUAUGUUUCCCGUAUAUGGAGGUGACAAAGAGCUAGUCGUAAAUGGUUACGUCGAUGCAAGCUUUGACACUGAUCCGGACGAUUCUAAAUCGCAAACCGGAUACGUGUUUUUAUUAAACGGUGGAGCUGUAAGUUGGUGCAGUUCUAAACAAAGCGUCGUGGCGGGAUCUACAUGUGAAGCGGAGUACAUAGCUGCUUCGGAAGAAGCAAAUGAAGGAGUCUGGAUGAAGGAGUUCAUUUCCGAUCUAGGUGUCAUACCUAGUGCAUCGGGACCAAUGAAAAUCUUCUGUGACAAUACUGGUGCAAUUGCCUUGGCAAAGGAAUCCAGAUUUCACAAGAGGACCAAGCACAUCAAGAGACGCUUCAAUUACAUUCGGGACCAAGUCCAAGUGGGAGACAUAGAGAUUUGCAAGAUACAUACGGAUCUGAAUGUUGCAGACCCGUUGACUAAGCCUCUCUCACGAGCAAAACAUGAUCAGCACCAAGACUCCAUGGGUGUUAGAAUCAUUACUAUGUAAUCUAGAUUAUUGACUCUAGUGCAAGUGGGAGACUGAAGGAAAUAUGCCCUAGAGGCAAUAAUAAAGUUAUUAUUUAUUUCCUCAUAUCAUGAUAAAUGUUUAUUAUUCAUGCUAGAAUUGUAUUAACCGGAAACAUGAUACAUGUGUGAAUACAUAGACAAACAUAUAGUCACUAGUAUGCCUCUACUUGACUAGCUCAUUAAUCAAAGAUGGUUAUGUUUCCUAACCAUAGGCAUGUGUUGUCAUUUGAUUAGUGGGAUCACAUCAUUAGAAGAAUGAUGUGAUUGACAUGACCCAUUCCGUUAGCCUAGCACUUGAUCGUUUAGUAUACUGCUAUUGCUUUCUUCAUGACUUAUACAUGUUCCUGUAACUAUGAGAAUUAUGCAACUCCCGUUUACCGGAGGAACACUUUGGGUACUACCAAACGUCACAACGUAACUGGGUGAUUAUAAAGGAGUACUACAGGUGUCUCCGAAGGUACAUGUUGAGUUGGCGUAUUUCGAGAUUAGGUUUUGUCACUCCGAUUGUCGGAGAGGUAUCUCUGGGCCCUCUCGGUAGUGCACAUCACUAUAAGCCUUGCAAGCAGUGUAGCUAAUGAGUUAGUUACGGAAUGAUGUAUUACAUAACGAGUAAAGAGACUUGCCGGUAACAAGAUUGAACUAGGUAUUGGAUACCGACGAUCAAAUCUCGGGCAAGUAACAUACUGAUGACAAAGGGAACAACGUAUGUUGUUAUGCGGUUUGACCGAUAAAGAUCUUCGCAGAAUAUGUGGGAGCCAAUAUGGGCAUCCAGGUCCCGCUAUUGGUUAUUGACCGGAAACAAGUUCUAGGUCAUGUCUACAUAGUUCUCGAACCCGUAGGGUCCGCAUGCUUAAUGUUUCGUUGACGAUAUAGUAUUAUAUGAGUUAUGUAUGUUGGUAACCGAAUGUUGUUCGGAGUCCCAGAUGAGAUCAUGGACAUGACGAGGAACUCUGGAAUGGUCUGGAGAUAAAGUUUGAUAUAUGGGAUAAUAGUGUUUGAUCUCCGGAAGAGUUCCGGAAUUCACCGGAAGGGGUUCCGGAUGUUUCCCGAAAUGUUUGGGAACGAGAAAACAUUAUUUGGGCCAAAGGGGAAAGCCCACAAGGUUUUUGGAAAGCGCAAAAGGAAGUUUUGCGGAGUCCAGGGGCCAGACGCCAGGGUCCCUGGCAUCUGUGUCCAGACGCCAGAAACCCUGGCGUCUGGCCUUGGAGUCCGAGAAGGACUCUUGCCUUUCGGGUGAAACCGACUUUGUGGAGGCUUUUACUCCAAGUUUCGACCCCAAGGCUCAACAUAUAAAUAGAGGGGUAGGGCUAGCACCAAAGAGACAUCAAGAAACACCAAGCCGUGUGCCAGCAACCCCGUCCCCUCUAGUUUAUCCUCCGUCAUAGUUUCCGUAGUGCUUAGGCGAAGCCCUGCGGAGAUUGUUCUUCACCAACACCGUCACCACGCCGUCGUGCUGCCGGAACUCAUCUACUACUUCGCCCGUCUUGCUGGAUCGAGAAGGCGAGGACAUCAUCUAGCUGAACGUGUGCAGAACUCGGAGGUGCCGUGCGUUCGGUACUUGGAUCGGUCGGAUCGUGAAGACGUACGACUACAUCAACCGCGUUGAUAAACGCUUCCGCUUAGCGAUCUUCAAGGGUAUGAAGAUACACUCCCCCUCUCGUUGUUAUACAUCACCAUGAUCUUGCGUGUGCGUAGGAAUUUUUUUUGAAAUUACUACGUUCCCCAACACAUGUCACUCUUGAUUCAUUGCACAUCCAGGUACCCCGCCGGAGGUAUUCAUAUAGAGUAAUAUUUUGUUCUAAGUAUCGAGUUGUAAUUCUUGAGUUGUAAGUAAAUAAAAGUGUAAUGGUCAUCAUUAUUACAGCAUUGUCCAGUGAGGAAAUGAUGAUGGAGACUAUGAUUCCCCCACAAGUCGGGAUGAGACUCUGGACAAAAAAAAAGAGGCCAAAAAAAAGAGAAAGACACAAACAAAAAAGAAUGAGAGAAAAAGAGAGAAGGGGCAAUGUUACUAUCCUUUUUACACACUUGUGCUUCAAAGUAGCACCAUGAUAUUCAUGAUAGAAAGUCUCCUAUGAUAUCACUUUCAUAUACUAGUGGGAAUUUUUCAUUAUAGAACUUGGCUUGUAUAUUCCAAUGACGGGCUUCCACAAAUUGCCAUAGGUCUUCGUGAGCAAGCGAGUUGGAUGCACACCCACUUAGUUUUCUUUUGGGCUUUCAUAAACGUAUAGCUCUAGUGCAUCCGUUGCAUGGCAAUCCCUACUCACUUACAUUGAUAUCUAUUGAUGGGCAUCUCCAUAGCCCGUUGAUACGCCUAGUUGAUGUGAGACUAUCUCCACCUUUUUGUCUUCUCCACAACCAUUGUAUUCUAUUCCACCUAUAGUGCUAUGUCCAUGGCUCACGCUCAUGUAUUGCGUGAAAGUUGAAAAAGUUUGAGAACAUCAAAAGUAUGAAAAAAUUUCAUGCAUGAUUUAAAUAUUUUGUGUGGUGAAGAUGAAGCAUAGCCAGACUAUAUGAUUUUGUAGGGAUAAGCUUUCUUUGGCCAUGUUAUUUUGAGAAGACAUAAUUGCUUUAUUAGUAUGCUUGAAGUAUUAUCGUUUUUAUGUCAAUAUUGAACUUUUGUUUUGAAUUUUACAGAUAUGAACAUUCAUGCCACAAUAAAGAAAAUUACAAGGACAAAUAUGUUAGGUAGCAUUCCACAUCAAAAACUCUAUUUUUAUGAUUUACCUACUCGAGGGCGAGCAGGAAUUAAGCUUGGGGAUGCUUGAUACGUCUCCAACGUAUCUAUAAUUUUUUAUUGUUCCAUGCUAUUAUAUUAUCUGUUUUGGAUGUUUUUAUGCAUUAAUAUGUUAUUCUAUAUUAUUUUUGGGACUAUCCUAUUAACCUAGAGCCUAGUGCCAGUUCCUAUUUUUUCCCCGUUUUUGAGUUUCGUAGAAAAGGAAUACCAAACAGAGUCCAAACGGAAUAAAACUUUCGCGAUGAAGACAACCAGGAGACUUGGAGAUGAAGUUGGAGGAGCCACGAGGUGGCCACAAGGACGGAGGGUGCGCCCCCACUCUUGUGGGCCCCUCGUGCACCUCCUGGCCUAAUUAUUUCACCUAUAUAUUACCAUAUAUCCCCAAACCAAUAGAAGCAUCCACAAAAACACUUUUCCGCCGCCGCAACCUUCUGUACCCGUGGGAUUCCAUCUAGGGGAUUUUUCCGUCGUCCUGCCGGAGGGAGAUUCGACCACGAAGGGCUUUUACAUCAACACCAUUGCCCUUCGGAUGAAGUGUGAGUAGUUUACCACAGACCACGGGUCCAUAGCUAGUAGCUAGAUGGCUUCUUCUCUAUCUUUGAUUCUCAAUACCAUGUUCUCCUCGAUGUUCUUGGAGAUCUAUUCGAUGUAAUACUUUUUUGCGGUGUGUUUGCCAAGAUCCGAUGAAUUGCGGAUUUAUGAUUAGCUUAUCUAUGAAUAUUAUUUGAAUCUUCUCCGAAUUCUUAUAUGCAUGAUUUGAUAUCUUUGCAAGGCUCUUCGAGUUAUCGGUUUGGUUUGGCCAACUAGAUUGGUUCUUCUUGCAAUGGGAGAAGUGCUUAGAUUUGGGUUCAAUCUUGCGGUGUCCUUUCCCAGUGACAGUAGGGGUAGCAAGGAACGUAUUGUAUUGUUUCCAUCAAGGAUAAACAGAUGGGGUUUUCAUCAUAUUGCUUGAGUUAAUUCCUCUACAUCAUGUCAUCUUACUUAAUGUGUUACUUCGUUCUUCAUGAACUUAAUACUCUUGAUGCAUGAUGGAUAGCGGUCGAUGUGUGGAGUAAUAGUAGUAGAUGCAGGCAGGAGUCGGUCUACUUGCACACGGAUGUGAUGCCUAUAUUCAUGAUCAUUGCCUUAGAUAUCGUCAUAACUUUGCGCUUUUCUAUCAAUUGCUCCACAGUAAUUUGUUCACCCACCGUAUUAUUUUCUAUCUUGAGAGAAGCCUCUAGUGAAACCUAUGGCCCGCGAGUCUAUUUUCCAUCAUAUUAGUUUCCGAUCUAAUAUUCUUGCAAUAUAUUACUUUCUGAUCUAUAAACAAAAAAAUACCAAAAAUAUUUACUUUAUCAUUUAUCUAUCUCUAUCAGAUCUCACUUUUGCAAGUAAGAGUGAAGGGAUUGACAACCCCUUUAUCGCGUUGGGUGCAAGUUUGUUUGAUUGCUUGUGCAGGUAUUCGGUGAUCUGUGCAUUAUCUCCUACUGGAUUGAUACCUUGGUUCUAAAACUGAGGGAAAUACUUAUCUCUACUUUGCUGCAUCACCAUUUCCUCUUCAAGGGAAAAACCAAUGCAAGCUCAAGAAGUAGCAGUGCUCAGCGAAGCCCUCCGGGAACGUGUUCACCAUUACCGUCAUCACGCCGUCGUGCUGUCAGAACUCAUCUACUAAUUCACCCAUCUUGCUGGAUCAAGAAGGCGAGGACGUCAUCGAGCUAAACGUGUGCUGAACAUGGAGGUGUCGUAUGUUCGGUACUUGCUUGGUUGGAUCGCGAAGAAGUUUGACUACAUCAACCACGUUAAUGAACGCUUCCGCUUUACGAUUUACAAGGGUAUGUAGACACACUCUCCCCUCUUGUUGCUAUGCAUCUCAUUAAAUAGAUAUUACGUGUGCGUAGAAUUUUUUUUGUCUUCCAUGCAACGUUCCCCAACAGUGGCAUCAUGAGCCAGGUCUAUGCAUAGAUGAUAUGCACGAGUAGAACACAAAGAGGUUGUGGGCGAUGAUAGUCAUACAACUUACCACCAACGUCUUAUUUUGAUUCGACAGUAUUGUGGGAUGAAGCGGAACGGACCAACCUUACAUGUCCACGCACAUGACACCGGUUCCACUGACUGACAUGCAACUUUUUUUGCAUAAAGGUGGCUGGUGGGUGUUUGUUUCUCCUACUUUCGUUGAAUGGAAUUUGACUACGGGAGGUCCUGGAAGAAGGCUAAAACAGCAAACUUGAUAAAUCACCAUUGUGGUUUUUGCGUAGUUAAGAACGGUUCUUUCUAGAAGCCCAUAGCAACCACGUAAAACUUGCAAUAACAAAGUAGAGGAUGUCUAACUUGUUUUUGCAGGGCAUGUUGUGAUGUGAUAUGGUCCAGACGUGUUGUGAUAUACGUUGUUGUAUGAGAUGAUCAUGUUUUGUCAUAUCGACAACCUGCAGGAGCCUUAGGGUUGUCUCUUAAUUAUUGUAUGAAAUGCAACCGCCAUGUAGUAGAUUUACUUUUAUCACUAUGCGUUAGCAAUAUUUGUAGAAGCAAUAGUUGGCGAGACGAGCCUGACGCAACGAUGGAGAUCAAGGUGUCGAGCCAGUGACGAUGGAGAUCAUGACGAUGGUUUGGAGAUGGAGAUCAAAAUCACAAGAUGAUGAUGGCCAUAUCAUGUCACAUAUUUUGAUUGCAUGUGACGUUUAUCCUUUAUGCAUCUUAUUUUGCUUAGAACGGUGGUAGCAUUGUAAGAUGAUCCCUUCACUAAAUUUCAAGAUAAAAGUGUUCUCCAGGAGUAUGCACCAUUGCCAAAGUUCGUCGUUUUGAAGCACCUCGUGAUGAUCGGGUGUGAUAGACUCUACGUUCACAUACAACGGGUGUAAGACAGUUUUGCACAUGCAGAAUAGUUGGGUUAAACUUAACAAGCCUAGCAUGUACAGACAUGGUCUCGGAACACUGGAGACCGAAAGGUCGAACAUGAGUCAUAUAGUAGAUCUGAUCCACAUAGAGAUGUUCACCAUUGAUGACUUCCCCAUCUCACGUGAUGAUCGGACAUGGGUUAGUUGAUUUGGAUCAUGUAUCACUUAGAUAACUUGAGGGAUGUUUAUUUAAGUGGGAGUUCAUUAGUAAUUUGAUUAAUUGAACUUAAUUUACCAUGAACUUAGUCUUAAUAGUUUUUGCAUAUCUAUGUUGUAGAUCAUGGCCCGAGCUACCGUUCCCCUGAAUUUUAAUGCGUUCCUAGAGAAAGCUAAGUUGAAAGAUGAUGGUAGCAACUACACAGACUGGGUCCGUAACUUGAGAAUUAUCCUCAUUGCUGCACAAAAGAAUUAUGUCCUUGAUGCACCGCUAUGUGACAGACCUGCUGCAGGAGCUACUACAUAUGUUAUGAACGUCUGGCAGACUCGGUUUGAUGACUACUCGAUAGUUCAGUGUGCCAUGCUUUAUAGCCUAGAACCGGGACUUCAAAGACGUUUUGAACAUCAUAGAGCAUAUGAGAUGUUCCAAGAGCUGAAGUUGAUAUUUCAAGCUAAUGCCCAGGUUGAGAGAUAUGAAGUCUCCAACAAGUUCUACAGCUACAAGAUGGAGGAAAAUAAUUCUGUCAAUGAACACAUACUCAAAAUAUUUGGGUAUCAUAACCACUUGACUCAGCUGGGAAUUGAUCUUCCAGUUGAGAGUGUUAUUGACAGAGUUCUUCAGUCACUGCCACCAAGCUACAAAGGCUUCAUGAUGAACUAUAAUAUGCAAGGGAUGACGAAAAUGAUUGUCGAGCUCUUCGCAAUGCUUAAGGCCGCAGAGGUAGAUAUCAAGAAGGAGCGUCAAGUGUUGAUGGUUAACAAAACCACUAGUUUCAAGAAAAAGGGCAAGGGAAAGAAAGAGAAUUUCGAGAAGAAUGGCAAGCAAGUUGCCACUCCCGUGAAGAAGCCCAAAGAUGGAAGCAAGCCUGAAACUGAGUGCUUCUACUGCAAAGGAAAUGGUCACUGGAAGCGGAACUGCCCCAAAUACUUGGCUGAUAAGAAGGAUGGCACAGUCAACAAAGGUAUAUUUGAUAUACAUGUUAUUGAUGUGUACCUUACUAAUGCUCGUCGUAGAGCCAAGGUAUUUGAUACUGGUUCGGUUGCUCAUAUUUGUUACUCGAAAUAGGAUCUAUGGAAUAAACAAAGAUUGGCUAAGGACAAGGUGACAAUGCGCAUCGGAAAUGGUUCCAAGGUCGAUGUGAUCGUCGUCGACACGCUACCUCUACAUCUACCUUCGGGGUUAGUUUUAGACCUCAAUAAUUGUUAUUUGGUGCCAGCGUUGAGCAUGAACAUUAUAUUUGGAUUUUGUUUAUUACGAGACGGUUGUUCAUUUAAAUCAGAGAAUAAUGGUUGUUCUAUUUAUAUGAGUAAUAUCUUUUAUGGUCAUGCACCCUUGAUGAAUGGUCUAUUCUUGUUGAAUCUCGAUCAUAGUGAUACACAUAUAAUAUUGAUGCCAAAAGAUGCAAAGUUGAUAAUGAUAGUGCAAAAUAUUUGUGGCACUGCCAUUUAGGUCAUAUUGGUGUAAAGCGCAUGAAGAAACUCCAUAUAGAUGGAAUUUUGGAAUCACUUGAUUAUGAAUCAUUUGAUACUUACGAACCAUGCCUCAUGGGCAAGAUGACUAAAACUCCGUUCUCCAGAACAAUGGAGCGAGCUAAUGACUUACUGGAAAUAAUACAUACCGAUGUAUGCAGUCCGAUGAGUGUUGAGGCACGCGGCGGGUAUCGUUAUUUUCUGACCUUCACGGAUGAUUUGAGUAGGUAUGGAUAUAUCUACUUGAUGAAACACGUCUGAAACAUUUGAAAACUUCAAGGAAUUUCGGAGUGAAGUAGAGAAUCAUCGUAAGAAGAAGAUAAAAUUUCUACGAUCUGAUCAUGGAGGUGAACAUUUGAGUUACGAGUUUGGCCUUCAUAUAAAAUAACAUGGAAUUGUUUCACAACUCAUGCCACCUCGAACACCACAACGUAAUGGUGUGUCCAAACAUCGUAACCGCAUUUUAUUAGAUAUGGGGCAUUCUAUGGUGUCUCUUACCGAUUUACCACUAUUUUUUGGGUUAUGCAUUAGAGACAGCCGCAUUCAUGUUAAAUAGGACACCGUCUAAAUCCGUUGAGACGACACUGUAUGAACUAUGGUUUCGCAAGAAACCUAAGUUGUCGUUUCUUAAAGUUUGGGGAUGCGACACUUAUGUCAAAAGGCUUCAGCCUGAUAAGCUCGAACCCAAAUUGGAGAAUUGCGUCUUCAUAGGAUACCCUAAGGAAACUAUCGGUACACCUUCUACCAUAGAUCCAAAGGCAAGAUCUUUGUUGCUAAGAAUGGGUCCUUUUUAGAGAAGGAGCUUCUAUCGACAGAAGUGAGUGAGAGGAAAGUAGAACUUGAUGAGGUAAUUAUACCUUAUCUUGAAUUGGAAAGUAGCAUAUCAGAGAAAACCGUUCCCAUGAUGCCUACACCAACUAGAGAGGAAGAUAAUGAUGAUGAUCAUGAAACUUUGGAUCAAGUUACUACUGGACCUUGUAGGUCGACCAGAGCAUGUUCCGCACUAGAUUGGUACGUACUCCUAUCCUGGAAGUCAUGUUAUUAGACCAUGGCGAACCUACGAACUAUAAAGAAGCUAUGAUGAGCCCAGUUUCCGAUAAAUGGCUUGAGGCCAUGAAAUCUGAGAUAGGAUCCAUGUAUGAGAACAAAGUAUGGACUUUGGUGGACUAGCUCGAUGAUCGGCAAGCCAUUGAGAAUAAAUGGAACUUCAAAAAUAAGACGGAUGCUGAUGGUAAUGUCACUGUCUACAAAGCUCAACUUGUCAGAAAAUGUUUCCGACAAGUUCAAGGGGUUGACUACGAUGAGACUUUCUCGCCCGUAGCGAUGCUUAAAUCUGUCCGAAUCAUGUUAACAAUUGCAGCAUUUUAUAAUUAUGAAAUCUUGCAAAUGGACGUCAAAACUGCAUUCCUUAAUGGAUUUCUUAAAGAGAGUUGUAUAUGAUGCAACUAGAAGGUUUUGUCGAUCCUAAAGGUGCUAACAAAGUGUGCAAGCUGCAAAGAUCCAUCUAUGGACAGGUGCAAGCAUCUCGGAGUUCGAAUAUAUGCUUUGAUGAGGUGAUUAAAGCAUAUGGUUUUAUACAGACUUACAGUGAAGUCUAUAUUUACAACAAAGUGAGUGGGAGCUCUGUAGCAUUUCUGAUAUUAUAUGUGGAUGACAUAUUUGUUGAUUGGAAAUGAUAUAGAAUUUCUGGAUAGCAUAAAAGUAUAGUUGAAUAAGAAUUCUUUAAUGAAAGACCCCGGUGAAGCUGCUUAUAUAUUGGGCAUCAAGAUCUAUGGGGAUAGAUCAAGAUGCUUAAUAGGACUUUAACAAAACACAUACCUUGACAAAGUUUUGAAGAAGUACAAAAUUGAUCAGUCAAAGAAAGGGUUCUUGCCUAUGUUACAAGGUAUGAAAUUGAGUCAGACUCAAAGCCUGACUACUGCAAAAGAUAGAGAUAAAAUGAAAGUCAUCCCCCCUGCCUCAGCCAUAGGUUCUAUCAUGUAUGAUAUGCUAUGUACCAGACCUGAUGUGUGCCUAGCCAUAAGUUUGGCAGGUGUCGGUGUCAAAACCGGCGGAUCUCGGGUAGGGGGUCCCGAACUAUGCAUAUAAGGCUAAUGGUAACAGGAGGCGGGGGACACAAUGUUUACCCAGGUUUGGGCCCUCUCGAUGGACGUAAUACCCUACUUCCUGCUUGAUUGAUCUUGAUGAUAUGAGUAUUACAAGAGUUGAUCUACCAUGAGAUCAAAGAGGCUAAACCCUAGAAGCUAGCCUAUGGUUAUGAUUGUUCUCCUCCUAUGGACUAAACCCUCCGGUUUAUAUAGACACUGGAGGGGGCUAGGGGUUACACAGAGUUGGUUACAAAGAAAGGAAUCUUCAUAUCCAAAUCGCCAAGCUUGCCUUCCACGCAAAGGAGAGUCCCAUCCGGACACGGGAUGAAGUCUUCUAUCUUCUAUCUUCAUAUCCCAAUAGCCCGGCAUACACAUAUAGUCCGGUUGUCCAAGGACCCCUUAAUCCAGGACUCCCUCAGUAGCCCCUGAAGCAGGCUUCAAUGACGAUGAGUCCUGCGCGCAGAUUGUCUUCGGCAUUGCAAGGCGGGUUCCUUCUCCGAAUAGUCCAAAGUAGAUCUUGACCAAAAGAAUCGUGUCCGGCUCUGCAAAAAAAAUUCCACAUACCAUGUUAGAGAGUACAGUAUCCCAUGAGUCCAAUCUGAUGACAGCUCAUAGUGUGACAUCACGCCGCGGCCCGGUCUUUAUUCGAACCAUUUUUAUCCUUCCCCUCCGUAUUUCGAGGCGCGGUUUCAUUGGCCUGUCUUGUCGAAGCAGAGAUCAUGUCCCCUUAUCACGGGAUUCUCACCAAUGCGGGCGUGGGUAACCCAACCAUGCCAUCAGCACGACCCUUAGGAAAUAAGCAAGUUUUAGGGCGUACGGGGAGGCGCACGAUUUUUACUGCCUUUAUAAGGGGAUAAGGAUUCCCCUCUUUCACCCACGCCCUCUUCUUCCUCUGCUCAUUCAUCCUCGAGCUCCAACGCCCAAGCACCCAUCUCUUCCGCCCCCAAAAGCACUCCCAUCAUGUCCGAAUCCGGAGCUGGAGGCAAGUGGAUGGCCUCCUCCGUCAAGAAGGAGGACAUCAAGAAGCUCCGGGAGGCCGGGUACUUGUCCAAAGACAUCGCUCAUUGGCUUCCGGCCAAAGGGCAGAUCAUCCCUACCCCGGAGCCCCAAGAAAGGGUGGUAUUUCUUUCCCACUUUGUUCGCGGGUUGGGGUUCCCUCUCCACCCGUUCGUACAUGGACUGAUGUUCUACUACGGGCUAGACUUCCACGACUUGGCCCCCAACUCCAUCCUCAACAUUUUGGCAUUCAUUGUCGUGUGUGAGGCCUUCCCCCGCAUCCCACCUCACUUCGGCCUAUGGCUGAAGACCUUCAAUGUGAAGCCCAAGAUUGUGAGUGGCGAACAAGCAGGAGUGCGGAGGCGAUAUGGUGGGCAAUAUGCCCAAUGUCACCUGGUCCGAAGGCUCCUUUGUAGAGACCAUAAAGGGGUGGCAAUCAGGGUGGUUCUACAUUACCGAACCGUGCGACGCCAACUGGGCGGCGACCACCGAAUUCUGAUCCGGACUCCCCAUGCGGCUCACCUCUUGGCAAGAGAACGGUUUAGCCUCGGGCUCAGCGGAAGAAGUGACUGGGCUCCAGACAUGUGUCCAGAACAUGAUUGACAAGAAAAUCAAGCUUGUGAACAUGAUCCAGGUCAUGCUCUUCCGCCGGAUUCUUCCGUGCCAGAGCCGGACUUGUAAUUUGUGGGAGUUCGACCCGGCCAAGCACCAGACACUGCUGGAGCUCUUCGAUACGACACACGAAGACAUCUGGAAGGUGCUUUUUAAGGCCGGUGAGGUUCCACCGCCCACGUUCGAAGACCGCGGGCUUAGCGCAAGACGCCGGGAUAAUCCGGUAAGUUCUUUUAUGUUUGCAAGAUAUAUCUUUUUGCCGGCAUAUCCGUGGGAGGAACCUAAGCCUCCAUGCCAAUCUCUUAGGCCUGGGUAACGAUCGCGGAGCAGAUCGAAUGUCCGGCUCCGCUGCCCGAAGAUCAAGAAACGCCUCUUCUGACGAAGUUGCUAUUUCCGGCGCCUUAUGAGGUGCCGGAGAAGAAAACCAAGAAGGCGGCCAAGGGGACCAGAGGUGGUCUCCGACGCAAGGGUGUUUCAGACGUGACGUCCGAAGAUGCCGAGGCGCACUCCUCUGCCGAAGACGACGGGGAGGAGGAGGCCCAUCCCCCCCCCCCAUUGGGGGGAAAUAAGAGGAAGGCCUCCACAUAUGGGGAGGCCGAGGCGCCCAAGAAGGGAAAAAUCUCCCUUCCGGACUACUCCGCCGCAGCCACCAACAGCAGCGAGGAGUGGGGGCCCAGGGUCAAGCCCCUAGCCAAAUCGUAAGUAUCCGAACACGAUAAUAUUUCCGAGUUUUUUCACCUUAUCGUUUUUAAUGUGUUAGACCAUGCAUCUGCAGUCCAGCCCAAUCCAACAUCGAGCUCUCCUCCUCUUCGAAGGGGUCGCUGGAUCCGUCAGUGAUGAACAGCGAGUCCCUUCCAACGGCCACCUCCCAUAAGGCCGCGGACAACACCGAGGUGUUGUCCCGAAGGAUACCGUGCCAAGAGGAGGCUGUUUCGGUGAUGCCAGAGGAAAGAAGUCUGGUCGCCGAGCACAUGGGGGGAAAGACCCCUAGACCCCGACGAUGAGGGCCGAGUCCAGUUUGGUCCUCAGUCGGAUACAGCUCCGGAGACCCAAGUGGCUCCAAAUUUGGGCAGGCAGCCUCUCCCUAACGAGGGGGGCAAGCCGCCUCCGCCGGUGACCUCUGUCCGCCCAAAGGCACCGGACAGAUUGUUGGAAGCGCUACAAGGCGUUUCCAUUAUGGAAGAACACUGUACUCUUAUGAGUAUGGUGAUUGUGAAAGUUCAGUCCGCCAAAAACAGACUGACCGAAACCUGCCUUAGCCUUCUAACAGGCUUUGAGGUAAGUAAUGUAGUUGUAAAAGAAUAUCACCUUGUAGACAGUAGCCCCUGAUGCUCUGUUCGGUGUUCGAAAAGAAAAAGCAAACGGAGGAUCAAAAUAAUUUUCGCAGGAGUCUAACAUAGCAUGUCUAUGUGAACAAGCAGGCAUCGCUGCUACCCGUUGCCGCUCAUACUGCGGAGGUCUCCGGCUUGACGCAGAAUCUGGAGCGGGCCAAGGAAGAACUCGUCCUCGUGAAGAAGCAACUGGAGGACAACCAAGGUAUACACUAACUGGUGCUUUAUAUUUGGGAAGGAUGAAAAGUUCAUACUGACUGAAGUGUCAUGAACUUUAUUAGGGGUCACGAUCGAAGUAGCGGCCCUCAAGAAGGUGUUGGCCUAGGCCGAGGACAAAGCGUCUAAGGAACGCACCGCGCGCGAGAAGCAGGAGGCCCGGGUCGGCGAGGUCCAGCAAGAGCUUCAGGACGCUGUCAAAAAGUACGAGUCAUUGGAGCGUAAUUCAAAGACUCAAGAGUCCGAACUUGCCAAGGCCCGCCAGGGCGCGCAAGAUGCCCGAGCCGAAGCCCAGAGCGCCCUCCGAGAAAUCCAGGUGGCCCAGGAGAUCACGGCGGGUAAAGCUUUUAUUAUGCAAAGCAAGUGUGUGAAUGAAACGUUCCCUUUACUUACCCGGAUUUGGAGUUCUACAGGAGCGUUUGCGGAUCUACCGUGCAGUAUAUCAGAUGCUGCCGAAUUCUUUCGAUCCGAAGAAGGGAGCUCUACGGAGAAGUUGUUCUGGUCUCAAUACCUUGGAUCAGAACAUCCGGUGCCCCUUAGCGACCAGCUAAAACAGUUGGUCGAGCUGCACAAGGGAGCCGAACUGGCAAUCAUAGUAGUUCUCCCUUUACUACCCUAGCCGAUAUAACGGAACAUAGGGUAGCAAGCACAGGAGCCGGGCAACCCAACUAUUGACCAAAGACAUGAUUCAGAGCCGAUGCAUAUAAUGCUAUAAGUUCGGGGUUCCGAACUAUACUAUAAACGUGUUCGGACUUUCUUGUCGUGUUAUGGGGUACAAUGACGCCCCUGGCGAAUUAAGGCGUACCAUAAUGUACGGGUGCAAUUGAAAAUAAAUGGACAAGAAAAAAUUGAAGUAAUGGGUAAACACUGCAGAUUAUUUUUCAUUGUAAGUUGAUUGAUACGUCAAGGCGUAUCUAUACAAAGUAGUGCAAUAAGCAAAUAAGGCUAUUUAACAUGCCACGACCAAGAGCGAGUUGCGUGCGGGUAUUUAAAACAGGUAUGACGAUCAUUAGCAAAGACCACCUGGGUAUUCCCUUGUACGUCCGAGCCCCUAGCUUUCUUGGCGUAUCCGUCCCGCUACGGCUCCGAUGAACACAUUUAUCAAAAAAGGCCUUGAGAGGUGAAAAAACUUGAAAGAAAGAGAAAAACUGAAGGUAUGCAGAUCCAGGAGCGGGUGAGCCGCAUUGUGGGCUGCAAUCUUAGUUGUGCCUCCGUCCAUGCCCAUGGUAUUUUAAGUGCGUGGUUGUGUACGCGCGGCAUGAAUUUCGCCGCUUUAUUGGGGCUAGGAUGAAGGCCAGAUUGCUAGCUGAGUUGUGGACGAGCCGGAUGGUCCUGUUGCGGAGUAGCACGGACCCGCUUAACGAUGUCCGAGGGCUUUAUUGCCGAAUUGAGGUUUUGCCUAAGGAGGCUAUUCUAUACUUAUGCUGCAAGGGCCGCGGUAUGCUCCUCGGUACGGAGGGAGCGCUCUGUAUUUCCAUUGACUGUUAUAACACCGCGGGGUCCGGGCAUCUUGAGCUUAAGGUAGGCAUAGUGCGGCACCGCAUUGAAACGGGAAAAUGCGGUUCGUCCGAGCAGUGCGUGAUAACCACUGUGGAAGGGGACAAUAUCGAAGAGUAGCUCUUCGCUUUGGAAAUUAUCCGGGGAUCCGAAGACCACUUCCAGUGUGAUUGAGCCCGUGCAGCAGGCCUCUACACCUGGUAUGACACCUUUAAAGGUGGUUUUGGUGGGCAUGAUCCUUGAGGGAUCAAUACCCAUUUUGUGUGUUGUAUCCUAGUAAAGCAGGUUCAAGCUGCUACCACCGUCCAUGAGGACACGUGUGAGCUAGAAUCUGUCAAUGAUAGGGUCAAGCACCAGUGCGGUUGAACCGCCGUGACGGAUACUGGUCGGAUGGUCCCUUCGAUCGAAGAUGAUCGAACAGGAGGACCAUGGCUUGUAUUUUGGGGCGACUGGCUCCAUCGUGUAGACGUCCCUUAGUGCGCGCUUCCGCUCCCUUUUGGGGAUAUGGGUAGCAUAUAUCAUGUUCACCGUUUUCACUUGGGGGAGGGGACUUCUUCUGUCCCAUGUGUUCUGCGGUCGGGGUUCCUCGUCGUCGUCACUUUGCAAUCCCUUUUCCUUGUUUUCAGCAUUUAACUUGCCGGCCUGUUUAAAGACCCAACAUUCUCUGUUGGUGUGAUUGGCUGGUUUAUCAGGGGUGCCGUGGAUUUGACAUGGACGAUCGAGUAUGCGGUCCAGACUGGACGGGCCCAGAUUGUUUCUUUUAAAUGGAUUUUUCCGCUGAUUGGACUUAGAGCCACUGAAUCCGGCAUUGAUGGUCGUGUCUUCGGUGUUAUCGCCAUUAUUUCAACGCUUGUGUCUGUUGCGUCGGGGCUUGCCAUUGCUAUCUUUGGCUUUGGAAGUGCCAGGUUUGCUUGAGGUGAUGUUGCUACGAGCUAGCCAGCUAUCCUCACCCGCACAAAAGCGAGUCAUGAGCGUCAUGAGGGCUGCCGUGGACUUCGGCUUCUCUUGGUCGAGGUGUCGGGUGAGCCACUCGUCGCGGAUGUUAUGCUUAAAGGCCGCUAGGGCUUCGACAUCUGGACAGUCGACGAUUUGGUUCUUUUAGUUAAGAACCGAGUCCAGAAUUUCCUGGCUAACUCUCCAGGAUGUUGGAUUAUAUGACUUAAGUCAUCGGCAUCCGGAGGUUAGACAUAAGUGCCCUGGAAGUUGUCAAGGAAUGCGUCUUCCAGGUUCUCCCAACUGCGAAUAGAGUUUCCUAGCAGACUGUUCAACCAGUGCCUAGCUGUCCCUUUGAGUUUUAGCGGGAGAUACUUGAUGGCAUGGAGAUCAUCGCCGCGGGCCAUAUGUAUAUGGAUAAGGAAGUCCUCGGUCCAUACCGCAGGAUCUGCUGUUCCAUCAUAUGAUUCAAUGUUUACGGGUUUAAACCCUUCUAGGAAUUCAUGCUCCAUUACUUCGUCAGUGAAGCAGAGGGGGUGUGCGGCACCUCUGUGUCGGGCUAUGCCCGAACGUAGCUCAAAUGGAGCCCGUCUGCGGUAUUCGGCCCGGACAGGUUUGUGCUUGUUAUAUCCGGCUUGGCGGCCGUCAUUGCACGUUGGGGCGCACCCCCGUGAUCCGUAGAUCGAUCUGGUUUGUCCUGCUCUGUUUUCCAAAUCGUACCGCAGGUCAUGUGUGUAUCCCUGAGCUGUUGUGUUUGUAUUUGUUCGAGGCAGUGCCGGCUGGUGCUCGUGCUGAAUUGCCGUUUUAUCUCAGCCACGUGGUGGACGAUCAGCCGCAUUAUGCGCCGGUAGUGCCAGCUCUGGUGCCUCGUCAUCGAAUUGAGGUAGCAAUUUGUGCUUUUGGUAACUUUUUGUUGGGCGUUCGAGUCCGUAUUCCUCGGCUGCCAGGACCUCAGUCCAUCUAUCAGUGAGCAGAUCUUGAUCAGCUCGAAGAUGCUGCUGCUUCUUCUUCAGGCUUUUUGCAGUGGCUAUAAGUCGGCGCUUGAAAUGCUCCUGCUCAACGGGAUCCUCAGGGACGAUAAAUUCUUCGUCGCCGAGGCUCACCUCGUCCUCGGAGAGGGGCAUGUAAUUGCUGUCUUCCGAGUCGUCAUUCACGGCCUGGUCGUCGGGGUUAGCUCGCCCAUCUUCCCGUCCGGCCUCUUCAAAACUUGGCUUGGCGGGGUCUUUGUUGUCUUCAGCAUCGUCCGGAGUGCUAUUCUCUCUUGUGCCGGUAUCGCUAUUUUUACCAUGGCGUGACUUAGAGCGGCGCCGCUGACGUCGGCACUUAGACUGCUUCUCAGGAAGUUUAUCCUCAACUGGAUCUUUUAUGUCAUCGCCAUUGUCUUCUUUGGGUGUAUCCACCAUGUAUAUAUCGUAUGAGGAGGUGGCUAUCCAGCUCCCUAUUGGCGGUGGUUCUUGUUCUUCUCCGGCAUCGUCGUCCAUACCGUCGAUGUCUUCGGAGUCGAAAUCAAGCAUGUCGGUCAAAUCGUCAACAAUGGCUAUCAAGUGGGUGGUGGGUGGGUAACGAAGUUCUUCGUCGCCCGCUUCCCACUCAAGCCGGACAUAGUUCGGCCAAGGAUCUCCUGACAAAGAGAGAGACUUUAAUGAGUUUAACACAUCGCCUAAGGGCGAGUGUUGGAAGAUGUCCGCGGAGCUGAACUCUAAGAUCGGCGCCUGGUCAGAUUCGAUGGGUGCAGAUACGCGGGGUUCGGAACCUAUGGCUGGAGAUGAGUCCGAGGCUCCGAUGACACAGGCCUUGUUGGAGGUCAUAUCUGUGUCCGGUUCUAGCGUCGUUGAGUUCGCGGCUUCCGUGGCGAGGUUGAGCCUCCCGUCCCCGGAUGGCGCGCUCUGCUCUGGAUCUAGGGCUAGUGCAGUUACAUGCGCAAUCUCCCGCACACCAUCUGAUGACAGAUUUAGGUCAUCUUCAUCGUGGCGGCAGGGCGCGGCUGUCAGGGGCUCGAAUACGUCAAAGAUCAAGUCUCCGUGAAUAUCGGCGGUGUAGUUCAAGCUUCCAAACCUGACCUGAUGGCCAGGGGCGUAGCUGUCGAUCUGCUCUAGAUGGCCAAGCGAGUUGGCCCGCAGUGCGAAGCCGCCGAAUAUGAAGAUCUGUCCGGGGAGAAAAACUUCACCCUUGACGACAUUGUUGUGGAUGAUUGAAGGAGCCAUCAAGUCUUAUGGUGGCGACACAGUGGAACUCUCAAUGAAAGCACCAAUGUCGGUGUCAAACCCGGCGGAUCUCGGGUAGGGGGUCCCGAACUAUGUGUCUAAGGCUAAUGGUAAUAGGAGGCGGGGGGACACAAUGUUUACCCAGGUUCGGGCCCCCUCGAUGGAGGUAAUACCCUACUUCCUGCUUGAUUGAUCUUGAUGAUAUGAGUAUUACAAAAGUUGAUCUACCAUGAGAUCGAAGAGGCUAAACCCUAGAAGCUAGCCUAUGGUUAUGAUUGUUCUCCUCCUACGGGCUAAACCCUCCGGUUUAUAUAGACACCGGAGGGGGCUAGGGUUACACAGAGUCGGUUACAGAGAAAGCAAUCUUCAUAUCCGAAUCGACAAGCUUGCCUUCCAUGCAAAGGAGAGUCCCAUCCGGACAUGGGACGAAGUCUUCUAUCUUGUAUCUUCAUAUCCCAACAGUCCGGCAUAUGCAUAUAGUCCGGCUGUCCGAGGACCCCUUAAUCCAGGACUCCCUCAGCAAGGAGGUACCAAAGUAAUCUAGGAGUGGAUCACUAGACAAAAUUCAAGAACAUCCUAGUACCUAAAAAGGACCAAGGAAAUUUUUCUCGGUUAUGGAGGUGAUAAAGAGCUUGUCAUAAAUGGUUAUGUCGAUGCUAGCUGUCAGUUGAAUGGUGGAGCUGUCAGUUGGUGCAGUUCCAAGCAGAGUGUUGUGGCGGGAUCUACGUGUGAAGCCGAGUACAUAGCUGCUUUGGAAGCAGCGCAUGAAGGAGUCUGGAUGAAGGAGUUCAUAUCCAAUCUGGGUGUAAUACCCAGUGCAUUGGGUUCAACGAAAAUCCUUUGUGACAACACUGGAGAAAUUGCCUUAGUGAAGGAAUACAGGUUUCACAAGAGGACCAAACACAUCAAGUGACACUUCAACUCCAUUUGUGAAAAGGUCAAGGAUGGAGACAUAGAAAUUUGCAAAAUACAUACGGGUCUGAAUGUAGCAGACCCGUUGACUAAGCCUCUUCCGCGAGCAAAACAUGAUCAACACCAAGACUCCAUGGGUGUUAGAUUGAUUAUAAUGUAAUCUAGAUUAUUGACUCCAGUGCAAGUGGGAGACUGAUGGAAAUAUGCCCUAGAGGCAAUAAUAAAGUUGUUAUUAUUAUAUUUCCUUAUUCAUGAUAAAGGUUUAUUAUUCAUGCUAGAAUUUUAUUGACUGGAAACUUAAAUACAUGUGUGGAUACAUAAACAAAUACUGUGUCCCUAGUGAGACUCUACUAGACUAGCACGUUGAUAAAAAGAUGGUUAAGGUUUCCUAACCAUAGACAUGUUUUGUCACUUGAUAACGGGAUCACAUCAGAAUGAUGUGAUGGACAAGACCCAUCUGUUAGCUUAGCAUAUGAUCGUUCAGUUUAUUGCUAUUGCUUUCUAAUGUCAAAUACAUAUUCCUUUGACUAUGAGAUCAUGAAACUCCCGGAUACCGGAGGAAUAUCUUGUGUGCUAUCAACCAUCAUCACAUAACUGGGUGAUCAUAAAGAUUCUCUACAGGUAUUUCCGAAUGUGUCUGUUGAGUUGGCAUGGAUUGAGAUUAGGAUUUGUCACUCCGUGUAUCGGAGAGGUAUCUCUGGGCCCUCUCGGUAAUACACAUCACAAGUAGCUUUCAAGCAAAGUGACUAAGGAGUUAGUUACGAGAUGAUGUAUCACUACUAGGGAAAAGCCUAUACAUAGGAUCUUACCAGCAGCGAGUUUUAAAAUAAGGCGCUGCUGCAAUUUAUCAGUAGCGCGCUCCACCAGAACUCGCUGCUGAAAUAGAAGUAGCAGUAGCGCGCCUCCACUAAGCCACGCUACUGCUACAAUUCACACGACCCCGCCACAAAGCUAGUUAUAGCAGCAACGUGUUAAUUAGAAGGGCGCUACUACUAGGUAGUUUAGUAGUAGCGCCUUUACCUAUACUGCGCUACUGCUAAAACUAGCUACCUUCCACCACCCAUGCUCUCCUCUAUCCAAAUCCACACUCACACUCACACUCACUCGACCUCCCGNNNNNNNNNNNNNNNNNNNNNNNNNNNNNNNNNNNNNNNNNNNNNNNNNNNNNNNNNNNNNNNNNNNNNNNNNNNNNNNNNNNNNNNNNNNNNNNNNNNNNNNNNNNNNNNNNNNNNNNNNNNNNNNNNNNNNNNNNNNNNNNNNNNNNNNNNNNNNNNNNNNNNNNNNNNNNNNNNNNNNNNNNNNNNNNNNNNNNNNNNNNNNNNNNNNNNNNNNNNNNNNNNNNNNNNNNNNNNNNNNNNNNNNNNNNNNNNNNNNNNNNNNNNNNNNNNNNNNNNNNNNNNNNNNNNNCCGUCGUCACCUCCUCCUCCUUGCUGGACUCGGUACCGCCCUCCUCCUCCUCCGUCCUUCCUCGAAUCGCCGCCGGCCGGCCCCUCCUCGCUCCGCCAUUCCUCCUCCAUCCUACUCUCUCCUUCCUCCUCCAGUCACCCCUCCUUCUCCCACCUCCCUCCUCUAUCCACAAACCCUCCUCCCUACUACAUUUUUAUUUAGUAGGCUAGUUCAUAUGCAACAUUUUGAUUUAGUUCAUAUGAUUUAGUUGAUUUAGUAGGCUAGUUGAUUUAGAACAUUUUGAUUUUGUUGAUUUAGUAGGCAAGUUGAUCUAGUAGGCUAGUUGAUUUAGCUGAUUUAUAGAACAUUUUGAUUUAGUUGAUUUAGUAGGCAAGUUGAUUUAAUAGGCUAGUUGAUUUAGUUGAUUUAUAGAACAUUUUGAUUUAGUUGAUUUAGUAUGCUAGUUGAUAGCUCAGAAGAUUUGGCACUUGGCAGUUGGUUCUAUUCUAGAAGGUGCUAGUAAACUAUGAAUAUAACUGAAGAAGAACCAAAAAAUCACAUGCUACUGUUUUUAUUUCGUGUGAAGUGGAUUGUUAAUCCUUUGCUCAUAUUGCUUUAGGAAAAUGGCGCCGCCACCACUACCACCAUGUCAAUUGUGCAAGUCAAGAUGCGCCAGCAGCCUUGCAACUGGCAAGCUGCUCGGCAUCUGCUUCCAGCCGAGUUUUCGUCAUGCGGCGGUAAGAAAUUAUAUGAAAUGUAACAACUAUUUUAUUUUUAAUGUUGGCAUUACUGCAUUGUGUCAUUUUGCUUUUUUUACACAGAUCGUCCCAUGCAAUGUGAGGUUGAAAUUCAAUAAGCUGACAUGAGACAUUGUGACAUUUGAGGCUCCUGGGGACUGUACACUAUAGAGGUCGAGAAAGGAUGAAAUAUUUCGCAGAUUGGAGGAGAUGGAUGGGCCCGUUUCCUCGCCCGCAUGCGUCUUACUGGUGGUGAGUUUAUCAGCUUCUCCUUCAGAGCAGAAAGACCCAAGCUGGUUGUCAUUUAUAUCAACCUGGUGGAAGAUGAUGAAGAUGACGAAGAUGAUGAAGAUAAUGAGGACCCACUCGAUGAAGAUGAUGAGGACCCACUUCAUGAAGCCAUCAUAGCUCAAAGAAUGAGGUUGAGUGACAAGGAGGUGUGCAACCUAUGGGACAUAAUUCCACCACGUGCUAACUUUGUCGGGGUGCCAUUCGUGACCCGCCUGACAAGUACCAUGGUCGAUCGACAUGAUAUGGUAUAUUAUACUUACAAAUGCAAAUUAUCUGAUGAUAUGAUUAGUGUGGAGUCCAAUGAUAUGUUGUGUGGAAUCUAGUCGAUGAUAUGCUUUAGUGUAGAGUUCAAUCACAUGCUUAUUAGUGUAGAAUCUAAGGAACUAUUAAUAGUGUAGGUAAUCCAUAUAUACUUAUUUGCAAGAGUAUGUGUGAGGCUAUUUAUUAAUUGACAUGUUUUUCUUAUUUGGAAAUUGGCAAAGAGCCUAUCUGUGAGUUAUGGUAUCGAGCCUGAUGAAGAAGGCUCAGCUGGACUACGCCUUACCGCAAGGGGCUCCGUCACAACCUGUAUUUACCGCGUGGACACGGACAGUCGCACACACUUAAACUCGGUUGGGUGGAAGAGAUUCCUCGAUGGCAAGAAUCUUCAUGUUGGACAGGCCAUCCUAAUUACUAUCAGGAACUGUUGGGGAACAUAGUAAUUUCAAAAAAAAAUCCUACGCACACGCAAGAUCAUGGUGAUGCAUAGCAACGAGAGGGGAGAGUAUUAUCCACGUACCCUCGUAGAUCGAUAGCGGAAGCGUUAUGACAACGCGGUUGAUGUAGUCGUACGUCUUCACGAUCCGACCGAUCCAAGUACCGAACGUACGGCACCUCCGAGUUCAGCACACGUUCAGCUCGAUGACGAUCCCCGGACUCCGAUCCAGCAGGGUGUCGGGGAUCAGUUCCGUCAGCACGAUGGCAUGGUGACGAUGAUGAUGUUCUACCGACGCAGGGCUUCACCUAAGCACCGCAACGAUAUGACCGAGGUGGAAUAUGGUGGAGGGGGGCACCGCACACGGCUAAGGAACGAUCACAAAGAUCAAUUUGUGUGUCUUGGGGUGCCCCCUGCCCCUGUAUAUAAAGGAGCAAGGGGGAAGGCCGGCCGGCCCUUGCGGCGCGCCAAGGAGGGGGGGAGUCCUCCUCCUAGUAGGAGUAGGACUCCCCCUUUCCUAGUCCAACUAGGAAGGGGGAAGGGGGAAGGAAAGAGGAGGGAGAGGGAGAGGGAAAGAGGGGCCGCGCCCCCUUCCCCUAGUCCAAUUCGGACUCCCCAUGGGGGGCGCCACCUCCUGGGCUGCUGCCCUCUCUCUCCCCUCAGGCCCACUAAGGCCCAAUACUUCCCCGGGGGGUUCCGGUAACCCCUCCGGCACUCCGGUUUUCUCCGAAACCACCCGGAACACUUCCAGUGUCCGAAUAUAGUCGUCCAAUAUAUCAAUCUUUAUGUAUCAGCCAUUUCGAGACUCCUCGUCAUGUCCGUGAUCACAUCCGGGACUCCGAACAACCUUUGGUACAUCAAAAACUUAUAAACUCAUAAUAAAACUGUCAUCGUAACGUUAAGCGUGCGGACCCUACAGGAUCGAGAACUAUGUAGACAUGACCUAGAACUAUUUCCAGUCAAUAACCAAUAGCGGAACCUGGAUGCUCAUAUUGGCUCCUACAUAUUCUACGAAGAUCUUUAUCGGUCAAACCGCAUAACAACAUACGGUGUUCCCUUUGUCAUCGGUACGUUACUUGCCUGAGAUUCGAUCGUCGGUAUCCAAUACCUAGUUCAAUCUCGUUACUGGCAAGUCUCUUUACUCGUUUUGUAAUGCAUCAUCUUACAACUAACUCAUUAGUUGAAAUGCUUGCAAGGCUUAAGUGAUGUGCAUUACCGAGAGGGCCCAGAGAUACCUCUCCGACAAUCGGAGUGACAAAUCCUAAUCUUGAAAUACGCCAACCCAACAAGUACCUUCGGAGACACCUGUAGAGCACAUUUAUAAUCACCCAGUUACGUUGUGACGUUUGGUAGCACAUAAAGUGUUCCUCCGAUAAACGGGAGUUGCAUAAUCUCAUAGUCAUAGGAACAUGUAUAAGUCAUGAAGAAAGCAAUAGCAGAAAACUAAACGAUCAAGUGUUAAGCUAACGGAAUGGGUCAAGUCAAUCACAUCAUUCUCCUAAUGAUGUGAUCCCAUUAAUUAAAUGACAACACAUGUCUAUGGUCAGGAAACAUAACCAUCUUUGAUCAAUGAGCUAGUCAAGUAGAGGCAUACUAGUGACACUCUGUUUGUCUAUGUAUUCACACAAGUAUUAUGUUUCCGAUUAAUACAAUUCUAGCAUGAAUAAUAAACAUUUGUCAUGAUAUAAGGAAAUAAAUAAUAACUUUAUUAUUGCCUCUAGGGCAUAUUUCCUUCAGUCUCCCACUUGCACUAGAGUCAAUAAUCUAGAUUACACAGUAAUGAUUCUAACACCCAUGGAGUCUUGGUGUUGAUCAUGUUUUGCUCGUGGAAGAGGCUUAGUCAGCGGGUCUGCGAUAUUCAGAUCCGUAUGUAUCUUGCAAAUUUCUAUGUCUCCCACCUGGACUAGAUCUCGGAUGGAAUUGAAGCGUCUCUUGAUGUGCUUGGUUCUCUUGUGAAAUCUGGAUUCCUUCGCCAAGGCAAUUGCACCAGUAUUGUCACAAAAGAUUUUCAUUGGACCCGAUGCACUAGGUAUGACACCUAAAUCGGAUAUGAACUCCUUCAUCCAUACUCCUUCAUUUGCUGCUUCCGAAGCAGCUAUGUACUCCGCUUCACAUGUAGAUCCCAUCACGACGCUUUGUUUAGAACUGCUCCAACUGACAUCUCCACCGUUCAAUGUAAACACGUAUCCGGUUUGCGAUUUAGAAUCAUCCGGAUCAGUGUCAAAGCUUGCAUCAACGUAACCAUUUACAAUGAGUUCUUUGUCACCUCCAUAAACGAGAAACAUACCCUUAGCCUUUUCAGGUAUUUCAGGAUGUUCUUGACCGAUGUCCAGUGAUACACUCCUGGAUUACUUUGGUACCUGUCGGGGAUAUACCCCGCUGUAUGACCCGGCCGGAAGUAUGACCCGGCCGGACUUGGCGCUUCACUGUGACCCUCCGGAGGACUGGCGACUCACGGGUCUGGCGGCUCACUGGUCAGACGACUCACGAGCCUGACGACUCAUGGAUGACCCCGACGGCGGGUCAGAUAGAAGACUAGGCCCAAGGCCCAGAAGGCCGGCUCAUGUUAAGGUGGGCCGGCUUAAGAGGAAAGGGAUGACGAAUAUUUCCUUUAUGCGGAAGCAAGACCCGGAGUUGUAUUCAACUUGUAAGAAAAGAUAGACUAGCCCUAGUCCUACUAGGACUCCAUAUGUAACCCGCCCCUCCAACUUAUAUAAGGAGGGGGCAGGGCUCCCCAAAGAGGGACAAACAAGAAACAAUCUCUAGGGAUAGACACAACUAGAGGAGAACCGGUUUACGGUGACACCCUCGUGAUGAUAAUGAGAUCUAGCCUCAAACAGCAUGUAGGGUUGUUACCGGAUGAUGUUUUCCGGGACCCAAAGCUGCCUAAACCCUUAUCUUGUGUUCUGUCUCUCGAUUUCGCUCAACCCCUCUCAAGCUACCACAUAGAUGCGUUGGCCUCGCGAUUAAGUUCUUCCACUAAGACAUCUGACGUGACAAUUCCACGACAGUUGGCGCCCACCGUGGGGCUUGCGCACGAUGAUGUUGAGUUUUUGGAGGGAUCUCUACCGAGGAUUGAAAAGUUUGCACUUUUAAGGGUGAAGAAAAAUUCAGCGUGGAAGAAUUCACGUCAACUACAAAUUCACCAAGAUCAGAAGAAGUUUUCAGCAGCGACAUGGACAAGAUUAUUAUCAAGAGAGAGCCAGGGCUGCAUCAGCUCCGCCGCUACCGUCCAGAAAAAUCGUCGAGACCAAGAUUAAGCCUUUCUGCUGCGUUUUCCUUUCUCGGAUUAAGGGACGUGUGCUCAGAGGCCGACGCGAAGUCAUCUUGUGUUGUGGUCAAGUCGCCGUAGUCGUUGUUUUCCUCCAGUCGAUCAAACUAGGCACAAGCACAUGCAAGAGAUCAGACCAGCUGCCGUGUCUUCACGUGAAACCUGCAAAACAACGGAAAGACACCUCUGAUUAUACGAGACAAUAGUAGCAAUCCGACUACAAUUAGUACUAUGCUACUCCCUCCGUUCGGAAUUACUUGUCGCAGAAAUGGGUGUAUCUAGAUGUAUUUUAGUUCUAGAUACAUCCAUUUUCGAGACAAGUAAUUUCGAACGGAGGGAGUACGUGAUAGACUGAUGGUUAAAAAAAGAGCAGGGAGCAACGAUCUGGAAACGGAGCCAGUCACGAUCUGAACUCCUGCGCCUGCCCGCGUGACGCCCGGUGGCCAGAUCUGCCUGUCCUCGCUGAGACAUCACGCGACGAGCCGCUGCGAUGCCUCCGUGACCUGUGCCACCGUCACGCGGCCUGCAUCGCCUGUUACCUUCACCACCUUGGCUCGCGUAACCCGCCUAGGCUGAUUCGCUUCGCCUCUGCCGCUGUGGUCGCGGGCGCGGCCUAAGUCCGUCGGCUGCCUUCGAGUCAACCCGCCACUGAACUCUUGUCGCGGCUGAGUCGCCUUCGGACCUUGCCGCGCCUGAGCCGCCCUGGCUACAAGUCUCCGCCUCUGCUGCGGCCCGGCCCUGCGACGCUUCCACCAGAACGGCCACGAGCCGCCCUCGGAUUCAUCUAUGCCGAGCCGUUUCCGUCUUCGCCGCGGACAGUGACCAUGGGCACUAGUGUUUUGAGAUAGUGCAAAAGGCUCUUUCAUUAGAGUUCCGUGCGUUACUCUGGCAAUCCAUCAAAUCAUCAUUUAUGGUUAUCUCUUUGAUACCAUCGCGGCAGUGCGCGUGUACAUAAGCUAGUGAGCGAUACAAAACGUGAAGCUGGAGCAUCAGGAACCUUGUGGCUCCACGCGCUACGCCCAGCUGCUCGUUUUUUCUGCCCGUGCACGCCGUCCAGGGUCAAACCUCGAAGAGAGGAGCGCAGCAGUGCUUCCCGUGUGCACGACAGGGUGCUACAUGCCCUCAGGGCCGGGCCCACAGUUGUACAAACUGUGCGGCCCGCACAGGGCCCCCAAAUUUUUAAAUAAGCCUAGUAUGUAUUUCCAAAAAAAAAAGCUCCUAAAGGAUGGGCCUCUGAUGGGGCUGGGCCGCUCCCGCUAGCGCGUCCGCGAAUCUCCUGAUCGAUCGAUCGUAAACAGGAUCGUAGGUGCCCUAAAAAAGAGGAAACGGGAUCAUCGGAAGUAAUCGGAUCGAUCUCAAAAGGCAAAAUCACAAAGGCAGUCGCGUGUGCGUCGCUACAGCCUACGGGAAACGGGAUCGUCGCGUCGUCGGCGACGCUCCUCAGGCCGCCGCUGGAUUGAAAAUGGGAUCGUCGGAUCAAUCAGCGACCAUGAUAGUUCCAACAAGAGGAGGACAUCACGAUUUGGUCAUUCCCAACAAAUUUCUCCUCAAGUUUCAAUAAUAGGUAAAAUCAUCUUUCUAUAAUCCCCGGGUUAAUCUAUUUUUCUUCAGUCUUCUUAUAAUCCUAUUCUCCAUAAACUUGAAGGGAAAAGGGAGAUCUAGGGGUCCAAAGACAACAGGAUUACCUAGCAGCAGAGUGGUUCAAGGGCAAAGUCAGCAAGGGGAUCGCACGCCUAACUCAAUCCUUCAGGUUAUUUUGUUUCAAUUUAAUGCCAUAAUUCGUGUGUUGUUUGUGUGAUAAGAUUUCAUCUAGAAAAAUAGUUAAGCUUUGUUUGAACACUGAUUUGAAGAUUGCUUACCGCCCCUGCUGCGCGGUAGAAAAGUAGUUUAAGCUGAAAACAAGUUUUUCAAUGAAUAAGUGUGAUUCUUGAUAUAUUAUAUUCCUAUGUAACAUAUUAUAGCCUAUAUAUUACUACUAUAGGUCUAUUUUUCUAGUGCGGUAGGCCUUGUUUUAGAGUUUGGCACAGGGCCCCAUAUUUUGUCGGCCCGGCCCUGCAUGCCCUUUGUCCUAUCCGUACAACCCAUGAGCCGCCAGAACAAAAAUUGCGCAGGGAUUAAAGCAAUGCAUUUAUUGUUUUUUUUGGCGGGAUAAAGGAAGAUUUCAUUAACUCAAUGAGGCUUCUCGGCCUCUGAAAGGUUUACAAUGCAGUCUAAUCCCGAUCGCAACCAAAUAGCCGUGCGCGGGGUACUACGCCCAUACGCGGCGAGCGCGUGACUGCCAUUAUUUUGUGAUCUACUAAUGUGAGAAAAGGAAAUCUCCCUUGAUUCAACAGCUACUAUUCCACGUAUUUCGUCGACUAGCGCUCGGACUUGUGAGCGAUUCGCCGACUGUGCUGACAGCAUCAAGACCGCUUCAGUACUGUCCAACUCCACCAAGAUGGGCAUGUUUGUCCGGUGCAAGGCCAGCUGCAAUCCCUCCCUGCAUGCUUCCAACUCCGCCUGGAGGCUAUUAUUACAUGUAAACAACUGCCUGCAUGCUGUGAAGAUGAGCUCUCCCUUUUUCAUUUCUCAGGACCAUACCACCACCUGCUGCACCUGUGGCCUGGACAAAAUUUCCGUCGGUGUUGAGCUUUGUCCAGCCGGGUGGAGGGGGUACCCAUUGAAGCGUUGGCUCCUUCACACCGCUUGCAUGUAUAGGCCGGCCAACUUCAUGCACAACCAUUUUGCCUUUCACCAAGUCUGCAUGUGGGAAUUGGUGGAUGCCCAGCAAAGACGUGAUGUACCCGUGAAGAAAACGCCUGGAUGCUUCUGUGGGCGGAGGAGCCUUGUCGUGGGUAAUUUCAUUGCGGAUGUACCAUGCCCGUCACAUGAUCAUGAGGAUGACCAUACGCGUCGUGUCCGACAGAGGGUUCAGAAGCAUGAAGAGCCACUCUGGCCCAUCAUUCUCUAUGGUGUCCACCUUGGGGAUCAGCCAAUCUUUCUCCAUGGCUCGCCAAAGGUCCCUGGCAAGUGGGCACCUGCACAUCGCGUGGAAGCCAUCCUCUCAUUCCACACCACAGAGGGGACAUAUGUCAGUAAGCCAGGGCCGGCCCUGGGCCAGGGCAGCGGGGGCGACGGCCUGGGGCCCAGCCAAACUAGGGGCCCCGACCCAGGCCAUAUAUAUAUAUGUGCUUGAGGUACAGCCAUACAAGUGGAGAACCAACAAGGCCUGAGAGGCCCAUCGUGAUAUGUAUGUAGAUAAGAAGCCCAAAGAAUGCACACGCUGAAUUCGUUCCGAAUAACGAUCGGUUGUAAGUAUAUGUACGUGUUUGCGCGGAGCCAUGGCUGUCAGUUUUUUUUUCCUUUUGACCUUUCCGUCGCUGUUAGUUUGAUUACUUCUUCAAUUCUCCAAACCCAAUCGAUAGCAGUAUUCACAAGCUCGGGGCCUAUGGCUUCGUUUCCCAUCAUAAACGGAGGACGGAGCGGCCCAAUGCCGUGAAACUCUGCCGCAGUCCGGAGCAUUGCAACGGCUGCCGAUUGCGCCUAGGGCGAGGAAAACCCGAACGAGUGAGGUAAUUUAUUUUAUGAAUCGUUCAGCCCUUAAUUUUAAUCUGAUGGAUGAAAAUUAAGUUGUAUUCUUGUUUUUAUAACACUUGCACUCUUUGAGGAGAUAGCUGGUCUUGGUCACGUGGUCUCAACGUUUUGUACUUGGAUAGUUGUAGAGCACACCAGUGUUGGAGCACACAUUAUUGCUGCUAAUUUACCCCAAGUUGAGGUGUUCUCCUUUUUGUUUUUACAAAUAUGUUGCCUAAAACAUUUAUCUAAUUCUGAGAAGAGAACAAGGAGAAAAUGAGCACAUCAGUUAACUAAAUUUUAGAAGGAGAUUAUGAAUAAAUUUAUUUUUUGGAAUCACACUACUUUAUAAUCUAAAGCAAUUAGAUGCCAAUAUUAUUGAAGCACCACAACCUAUUAUUAUCAUAUACUUCCUCCGUAAAGAAAUAUAAGAAUGUUUAGAUCACUACUUUAGUGAUCUAAAUGCUUCUAUAUUUCUAAGAGCGUUUAGAUCGCUAAAGUAGUGACAUAGACGCUCUUGUAUUUUUUUAUAGAGGAAGUACUAUUUACAAGGGGAAAAUAUAUCAUAGUUUAUGGCUUUACCAGAUUUUUUUCAUAUCAAAGUAUGGAAUUCUUUUUUUCCUCCACCGCGGCCGCUGGGCCCACUCAUGGAGUCCGCCCUGGGGCCCUCGAAACUCCAGGGCCGGUCCUGCAGUAAGCUCAAGGUGGCGAGAAAACUUGUUAGCCCAGGUAGCCAGCGAGUUGGUUACAAUUCUCCAUGCGAACACACGCACCUUUGGGGGAGCAGGGCACCCCCAUAUGAUCUUCCAGAUGGCGCGAUGACCAUCCGGUGCCCUGCUCAUAGCAGUUGCCAAUGGAUGUUCGCGCUCGUCCAUGGCUAGGCGGUAGGCGGAUCAAACGGUGAAGAUACCGUUCCUCUCAGGCGCCCAUGCGAUGAUGUCGUCGGUGGCGCGAGGCGAUGUGCGGAUGCUGCUGAUAGAGUCAACGUCCGGAGGGAGGAAGUGGCGGCGAAGAAGGUCCAUACGCCAGUUGCCUGCCUCGUCAAGGAGCUCGGCAACUCUCCUGAGCCGGCAGGUUCCUUGCUGGGUAAUGGGCUGGCGCGAUGGCUCGGCAGGCAGCCAGCGAUCACGCCAAAUGCGGAUGUUAUGUCCAUCACCAACACGCCACACGAUGCCCUUCUUCAAGAGCUCAAGGCCGUGUUGGAUGCCCUGCCAUGUAGGGGAGGCGUUCCCCGAGAAGACAAUAUCUUCAAGGCGACCCUCCGGAUAGUAGCGAGCCUUAAGCACCUGUGCACAUAAACUAUUAGGAUUAGUGAGUAAACGCCACGCCUGCCUGGCAAGCAGGGCCUGGUUGAACAGGCGGAAGUCUCUGAAGCCCAGACCGCCCUUCAUCUUAUGCGCCAAAAUUUUGGGCCAAGCUAGCCAAUGUGUUUUCCUCUUCCCUUCCGAAGAGCCCCACCAAAAGUUCCGCACCAUCCUAUUCAGAUCAUCACAUAGGACAUAGGAAGCUUGAAAACACCCAUGAUAUAAGUUGGGAUGGCUUGUGCAACAGCUUUUAUCAUUGUUUCCUUACCAGCAAGAGAAAGGGUAUCCCCCCAUGCGAUGAUUCUUUUCAGUAGCCUGGAUUGCAAAUUCUGAAAUUUACCUCGCGACAUACGGCCAUCAGGUGUUGGAAGGCCCAAAUACUUGUCCUCAAAGUCCAGAACAUUCACAUGCAGUACAAAGCGGACCCUUUCCUGGUCCUCCAUGGUACACGAAUUGCCAAAAAGUAUACUGCAUUUAGCUGGGUUAAUGCAUUGUCCUGUUGCCCGUUCAUACACAGUGAGAACCUCAUGUACCUUUUUUGCUUGCUCCUCCUUUGCAUUAAAAAAUAACAGGGUAUCAUCUGCAAAAAGUAAGUGUGACACGCCUGGAGCUCGUCGACACACUUUCAAAGGUGUAUAUUCCCCCUUUUCUUCAGCAUCUUUCAACAAAGCAGACAAACCAUCAGCCACCAGUAGGAACAAAAAAGGGGAGAGUGGAUCACCUUGCCGUAGCCCUCGCGACGGUGCAAACGAAUCCAAGAGGGUUCCAUUAAAUUUAACAGUGUAUCUCACCGAGGUGACGCACGUCAUAAUCCAGUCCACCCACCGGCGAGCGAACCCCAUCUUUUGCAUCAUUCGCUCCAAGAAGAUCCAGUCCACCAUGUCAUACGCUUUAGACAUAUCCAACUUGUAAGCACAAAAACUUUUGUUAGGGUCUUUUUCAUGUUGAAUAGAGUGAAAGCACUCAAAUGCUAUCAGGGCAUUAUCAGUGAUCAUCCGCCCGGGGACAAAGGCGCUCUGCUCCGGUGAAAUUAUCUCAUCCAAAAUGGACCGCAGGCGGUUAACCAGGCACUUAGAUACUACCUUAUAGAUAACAUUGCAAAGACUGAUACGCCUAAACUCCGUGAGCCUCUCUGGGUUCUCAACCUUGGGGAUGAGAACAAUGAAGGUGUUGUUCACCCCUUCCGGCAUUAUUCCCGAUCGAAAGAAUUCCUUGACCCCGGCGAUCACCUGUGUCCGCAUGCAAGACCAGUUUCUUUGAAAGAACCUGGCAGGAAAACCGUCCGGACCCGGCGCCUUCAAUGGUCCAAUCUGAAAGAGCGCAUUCGCAAUCUCCUUAUCCGAGAACUCUGCACACAGACCAUCAUUCAUUUGAUCAGUAACGCGUGUGUUAAUUAAAUUAAUCACUGGAUCCACACAAAGGGUACUAUCUGCCUUGAACAGAUUAGAGAAGUAGGACGUGACCAACUCGGCCAUAGCUGCAUGGCUCCGAUGUGUUGUGCCUGUAUCAUCCACAAGUGAUUUUAUGCGGUUUUUUCGAGCGCGCCAUACUGCUUUCCGGUGGAAGAAUUUUGUGUUCCGGUCCCCUUCACGUAACCACGCAACACGAGACCGCUGCAUCUAGAGCAUCUCCUCCCGGUACAACAGUUCGUUCAUCUUAUCAGUAGCCUCUCGGAUCUCCUUCCUAUCUGCAUUCAUCGACAAAAGCUCUUCCAGACGUGAGCGAGACUUAUUUAUUUCUUUAAUGACAUUUCCAAAAAAAAUCCGGCUCCAAUCUUGCAGUUUCUUCAUCAUAGUGCCCAAACCAGAUGCUAUAUCCCCCAGGUUCAACAUAGACCCCAAGUCAACCCAAAUAUUCAUUAUUACCUCCGGGAGGGUCGGGUCUCUCUCCCACAUUACCUCAUACUGACGGCACCUCCUACCUGACACCGGUGGCUGGUCCUCCAUGACACACUGAAGCAAAAUAGCUAGGUGGUCCGAACUAGGCAUCACAAAGUGUUCCACCUUGGCAUGUGUAAAGAUGUCACACUAAGAAUUAUUUGCAACAGCCCGGUCCAAUCUGACUUUGACAUUCGCCCGUCCUCCACGGCGAUUGUCAUAAGUGAAAGGCAGCCCUGCAAAACCAAGAUCACCCAAUCCACAAACUUCCAUAGCAUCACAAAAAUCAAUCAUCUGACCUGCCGGACGCGGUGAUUCGGAGAAGUGUUCGAAGCUCCACAUAGCCUCGUUGAAGUCUCCGACCACCACCCACGGCAUGUCGGCUUGGCGGUGGAGAUCCCGGAGGACGGACCACAUGCGAUGUCGGUCCUCCGUCCGCGGUUCUCCAUAGACGCGGGUAAGCCACCAAGGUGGCUCCCCCGUCGCAGCACUCACAUAGGCAUCAAUAUAUCGUUCAUUCAUAUCUUUUACAUCAAGUUGUACCGAUUCAUGCCAGAAAAGAGCUAAGCCACCACUAAGACCAUUGCUAUUGACUGCUUCGAAACCACUUAGACCUAAGCGGGAUCGAUAUCUUUUCAUCUUAACUUUCCUUUGCCUAGUUUCACAAAGAAAGACGAUAGUAGGAGAAUGAACCUGCACCAAGCUCACAAGAUCCCGUAUUGUACGAGAAUUUCCACACCCUCGGCAAUUCCAGCUCAGAAGAUUCAAGUUGCUAACAUGGUUUUCCAAAACUUCUGUUCGAGGCACUUGUGUCGCCGGCAUCGGAGAUCGCCGGAUGUCUCUCGGGACUGCAAUAGUUGAGGCCCUCAAUGGUGACUCCUGCCCCAUCGUCUCCCCGGCAUACAGGCUGGACGGCUUCGGGCGGGUGGCUUCCUCAAUGGAUGCCCCUUGUUCACCCCCACCGCCACCAAGGAUCACCGGGAUAGUCGUUGGGCCAGCCCUCAUGUGAAUUGAAGGAUGCGAUAUUGCAGCCAGACUGUCGCGUGCGUCGCUGCUCCAAACCCGACGAGUAGGCGAAACAACCCUAGGGUUCCUGAUUCCACCGGGAUCAAACUGCAUGCCUGUCGGCCGGGGCCUGCUGCGUCGGUUCCCUCUGAGGUUCAGGUCAUCAGCACGGCGGCCUCCCUCCGUGGGCACGCCAGGCACAGCCGCUGGGAUGUCCAUGACCAGAAGGUCUGACGAAGCAUCAAGCAUGGUGGACGGGGCCGCAGGGCCGGACGGGGCCGCACGGGCAGACGGAGCCGCAACAUAUACGCGCCGUGGACGGCAUCCACGCACGGAGCAAAGGCCAGCCUCGCUGGCGAUGGUAGCCAGUGGCUGCGGCGGUGGUGGAGGCGUGGUGUCGCCCCGCCUCCUCCAAACCCUAUUUUCCAUCACCCGGCCGAGAAACGCAAUGCACUUAUUGUUAUCCUCGUGAAGGCCAUGGUACAGGAGUACCAGUACUCAGACAACAAACUGUCUAACUACAUCCAGUAUUAUACGGUGCCAGUAUCCGUGUUCCCCCGAUAACAAAUAUCAGGUGCUAUUUUCCCUUUAUUUUUUCAUCACAUACAUUAUUUCAUCUGAAAACAAUUACUUUGUCAUGCAAUAUUUUUUUCAGGACCAUUAUUCAUUACAAAGAUGUCGCAAAGGGGUAUGCGCCAACAUUAUUUUUGGUAAUAGCACUCGCCCGUGCCGUGCUGCUCAACGGAUAUACAUGCAAGUCGCCGCCCGCUGUUCGGUUUACAUCCGUCCGUGCCAGCGGCUGACUCAUGUGUCUGCACCACCUUACAACGCCACGAACGACUCGCCCGUCCGCCCUCGCGGUCGGUUCACGUGUCCGCGCCAGCUUGCAACAUGGAGGACAGCUCGCUCAUCCGUGAUGGUUUACAACACUAUGGGUGACUUACCCGUUCGACCCCGUGGCCGACUCUCCCGUCCAUGCCGUUUUACAAUGCCACGGGCGACUCGUCUGUUGACCGGGCAAAUCAGGUGAUAUCCUUCUAAAGAUAAUUUUGGCACAUAUUCCUUUUGUCAAAGAACAAUUACUCUGGCUUGCGAUGUUUUUGAUGCAGGACAAUUGUUCACUGCAAAGCCGCGGCCUCUGCGGCCCAAUUUACAUCAACAUGACGAGGCUGAGCCACCCAUCCGCGCGGUUUUACCGCGCCUGCGAUCGACUCGCCCGUCCGCGCCGGAUUACAAUGCCGCGACCGACUCAUCUGUCUGUACCACCUCUGAUGUUACGAUCGUCUUUACCGUCUGUCUCUCGCGGCCUGGUCUAUAUCAACAUACCGGGCACCACCUGUCUGCAUGAGUUGUUUAUUGAGUACAAGCAAGUCACUACUUGGGUAGCCCGAUUUUUCUUCCAACAAAUUGGAGACAAAUUAUCAUGUAUCAUCAGCCGCCGUCUACACUGGAUGGCUCAAUGGGUAGGCGCACAAGUCGCUGCCACUACAGUUGGGUUAAACUUCAAACAGCCAGUUGGAAGUAACCAUUGGCCGAGUUGCUGACACGGCUCAUACAGGAUCAUUUAUAAACCCGCCGUAGUCACCUCAACCUUCUGUGGAUUCACAUCGCGCUAUCAACGCCAAUGAUAUACACCUUCUGCUAUAGUCAAAUAUGGAGAAUCUCAAGCCAACACCUCGAGUCGUCUUGAGAUUCGGGGGCUACAAUGGUAUGACUUGGCAGAAUUGGCCGGUUUCAAUGCAUUCAAAAACACCGGGUCAUUGGAGGGAAAAAUAACCCGGCCCUGGAGAUUAUUGCUCUAUCGAUGAAAAUUUAAAGACCGUCCGGCUUAAAAAGAAGAAUUCCGGAUUAAAAUUUGGUUCAAGGUAAAUUUGUCUCUUACAAAGCUUUGAAACUCUCAAUAUCCGGUUUAAGAAUUUCCGGUUCAAGAAUUAAUCUCUCGCAAGUUCGAGUUCUAAGAAAAAUUAAAGGUUGACAAAAAGAACUCGCUGCCAUGAUGCGCGGUUCAAACAUGAAUAUCAUGCCUUACGGCUUAUCUUAUUAUGGUCACUUGGGGGCUUCCUGCUCAUCAAGCAUAGCUGUCGGUACCCUCUUGAUUGGCGUAAUACUAAAUUUAUGGUCACUUGGGGGCUUCCUGUUCAAACAUAGGUCGUGUUCGAACCAAAAAGAACAUAGCUGUUGAUACCCUUUUGAUUGGCAUACUGCCAAACCCAUUAGGGGGCUUCUUGAUCGUAUCCGAAUCAUAGCUCAACCCCUUUGGGUCUGACGUGGAUCGUAUUCGAAUCAGCGUCAUUAAACAACUCUAAAGGUCAUUUGGGGGCUUCCUGUUCAAACAUAGGUCGUAUUCGAACCAAAGAGAACAUAGCUGUUGAUACCCUCUUGAUCGACAUCGCCAAAGCCACUGGGGGCUAUAUGAUCAUAUUCGAAUCUUAGCUUAACCCCUUUAGAACGGUUUACUGAUCGUAUCCGAAUCAGAAGCCUCAAAAAGUUUUAUUCUGUCUCUGGUAAAGUUUAUUGCAGCCACAAUUACUUAACUUGAGACCUUUUGGGGAUUAUAUCUCAAAUGUAUACAAGUGUUUUAUGCUUAACCCAGCUUGACUUUUGACUAUAAGUCGGCAGCUUAUGACAAUCAUCAUCUAUGUGGAAGCAUUGGCUUCUAAGGAUUGGGUUAUCACCCUUACUGCACAGGUCAUGUAAACCAGCAGUACAAAUUCAAUAUCACCGUGGUUAUAUGUAACGUAUUAUGACCCGCCCUGCGGUAAACUGCCAAGGGUUCUUGUGAUCCACUUGUGUGCAGGGUAAGACUACAUUUGGGUGGUUACCCGCCCUGGCUCUUGACGUUAAGUCGCCAGGGCAUAUGUUGUUUAAACUCUGUGCAGGAUUUGCAGAACUAUGACUUAUAUAAAUGCUUCAGUCCAAGCUCAUCACUGAAAUUGGUGUCUCAAAAGGGGUAUCAAUUAUUGAUUUUCUCAAGGGCUAUAGGCCACCGGGUUACAAAAAUUCUGGGUUACAAUGAAUGCGCAUUAAAUCGUCAUCGACCAAGAGCCGCUAGAUAUUUAAACUCCGGAUUUACUUGUCAACUGAUGAGGUAUUCAAAUCUUUAAUAGCAAAAACUGGCUGGAUUUUCAUGAUGAUAUUGAAUAAUUGAGGUUUUCAUACCGGAUUAUAUUAUUCAAAUCUUGAAUAGCCAACAUGGCUGGAUUUCUAUUGUGAUUAUCAAUAACCAGUGUUAUGAUUGAGGUUUUCAACGUCGCUUUAGCGCAAAGGCUAUUAUUUUUGUCAAUGGGCAUGAUUUAUUUUACAAUGGAGGAAAUAGUCCCGAGUCGCUACAGGCUUACGACCUGGCGCUUGGGGGCUACAUUGUUCAAAUCGAGAUUACAUCGAAUAUACAAGUCCCUUGAUACUACCAGCAUGCACCAUGGCACUUGGGGGCUAAUGCAAAGUCAUUUUUGCUCAACUUAUUGAAGACCCGACUCAUCACAUUUUAAAUGAGCCGGCCCUUGGGGGUUACCAAUUGCUCCUGUCAAAAAUUUAAGGUACACAAGCCUCAGUCCAUUACAUUGAAAGAUCCACUACUCAGUUGGUAGAGUACAAAGCUCUUAACCUUGUGGACGUGGGUUCAAGCCCCAGGAUGGGGGUUACAUCAUAUGAUAUUAUUUCCAAUGAAAAGUCCCAGCUCAGUAUUAUCUUACUAAUCCGGCCCUUGGGGGCUACACAUUACUGCUCAAAUUUACAUCAUCAUAUUUACAAAGUCCCUUCUCAUUAUUACAUAAUGACCCGACACUUGGGGGCUAAUGCAUAUUGCUCUUUGCUGAAGACAAUUCUAGGAUGACCCGGAUACACUACUAUGACUAUAGCCGACUCAUGGGGGCUACACAACUAGAUUUUAUUUAAAGCCAUGGUGAUAAGUCCCGGCUUAUUCAUGCUGAUUAAACCGGCCCUUGGGGUCUACAGGUAAUAUGGAUAUAAGGGAGAAAUAUCUUCAAAUUCUCAGUUUUGAGUAAAUCAGAUUGACCCGGUGUCUGCAAAAAUCAUAAACCGGUGUCGGCGACAAUUAUGACUCGGCAUCAUCUAUUUAUAACCCGGCAAUUUUGGUAAUCAUAAACUGGCAAGUUUUAUAUCUUCAAGCCGGCUGAAUAUAAGUUGAAUAUUUGAAGACCAAUAUUUUUGUCAAGUCGGAGCAUUGAAAGCCGACUCGAGUGGAUUAUCUCUUACAAUAUUUCUCAACAAGAGACCAAUGUCAGCAAAUUGACUCUGAAGCUGGCUUGUUGACCCGGAUUUUUCAAAGGAAGUAUCUGGAUUUUUUGCAUUGGCAAAAUUUGAACAUAUCUGCAAAAGAGAUUUGCUACGAGAUUAUGGAUACAUAUCAAGAAGGAGAUGACAAGGACUUAAGGAUGAUCAAGUGCCGUCUUACAAAGAAUUUUUAACCCGGAAGACAAUCUGUCAAAUUUGUUCUUGUGUUUGUUUUACAGGAUCAGUUUAACAUGGAUAAAUCCAAAUUAAACUAGGGGCUAAUAUCGGGGAUAUACCCCACGGUAUGACCCGGCCGGAAGUAUGACCCGGCCGGACUUGGCGCUUCAUCGUGACCCUCCGGAGGACUGGCGACUCACGGGUCUGGCGGCUCACUGGUCAGACGACUCACGAGCCUGACGACUCACGGAUGACCCCGACGGUGGGUCAGAUAGAAGACUAGGCCCAAGGCCCAGAAGGCCAGCUCAUGUUAUGGUGGGUCGGCUUAAGAGGAAAGGGAUGACGAAUAUUUCCUUUACACGGAAGCAAGACCCGGACUUGUAUUCAACUUGUAAGAAAAGAUAGACUAGCCCUAGUCCUACUAGGACUCCAUAUGUAACCCGCCCCUCCAACUUAUAUAAGGAGGGGUCAGGGCUCCCCAAAGAGGGACAAACAAGAAACAAUCUCUAGGGCUAGACACAACUAGAGGAGAACCGGUUUACCGCGACUCCCUCGUGAUGAUAAUGAGAUCUAGCCUCAAACAGCAUGUAGGGUUGUUACCGGAUGAUGUUUCCCGGGGCCCGAAGCUGUCUAAACCCUUAUCUUGUGUUCCGUCUCUCGAUUCCGCUCAACCCCUCUCAAGCUACCACAUAGAUGCGUUGGCCUCGCGAUUAAGUCCUUCCACUAGGACAUCUAACGUGACAAUUCCACGACAGUACCUCCCUGCUAAACUUAUAGCAAGGCACACAUCAGAUCUGGUACACAGCAUUGCAUACAUGAUAGAGCCUAUGGCUGAAGCAUAGGGAACAUCUUUCAUUUUCUCUCUAUCUUCUGCAGUGGUCGGACUUUGAGUCUUACUCAACUUCACACCUUGUAACACAGGCAAGAACCAUUUCUUUGCUUGAUCCAUUUUGAACUUCUUCAAAACUUUGUCAAGGUAUGUGCUUUGUGAAAGUCCAAUUAAGCGUCUUGAUCUAUCUCUAUAGAUCUUAAUGCCCAAUAUGUAAGCAGCUUCACCGAGGUCUUUCAUUGAAAAACUCUUAUUCAAGUAUCCCUUUAUGCUAUCCAGAAAUUCUAUAUCAUUUACAAUCAGCAAUAUGUCAUCCACAUAUAAUAUCAGAAAUGCUACAGAGCUCCCACUCACUUUCUUGUAAAUACAGGCUUCUCCAAAAGUUUGUACAAAACCAAAUGCUUUGAUCACACUAUCAAAACGUUUAUUCCAACUCCGAGAGGCUUGCACCAGUCCAUAAAUGGAUCGCUGGAGCUUGCACACUUUGUUAUCUCCCUUUGGAUCAACAAAACCUUCUGGCUGCAUCAUAUACAACUCUUCUUCCAGAAACCCGUUCAGGAAUGCAGUUUUGACAUCCAUCUGCCAUAUUUCAUAAUCAUAAAAUGUGUUAAUCGCUAACAUGAUUCGGACAGACUUAAGCAUCGCUACGGGUGAGAAGGUCUCAUCGUAGGCAAUCCCUUGAACUUGUCGAAAACCUUUUGCAACAAGUCGAGCUUUGUAGACAGUAACAUCACCGUCAGCGUCAGUCUUCUUCUUGAAGAUCCAUUUAUUUUCAAUUGCUUGCCGAUCAUUGGGCAAGUCAACCAAAGUCCACACUUUGUUCUCAUACAUGGAUCCCAUCUCAGAUUUCAUGGCCUCAAGCCAUUUUGCGGAAUCUGGGCUCACCAUCGCUUCUUCAUAGUUCGUAGGUUCAUCAUGGUCUAGUAACAUGACUUCCAGAACAGGAUUACCGUACCACUCUUGUGCGGAUUUUAUUCUGGUUGAUUUACGAGGUUCAGUAACAACUUGAUCUGAAGUUUCAUGAUCAUCAUCAUUAACUUCCUCUCUAAUUGGUGUAGGUUUCACAGGAACAGAUUUCUGUGAUGAGCUACUUUCCAAUAAGGGAGUAGGUACAGUUACCUCAUCAAGUUCUACUUUCCUCCCACUCACUUCUUUUCAGAGAAACUCCUUCUCUAGAAAGGAUCCAUUCUUAGCAACGAAUGUCUUGCCUUCGGAUCUGUGAUAGAAGGUGUACCCAACAGUUUCCUUUGGGUAUCCUACGAAGACACAUUUCUCCGAUUUGGGUUCGAGCUUAUCAGGUUGAAGUUUUUCACAUAAGCAUCGCAGCCCCAAACUUUUAGAAACGACAACUUUGGUUUCUUGCCAAACCAUAGUUCAUAAGGCGUCGUAUCAACGGAUUUUCAUGAUGCCCUAUUUAACGUGAAUGCGGCCGUCUCUAAAGCAUAACCGCAAACUGAUAGCGGUAAAUCAGUAAGAGUCAUCAUAGAUCGCACCAUAUCAAGUAAAGUACGAUUACGACAUUCGGACACACCAUUACGUUGUGGUGUUUUGGGUGGCGUGAGUUGCGAAACUAUUCCGCUUUGUUUCAAAUUUAGACCAAAAUCGUAACUCAAAUAUUCUCUUCCACGAUCAGAUUGUAGAAACUUUAUUUUCUUGUUACGAUGAUUUUCAACUUCACUCUGAAAUUCUUUGAACUUUUCAAAUGUUUCAGACUUAUGUUUCAUUAAGUAGAUAUAUCCAUAUCUGCUCAAAUCAUCUGUGAAGGUGAGAAAAUAACGAUAUCCGCCACGAGCCUCAACAUUCAUUGGACCACAUACAUCUGUAUGUAUGAUUUCCAAUAAGUCUGUUGCUCUCUCCAUUGUACCGGAGAACGGCGUUUUAGUCAUCUUGCCCAUAAGGCACGGUUCGCAAGUACCAAGUGAUUCAUAAUCAAGUGGUUUCAAAAGUCCAUCAGUAUGGAGUUUCUUCAUGCGCUUUACACUGAUAUGACCCAAACGGCAGUGCCACAAGUAAGUUGCACUAUCAUUAUCAACUCUGCAUCUUUUGGUUUCAACAUUAUGAAUAUGUGUAUCACUACUAUCGAGAUUCAUCAAAAAUAGACCACUCUACAAUGGUGCAUGACCAUAAAAGAUAUUACUCAUAUAAAUAGAACAACCAUUAUUCUCUCAUUUAAAUGAAUAACCGUCUCGCAUCAAACAAGAUCCAGAUAUAAUGUUCAUGCUCAACGCUCGCACCAAAUAACAAUUAUUUAGGUCUAAUACUAAUCCCGAAGGUAGAUGUAGAGGUAGCGUGCCGACCGCGAUCACAUCGACUUUGGAACCAUUUCCCACGCGCAUCGUCACCUCGUCCUUGGCUAGUGUUCGCUUAAUGCGUAGUCCCUGUUUCGAGUUGCAAAUAUUAGCAACAAAACCAGUAUCAAAUACCCAGGUGCUACUGCGAGCUCUAGUAAGGUACACAUCAAUAACAUGUAUAUCACAUAUACCUUUGUUCACCUUGCCAUCCUUCUUAUCCGCCAAAUACUUGGGGCAGUUCCGCUUCUAGUGACCAGUCUGCUUGCAGUAGAAGCACUCAGUUUCAGGCUUAGGUCUAGACUUGGGUUUCUUCUCUUGAGCAGCAACUUGCUUGCUGUUCUUCUUGAAGUUCCCCUUCUUCUUCCCUUUGCCCUUUUUCUUGAAACUAGUGGUAUUGUUGACCAUCAACACUUGAUGCUCCUUCUUGAUUUCUACCUCCGCAACUUUUAGCAUCGCGAAGAGCUCGGGAAUUGUCUUUUUCAUCCCUUGCAUAUUAUAGUUCAUCACAAAGCUUUUGUAGCUUGGUGGCAGUGAUUGGAGAAUUCUAUCAAUGACGCUAUCAUCCGGAAGAUUAACUCCUAGUUGAAUCAAGUGAUUAUUAUACCCAGACAGUUUGAGUAUAUGCUCACUAACAGAACUGUUCUCCUCCAUCUUGCAGCUAUAGAACUUAUUGGAGACUUCAUAUCUCUCAAUCUGGGCAUUUGCUUGAAAUAUUAACUUCAACUCCUGGAACAUCUCAUAUGCUCCAUGACGUUCAAAACGUCGUUGAAGUCCCGGUUCUAAGCCGUAAAGCAUGGCACACUGAACUAUCGAGUAGUCAUCAGCUUUGCUCUCUCAGACGUUCACAACAUCUGGUGUUGCUCCUGCAGCAGGCCUGGCACCCAGCGGUGCUUCCAGGACGUAAUUCUUCUGUGCAGCAAUGAGGAUAAUCCUCAAGUUACGGACCCAGUCCGUGUAAUUGCUACCAUCAUCUUUCAACUUUGCCUUCUCAAGGAACACAUUAAAAUUCAACGGAACAACAGCAUGGGCCAUCUAUCUACAAUCAACAUAGACAAGCAAGAUACUAUCAGGUACUAAGUUCAUGAUAAAUUUAAGUUCAAUUAAUCAUAUUACUUAAGAACUCCCACUUAGAAAGACAUCUCUCUAAUCCUAUAAGUGAUCACGUGAUCCAAAUCAACUAAACCAUAACUGAUCAUCACGUGAAAUGGAGUAGUUUUCAAUGGUGAACAUCACUAUGUUGAUCAUAUCUACUAUAUGAUUCACACUCGACCUUUCGGUCUCAGUGUUCCGAGGCCAUAUCUGCAUAUGCUAGGCUCGUCAAGUUUAACCUGAGUAUUCUACGUGUGCAAAAACUGGCUUGCACCCGUCGUAGAUGGACGUAGAGCUUAUCACACCCGAUCAUCACGUGGUGUCUGGGCACGAUGAACUUUGGCAACGGUGCAUACUCAGGGAGAACACUUUUAUCUUGAAAUUUAGUGAGAGAUCAUCUUAUAAUGCUACCGUCAAUCAAAGCAAGAUAAGAUGCAUAAAAGAUAAACAUCACAUGCAAUCAAUAUAAGUGAUAUGAUAUGGCCAUCAUCAUCUUGUGCUUGUGAUCUCCAUCUCCGAAGCACCUCCAUGAUCACCAUCAUCACCGGCGCGACACCUUGAUCUCCAUCGUAGCAUCGUUGUCGUUUACACCGUCUAUUGCUUCUACGACUAUCGCUACCGCUUAGUGAGAAAGUAAAGCAAUUACAGGGCGUUUGCAUUUCAUACAAUAAAGCGACAACCAUAUGGCUCCUGCCAGUUGCCGAUAACUUCGGUUACAAAACAUGAUCAUCUCAUACAAUAAAAUAUAGCAUCAUGUCUUGACCAUAUCACAUCACAACAUGCCCUGCAAAAACAAGUUAGACGUCCUCUACUUUGUUGUUGCAAGUUUUACGUGGCUGCUACGGGCUUAGCAAGAACCGUUCUUAUCUACGCAUCAAAACCACAACGAUAGUUUGUCAAGUUGGUGAUGUUUUAACCUUCGCAAGGACCGGGCGUAGCCACACUCGGUUCAACUAAAGUUGGAGAAACUUACACCCGCCAGCCACCUGUGUGCAAAGCAUGUCGAUAGAACCAGUCUCGCGUAAGCGUAUGCGUAAUGUCGAUCCGGGCCGCUUCAUCCAACAAUACCGCCGAACAAAAGUAUGACAUGAUGGUAAGCAGUAUAACUUGUAUCGCCCACAACUCACUUGUGUUCUACUCGUGCAUAUAACAUCAACGCAUAAAACCUAGGCUCGGAUGCCACUGUUGGGGAACGUAGUAAUUUCAAAAAAAUUCCUAUGCACACGCAAGAUCAUGGUGAUGCAUAGCAAUGAGAGGGGAGAGUAUUGUCCACGUACCCUCGUAGACCGAUAGCGGAAGCGUCAUGACAACGCGGUUGAUGUAGUCGUACGUCUUCACGAUCCGACUGAUCCAAGUACCGAACGUACGGCACCUCCGAGUUCAGCACACGUUCAGCUCGAUGACGAUCCCCGGACUCCGAUCCAGCAGGGUGUCGGGGAUGAGUUUCGUCAGCACGACGGCAUGGUGACGAUGAUGAUGUUCUAUCGACGCAAGGCUUCGCCUAAGCACCGCAACGAUAUGACCGAGGUGGAAUAUGGUGGAGGGGGGCACCGCACACGGCUAAGGAACGAUCACGAAGAUCAACUUGUGUGUCUUGGGGUGCCCCCCUGCCCGCGUAUAUAAACGAGCAAGGGGGGAGGCCGGCCGGCCCUUGGGGCGCGCCAAGGAGGGGUGAGUCCUCCUAGUAGGAGUAGGACUCCCCCUUUCCUAGUCCAACUAGGAAGGGGGAAGGGGGAAGGAAAGAGGAGGGAGAGGGAGAGGGAAAGAGGGGUCGUGCCCCCUUCCCCUAGUCCAAUUCGGACUCCCCAUGGGGGGGCACCUCCUGGGAUGCUACCCUCUCUCUCCCCUCAGGCCCACUAAGGCCCAAUACUUCCCCGGGGGGUUCCGGUAACCCCUCCGGCACUUCGGUUUUCUCCGAAACCACUCGGAACACUUCCGGUGUCCGAAUAUAGUCGUCCAAUAUAUCAAUCUUUAUGUCUCGGCCAUUUCGAGACUCCUCGUCAUGUCCGUGAUCACAUACGGGACUCCGAACAACCUUCAGUACAUCAAAACUUAUAAACUCAUAAUAAAACUGUCAUCGUAACGUUAAGUGUGCGGACCCUACGGGUUCGAGAACUAUGUAGACAUGACCUAGAACUGUUUCCAGUCAAUAACCAAUAGCGGAACCUAGAUGCUCAUAUUGGCUCCUACAUAUUCUAUGAAGAUCUUUAUCGGUCAAAUCGCAUAACAACAUACGGUGUUCCCUUUGUCAUCGGUAUGUUACUUGCCCGAGAUUCGAUCGUCGGUAUCCAAUACCUAGUUCAAUCUCAUUCCCGACAAGUCUCUUUACUCGUUUCGUAAUACAUCAUCUUACAACUAACUCAUUAGUUGCAAUGCUUGCAAGGCUUAAGUGAUGUGCAUUACCGAGAGGGCCCAGAGAUACCUCUCCGACAAUCGGAGUGACAAAUCCUAAUCUCGAAAUACGCCAACCCAACAAGUACCUUCGGAGACACCUGUAGAGCACCUUUAUAAUCACCCAGUUACAUUGUGACGUUUGGUAGCACACAAAGUGUUCCUCUGGUAAACGGGAGUUGCAUAAUCUCAUAGUCAUAGGAACAUGUAUAAGUCAUGAAGAAAGCAAUAGCAGAAAACUAAACGAUCAAGUGCUAAGCUAACGGAAUGGGUCAAGUCAAUCACAUCAUUCUCCUAAUGAUGUGAUCUCGUUAAUCAAAUGACAACACAUGUCUAUGGUCAGGAAACAUAACCAUCUUUGAUCAACGAGCUAGUCAAGUAGAGGCAUACUAGUGAUACUAUGUUUGUCUAUGUAUUCACACAAGUAUUAUAUUUCUGGUUAAUACAAUUCUAGCAUGAAUAAUAAACAUUUAUCAUGAUAUAAGGAAAUAAAUAAUAACUUUAUUAUUGCCUCUAGGGCAUAUUUCCUUCAGGAACACCAACCGCCCAGGCUUGAGGAUGAUGAUCGUCUUCGAUAUCAUCUAGAACUACAUAUGUGUGUGUGGAUAUAUCAUCUAGAACUACAUAUGAUGAUCGUCGUCGAUAUCAUCUAGAACGACAUAUGAUGAUCAUCGUCGAUAUGACCUUGUACUGCUUGAGGAUGCAUGUUGACUAUACAUGAAAUUGUUAUCCAGUACUCCCUUCGUUCCAAAUUACUCGUCGUGGUUUGAACUAAAACCACGACGAGUAAUUUGGAACAAAGGGAGUACUACCUAGUACCUAUAAUGCUUUAUGAAAUUGAUAUCUAGUAGUAACUAGUAUCUGGAUAUUGAGGUUUAUUGAAACCGAAAUGGGGUAGGAAGCGGGGGGAAAUUGAUGAAAGAUAUAGCAGUAGCGAGGGGCUAGGAAACCGCUACAGCUAACUAAUAGUAGCGCGUUCCAGAAAAGCGUUGCUGAUAUAGUCAAUAGUAGUAGCGCGGGUGCUGACCGCGCUACUACUAACAGUUAGCUGUAGCACCGUAAUAGUAGUGCGGCUGCUCGUGCUGCUGAUAGCCUCAAAACCCGUGCUACUACUAGGGUUUUCCCUAGUAGUGUAUUACAGAAUGAGUAAAGAGACUUGCCGGUAAUGAGAUUGAACUAGGUAUGAAGAUACCGACGAUUGAAUCUCGGGCAAGUAACAUACCGAUAGACAAAGGGAAUUAUGAAUGUUGUCAUUAGGUUCGAUCGAUAAAGAUCUUCAUAGAAUAUGUAGGAACCGAUAUGGGCAUCCAGGUUCCGCUAUUGGUUAUUAACCGGAGAGGCAUCUCGGUCAUGCCUACAUCAUUCUUGAACCCGUAGGGUCCGCACGCUUAACGUUCGUUGACGAUAUAGUGUUAUAUGAGUUAUGUGAUUUGGUGACCAAAUAUUGUUCAUAGUCUCGAAUGAGAUCACGGACAUGACGAGGAGCUUUGGAAUAGUCCGGAGGUAAUAUAGGACGAUGAUAUUUGGACACCAGAAAGGUUUCCAAGUGAACCGGGUAUUCAUCGGAUCACCGGAAGGGGUUCCAGGAGGCCCCGAGAGGUCUAUGGUCCUAAUGGUCCAAGGGGAGGCACAGACCAGCCCAUAAGGGGGCUGGUGUCGUGGUUCUAAGCCUGACAGUAGAGUGGGGGGUAGGUAUGGAGAGGCAAGGUCCUAGCUAUGGAGAGGUUGUAAGCACAAAGGAUGUACGAGUUCAGGCCCUUCUCGGAAGAAGUAACAGCCCUACGUCUCGGAGCCCGGAGGCGGUCGAGUGGAUUAUGAAUGUAUGGAUUACAAGGUGCCGAACCCUUCUGCCUGUGGAGGGGGUGGCUUAUAUAGAGUGCGCCAGGACCCCAGCCGGCCCACGUAGGAGAGGGUUUAAGGUGAGUUAAGUCUGGGGCGUUACUGGUAACGCCCCACAUAAAGUGCCUUUACUAUCAUAAAGUCUACUUAAUUACAGGCCGUUGCGGUGCAGAGUGCCUCUUGACCUCCUGGUGGUCGAGUGAGUCUUCGUGGUCGAGUCCUUCGGGCCAGUCGAGUGAAUCCUCGUUGGUCGACUGGAAGGCGACCUCUUCUAGGGAUGUCCUAGGGUAAGUUACUUGGAACAGGUCCAUGACCCUACCCUAGGUACAUAACCCCAUCAUUAGCCCCCGAAUGGAUUGAGGCUUCGAGUGAAGAAGGAGUUGAUGUCGUUUCCGAUUAACCUUUGCGCUCUAGUUGUGCGCUGUUCUGGAUCAAAGAAUCUCUUCGUUGACAGGGAGCAAUUUGUCUUCGGUCGACUCGAUCCAUUCUAUUUUUGCGUCGAGUGAUCUUUCGAGCUUCGACGAUCUCCGAGCGACGGAUCGCCGGAAACACCGCGUCUGACAGACUGAUUUGUUGCUCGCGGAUUCCGCGGGGUGCGAAAUUUGGGGGCGCGCGCGAAGCGGGGCAGACCGCGGCGUUCGGAUGGGACGGGGCAUAGACGUCUCGAUCUCCGCGCCGCCUUUUUCGCCACGUAUCCAGUCCUCAUAACUGCUCCCAGAUAUGAUUAGAUCGACCGGGCCCACAUGUCAGCCACUCGGAAGGGACCUUAUAAAUGUGCCCGGCGAGGAUUUCUGUGCUGCGCCUCAGCAUUCUCCCUCUCUCCCUCUGCUUCCUUCCUCCCUGCUCAGCGUGCUCGCUCUCGCCUCCGCACCACUUCCCUUCGUGCAUCUCACCGGCGACCAUGGCCAAGGAGAAGACGGCGGCGCUGGAGCGUGCCAAGAAGGCGUCGGCAUCGGAGAAGGCGAAGGGGAGAUCCACCAGCCGCAGAGGGUCCUCGUCCAGAUCCCGCCUGCCGAAAGGCUGGGUCCAAGGAGACUGGAUCCAGUCGACCAUCACGGAGAAGGACCUCCUCGACAUGGCCAACGAGGGCUUGAUCCCUCACGGAGCUGCGAGGUUGCCGGGGAAGGAGUGGCAGCCACAGCCAGAAGAGGGUGAGUGUGUGCUUCUGGCCACUCAUGUUGAUCGUGGGUUUUCCUUGCCGCCAAGCAUUUUCUUCCGUGGCUUCUUGAAUUUCUUUGGAGCGCGUGGUGCAGUUGGUUCGGGAGGGGGUGACGGGCAUGGAUCUUCUGGAGGUCUUCCUCAGGCGUCGCAUCCAACCCCUUCAAUUCCGGAGCCACUGCAUGUGGUUGUACUGUGGGCCCGAAGACGAGACUAGAGUCCAUCCAGAAGAAGUCGACGAUGCCACUCUGGAAAGAUGGAUGGUAGCCGUUACCGGAAACAGGGACAACCCGCGCGGAGCCAGAAGGAUUCCUCCACUCGACCACAACAGCGAUCCAAACAAGGUACACUUGCUCUGCUUUCCAUUGUGUCCUUGUCGUAUUCAUUUCUGCUAACCCUGCCGACUGGUCGACUGAUCCUUGUUUGGGCAUCUGCUAGGCCUUCACCGAGCUGUACUCGAUGCCCAAUGGGGCACAAGCUUCGACUGAGGAAGGCGAGGCGAGCGGGGGCGAGAGCCAGGAAGAGGAGGAAUGGGACUCGGAUGCUGCAGGGGAUGAUGACGACGAUGAUGAUGAUGAAGGUGAUGAAGAUGACAUCGAGGACGAGGAAGAAGAGGAGGAGGAGGUCGUUCCACCGCGCUCAGAAAGGCGGUCGAAGCUUGUCCACGACCCUUCGACCGAACGUGGUAAGGGGGUUGCGACCGCCACUCAGUCGACCAAGCGCCCUCGGACCACCUCUCCGGCGCCGACUGAAAAGGCGCCGAAGCAGCCCAGGGCGGCCUCAUCGAAGCCGACCAAGCUCCUGCUGAAGAUGAAGGUGUCCAUCCCCACCAUAUCAGGGUAAUUGUGUUGCUCAUAUUUUCUUAUUCUGUGCGAACUUUAUCUCUGGUCGACGCUGAGGUUAGUCGACUGAUCCUUUGGAGUUGCAGUGCUGCUACUUCCGAGACCUCGGCCCGGGCCGAUGACCACGAGAUGGAGGAUGCAGCAACUUCGAAUCCAGGUACUGUGUUCUUAAUACCAUUCUUAGUCGACCGACUCGCGAUCUCUGAUCCUGAUCCUUCUCCGCAGCUCCACCCAACACUGUUAUCGAUCUUCCUGAUGAUGAUGAGGAUGAAGAGCCGCUGAAGCACAGGAGGAGUCGGAAAGCGUCCUCCAGUAAGGUGCCUCAGGAUGUGCCGGCGCCUGAAAUUCUGACUGUGGAGGAAGAGAACACCACUCGACACACGGUGACCUUCGCGAAUCCACUGACGAGUGCUCAGCAGCCUUCCCUCUUCAUGACGCACCACGUCCCAGAGGACCAAGCUGGCGCAGCGAAGGAGGCGAUACGCCAGGCGGGACUCAUGAUGGAGCAGCUGAAGACCAUCCGGGACGCGAGCCAGGCAGCUUAUGACGCCAGUUCUGCCCUCCAAAGCAAUGUCCAGGUCAGUCGACCGCUGUUUGUUCUGUUGGAUAUGCUACCAAAAACUUUUCUUUUCCGGAAUUUAUAUUAGUCACCCACUGGGUGUGUCGAAUAAACUCCGUGUUAGCGGGGGCACGCUGAGUGCACCCGCUGGGUGUAGUCCCCAAGGCUAAGGUCGACUGCUGGCAGUCGGCCUUAGGCUUUAUGAUGUCAAUCUUUCUGUCAGUCGACUGGUCGACUGGAUUUCACAAACCGGUGGGGGCACGCUGAGUGCACCCACUGGGUGUAGUCCCCAAGGCUAAGGUCGACUGCUGGCAGUCGGCUUUAGGCUUUAUGACGUCAAUUUUUCUUUCAGUCGACUAUGUCGACUGGAUUUCACAAACCGGUGGGGGCACGCUGAGUGCACCCACUGGGUGUAGUCCCCGAGACUGUGGUCGACUGCUUGUAGUUGAUCACAGUCUUAGAGAAUGCAUCUCUCUUUUUUUUUGAGGUCGACUGGUCGACUUUGUCUUCAACAGGAUUAGUGGGGGCACGCUGAGUGCACCCACUGGGUGUAGUCCCCGAGACUACGGUCGAAUGCUUGUAUUUGGCUGUAGUCUUAGAAACGUGUGUUUAUCCCUUUUUCACUCGGAAGUGAAUUAUAUUUGACAUUUAGUCGAUUGGUUCUUCACAGAACUCCUGUGAUCUUGUGGCUCGCUACUCAGAGCUGGAACAAAAACAUACUCAAGUCGAGCUGAGCUUGAAGCUGGUUCAGGAGAAGCUGACAAAGGCAAAGGAGGAGACCGAAGGUAUGUUUGGUGAGACCCUGACGACUGCUUUUCCCCUUGCUUGUUUCAGCAUCUGAUCUUGCUGUAACUUGCAGGUAAGGUAAGGGAGGCCCAGCAGAAGAAAGACCUUGAGCUAGCUGAGAAGAUCAAGCUUGCUGACGAGAAGUUAGCUUCAGUCACCAAGCUCGAACAAGACAAUACCAAUCUGAAAACUGCUCUUGGGAUUGCCAACAAGGAGGUCAGUCGACUGAAAACUGAUAAAGCUGCCCUGACCGUCCAAGUCAGCAAAUUGACUGAGAAGAAAACUGAACUGGAGGCCUUCCUGAGUGGCCUUGCCAAGAAGCUGUUUCUUAUGCUUGAAGGUAAACCUCCAUGUUUGGCAAAUAUUUCCAAUUGUGGCUUUUUCCAUUCGACUAUCUCCUUGACUUAGUGAUCAUCCUUGCAGAAUUUUGUCAAAACUUUGAAGAAGAAACCAGCCGACUGGAGCCAAACCUCGACCCCGUCAAUUCUCCGGUGAACGACGAAGUUGCCAUGGAUGUUUUCCGACUGGAGUCUCGUGUUGCAGCUGUCGUGGACUAUCUCGCAAGGCUGAAGGCCGCCACAUCUCGCAUCGACUCGACGCUCUGGCCUGAGGAGACGCUUCAGAAUGACCUUGAAUCGUUGAUGGCCCGCUUGAACACGAUCCCUGGUCGAGUGCAGGAGUGGAAGAAGUCCUCGGCUCGGUGUGGUGCAGAUGUCGCUCUGUGUCUGGCCCGAGUCCACUGCAAAGAUGCGCGAGAAGAGAAGCUGGCGGCCCUUCGGGUGGCCAAUACCAAGAAGCACGACUUCAGGUCCUUUAUGGAGACUUUCCUUGCAGCUGCCACUCGGAUCGCCGACGGAAUUGACCUUGAUGAAUUUGUUGCACCUUCCAGCCCUCCACAGGAGGGGUAAAAAACUUCUUCUGGCUCGACGCUUUAAAUUUGCCUCGGUAUGCCGAGUGAAAUUGUAACCGACAAACCUUAACAGGCUUGACGCCUGAGCACUUUCGGUUCCUUUAGAUGUCGAUUCAAACUUGGAUUUGGUGCUUGAAUACGAUUGCCUUCGGCUCGGAAUGUCUUUUGCAGGUUCAAAGCAAGGUGCCUUAGGCGAGCGCUUGGACUGCAGCUAAGCCCCCGAGUGAGAGGGUUGCUCUUCACUCGGUAGGAUUUUUGUAACUUAGGCGAGCACAGGGCUGCAGCUAAGCCCCCGAGUGAGAGGGUUGCUCUUCACUCGGUAGGAUUUUCACAACUUAGGCGAGUGCUUGGACUGCAGCUAAGCCCCCGAGUGAGAGGGUUGCUCUUCACUCGGUAGGAUUUUUAUAACUUAGGCGAGCACGAGGCUGCAGCUAAGCCUCCGAGUGGAAGGCUGGCUUACCACUCGGUAGGAUUUUGAUAACUUAGGCGAGCACGAGGCUGCAGCUAAGCCUCCGAGUGAGAGGAUUGCUCUUCACUCGGUAGGAUUUUCACAACUUAGGCGAGCACGAGGCUGCAGCUAAGCCUCCGAGUGGAAGGCUGGCUUACCACUCGGUAGGAUUUUGAUAACUUAGGCGAGCACAAGGCUGCAGCUAAGCCUCCGAGUGGAAGGCCGGCUUACCACUCGGUAGGAUUUUGAUAACUUAGGCGAAACGGAUUCGCAGCUAAGCCUCUGAGUGGGAGUCUGGCUCACCACUCGGUAGGAUUUUUACAAACUUAGGCGAAACGGAUUCGCAACUAAGUCACCCACUGAGGGGAAUUUUAUUGGAAAAUAAAAAUAAAAAGUGACAGAUAUUGUGGAGGAACUAUGACACUAUUAUUUUGAGGUCCAUGAACUACAAAAGUACUUUAUUGCAACUCAUUUGAGUGAUAAAACUUAAGUGUAAAAUGGGCGGAGUAGCUCCGCGUUCCAAGCUCGGGGCUCGUCGAUAUUAUGCUCGACGUUGUAGAGACGGUACGCCCCGUUGUGGAGAACCUUGGUGACGAUGAAGGGGCCUUCCCAAGAAGGAGCAAGCUUGUGUGGUUUGUGCUGAUCCACUCGGAGAACCAAAUCCCCUUCCUGGAAGGCUCGACCUCUCACAUUUCGGGCGUGGAAACGGCGCAGAACUUGUUGGUAGAUGGUCGAUCGGAUCAGAGCCAUCUCCCUUUCUUCCUCUAAAAGGUCGACUGCGUCCUGCCGCGCUUGUUCAGCUUCUGCUUCGUUGUAGAUUUCAACUCGAGGAGCAUUGUGGAGAAGAUCACUCGGCAAGACUGCUUCAGCUCCAUAGACCAAGAAGAAUGGAGUUCUUCCGGUCGACCGAUUAGGCGUGGUCCGCAGUCCCCAGAGUACAGAUGGAAGUUCGUCGACCCAAGCUCCAGCCGCGUGUUUGAGAUCACGCAUCGGUCGAGGCUUCAGUCCCUUGAGAAUCAGUCCAUUAGCUCGCUCUGCUUGUCCAUUCGACUGCGGAUGGGCGACUGAUGCGUAGUCGACCCGUGUGCCCUGGGAGUCGCAGAAAGCUCUGAAUUCCUCUGAGUCAAAGUUCGACCCAUUAUCCGUGAUGAUGCUGUGCGGGACUCCAUAUCUGAAUAUUAGUUCCCUGAUGAAGCUAACAGCAGUACCGGUGUCAAGGCUCUUGAUUGGUUUAGCCUCGAUCCACUUGGUGAACUUGUCGACUGCCACCAGUACAUGCGUGAAGCCACUUCGUCCUGUUCUCAAAGGACCGAUCAUGUCCAGCCCCCAAACUGCAAAAGGCCAGACGAGUGGGAUGGUCUUCAAAGCUGACGCAGGCUUGUGCGACAUAUUCGAGUAGAACUGACAUCCCUCGCACUUAUCUACUAUCUCUUUUGCCAUCUCAUUCGCCUUGGGCCAGUAAAAUCCGGCUCGGUAUGCUUUGGCCACGAUGGUCCGAGAGGACGCAUGAUGACCACAGGUCCCCGAGUGAAUAUCAUUGAGGAUAAGUCGACCUUCUUCUGGUGUUAUGCACUUCUGACCGACUCCAGUCGCGCUUUCUCUGUAUAAUUGUCCUUUAAUUACGGUAAAGGCCUUAGAUCGACGGACGAUCUGUCGAGCCUCUUCCUCAUCCUCCGGAAGCUCUUUCCUCAAGAUAUAUGCGACAUACGGAAUCGUCCAGUCGGGAAUGACCACCAAAACCUCCAUGAUCAAGUCGACCACCGCUGGGACUUCAACUUCAGUCGGAUCUGUGGCGCUCUUGGGCUGCGGAGUUUCUUCGGUGAAAGGAUCUUCUUUGACUGACGGAGUGUGUAUAUGCUCCAAGAACACACCACUCGGAAUGGCUUCUCUCUUGGAACCUAUCUUUGCUAGAUCAUCAGCUGCUUGAUUUUUCAGUCGGGGUAUAUGAUGGAGCUCCAACCCCUCGAACUUUUUCUCCAGCUUCCUCACUGCACUGCAGUAUCCAGUCAUGGCUGGGCUUCUCACGUCCCACUCUUUCAUCACCUGAUUGACCACUAAAUCCGAGUCGCCAUAGACCAUUAGGCGACGGACGCCGAGUGAAAUGGCCAUGCGCAACCCAUAUAGGAGGGCCUCAUAUUCUGCCUCAUUGUUGGAGGAAUCAAAGUGAAUCUGGAGCACAUAUCUGAGCUUAUCUCCUCUGGGGGAAACCAGGACAACCCCAGCACCGGAACCAUUCAACAUCUUAGAACCAUCGAAAAACAUGGUCCAAUGCUCCGAGUGAACUUCAGUCGGCUGCUACUGUUCGAUCCACUCGGCGAGGAAAUCUGCUAUUGCCUGGGACUUAAUGGCUUUCUUUGCCUCAAACUUGAUAUCAAGGGGAAGAAGUUCAAUCGCCCAUUUGGCCACUCGACCAGUUGCAUCUCUGUUGUGCAAAAUCUCUGAUAGUGGAGCGUCGCUGACGACUGUGAUUGAAUGGUCAGAGAAAUAAUGAGCAACCUUCUUUGUGGUCAUGUAUAUUCCAUACACAAGCUUCUGAUAAUGAGGAUAUCUCUGCUUGGAUGGAGUCAAGACUUCAGACAAAUAAUACACUGGGCGCUGAACUUUGAGAGCUUUUCCUUCUUCUUCCCGCUCGACCGUUAGCACAGUACUGACGACUUGUCCUGUGGCUGCGAUGUAGAGCAACAGAGGCUCUUUGCUGAUUGGAGCAGCAAGCACCGGCUGGGUGGAGAGCAGAGCUUUUAGCUCGGCAAAUGCUGCAUCAGCUUCUGGGGUCCACUCGAACUUGUCAGCCUUCUUCAUGAGUCGGUAAAGAGGCAAUGCCUUUUCACCGAGUCGUGAGAUGAAUCGACUUAAUGCGGCCAAGCAUCCAGUAAGCUUCUGGACAUCGUGCACUCGCACAGGGCGUUUCAUUCGGAGAAUAGUGCCAAUCUUUUCUGGGUUGGCGUCGAUUCCCCAUUCGGAAACGAGAAAACCGAGUAACUUGCCACCAGGAACUCCAAAUGUGCACUUUGAUGGAUUGAGCUUGAUAUCAUACCUUCUGAGGUUGGCAAAUGUUUCGGCGAGGUCAGCGAGCAGGUCGGAACCUUUUCGUGACUUGACAACAAUACCAUCCAUAUAAGCUUCCACAUUCCGACUGAUUUGAGUGAGUAGACACUUCUGGAUCAUUCGCAUAAAUGUGGCUCCGGCAUUCUUGAGGCCGAAUGGCAUGGUGAUAUAGCAGAAGCACCCGAAUGGAGUGAUGAAAGCUGUUUUUACUUCAUCGGGCCUAUACAGACGGAUCUGGUGGUACCCGGAGUAAGCAUCUAAAAAAGACAACCUCUCGCAUCCCGCGGUCGAGUCAACAAUUUGAUCUAUGCGAGGGAGAGGAAAGUGAUCUUUCGGGCAGGCCCGGUUGAUGUGCUUGAAAUCAAUGCACAUUCGGAGCGACUUGUCCUUCUUAGGAACCAUGACGACAUUAGCGAGCCACUCGGAGUGGAAUAUCUCUCGGAUAAAUCCUGCCGCCAACAGUCGAGCCACUUCUUCACCGAUGGCCUUUCUCUUCUGGACGGCGGACCGCCGAAGAUGUUCUUUGACUGGCUUUGCAGACGAGUCGACUCUUAGGCGAUGCUCAGCCAGUCCCCUGGGAACACCUGGCAUGUCAGCGGGCUUCCAUGCAAAAAUGUCCCAGUUCUCACGGAGGAACUGGAUGAGCGCUUCUUCCUAUUUUGGGUUGAGUGUUGUGGAGAUGCGGGUCGGAGCUGCUUCGGGGUCGGUCGGGUGAAUGUGAACAGGCUUCGUCUCACCGGACGACUGGAAUGCAGAUUCUGUGGCGGGCUUCUUGGAUCGCAGCAAGUCACUCGGAUCUGCGUUUUGCUUGUAUUCUUCGAACUCGACCGCUGUCACUUGGGAAUCGGCAAUUUUGGAGCCCUUCUGAAAGCACUCCUCUGCCUUUUUCCUAUCACCGGUGACAGUGAUCACACCUUUGGGACCGGGCAUCUUCAAUUUGAGGUACACGUAACAUGGUCGAGCCAUGAACCGUGCAUAGGCUGGUCUCCCCAAAAUGGCAUGAUAUGCACUUUGAAAAUCCACGACCUCAAACGUCAACUUUUCUUUGCGAAAAUGCUUUGAAUCGCCAAACACUACGUCCAAAGCUAUCUGGCCGAGUGACUCGGCCUUCUUCCCUGGUAUAACUCCAUGGAAGCUCAUGUUACUAGUGCUCAGCCGGGACAUCGGAAUGCCCAUACCUUUCAACGUGUCUGCAUAUAACAGAUUACCGUCCAUCAGCACCUUUGUCAGUCGAGUGCCUUCAACAACUGGAUCGACCACCAAAGCUUGCCUCCCAGGGGUGGCAAUAUGAGUCGGGUGAUCAGAUUGGUCGAAUGUGAUGGGUGUUUGAGACCACUUCAGAUAAUUUUCCUUUGCUGGGGCAACCAUGUUAACCUCUCGGUUAAUCACUUUCAGUCGACUUCUGCUUUCCACAUCUGCGAAGAUCAUCAGAGUAGAGUUGAUAUGUGGAUAUCCUCCCUCACUGUCCUCUUUGUCUUCGGCCUUGUCCGGCUCCUUCUCCUUGUCCUUAGACUGUUUUCCCUGAAACUGCUGGAUCAGGAGUCGACAUUGGCGAGUGGUGUGCUUUGAGUAAAUGAUAUUCCCCUCUUCAUCUUUCUUCGUGUGAAUAUGACACGACAUAUCCAUCACGUCGUUCCCUUCUUUAUCCUUUACCUUCUUGGGGUUCCAGGAUCCUUUUGGUUUCCCCUUAAACUUUCCUUGAGUCACGGCCAGAGCCUCUCCAGGAGCUGCCGGUUCAGCCUUCCGCUUCUGUUUCCGACUGGUGUUUCCUUUUUCCGACUGACUCGGCUUGUGCUUGCCGCUUCGGAGUCGGUCUUCUUCUUCGCCGUUGGCGUACUUGGUAGCAAUCUCCAUCAUCCGACUCAAGGUCAUGUCACCGGUUCGACCAAAUUUCAAACUCAGUUCUCUGUUCUUGACACCAUCUUUGAAGGCGCAUACUGCCUGAUGGUCAGAGACAUUUUCCAUAGUGUGGUGCAAAGUGAUCCACCUCUGAAUAUACUCUCUGAGAGUCUCAUUGGUUUUCUGCACGCAGACUUGCAACUCUGUCAAUCCCGCUGGUCGCUUGCAAGUCCCUUCGAACGUUUUGACGAACACUCGGGAUAGAUCUUCCCAAGUGUAAAUGCUGCUAGGAGGCAAUUGAGUCAACCAUGCCCUGGCAGAACCUUCCAACAUGAGGGGCAAAUGCUUCAUGGCCACCUCGUCGUUCCCACCACCGAUCUGAACUGCCACUCGGUAGUCUUCAAGCCAAGUUUCAGGCUUAGACUCACCAGUGAACUUGCUGACUCCUGUUGCCAACCUGAAAUUGGGGGGGAUAACUGCGGCUCUGAUAGCUCUGCUGAAACAUUCAGGACCAGAAACAUGUACUCGACUGCUCGUGGGCACAUCUCUGUCGAGUGCGCCUCGAUGGGCUCUGUUCCGGUCGACCAACCCUUGCACGAUAAUGGAUCGCGCGUCGAAGCCUGGCUCUCUGGGGUCAACUGGAACCCUACGCCCUGUACUGUACUGACGCCUAUCAUCUGGCUGCCGAGGAGCGUAAGACCCACCCCUCGGAGGGGAAUAGGGCACUCGACGCCUAUCAUCUCGGUCGAGUCUGUCGCCAUAUUGAUCUCGCCGAUUCUCACGCCCUUCGCGCCGCGGAGGCGAUCUGGGGCUGUGAGCCGACUGAACCGUAUUCACAGUGACAGAUCGACUGUGAAUUCUGUUGCGCGACUGAGACACGGCUGAAUUCUGAUCUCCUGCUGCCCGGAGCAGAUCCCUGAUCUGCAGCAAACCUCUGCCAGCCUCUGACUGCGAAGGCUGAAUGGACUCUGCUAUACGGGUCGCAGCUGCUAAAUUCUGAAUUGGGGUUCGAUAUACCUGAGUCGGCGAGAAGAGUUGACGUCGACUGGUGUCGGGAACUCGUUGCCGCGCGCGCUCGUCGAGUGCUCGCUGAAGGUUCUCCAGUCGAGUGCGCUCGGCCAAAUUGGCCAGACGCGCCUCCUCCAAGGCACGAGCCUCGGGGGUUUCUCCUGCGAUGGGAAUACGCAGGGGAUCCUCGUUCCUGCGGCGAAGCUCUUCUCUUUGCAGAGAGUCGAGUGGCUCGGGCUGGUACUCUUCGUAGCCUCGUGCAGGGUCGCCGUCGUCGCCUGCUCCACCACCACGGGCGAAGCCAGGAGGACUGUGGGGCCCGUCGACCAUCAAGAUUUCCGCCACUGGAUCACUGCUUCCGCACUCGGAUGCAGUCUCUCCGGAGCCAGUCGACUGAUCGAACAAGCCGUAGAGAGAUUCGUUGGGCUCGAUUGCCGCAACUUGUGUAGUGGCCGACUAGCGAGCCACCGCGUGACUCACCCAUCGCUGAAGCCUCGACCGGCCUGAGCGCUUGCGCUGGCGGGAGACCGGGAGGGUGGAAGAUGGAGGAGCCGAUCGAUACUGGGUCGAUGGUUGCCGCAGCAGAACGCCGCGGACACAUGCGCGAAAAUGCGUCGCACCGCGGACGGGGAGCGCAUCUACGUCGAGUGGAGCCUCCUGGAGCCAUGCGGCGUCGUCGGCGAUGAAGGCGAGAGCGCCGAGACGGAUCUCUUGACCCUCGACCAAAAUUCCAGCAGACACCAUGAUGAAAGUACUCGGAAGAAUUGCAACUUCUCCACAAAAUCGCUAAAACACCUGCCCCACGGUGGGCGCCAACUGUCGUGGUUCUAAGCCUGACAGUAGAGUGGGGGGUAGGUAUGGAGAGGCAAGGUCCUAGCUAUGGAGAGGUUGUAAGCACAAAGGAUGUACGAGUUCAGGCCCUUCUCGGAAGAAGUAACAGCCCUACGUCUCGGAGCCCGGAGGCGGUCGAGUGGAUUAUGAAUGUAUGGAUUACAAGGUGCCGAACCCUUCUGCCUGUGGAGGGGGGUGGCUUAUAUAGAGUGCGCCAGGACCCCAGCCGGCCCACGUAGGAGAGGGUUUAAGGUGAGUUAAGUCUGGGGCGUUACUGGUAACGCCCCACAUAAAGUGCCUUUACUAUCAUAAAGUCUACUUAAUUACAGGCCGUUGCGGUGCAGAGUGCCUCUUGACCUCCUGGUGGUCGAGUGAGUCUUCGUGGUCGAGUCCUUCAGGCCAGUCGAGUGAAUCCUCGUUGGUCGACUGGAAGGCGACCUCUUCUAGGGAUGUCCUAGGGUAAGUUACUUGGAACAGGUCCAUGACCCUACCCUAGGUACAUAACCCCAUCAGCUGGCGCGCCCUCUCCCUGGCCGUCGGCCCUAGAGAAGGAAAGGGAGGAGGGCUAGCCCCUCCCGCCUUCCCCUCCUCAUGGGAGAAAGGAAAGGGGGGGGCCCCCUCUCACUUUCUCCCUGGUGCCAUACAAGGAAGGGGGCGCUAGAGGGCAGGAGUCCAAGGAGGCCGGCCGACCACCCUUGGGGCGCCUCCUCGCUGCCUCCCCUCCCUCCACUAUAUAUAUAUAGCCGUGUGCGACGCCCCUCUCCAUAGUUUAGUCCUCCGCCCAGUUUCUCCGCAUUGCUCGGCGAAGCCCUGCGAGAACGAGUUCAGCAUCACCAUCACCACGUCGUCGUGCUGCCGGAACUCAUCUACUACUUCGCCCGUCUUGCUGGAUCAAGAAGGCGAGGACGUCAUACGUGUGUUGAACGCGGAGGUGAUGUAUGUUCGGUACUUGAUCGGUUGGAUUGCGAAGAAGUUUGACUACAUCAACCGCGUUAAUAAACACUUCCGCUUUAUGGUCUACUAUACCUGGCCAUACCUCGGGCCGGGUCGGACUUCGGGCCGGGCCUAGCCAAGCCCGACGCAAAAAACCCAGGCCCGGGCCCGGCCCGGCCCGACCAAUGGGCCUAUUUUUGGGGCCCGAGCCCGACCCGAACACCUAAAAGCCCGUCAGGCUUCGGGCCGGCCCAGCCCGACCUUCAGGAAAGCGCAAAAAUGACAGGCCCGGGCCCGGCCCGGGCCGGCCUUCGGGCUCAAAAUCUAGGCCUGAGCCCGGCCCGGGGGUAGCGUCGGGCCGGGCCGGGUCGGGCUUUUUCGGGCCGGCCGGUCCGGGCUUCCCAUGGCCAGGUAUACGGUCUACGAGGGUACGUAGACAUACUCUCCCCUCUCGUUGCUAUGCAUCUCCUUAAAUAGAUCUUGCGUGUGCGUAGAAUUUUUUUCCCAUGCAACGUUCCCCAAUAGUCGUAUCCCACCUUGAUCACACGAGUGGGUAUGAGAGGAAGACGAGGUCGUCGGACCAUCACAACACCACACGUAGAGUAUGAUUGGACUUGUGACAUAUGCACGUGUGUCGAGCAACUAGUGCUUCUCCUAAGACAUAAAAAGUCAAUAGUUUAUUAGUAUGCAAAAUUCGCUAAUCGACUUUUCUACCCAUAUGUAAUAACUUUGUAAUGCAACAUUAUCUCAAAUUGGCGUUUUAAUCCUUCAAAUUGAGUGUGAUUAUUGAGUUGAUGUAACCAAAAAAUGAAGGUUGUGUUAUGACGACUCUAUGUUUGUGCAUAGCCAUUGCAACAUCUAACGUAUAUGGAGCACGCUCAAUAUCGCAUCGACUCUACAAGAAUUGAUCUUAGUUUAUAGUUUAAAUAAUUAUUAGUUGUUUGAUCAAUGUAAAGCCGUUGUGCAGUUCUUCUUCCGCCCAAGUUAUUAGGAAUCAAAUCGACAAAAUGACAUGUCGGUCCUACUUGCAGGGGGAAAAUGGAUGCUGCAUUACGACGACUUUGUGCUUCCACAUAGGCACGGCCCCCAUAUGCCAUAUGAUGAUUGCACUUGUGGUGACUCUGCUAGGGUCGAUCUAAGCAACGGUACCAACGGGAAAAGACAUGUUUGCCAAGGCAGGAAAUUAGUAGGUUCCCUUCAAACUAAGCCAUAAGCCAAAAUAAAAUCUCUUAAGGACCUUCGACGGCUUACAAAUAAGCUAAUAAAAAAUCUUCUGCGUCUUUGGGCAUGCAGAGAGAAACAACAAGGUUUACUAUGGAAUAACCAAGGUAUGGCCAUAUUUAAGACCUUUUUCAAAGGAAGACAUCAGAGAGAAAGAUUUGUUGCUUUCUUAGACAGGAAUGAUAGCUGGCGAACGUUUCCCGGGAGCCCAAUCCCGACGAACGCCUCCGGAACCAUCACAUUUGCAUCCAACAGUGGUAGUUUUCUGCCCAAAAAUUUAAUUUAAAUAAACUGCCAUGGCAGUUUUAUAAAAUGUCAACCUAGCCUCCCCUAAUACAUGUUCAAUUGCCACCCGGGCGUUCGCAACUGCCAUGUCCAACAUUAAAAAAUGUAAGAGAGUCAAGUUGGGGUCUAUGUUAAUAGAGCUUUUAACUAGGGACAUGAUGAGUUAUGACAUGAAAUGUCUGGUUUGUAACAAACUUUUGUACCAAAAACUAAAGACCGAAUAUGGUAAAGAAAGGGAAUUGAUAGUAAUUACUCGAUGAUUCACGAGAAGGACAAUUGUUGACUUUAAAAGGAUGAUUUAUUGAUUAUUUGUUUGGCGGAACCAAAAGUAAAAUUUGGUGUGGACAAGGAACCUGUAAAAACACCUAAUUUGUAGUAUGGAGAAAAGAGAAAUGAGGGAGGAAAUGACUACAAUUAUUAUUGUACCUAGUAGGUGUUUUUUUACUUCUUUUGCCCUUGUACAAUAGUUGUGUUACUUAAAACCAAAAAUCAAACUUAUCAAAAAAAAUGAAAUAUUUUUCGUUGAGUCUAUUAUUCAUAUUCAAUAUACAUGGUCGCAUACACUCGAUUUAUAUUAGUGAGAGGAGCAGUGCGCGUGCAAGAUCACUAACUUGAUAAAUUUAAAAAGAAACACAAAUAUUAUAGAAAUUUUAACAUGGCCCCAAACUAGCCUUCUGUAUUCUUUGGUCCAAGGGCCAUAUGAUCUUUUUUCUUACAAGAGGAAAUAUUAAUAAAAUAGGGGAAAAAGGCAUCAAUUAAUAAUAUGAAAAUAUAUUGCUAAGCGCUCUUGCAACAUCAAGUAUUAAGUUAAAUUCAGAACGGUACAUACUUUAACUUGUAGAUACGUCAACAUGUUUGCAAAGUUAAUAAAUUACUAAUUUGACAUGUGAAUGUAAUUCUACAUAGAACUUUCAAUUAUUGCAUUUCUUUUCAAUCAAAUUUUAGUUUCUUCAAAACAAAAACUAAGAAUCCGUCUAGAAUAGCUUGUUCCACAUACACAAUUAACUUAGAUUUAUUUAUUUAUCGGAUUUGGUAAGGCACACACAAUUUGUCUGAGCCACACAUUUUUUUCAAUAUGUUAGGGAUUCUCUUCUUUGUUGAGGCUUCUUGAUACGAGAAGUGAUAUUUUAUAAAUUGUUUACUCCUUGCAGUCUAGAGAUGACAUGCGAAAAUCAAAGUUUCGCCUCCAUCCCGCAGGGGAUACUCCUUCAUCAUGCCGGUUGUUCGAUGCCAUUGUCAGUCAUUGCAUUCAUGUGAUUAUCAGCAGCAGGAUCGAGCUCCCUUUUGAGGAUCAGAUUGAUUACAUCGACUUCUCACUUUCCUUCUAAGUUGAAGAAGUUCUAGAAAAAGAUUACUUGCUCAACCAACUCAGACAGAUGCCUAAAGAUAAGUGGGUUGAGAUGUGGUCAAAGCUGAAAAAUGUCUCUAGUCACUAUGAAUUCCAAUAUCCCCCCAGGAAGGAUGAUGCGGUGAACAUGAUGAGGCGGCAGGUGAGGCACAAAAUCCCCGCAGUUAACCUUGCGAUCCACAGGAGUAGGAGACUAAAAGUUCCAGACUGGUGGUGAGGAUUUGGUGAAUUGUGUACAUAUUCUCAUAUCGAUGGCGAAACCGGCAUCAUUCAUAUGGUUCAUGACGAAGCCAUGGCGGUCAUUCCUUGUGCACCAUGACACUGGAUCCAGGAAGAUGUACUGACAGACACUAACAUUUUUGACCCUUUUCGUUGAUCUUACGACACCGUAACCAUUACUCCCCCUUGAGGUCAUGAUAUAGUGAAAAUGUGUAGUUAUGUUACAGAGCUGGCUUGCCCGGCAGAAGCAUGUGCAUUAGAAACACACUUACAAAC
rnacentral:lncRNA from 1 species